rnacentral:lncRNA from 1 species
GGGACGUUUCUAGGUAAAUGCAUUCUUAUUCUGCAUUGUUCCUUUUUGAUCAAUCCUCCUAUAAUUUUUAUUUAAAAAAAGAGAUUGAAAGGAAAACCUUGAAGGAAAUUUGAAGCCAUUAAUAAUUGACAGCCAUUUCAAGGAAGAUGAAUAAAGGCAAUUGACAAACAAGAUACAAUCAAUUUAAUCGUCUAAAUCUACUGUUUGUGCACAAAAAUGCUAAUGGUUGUUGGUUGCUUCAUCCUAAUCUGAUAUGUCAUAAUGAACAUUCUACACGUCUAAUGUCGAUUUUGCCUCACUAAAUUGCAUUAGAAAACAAGCUGGCUUUGUACAAGUAGGCACAUUGGGAUUUACUAAAAGUUGCAGAAGUGCACAAGUGUGACAAGGGAGAGAAACAUGAAUUGGGUGGUACGGGAAAGAAAGUGUAAGUGGAAGGCCCUGAAUUUGAAAAUUCUCACUUACACUAGAAAGAAAAAGUGUACGAGCGUGAUAAAGAUUCAAUGGAGAUAAAUCGAUUGAAAGUGAGAAUAUUGGCAUCUCAAAUACAACAGCUUAAAAUUAAAAGUAAAGAAAGAUAACCAUAAAUGUGGAUGCAUAGCAUCCAACUUCUGCCACUACCACCAAAAAUGGUGACUCCUGUAUUCUAGAACCUGAUUAAGAGCAACAAUAACAUGGAAUCUCUCUAGAAAAUAGCAAUUUAUUUGGCCAACUUCUGUCACUACCACCCGAAAUAGUGACUGCUGGAUUUUAGGAACCAGAUUAAGAGCAAUGCCUUGGUGUAAUAGCUAAGAUUGGACCCCGAGAAUUAGAUGUUCUAGGUUUUAAUUCUCCUGUCCCCAUGCCCCCUGCGCGCUUCUUUUAUCCCACCCAUCUACUGCUAAAAAAAAUUUAAAAACAAAAACCAAAUUAAAGACAAGAACAUCAAAUUUCUAUCAUAAAUAGCAAUGCCAAGAUUCAAACUUCGGAUUAGUUGCCAGUAACUUUUAAUAUCAGGUCAAAGUAUGGAAAAUGAUCUUUGUCUACCAGAUUCCUAAUCCUUUUCUUGUGGUGGAAUGGCGUUAUCACAAAGAAUAUCAGGUCAAAAUACGGAAAAAGGAUCUCUUUCUACUAGGUUCCUAAUCCUUUUCUUGCGCAGGAAUGGCCUAUCAUAAAUUACGCAAGAAGUAAUUCAUCCCCUAUGUAUGCUACCAAAAUCUAGACACUACAUCAUACAUAAAAUACCACAUGCAAAAUUUACAUGCGAAGUAUAAAUUUCUCUAGGUAAGACAUGAAUUUGGCCUACUCAAGUAUUUGUUUUCCUUUACAUGCAAAAUUUUAAUGGCUGUUGGUUGCUUCGUCCUAAUCUAAUGUCAUAAUGAAAAUUCUACACAAGUCUAAUGUCGAUUUUGCCUCACUCAAUUGCAUUAGAAAAUAAGCUGGGUUUGUACAAGUAGGCAUAUUGGGAUUUACAGAAAGUCACAUGCAGAAGAGUACAAGUGUGACAAGGGAAAGAAACAUGAGUUGGAUGGUAGGGGAGGAAGGAUAGUAAUUGAGAGGUCCCGAAUUUGAGAAUUCUCACUUACACUUAAAAAAAAAAAAAUGUACAAGCAUGACAAAGAUUCAAUGGAGAUAAACCGACUGAAAGUGAGAAUAUUAACUCCAUUUGAAUUAGCUGUUUUUGGGGAUUUUUUGAAAUAUUUUACUGUAACAGUGCAUAUGAAAAACUUUUACUAUAGAUAUGCUUUUGGAAUAUAUUUUGGGAUAACUUUUAAUAUUAAAUAAUUAUUUUUAUGGUACUUAUUAAAAAUUAAUACUACCACCAUAACCACGACCGCCACCACUCCCUACCCACGACCGCCACCACUCCCUCCUUUAUCCUCCCCAUCCCUCUUGCCCCUCCUCCUCCCUCUUCUUCCUCCCCUUCCCUUCCCCCCAUCCCCUGGCCCUCCCCUCCCGCUCGAUCUAGCCGCGACCGCGACCAGAUCACAGCCUCUGAUCACAACUAAAGGCCUCGACCAAAUCAAAAGGGGGAGGGGAGGGCCGAGGGAUGGGGGAAAGGGAGGGGAGGAGGAAGACGGAAGGAGAGGGAGGAAGGAAGAGGGAGGGGGUGGUGGCGGUGGUGGGUGGUGAGUGGUGGUGGUGAUCGGUGAAAAAUGUAUAAAUUUUUUUUUUUAAUUUUUUGUGUAUAUUUGUGAGUUAUUUUUUACAUAUUGUAUGGAUGAUAUGUUUUUUGAACUGUUUUCGUUUAUGUAUUACUAUAACAUAUUGGUAUCUCAAAUACAACAGGUUAAAAUUAGAUGUGAAGAAAGAUAACCAUAAAUGUGGAUGCAUAUCACCCAACUUCUGUCAUUGCCACCAAAAAUGGUGACUCCUGUAUCUAGGAACCUGAUUAAGAGCAACAAUAACAUGGAAUCUCUCUCGAAAAUACCAAUUUAUGUGUGCCCAACUUCUGUCACUACCACCCGAAAUAGUGAUUGCUGGAUUUUAGGAACCAGAUUAAGAGCAAUGACUUGGUGUAAUGGCUAAGAUUGGACCCCAGGAAUUAGAUGUUCUGGGUUUUAAUUCUCCUGUGCCCCUGUGAUUCUUAUAUCCCACCCCUCCCCUGCUAAAAAAAAAUUAAAAAAAAAAAAACCAAAUGAAGAACAAGAACAUAGAUUUCUAUCAAAAAUAGCAAUGUCAUGAUUCAGACUUCAGAUUAGUAACUUUUAAUAUCAGGUCAAAGUAGCGAAAAAGAUCUGUCUAUCAAAUUCUUAAUCCUUUUCUUGUGGUGGAAUGGCAUCAUAAAGAAUAUCAGGUCAAAAUACGGAAAAAGGAUCUUUGUCUAAUAGAUUCCUAAUCCUUUUCUUGCGGAGGAAUAGCCUAUCAUAAAUUAGGCAGGUACUAAUUCAUCCCAUAUGCAUGCUGCCAAAAUGUAGACACUACAUCAUGCAUAAAAUACCGAAUGCAAAAUUUGCAUGCCAAGUAUAAAUUUCUCAAGGAGAGAAGACAUGAAUUUGGCCUACUCAAGUGUUUGUUUUACUUUACUCAUCUGAUAUCAACUUCAAAAACAAAAAUCUCCUAUCAGCUAAAAUACAAGACAAUUUGAUGUUCAUCAAACUUUGAAUCGAAUAGAUUUUAAAGUCAAUCUAAGCGAACGCCAAACCAAAACAUACAGUACUACAGAUCUGCAAUAAAAGGCAAGUUAUGAGUCGAGUAACAAAUAAAGAAACAAAAAUAUUUUCCCUAUACAGCAUCUAGAUCGAACUCUACCCCUACACCCCUCCCCAAACACACACACACACCCCCCCCCCCCAAAAAAAAGGAAAAAAAAUUGAAAAAAAAAAAAGAGGAGGGAAGAACAUAAAAAUUGUUCUGAAUUGCUCAAGACUGAGUUAGUAAAACUUUUAUGAAGCUAAAAGUUAUUUUGGCAAGUUAUCAUAAGAUUAUGACUUGCGCUGUUGUUUAGAAGAACGUCCUCCAAUAGUCAUUGAGAUGUUUCGGAAAUAGCUUUUGAAAUUUUUUUUUAAAUACUACUAAAACAAAUCAUAUUCUAAAAUAACUUUUCCAUUAAUUUAAGCAAUUUUAAGAAACAUGAAGCAAACAUGAAUAAGCAGCAAGUCAAAUAGGCAAUAUGACAAUGUAAAAAUUAAUACAUCUAAAGGAAAGGGAAGCAGAAAUGAGAAAGGGAGAAGCAGAUCCAGAUGGCAUUUUCCUAGUCGCACUAACACAUUGCCACCCCUGGCAAAACUUAGGUAACUAAUAGCAUUUUUAAGUAGCACAAACACAUUGCUACCCCUAACAAAACUUGGAUAACAAUGGCUAGUAUGAAGUUGUAUCAUCAUGAAGGUAAUUUUGACUGUGCCAGUCUCUACUACUACAACUGCUACAAUGAUCUGCUAUUCAAAAAGUUCUCAGGCAGACUUUAAAAAAGGCAUCUUAGCAUGAUGAAGCAAAAUCAUUACUUCAAAUAUUCUGACGAAAUAAGAGGAGCACUACUGCUAAAUAAGUAUAGCUCUCAGAAAGAACAGAAACAUCACUUUAAAAUAAGAAGAGCAAUCUACCCCUUCAAAAGAAUGAAAAUUUAGUGCUUCCACCCCUUUGAGUGACCAUCAACCAUAUAUGGCUCAAGAAAUCCGAUGAACUGCAAAUUCAAUUCAAAGUUCUUUAAUCUAAACAGAACUAUCUUGCUUUGAAAUCAACAAGCCAAUCUUCAUUGGCAAUUUCACAAAAUGUAUGUAGCAGAAAAAACUAAAUUUAUGAAGAACGAUUAUUCGGAAUUGUUAUCCAACUCUAGCCCAAAUGUCUAACUCACUGGGGAAAUGGAUAAUUCAUUCCAAUUGAAGAACCAAAACAAAUGGUAGGAAUGAACUUCAAUAAACAGGAAAGAAUAGUGAAACUUGGCUACAGCAGAUCAUAUAAGUAAUACUCUUUUUUUCGGGGUGCAAUUGAACUACUAAUCUACAACUUUAUAACAGAGUCCAAUAGUAACUAGGAAAUUGAUACCAAAAUAAUGUAGGUAUGAAAGUUCUAUAUGCUAAAGUUAAGAUAUCAAUCUCUUUUCUAGCAGACAUCAAACCAUAAAAACCAAAAGAAUGUUAGGUAUACCUUGUGUCCAUCUGCGAACCACCGUGCACCAUAACCAUCAGCUACCCUUAUUUCAAACACAACACCAUGCGGUGGAACUCUAUGCAUAUUCAACCAGCAGCAAUUAGCUAUUAACCGUCUGAUGACAUCCAAUGCGAGCCUAUUUUUAUUAGAAUCUGGACAGUCAAUAUGAGAAAUUAAUACCUAUUUAUCCAUAAACAAAAAGAAGGCACUUGAACAUUCAUUUUUUUAAAUUGGACCUGAUCCCAAAAUGCCAUACUGUAUAGUGCUUAUCGAUGCACUUUAUUAUGAAAACUAACAAAAGAUCUACAAGUUGACACAGCCUGCAAGUCAAAACCCAAGUAGGACAAGUUCAUAAGAAAGUGCAUUUUGGAAGUUUCUGGCAGCUGUCAAUCUCACACAAAUGUAAGUGCAGCUAAUUGAGUUGGAGCACCAAAGGUGAUGGAAAGAUAUACAACGCCAGUAGAAAAUGCCAAUGGAGGCCCAAAAAUAGUGGUAUUUGGGAGAAAAAGAGGUAAAGGAAAGGAAUGAAAAGGAAGAAAGAAGAAGGAAAAAAAGGAGGGAAAAUGUCAAUAAAAAAUUAAGGUUGAUGAUUCUCUUUCUUGGGCUAUAGUUUAGAUGGAGGAGCGAGAAGAAUUGUCAUAAAAAUGGCAGGGGCUGGCAUUUUAGAGACAAUCAUAGCUUAUCUUCUCAAAUGAAAGUCUGUCUGGAGACAUGUAUGUGCGUUAAUUUUGAUUCUCAUUUCUGAGAAUUCAUCAAUCCAGUUUUUAUAACCAGAAAAUCAUCAUAUUAGGCCUCUACGAUUGUCAAACCAUAACUUCAAAGAAGACAUACAAGCUCAACACAAAUCUUCCCAAAUAGUACACGUCUACUUCCAAUUACAAAUGAUGAUUUCACAAAACUAUUAUCGUUCUCAGUUAGUAUUGCUAACUGCAUGUAGCUAACACGUGGCAACAAAGAGAAUAACUGUGCAAUUCUAUUAUAUGAUCAUGUGAUAAAUUACUCCAUUCAACUUCAUAAGAUGGAGAACUAGUGCAACAACUAUAAGUCUCAGGUUUGCUUCCUGCUUUCACAAUCUUUUCUACUGCAGCAGUGUUUUUCUUUCAUUGUAUCUACUUUUCUAUCUGUCUCCAUCUUGUUGCCAAUCUUCUUUUCUGGUUAACUUUUAUCUUCUAAAUACCUAAAUAAUUCACAAAGGGAUGAUGGCAACAAAACAAUUAGCAUAAAAAAAUCACAAAUCAUAGCCAGUUAAACACUAUUAUUGAUACAAACCAAGGCAUAAUCCUCAGUCAAAAAAUGUAUGUGCACUUCCAUAGCUUUUCUUUUGAAUGUAUGUGCACUUCCAUAGCUUAUCGAUCCUCAGUCAAAAAAUGUACAUGCACUUCCAUGCUUGAAGAUACGCAGUUCCAUGAGAGAAGAUGAUGCCAAGUUAUUUUUCUCAGCGAAUAGUGAAUACAUAGCAAAGGUUACAGAAAGAAAAGCACAGCUGUGGCAGUAAUUAGCACAUGAUCAGACUACCUAUCUAAAACAAUCAAAAGUAAUUUAACUAACCACUUCCACAGAAGUUACCCCAAUACUUGUCACUGCUCCUGUUGACAUGCUUUGCCAAGGCCCGAGCUCCAUUAGUCAGCCUAGAUCCUUUAACCUUAAUCAAGGAAAGCGAGGGUAUAAAAGAAAUUAAGUGCUAACACAGGUUCAUUAUCCAGAAAAACUACAAGGAAAACAAGAUCGACUGACAUUUCUUUCAGAUAGACAAAACAUCUUUAAUCAUGGGAAAACAAAACCGAAGAUAAUACGAGGGUUUAAAAGUCAACAUAAAAAAGGACAUCCAAAACAUUUAUUUUGUGACUUGCUCUGCAUUCAGUACAUUUCAGCCACCUAAAUUUCCACUCAUUUCCAGCGAAUGAAUAUGCAGAGCUAGACAGACGAAGCUCUUAAGAUAUCACUCGACACUUUUCUUUUCUGUUAUUCUUUGUAAAUAAAAAUUUACAUUAUGAGUUGCUUUGUGCAUUUCAGCCAAACAAAUUUCCUCUCAUCUCUAGCAAAAGAACAUGCAGAGCCAGCAGAUAAAGCUUCCUCACAUCACUUGUUGCUUUUCUCGUCUUUCAUUUUUCUUCCAUCAUACCAGAAGUCACAAUCACAGAACUUAACAAUCAGAGUCAGAGAAGCUAAAGGAAUGAUAAGCUGCAGAUUACUGAACAUACAAAGAUUGGAUCUUCAGAAGUCAUUGCAGUACAUGUGGAUUAUGUGGUGUUAAAAAUGAUGAGAUAAGAGUUGAUGUCGGUGGAGGAAGCCUCUCCGAAACGGUUCCCACAGUAUGCACCAUAUUCAACAUCACUCUGAUACCACCAUAACUUAAUCCCUAAAUAAAAUGGAACUGCAAAGUCAGUAGCUUGCCACCAUCAGUUCAAAACAAAAUAUGAAUCACUCAGUACGCAUCUCAAACCAAAAUUAGUACAAAACUACCCAUAGUGUGUGCCUAAUCUAUAAACAACAAACAGAAGAUAUAGCACCACACCCCUAUUGCUUUGCCAUGAACUACAAACUUGUCAAGAUAAACAAGACCAACAUUCUCCAGAUAUCCAUAAAUAUGAAUAUUACACGUAAUAACACAUCCAAACAAUCAACAGGCUUCCACAUAAAUGCAAAGAACAUAGAUGAGUGCAUAAUUACACUGUAAAUGAAAACAGGUCUAUGUACACUGCUAUGCUUCCAUAUUGGUAAAAAAAAUGAGCAGGCUUGAUUCUAAGAUUCUACACUAAACACAAUUCAGUAACCUUCUUUAAGCAUCCUACUCUAAUAGAAAUUAUCAUGCUGUAAAUUCUUUUCAGAGCUUCCAUGGUAGGAUUAAAAAAUUCCACAAAACCAAUGAAUUACAGGAAAUAUCUACAUCUCAACAUGAAGUUAAACAAUCAUAAGUUUUCCUAAUAGGAAGGAAAUAUCACACAAGAUCAUCGUUCUCGAAACAAUGGUUGGUAACCAAGUAUCAAACAUUCAAAAAGUGCCCCAAUGGUCAGAGAAGAAUUAGCAUACAAACAUGCAAGCAAUCUUUUAAUUUCUUCUACCUUCUCAUGCAACAAAUUUCACUAGUACACAUUUCCAGUCCAAAUGAACUAAAAUGGCAACUUACACCCUUCAACAUGCAACACAUAAACAUAGCUGUCGUCUCACAAAGUCUAAUGAGAUUUACACACCAAUUUGAUUUGCAAUCAAAAGUUGGUAAGUUUGAGAGUUGUUGAAUGAAAAUCAUUUCCAAAGCUAAUGAAACAUAAAUGAAAUCUAAUGUCAAUACUUUACAAUUCCAGACACCUGCCACAUUCAGUUACAACUCAUGACGUGCACAAAAGAACAAAUUAACUUUUAUUUGACACAGUACUACACCAUAGCUCAAUAUGCAUACACAGUCGAUUGUAAUAAAAAAAUCUGUAAGUACCAAAGAACAUGGCUAAAUUUUCAUCUUUACAUAGAGUUAAGUAUUUGACAAUGUGAGAAAGACAAACUGGAAACUCUGUAUUGAGCACAUAUAAGCAUUGUACAUGGAUUAAAUGACUCCUAUUUCUUGAUAAUUGAAUCAUGGCAUAGAGGGCAAGUCAAACACUCAGUGAUGACUCGAGGAAUUAUGGGAGUAGUUUUCAAUAACCCAACCAACCAUGUUAUGUUCAGAAACACAUACCAGAAAAAGCCUUAAAAUGCUUUCAGAUGAAAUAGGGCAGCGAGAGGAUUAGAAUAAAGUAUGUGAUGGGUUUCUGCGCAUAUAUAUGCCCUACAUUUACAGUAUCUGCCAGUAUCACUUUUCUAUUUCACCAUAUUAUUUUCUACUAAAGAGUAUCAGCAUCAUAUUCAUCUUGACCAUUUACUAGCCCUAAGAAAAAAGUUGCUCUUUUGAUUUUCUUUUGAAAGUACUUGCUGUGGAUCGAGGAAUAUUAACUUACCUAAUAAAAAUUUAAGUCCUUAGGCAAUUCAGUAAAUGUGGAGAAGGUUUCACAAUUGCAGGGAGCAUCUAUUAAAAUGUUAAACCAAAAAACAAUUCCAUUUGCAUUGAGUAGUAGCAUGGACAAAUGCAUAUUCCCAGCUUUGAAAUAAAAAGAAGCAGAAAUACAGGAACCAAAGAGAAGUAUGUAAAUGAGAAAUCCUGAUGAAGAGAGCAAAAAAUGCAAGCUUAAAGCCGUUAACCACUAACCAAGAGUAUAGCGGCCAUACAACUGUACAGCUGAGAUGUUGGUUUUGUUACACAAAUGGCAAGGACACCAUUUGACCUUUCUUUCUCUUCUGAGUAGAAGUUCCUGUAGACUUGCACUCCUGAAAAAUAUCACAAUUCUCUUUAGAAAGACAUGCUCGCAAACUCCCAUAUCAUAAUUUAGCUAGCCAAAUACUAUUCUACCAAACAGAAGCUUAGUAUGAAUACAUACACAGAAGCACAACUGCUACAGAAGAAUAAAAUAAUUAAUAAAGUAAAUUCUUUGUCACUCAUGCUUGUAUCUCAUCCAACCCCCCCCCCCCAAAAAAAAAACUCGCACUCAUGCUUCUAGCAUUGUACUUGAAAAGCUUUCUACUAUAGAUAGGUCAUAUGGAUUAGGUGUUUUGGAGAUGUAUUUUGGGGUAUUUUUAAAAUUUAAAAUUUUAUGGGGUUAUUUUUUCAAAUUUACUAAUUUUCACCACCACCCAACACCACCACCAUCCUCCCCUCCUCCACGGCCACCUCCCCUUUCCCUUCCUUCUCUCUCCUCCCUGUCCCUCCCCCUCCUUCCUCCCUUCUCUUCUCUCCUCUUCCCCUCCUCCCUCCUCCCUCCUCCUCUCCCUCCGCCCUCUUCUUCUUCCUCCCCUCCUCCCUCCUCCUCCUCCCUCUUCGUCCCACUCCUCUCUCUUCCUCCCCCACUAUCCACCUCCUCCCUCUUCCUCCCCCACCAUCCACCUCCUCUUCCCUCUCCCCCUCCUCCCCUCGGCCGUGACCAGAUUUGGUAGCCGGCCAGGUCACAGCCGCAACCAGACCAGAUCUAAUUGCAGGGGGGUUGCGGGGAGGGGAGGGGAGGGAGGGUGGCGGUGGUAGGAGAAGAAAGAGGUGGUAGGUUUAUCAUAUACAUCUACAUACAUACAUACAAUCAUAUAUAUACAUAUAUGCACACACACACACAUUAUAUAUAUGUGUGUGUGUUUGUGUGUGUGUGUGUGUGUAUAUAUAUAUAUUUGUAUAUACAUCUGUAUAUGUGUGUGUGUGCGUGUGGGUGCAUUUGAAAUUGUAAUUUAGAGUGUUUUUGCAGGUAUUUUUAGAGUGUGUUACUAUAGAUUCCAAAAACAAACGCUUGCUUCUGAAAUACUCUGCAAUCCAAGCAGAGCCUCGAAAAUCUUAUCACUGAUGUGUCAUGCCAUUAUUCUGUUUCAUCAUUAUCAUUAACCUUAUUGUUUGUGCCACUGUUAUUGGUGUCUUCCACGUUCAGUCCCAAUUCCCCUGAACCUUUGCUAAGUAGGUCCACACAAGAUUAACAAAUGUCUUGCUAAACUUAGUACUAAAACUAGCAAACAGGUGUAAAUCCUACUCAUCAAUAACCAUAUGUGGUCCUUGCUGGUACUCAACUAUCCACAUCUCCAGGGAGUAAAAAUGCAUAAAAGCAUCAUCGUUAAAUGAAACAAGGAAAGAAGCUUUGAAAGUGUUUUCAUGCAUUAUGGUUCCUGCUAGUCUUGAAGAUGACUACAAUCAGUAGGACUUGUUCCAAUUUACUCUGCUUUUCGGAAAAACUGAAUAUCAAAUUCAUACCUUCUUCGAUGUUUUUUACUCCAGGGAGAACUCUUUGAAGACUUUCUGCCUCCAACAUCUCAUGGAAUGAAAUAUAUUUAUGGACAUCCUGAAAUUAAUCGAGCUCUCUUAUAUUAUUCAAUAAAAAACAAAUCAACUGGAUGAAACAUGUUAUAACCUGAACUUGAAGAAGCAAACUUUUAUUGAAGAGAAUGAAAGCUCCUGGUACAAUUCUAGCACCCAAGAGAACACAUCAUCAGAAAUAAAGGGCGAGGAAAACAAAAAGUACACUCAAAGAAAAUUUUAACCUAUAAAAGGAAAAGGAUGAGUUGCUUUAUUCAACAGUCAAGAUCAGACUUUCGGGCCUAAAAACAUAGCUUAAAUAGGCUUUUUGCCAGCAAAUAUCAGUGUUUGGGCAUUAGUUCAAGAAGCAUGAUACAAUAGAUGUCUAGGUUAGAUACAUACGAACUUAUAUUAUGACAGUCAGGAGAAGCAAAAUGUGCCAGCAAAGGAGAAUAAUUCAGGAUAAACUUGUUACAGAUCACCAUAAUAGUCCUAUCAAAUCAACCAGACUUCACCUUCAUAUUUAGUUUGGAACUGCUAACUGAAUUGCUCAGUCCCUCUAAAUCAAAUCAAUAACAACUAAAAAAUAUUUUGCACUCAUGUGUUUAUUAGUUGACAUCUACUGAGUACAAAUCAAGCACUGUGUGAGUGCCAAAAGAUCUAUAAGAAGACCAGAAAAACCAAGACGAACUCUAGUUUAAACUCUCUGUUUGAGCCUCACUUUCAACUAUGAGUAAAUUUGGUGCACAUCUAGAUAAUGUACUGCCAAAAUGUCACCCUUAAGUCAAAAAGACUAAAGAUGAACUGAUUUAAGAGUUAAAUUGUCCAUGUUUUAUAAAUUUAUGAAGGUUUUGGACAGGUUCAGUGAAUCUCAAUGGAAACCCAAACAUUUCCCCUCAAGCAAAUAACCAAAUAGCAUUAAACUACAAUAUCAAAUCUCAUGUCAAAUUGGAAUGAGAGAAUACUUUGAAAAUACAGGUUUUAUGGAUAUAUUUUGGCCUUUGUGAUGUUUUGAAUAACCUCAAAACCGUUUUUUGCCCCUACUAAGGUAUCUGCCAAACCUAGUCAAGGAACGGGUAUCUAGAAAAAAGAUGUCCUAUCUCAAGAAAUCAAUUAUCAAACUUUUAGAAUUCACAAGGAGCUAAAGCAAAUUUGGGUUGUUUCAAAUGAACAAUUUGUUUGUGUUCAUGAUUUAAGCAUUGACGUAGAAUCCGGUGAAUCAUCACCUAAGUAACAAAGAGGACAACACAAGCAAAGUGUGCAGUUUACCCCACUAUGGACAAGAAAGAUGUCAUACCUUUGUAGUUCCCAACUGCACACCUUCCUUCAACCGUCUUGCGUGCAUCUAGAAAACAAAUGAUAAGUUAUAGACUUACAAUGAUAAGAACGAAUACACCCAUAAAAAAAUGAACCAAUCACAAUCAAGAUUCAGAUAAAGUCAUUUGAGAGCGAAGCAUUAAAAUGCUGGCAUUUUAGUACCCUUCAGCUGAGAAAAGAAAGUUCCUGGACGUGGAGUUCAAAAUCCACAGUUGCCAACAUCUAUAAGAUAGAAACUGCCAAUACAUCAGUAUGAGCAAAAGGUAAUUUAAAUGAGUGAGGCAGUCGAUCAAAAAGGCAAGAUUGUGACUUUUAACUUACAUUCAGCAACUGAGAACCCUUUUCAUUGAUUAACUUAGUCCACUCCUCUUCUUUCAGCUUCAAGGGAUUAUCUUCAUGAUGAACGAAAUCAAGUUUGUCAGAAAUCCGAAACAAUCCUCCACAAGAUAUAGAGUGAUACAAGCAUGCUGCUAGGUGCUUAUAUAAAGGAUAUGAUGGAACCCUGUAAAGAGAUUAACCAAACAUUACUCAUGUCAAAGAAAACCAUUUACCUACAAAACAACAGGACAAAAAGAUAAUCAAAGAUAAACCUCCUACCUUAAAAGCAGGUGAACAAACUGUGACUACUAUGAGACAAGAACAAUAUUCAACAAGUAAGGUACAACACAAUGAAAAUAAGACGAGAAAGAUCUUCACUAAGGAUUAUCUCUAGCAGUUGACUGCCUAGAUUUGCCCCGAAAAUGCUUCUCUCAAAAUGUGCUAUUGUAUUUUUGAAUUAAAUCCAACGUGCAUAUCUGUCCAGAAAAACAGUGUCCGAAGUCUACACUGUCUGUCACUGUUAAUUUGUUGCAUGGUUUAUGACUUGAGAGCUGCACAUUAUACCAAACAAUCUCAACUCACAAUUGCCAGAGCCUCAAAUGCCAAGAAACCUAAAACUUCUGGAAACCUGCUAGCCACCAGUUCUCAUUUCAUGCUAAAAUAGCAGGAAAUCAUGAGUAUCUUGUAAUAGAUAUUAAUUAUUUCUAUCAUUUAUUAAUUUUAAAAGCAUCCUAUUUUUUCCCUAAUGCACAAUAUUCAAAAUUAACAGCCUUGACAUACAAAUUAACAGCCUUGACAUACAACUCCACAGCACGAGGUCCAACACUUCCAAGUAAAUUGGUCGAACAAAUCAUCAUAAAUAUUUUUACGUUCACAAGAAAAAAGGGCAGCGUAAAGUACAACUAUCAAAGCAUAAUGUACAAGGUGUUAGUGCUGUAGAAGAGCAAUUACCGGUAGAUGAUGAUAAGGGGAAGGAGGAGGAAGGAGUGGAGGGAUGAUCAUCCCGUUGGAGAAGUUGAGAGCAGUAAUCUUUAGAGAGGCCCAAGUCAAGUUCUCCAUCUACACAGGAAGUCAGUGUGAACUUCAGCAGAUCUUUAAUGCAGUCCUUUAGUUGGAUUGGCACCACACCUGGGGACGGCGGUGGUGGUGGUGGAGGGGGAGCUGGAGGUGGCGCCUCCGUGGAAAUUUCUUGUAACGGUUGCUCUGCCAUGUUCUCUACUCGUGUUUGGUCAACGGUGAUGGAGGACAUCAGUACCGGAUGUGAUCAGGGAGCAAGGGACAGAUACAUAAACCUGCGUUGAACUCUUUUUUAUGGUAUGAUUACACCCUUGAAUGUUUAAAAAAUAACACUCCCUCCCUUAUUAACAUAUAUAGUAAAUGUGUGAAUGCAAUUGCCCCAAUUGAACUCAAUUGCUGACGUGGCGCUCUCCCAUUGGUUGAUUGGUGGUAGUCCUCCGAUUGAUUUCAAUUUGAUGAGUUGUCGUCCUCUGAUUCGUCGAUUGGUGGUAGUCCUCCCAAUUGCACAUGAAAAUGGUGAUGUGGCAAGUUUUGAUUGGAUGGGAGGUGGUAGUUUUCUAAUUGCAUGCAGAAUUGUGCUAAAAUUUAGCCUUUUUUUCCCUUUCCCAACAAUAAAUUGUGUUAAAAAAAAUUGGUAUCCCAAUUAUUCACAAUUAUCAACGUUUUUUUUGGUUGCCAAAUAAAUCACAAUUAUUAAUUAUUAUUUUUUAUUUAUUGUAAUAAUUGCUUAUGUUAUGCUCUAAUUGUAUUAAUUAUUAUUAUGUUAUCUUUUUGUAAUUGCUUUUGUUAUGCUCCAAUUGUAAAAAAUUUACUCUUUAUAUGAUUUUUUUUCCAACGACAACCUAGCUAAUCUCAUUGAAAAAAAUUGGUGCUCUUUAUUUUUGUUUUUUUGGAAUGAGAAGGGAAGACAUUCAACUAUUAUUAUUAAAUUUUCACGAUAAUCUUUAUUUAUUAUUAAUAUAUAUAGUAAAUGUGUGAAUGUCAUUCCCUUAAAUUGAACUCAAUUGCUGACGUGGCACUCUUCCAUUGGUCAAUUGGUGGUAGUCCUCCGAUUGAUUUCAAUUUGAUGAGUUGUAGUCCUCUGAUUCGUCGAUUGGUGGUAGUCCUCCCAAUUGCACAUGAAAAUGGUGAUGUGGCGGGUUUUGAUUGGAUAGGAGGUGGUAGUUUUCUAAUUGCAUGCAGAAUUGUGCUAAAAUUUAGCCUUUUUUUCCAUUUCCCAACAAUAAAUUGUGUUAAAAAAAUUGGUAUCCCAAUUAUUCACAAUUAUCAACGUUUUUUUUUGGUUGCCAAAUUAGUAAAUGUGUGAAUGCAAUUGCCCCAAUUGAACUCAAUUGCUGACGUGGCGCUCUCCCAUUGGUUGAUUGGUGGUAGUCCUCCGAUUGAUUUCAAUUUGAUGAGUUGUCGUCCUCUGAUUCGUCGAUUGGUGGUAGUCCUCCCAAUUGCACAUGAAAAUGGUGAUGUGGCAAGUUUUGAUUGGAUGGGAGGUGGUAGUUUUCUAAUUGCAUGCAGAAUUGUGCUAAAAUUUAGCCUUUUUUUCCCUUUCCCAACAAUAAAUUGUGUUAAAAAAAAUUGGUAUCCCAAUUAUUCACAAUUAUCAACGUUUUUUUUUGGUUGCCAAAUAAAUCACAAUUAUUAAUUAUUAUUUUUUAUUUAUUGUAAUAAUUGCUUAUGUUAUGCUCUAAUUGUAUUAAUUAUUAUUAUGUUAUCUUUUUGUAAUUGCUUUUGUUAUGCUCCAAUUGUAAAAAAUUUACUCUUUAUAUGAUUUUUUUUCCAACGACAACCUAGCUAAUCUCAUUGAAAAAAAUUGGUGCUCUUUAUUUUUUUUUUUUGGAAUGAGAAGGGAAGACAUUCAACUAUUAUUAUUAAAUUUUCACGAUAAUCUUUAUUUAUUAUUAACAUAUAUAGUAAAUGUGUGAAUGUCAUUCCCUCAAAUUGAACUCAAUUGCUGACGUGGCACUCUUCCAUUGGUCAAUUGGUGGUAGUCCUCCGAUUGAUUUCAAUUUGAUGAGUUGUAGUCCUCUGAUUCGUCGAUUGGUGGUAGUCCUCCCAAUUGCACAUGAAAAUGGUGAUGUGGCGGUUUUGAUUGGAUGGGAGGUGGUAGUUUUCUAAUUGCAUGCAGAAUUGUGCUAAAAUUUAGCCUUUUUUUCCUUUCCCAACAAUAAAUUGUGUUAAAAAAAAUGGUAUCCCAAUUAUUCACAAUUAUCAACGUUUUUUUGUUGCCAAAUAAAUCACAAUUAUUAAUUAUUAUUUUUUAUUUAUUGUAAUAAUUGCUUAUGUUAUGCUCUAAUUGUAUUAAUUAUUAUUAUGUUAUCUUUUUUGUAAUUGCUUUUGUUAUGCUCCAAUGUAAAAAAUUUACUCUUUAUUUGAUUUUUUUCCAACGACAACCUAGCUAAUCUCAUUGAAAAAAAUUGGUGCUCUUUAUUUUUUGUUUUUUUGGAAUGAGAGGGGAAGACAUUCAACUAUUAUUAUCAAAUUUUCACGAUAAUCUUUAUUUAUUAUUAACAUAUAUAGUAAAUGUGUGAAUGCCAUUCCCUCAAAUUGAACUCAAUUGCUGACGUGGCACUCUUCCAUUGGUCAAUUGGUGGUAGUCCUCCAAUUGAUUUCAAUUUGAUGAGUUGUCGUCCUCUGAUUCGUCGAUUGGUGGUAGUCCUUCCAACUGCACAUGAAAAUGGUGAUGUGGCGAGUUUUGAUUGGAUGGGAGGUGGUAGUUUUCUAAUUGCAUGCAGAAUUGUGCUAAAAUUUAGCCUUUUUUUCUCUUUCCCAACAAUAAAUUGUGUUAAAAAAAAUUGGUAUCCCAAUUAUUCACAAUUAUCAACGUUUUUUUUUGUUGCCAAAUAAAUCACAAUUAUUAAUUAUUAUUUUUUAUUUAUUGUAAUAAUUGCUUAUGUUAUGCUCUAAUUGUAUUAAUUAUUAUUAUGUUAUCUUUUUGUAAUUGCUUUUGUUAUGCUCCAAUUGUAAAAAAUUUACUCUUUAUUUGAUUUUUUUCCAACGACAACCUAGCUAAUCUCAUUGAAAAAAAUUGGUGCUCUUUAUUUUUUUUUUUUGAAUGAGAGGGGAAGACAUUCAACUAUUAUUAUCAAAUUUUCACGAUAAUCUUUAUUUAGUAUUAAUUCUACGUAAACAAUCAACAAUGUGGUGCCCUUCCAUUAGUGUCAUUUAUUAUUUGGUCACGCCACACACCAUGUUUAAUUAUAGAUUCCCCACUAUUAUUUGUUAUAAUUAUUUAUUUAUUUACUUUUUAUUUGGGUUCCAUUUUUCGGUUACCCAAUAAAUCACAUUUAAUUACCAAAAUUUUACAAUUCAUUGUUAAUAACUAAUUAAUAGUGUUAUUUUUUUACCUAACAAAUCACAUUUAAUUAAUAACUUUUUUGCAAUUAUUAACAAAAAUUUUGGCUUCUUUUUGUGUUUGCCCAAAAAACACAUUUAAUUACAAUUUUUUUUUCAAAUUUAUAAAAAAUGUCCUCUUUUAUUUUGGGUUGCCCAACAAAUCAAGUUUCACAUUUAAUUAAUAACUUUUUUGCAAUUAUUAACAAAAAUUUUGGCUUCUUUUUUGUGUUUGCCCCAAAAAACACAUUUAAUUACAAUUUUUUUUUCAAAUUUUAUAAAAAAUGUCCUCUUUUAUUUUGGGUUGCCCAACAAAUCAAGUUUAAUUAUCAAUUUUUUGAAAUUAAUUUUUAAUUAAUUAAGUAAUAAUUUCGCAAUUUUAUUGUCUGACAAAUCACAUUUAAUUAUCAGCCUUUUAUAAUUAUUAAUAUUGUUUUGGUUACCCAACAAAUCGCAUUUAAUUGUCAAUUAUGUGUAGUUAUUAGCCAAAAUUUAGCCUCUUUUUUUGGUUGCCAAUCAAAUCACAUUUGGUUGUCCUUUUUAACAAUUAAUUGAUAAUUAAUUAAUUAAUAUUGUUACUUUUUUGUUGCCUAACAAAUCACAAUUAAUUACCAAUUUGUUGCAAUUAAUUGUUAGUUAAUUAAUCUACCUUGCUCCACCUUGAGAAAAACGCUUCCCAUUAGUCUUGUGUGAUCUAUGACUUCUGAUUGAUUUUGAUUUAUGACUUUGGAACAGGAGUUUUAUAUUUAAAAGUUGAGGUGUUUUCUAAAGGAAAGUUAAUUUCAGUUGAUUCAUAAUUAGAAUGUCUCGGUGGUGGCCAAGAAUAAUUUGAAUUAGGUCUUUCUCUUAAUGACGAAAAUCUUAUUAAAGUUUUACUAUCAGAUUUUUCUAUAAUAUCUUCUACCUCAGUUUGUUCUAUGUUUCUGGCUAUUUGUGGAUUUUGUAUUUCAAAUUCACGGUAUAGUAAUUUCAUUCCAUGUUAAUCUCUUUGAGUAUAAGUUGUAGGUCUAUCGGCAUCUACUUGUAAUAAAGUUGUUUCUUCUUUAAGAUUGGAGUCAUUAUAAAUUUAGGAUUUAAAUGUGAGGAUAAAGGCCUAUAGUAUAUUCUAUAUAUUACUGCAAAAUUCUUUGUGUAUUUUUCAAAUUCAUUUCUUGUAGAUGAAUAUCUAAUACGACUGAAUUCAAAAUAUGUGGUCUGUUAGGUCUAUUGAAAAAUUUGGAGUACAGUUAAAAUAUAUGGGUCCAUUGCAAACAUUUGUUUGAAUCAUAGAAAGUAAAGAAGUUUUAUAUCGUUUGAGUCUAGUGUCUCUUAAUGCUAAAUAUAUUGGUGCAUCUACUCCUAGAUGGAAUAAGGGUUUUACUGCAAUUUGUAUUAGUCCUAUAUGAAUAUAUCGAUAUCCUUUACUUAAAUAUUUUUGAAUUGUACUAUGAUUUAGUAAUGGAAUAGAUUGAUAUUCUUCUUGAAUAGAUAUUGUUUCUUCAUGUGUUUUAACUGAUAAAGCUGUUUUGAAAUCUAACGGGCCUAUUCUAUAAAUAUGUUCUAUUUUUUCUUCUAGAAUGGUCCAAUCUGAAUUAUUAACAGGCAUAUGAUAUUCAUGACUUUGUACUAUAUUAUCUUGCUUUGAAUUAGAUCCUAUUUUUAACUGUCUAAGAAAUGCAGCCAUGUUUUAUAUUUGAUUAAAGUUUUACCUAAUCAGGAACAACUGAGCACUAUGCCGGGAACAUUCUACCCUGGACUUACCAAUGGUCUAACAAGGCAUCAAAGUCUUACAAUGAUUUCAGUAAAAGUUUAAUAAAAUAUGUAAACAUAAAUGCAUGAAUUAGCCAAAUCAAAAUAGAAACGUAAUUCAAAUAAAGUAAUAGUAGUUCAAAAUCUUAAAUAUGCAUUUGCAUGUGUAAAUAUGUGGCUCUGAUACCACUUCUACCCAGGUUACUUUCUAUUGAAAUGUUCAUAGAAAUUUGAUGUAAAAUUGGUUACAAUAUUAGAGUAGCCUUUGUAACGGAAGCUUGCAGACAAUUGAACCUUGAAUUUCCUUAUUAAAAUAUUUGGAACAAAGGUAGUGGAAUACAAGAGUGGUUGAAAUGAUAAGGGAUGAGGAUUACAAAGAUGAUUUCUGUACUGAUUUUUUCGCCGAUGCUUCUUCUUCUGAUGUUAAAUCUAUUUAUAGAGCUCUUCGAGCUUGCAUUUCAUCUUCAUUUGAAUUUCAUUUGCUUUUUCUUUGAAAUAUGGCCGACACCUUUAUUCAAAAGUCAUUUGGGUCUUGUUCGCAUGGUCCUCGAAAGGAUCGAAAGUAGAUUCGGAUGAUCCUGCUGACUCCGCAAUUUUGUCGUUUCUUCAUUCUUAUCCUGCUUUUGUAGAUAGUCCAAAUAUUCUUUGAGCAUCUUUGGGUCCUGCAUCAUUUUUUUCAUCAAAAAGUCGUUUGUAAUGGCUUCGGAUACCAUAUUGACAACUUUUUCUUUUUCUUUCUUUAUUGGAGUGGUUGGCAUAGUUGUUGAAGUGGUUGGCAAAGUUGUUGUAGUGGUUGGCAAAGUUGUUGGAGUAGGUGAUUGAUUCGUCCAUUUGAGUUUGUCCCCUGUGGUUAAGAAUCUUAUCACGUUUGUUUGGUCUCCAAACUGUUGAUUAAAUCCUGUCCACCAUUUAAUCUUGAAUUCUCUGACUAAUGACAUUGGAAGAGGUUUUUCUAAUUCUUGAUGAAUUUUGAAACUCCAGCAAAAUAUCCAUGGUACUUUGAACUCCAUGUGAACAAUUCACAGAAAAAGAAGACAAUCAAAUAAAUAAAAUAAGAAGAAAAAAAAUUUAUAAUAAAGAUUGGAAAAUAAUAAGUACUAGAAAUUAUUAUCCAAGACCUAGUCCUCCAGAUAUUCAAUAUGAAGAAAGACCAAAAUUUCGUACUACUAAAUAUGAUGGAGAUUCAAUUUAUGAAUGGAAUAUAAUGGUAAAGCAGAAUAUGAAGUAUUAAAUAAUUUGCAAGAAAUGGGAAUGGCUAGAUUAGCUUAUAAGAUAAAAAAUAUUCAAGAAAGAAAUAUUGCAACGUUAUUAGUUUCAGGAUUUACUGGACAAUUAAAAAAUUGGUGGGAUAAUGCUUUAACACUUCAAGAUAAAUUAUCAAUAUUAGAUCACACAAGAAAUUGAAGAUGAUCAAGGAAAUAUUCAAAUACAAUCAGAUGCUGCAGAAUUUCUAAUAGUAACAAUAGUAAUGUAUUUUAUAGGAAACCCAAAAGAAGAAUUAAAUUCUAAUAAAACAUUUUUAACAAAUUUAAGAUGUCCAACAUUAUCAGACUUUAGAUGGUAUAAAGAUAUGUUUUUAACCAAUGUAUUAAGACGACCAGAUUGCAAUGCUUCAUUUUGGAAAGAAAGAUUCAUAAUUGGAUUACCAAGCUUAUUUUCACAAAGAAUAAUAGAUAAUUUACAAAAGGAAAUGGGAACAGAUGUAAUCUCAUUUGAAAAUAUUACUUUUGGACAAUUAUUUGCUUUUGUGAAAAAAGAAGGAUUAAUGUUAUGUUCAGAAUUAAGAUUGCAAAUAAAAUAUGGUUCUAAAACAAAAGAAGUAUGAUCAUUUUGUGAUGUCAAAUUGGAAUUAUAUGUAUAUUUUGAAACCAACACUCCUUGCCUUCAUGGAGGUGUUCUCCGAAAAUAUUUAUCAUAUCAGUGCCUCUUAUUAUUUUUUGCAUGACAAAUUUUUGAUCAUUUUUGAAAAAUUAGUAAAUAUUAAAUGUUAAUAUAAUAAGUAAAAUACAAUUUGAAUGAUUACCUAAUCAUCAAUAAAAAACAUUUGAUGCAUCCUGAAUGUUGAAGCACCCAAAUAUGAUCGUAUCAAUCUAAACAAUCUAACCUGUAUAUUUCAUGUACAUUUAUGAAGUUCAGAUAAAUCAAGAGAGUAUAUUGAAUAUUUGUAAAUUUUUAAUAACAUAAUGGUUAAUUGUUUGAAUACUAUAAUUGACACAGACAAUAAAAUAAAAUGCACAGGUUACAAAUAAGCAUGAAAAUGUCAUUCAUCUACAAUACAUAAAAUAUAAAAGCGAUAUACUAUAAAUUUUUAUUACAAAGUUGUGACGACCCCAUUUCUUCUUAGGGCGAAUUCUAAGGUUUAGGCGAGCCGCCUGCCUAACUCUCGUUAGAACUCACUACGAGCCAAGUUUAUAACUUAUUACUACCCAACCAACAACUUACUAAUAUAUAGAAGAAGUCAUUUCUUUCAAAAGUCAUUCAUUAACUAUACCAUAAUAUUCAAAAAUACAUCAAGCGUCCCAAAUUACAACUAUCAGGAGAUUACUUAAAUCAUUUACAUACAUAGUUAGACCAAAAUAUAGUCAAGGCCAGCGUCUUCAAAAUUCUCUCCACUUCAAAAACCUGAUAAGGAAAUCAAAUUUAAAGGGCUGAGCUAACACUCAGUGAGAUCAAGAAAAGCAGGCAAGCAAACGAGUACAACUAGCAUUAAUAAUAUGUAAAUCAGGAAGGUCAGCCAUAAUCUUUUACGUAAAUCACAAGAGAAAACAAAAGCACAAUCAAUAAAGGAUAUAGGAGCUCUCAGGAGCUAAAAUCCACAAUUCAUGCUACACCGAUACUUUUGAACCACGAUUUUCCACAUAUUGACACUCUGUCAACCAAGUAAGUAACAAGUCCAUAGAACCACACUUUUCAGCAAUUUUCGUCCACCGUUACAACCCCAGCCGGGCCUGCACGUCAAAUAAAAUGUUAUAUUAUUCGAGUAUAUCCAAGCAAGUCAAGUACGCGAGCCCAAGGUUCAUCAAACUCCUCAAUCAACCCCUUGCUAGCUCGAGUUGAAUGGCUAACCAUUGGGUUUUGGGGCCCUCAAGAUCAAGUAUAAGUUGAUGAGAUUGUUUUCAAAUCGACGCCAAGUUAAGUACAAGCACAAGUAUAAUUGUCAAGUACGAGCAAAUAAAUUAUCAAAUCAAGCAGAAUAGGGCGAGUGAAAUAAAGUAUACACUAGUCUCGACAAGUUUAAUUCACACAAUCAACAAGUAUCAUCAAGAAGUAAUCCAAGUAGAGUGCAAUAAGACAUGCAUUUGAAAAGGAGCAAGAUUUUGUAGUUGGAAAAGGAGUUUUUCUUCCCCUCCUUUUAUAGCCUUAAGGUCAACCAAGUGAGAGAGAAAAGAAUAGAAGAUAAACGCUUGGAUGAUGAUUUGAAAUGAAGUGAAGGUUGGCACUUUUAGUUUUUCUCUUGUUUCUUACUCUUAAAUACUAAUCUCUCAAGAUAGUUUCUCUCACUCCACUAAUACGCACUCUUACUAGUCUGAGGUUAACUCCUCAAUUCAUCAAUUAAUCGCGUCGGUGUGACUUUUGCAAGAUUUUUUUUACGCGAUCAAUAAAGAUAUAAUUUAAGUAAAGUUCAUGCUAAAAUGAUAAAAUUAAACAACAUGCCAAUGCAAAUAAUUUAAAAUAGGUGAAAUUAAGAAAAAAAGUACGAGUUCUCACAAAAGUGAUGUCUAUGAUUUAUCAAAAAUUGGCAAAAAAUCUCUUGAUAUGUAAUAUUUUUGCUGAAUCCCAUGGAUCAUUACCUCUAUUAAUAAUAAAUAUUUUCAACCCAAAUGACAAAGUAGCAUGGAAAAGAGCAACAUAAAAUUGGCUAUGAGAAAACAAAGGUCCAAAAAGGUAAAUGCCAACAUUUAUAGCAUUCCACAUCAACCGAAAUAAGAGAAGAGAAUAGUAUAUAACGUCCAACCCAUUGGAUUACUGAUAAUUUUGUGUUAACCAUUUUGAUCAUAUGGUUUCAAUUGAAAAAGAUAUUGGGCUAACUCGACGGGUGCAAGGCAUUACAAAUGGUAUAAGAGCGAAUCUCGUGUGAUCUCUGCAUGGAGUGAGUUUAGGGCCAAGUAUUGUGGUUCUGACCUCAUGAAGAAGUGCAAAAAAUCAAGUGUUGUGCAAGGUUAAACGCCACGUUCGACGGGAACUACCUCUAGAACCUAUACGAGCCAAUUAUAGAAUUCAUGCAUGACUAAGCGAUCAGUUGGAUUGUAACAGGGCUUUGUGAAGAUGCAAAGGUCUAAAUGUGGGGAGAGUAUAGUGUCCUACGUCGGCCGGAGCAAGCGAAGAGAAAUAGUAUAUAACGUCCGGCCCAUCAAGUUACUGAUAAUUUUGGGUUAACAUUUUGAACCCUUAGUUUUAGUUUAAAAUUUUUGUAAUUCAACAUUAUCAACACGAAUUUGAGGGUUUUCCAUAUCAUUGUUGAUAUGAAAUUGUAAAUUGUUUGUCAUGCUUUUUUAGUGGCAUUGCCAUAUACCAAAGGAGUUGCUUAUUUCAGAGUGCAUUACUAUAAUACAGUACAUGUGUCACAAAUUUUUUGUAGAUACCUAUGUAGAUGCUUCAAUUAAAAUUUCAUUUCACUCAUUAUCAUUGUAUAAAAGAUCAAGUACGACAUAUGUUGUCUUGAAAGUUAGAUGUAUAAGUCCAUCAAUAGUUCUGAUAUAUUGAAAAGUUUGAACUCUGCGAACUUUAUGAAGUAACACUCAUAAAUAGUAAUAUUCACUAAAGUGAGAAUAUGCGUAUGGUAGUCUUUGAUACGAACCUACUAUGAAUGGCUUGAACUCGUAUCCCACAUAGCCCCAAAUCUAAAUAAAGAACCAAGUUGGAGUUGCGAACACUCUUGACCCUUCUAAUCCAUAUAGUUGUGAACCUAUUGAACUUAAUUUCAAUCCACAACUAAACAAAAAAGCGAACCAAGAUUAUUGGUAGAAGAAGCCACAACUAAUUUUGGUUUAUUGGUUAAUAAGUCGAUGAACACUCAAGAACAAAUCUCAAGUAUUCAAGUGAAGAUCUCUUGGACAAGAGAAUUGCAAAACACAAGUUUUUGGCUGAAAAUUUUUUAUCAAUAAUUUGAAAAAUAACGUCACUAAAGGCUAUAUUUAUAGCCUCUUACAAGAAACAAGAAACCUACUCAAUUUUGAAAAUAGAUUGCUACUUUCUUAAAAACCCUAAUUGGCUCUAAUCUUGGUCAACAUGACCUAAUCUUAUUUUCUAAUUCAAAUAACUAACUUAACUCUUAAAAUAAUUUCUAAUGAAUGACUAACAAGCUGGAACUCAAACUAAACAAACGACACAAAAGAAUUAAACUUGAAAUUGGUUCGGUUCUUCAUUAAUCAUGCAACCCAAUUACACUUCAACUUUCUUCACUUGUGUCAAUGACUUGAAUAAGCAUAACAAUUAUUGAAUCUUCAUGCUCAUGACCUCGAGUUCCACUAGUAUCUCCCACUUGAGCUUGUACUUCACGAUCUAUGCCUUGUUUAGCUUAAGGUUGUGAUGUUGGGUUGAAAAAUAUCUGAUCAAAGCCGUGUAUUUGAAUCAAAAUCUGGUCUGCAUGAUGAAAUGGAAAGAAAAGCCGCGGUUGGAAAAAAUUGCUGAAUGCUUUUCGGCUGAAGAAAAUGAGUUCUUCGUAGCUUGCAUGCAUGAAAUUCCUUUUGAAAAUUGUAUUUCAACCCCUCGGUUUUUGGUUUACGCUACUAGGACCCAAUCAAUUGAAUAAUUUCCUCAAUUUGAACCUUGGUAGUUUUAAUUUUACAACUUCAUUGCUUGUUUGUUUCAAUUAAUUACUAUGCUUUGUUUCAAUUGCACUUAAGUCAUGACUUUAGGGGCUUUAUGAUCAAGUGAGCUUUGUUUUACACAUUUCUUUUUAUUUAUCUUAAUUAAAGUGGUACCUUGACCUUUUUAUUGUUUUGAAGCCAUUUUUGCUUCAUUUGAUUACCACCGCGAGGGAGGUAUAACUUCUUUUAUCUUUUUUGUCUCUCCUCUAUGUGAUCCAACGUGCUAAGUGAGAAUUUCAUGUCUACUUUGCUUUCCUCGCUUUUCCUUAAUUCCUUUCAUUUAUUUCAUUUACUUUUGUUUUUAUUAAGUUAUUCUUUUAUGGGGUAUGUGUACAUCUCUUGGCUUGUAAUAGAUAGGGCUUGGAGAGCAUUUUUAUUCACUUUUCCCCUUCCCCAUUUGUUUUAGCUAGCCAAUGUAAUAGGUUCAUUAGUGUGAUUUGCAUGCUUGUGUGCUACGUGUUACUUGCUUUCUUAGGGUCUUGCAUCUAGAUACCAUGUUUAUGUGUUAUGUGCAAUACGUGAUUUAUGUGUUUAUUUGCUUUAUUAGCCUUUACAUGAUUUAUUUGGCUUAUAAUGAAUGCAUGACGUCACCGUGGCUAGUCCAAUGCUAGUCAUGGUUGUCCCCUCGUGCUCUCGCAAGUCCAAUGCUUGUGAGAAAAUUUUAGAAAAAGGGCUAGUCCAAUGCUAGACCCAAUAGGCCGCCCCUCUCGUUAUUGCAUACUUGCAUGUUUCACUACAUUUCAUACAUUUUUUCUUAGUUUUCUAGCAUUUGGCAUGAUCCUCCAAUCCUUUCCCCUUCAUUUUAGGUUUUUGCAUCCUCAUGUUAGUUAUAGGGUACAUUUGCUUGAAAGUCCCCUUUCGAUAAGGAAAACGAGCGAGUGUGGCUACAAAAUAGCCUUAGCACGCUAGUUCUUCCUUCUAAUCAAAGGGAAAAUUAAAAAUCAUGAAGUUAGAAGUCAUCCCCGUACCCGACUUGAUGCAUUCCUCUAGGUUCAUACACUCUCAUUUUUAUUGCAUCACUUCCUCACUUUCUUUAUCCACAUUUUCUCACUACUUAUAUUUUUCUCAAUCCACAUGCCAUGAUCACACAUUUUUCUUCUUUUCCUAUCACUUAUUUAUUUUCUACCUCACAAAUUGCACCCAAAUUGCAUUUAUAUGCACUUACUACCAUUAUACCUUAUUUUCAUCCACUUGCACACAAACACCUUUAUUUUCUCUAUUGGCACACAUGCACUUUCCUUGCACUUGCACACAUGCACUUUUCUUACAUUUGCACACUUGCACUUACAUUUGUUUUUAUUUUACUUGCACUUUUCUUACAUUUGCACACUUACACUCAUACUUGAGUCUUCAUUUGCAUUAUUCAUGACUUCUAUGAGGGCUUUUCUUACUGGCCAUCACAAUUCAUGUGGUUGGGACCAAAAAGCCUCAUAAGAAACAUUUUUAGAUUUAGGAUUGCAUUUGUUUUCAUAUCCAUUAGUCAUAUCCAACAUGCAACACAUACUUUGGGUAGGAAAAAUUAGAAAAAGAAGGGCUAAGUCACGCAACUAGCUUUGGCUAGGGUAAGGGAGUGCCUUAGGCUUUGCCUUUGCCUUCUCUCUUAUCAAAUGUGACCCCCGAUCCCUUUCUUUGGUUACGUAGACCUAAAAGUUCUUUAAAAAGGGUUUGUUUGCUUUUUCUUUCCAAAAAAUCACUUUUUCUUGGGUGACUUGGUACACCCUAACUCUAUACCAAGUGGCGACUCCAUUUUCCAUUCAAAAACCCUUUUUGAACUUUGUUUGGCCAAACCGUCGCAUUUCACAAUCCCACGGCCUUUUAUUUUCAUCUUCACACACGUUCAUAUACACACUACUUACACACACCAUUCAAAAAGUGGGGCGCGACAGAUUGGCGACUCCACUGGGGACUCUCCUAAGUAGGUCCAAGCAUUUGAUUUAGCCAUUCUUUUCCGUUUUCUACCCUUUUUAUGCGUAGCAUUUGGAUAUUAGGGUUGCAUUUUCCAUUUUUGGACCUUUUGCCUCGCGCGCAUAUCAAACUACUCCCUCACUCACGUAUGUAUGAUUGGUUGCUUGGAUGUAUGUUUUACUUGUUUUAUCUCGCGCUUUGCAUUGCAUUUGGAUGGGGGACAUCACCUUAGAGCCUCGCGUUGGUUCUCGAUCCCUCCCCUCCAAACGAGCACUAGCAUACGUGCAUAUGCUUUAUUUUUUAUCCCUCAUUUAUUUUUCUUUUAGUGUCUUGUCACGCCACUCCACCCUAUUAGGAUUAGGUGACCCACUUGGACAUGUGAUCGUGACACGACGUGUGCGUAGCAUGAUUCGAGGGGUCACUCAAUCUUCCGCUUUAAACUUUGGGUUAAUAGCCUUUAGUUUUUAGUCGAAGGUUGAGGAUUUCUUUAGAUUCACCUGGACAUGUAGCCGUGACACGACGUGUGCGUAGCAAUGUCUGGGGAAUCGCUCGAGCCACCGACAAGGAACCUUGGGGGUGAUGACCUUUGGUUUCCAAGUCUGAAGGCUCGGGGACCUGAGCUUAUCGAGUCUAGAUGCAUUAGUGAACUCCAACCUCAUGCAUCCAUAUUAGAAUUGCCUAGGGUAGAGUCUGCCUUAUCCUAUUAGGGACACCAUUCACGAGGGGAGGGAUCCAACCCCCUCCAUUUUUUUAAUACUUUAUCUCUUUGUAUUGCUUUGCUACAAUGUGUUAUGUGUAUUUAUCUGAUUGAACUAACCUUUCGUGGUUUGUGUCUCCAUUGCAUUCAUUAGCCCUAGGAAAUAAGAGUCCUGGCAUGGCACUCUCUAGGAGCCUACCCCAUUUGAAUGUGACACGUUUAAAUUCAACGCUUUACAUGCGUAACAUGAAUAUAUUUCAUUCUAGACUCACCCCGGCAUACAAAAGAGGUCCCUUUAGGUCAUGUUUCAUUUUGUGUAAUGCAUGUGUGCUCGCUUUGAUAAAAUGGCAUCAUGCAUCCACCCUAGAAAGGGAAUGCCAUUUAGGGGAUCCCAUGCUAGGAUUAAACCGCCCUGUGUCUCGGAUAUAUAAUCCAAUGAGACUUGCACGUUUACAUUUUGUAUCAUCCGAAGGGGUAGUGCACGAGAUAAGGUAGGAUCCGAUCUUUUCGAAGACGGCAAAGCAAUUUUUGAACCAUUAGAAUAUGAGCAUCUAACAAUCAUCUUUUGGCCAUUUUAUCAAAAUUGGUAAAAUUUCCUUGCUUAAAGGACAUUAAUUUGAAGAAAUUCACAAGUAAUUCCUCACUAUUGAGACGAUAAAUUGAUGCCAAUAUUUGAUUUUAGAAGUGCUCAUAGACUAAUGCAUCUCAAUAAAUUUUUGAAACUACCAGUUGAUAGAUUGCUUUUUAAAUAAGCUGUUAAUCCCAUUCAAUCCAUUAGACCAUUUCAUUCAUCAAUUUCAUCCAGUCCAUUUUAUCAACUUGUUCAUUUUUAAGCUUACCUAGUCGAUUUGGAAUUCAUUUGACCAAUUUACCCUUUUUGGGUGAUCUGGUCGAUUUUUGAAUAAAUCGUCAAUUUCAUUCAAUUCAUUUGACCAAUUUACCCUUUUUGGGUGAUCUGGUCGAUUUUGAAGAGAUCAUCAAUUCCAUUUCAUCUCAUUUGACCAAAUUACCCAAUUUUAGGGUGACCCAGUCAAUUUUCAAUAAUUUAUCGGUUUCAUCCGAUCCGUUUGACGAUUUAGGGUUUCGAUGCCCAAUUUUACAAUUAAAAUGGCUAAUUGUUUGAGGAAAUCAUCAAAAUGCAUUCAUUCGACUUGGAUAGAUUAGGGUUUCAAUCCAUUUUAAGAAAUUUCAAGUUUCUCCAAUAACAAGCUCGUCAAAGUUAAAUCGAUUUGUAUAAAUUUUUGUGCCAACCAAAACCAAUCAUUCAUUCGGAUUUGUCCUCUUUUUGUUGGAAAUUUCUCGCUGUUCAAUUGGUCCAAAAUUUCCAAAUUACUUUCUAAUCAAAUGUCAAUAAGUUGAUCGGACCCCUCAGGUAUGGUAUGGUGCCUACCCUAGAGGAUUGCAUUUUCAUGCUAGGCCUACCCUUGGCACAAAAGGGUUCCCCCAUAGGACAUGCAUCCGAAUUUUCUGGAUAUCUACUAACUCUUGCCUUUUUCUUUUCUUUUUCUUUAUUUUUAUUGGAAUAACUAAGCGAGGGUUAAAUCUAAAGGCAAUCUUUCAAAAAUUCUCAGGUAAUAUUUAAACAUAGCUUCUCGUCGAAGCCCCAUCAUAACGCGAUCCCGAAGUAAAGCCCAAAGGAAUCGUGUAGACAUGAGUACUCAGCCAGAAUCGUCUGAUAAGAUCGCUGCAAUUACCCAGCCGGAAGCCACAAGUCCCGGGGUUCAGUUGACUGAAUUACUCACCAAAUUUGGGGAAAUGGCAUCUGAAAUGGCCGCCCCAAAAGAAGUUGAUCGACGAGCUCAUUAGUAGCGGAGUGCAGCCCGAGCCUGUGCCCGUCAAACAACCGGAAUCCGAACCAUUUGUCAUUCCUCCAAUUCAAACCACUUUUGAGGGAGUUUUCAACCCGCAGUAUACUUAUACUCAGAAUCCUCCGUUCUAUCCACCCUAUGGGCAAGGAUUUCAGCCUCAAGGUGGUCCAAACAUGCCUCUGGAUCCACAAGCUUUUUAUCAGACUACCGCAGAGCCUGUUGUGCCAGAGCAUACUGUUCAAACCAAACCAGAAGUGGGAGAGUCGUCUGCCCCGGUGGAUAUGAAGCUACUCAAGAGGUUGGAUCGUUUCGAUGAGUUCAUCAAGAAAAGCCAAGGUUUAAGCAAACAGGGGGUGCUAGACUACGAUGAUCUGUGCCUUUUUCCAAAUGUACAACUGCCCGUGGGGUUCAAGACUCCGAAGUUCAAUAAAUAUGAUGGUACGGGCAACCCUAAGACACACUUGCGUUUGUUUGCCAACAAGUUGGGCAGACCGGUGGAUGACGAAAACUUGCCAUUAAGGUUAUUUCCAGAGAGUCUAGAAGGAGACGCCCUCGAUUGGUAUUCAAACUUAAAGCCAGAGGAAGUGAAGACUUGGCUUGAUCUGUCCAACGCCUUCAUCAGGCAAUACAAGUAUAACUGCGAGCUAGCACCGACCAGAACUACUUUGGAAAGCACGAAGAGGCGACCAGCUGAAGAUCAUAAGACGUACGCCAAAAGAUGGAGAAAGAUAGCUGCCAAGGUUGAGCCUCCGAUGACCGAAGAUGAAAUUAUUCACACUUUCAUAAAGGCGCAUGAUCCUCCACACUUCGAAGAAAUCUUCCGUAUGACCGGGUGUUCAUUUGCUGCGAUUGUGAAUAAACUCGAAGAGUAUGAUGAUUUUGUGAGAGUCGGAAAAAUUGUUAACGUCUCUGCCCUAAAAUCACAAGUAGAAGCUUUGCAAGGACAAGGAAGCAGUGGGAAAGGACCACAGUUUAAAAAGAAAGAGGGGGAUGCAACUUUUGUCUGGAGUCACAACCCUUCACCCAGACCCCAAUACCAACACAAUCCAACCUACCAACCACCUUACCCUUGCUAUUCAAACCCUCACCAUGUAUAUACUACCAAUAUUCACCACCCUCGAUCUCGUCCAAGCUAUACUAACCCAUCUUUAGUCCCUUUUCAUAUUUCUCAACCAAAUCCUCACCAAAACCGUCAUCGGUCUCCAUUCAAUCCAAGAAUGCCUCCACCAAACAGACCCGUUUACAACUAUCCUCAACCCCCUAAAGCCAACAACCCAGGACGUAACCGCACAUUCACCAAUCUCGACAGGCCUUUGGAUCAAUUAUAUGACCAAUUGAAGGCUGCCGAAAAAAUAGGUAUCAUUCCCCCUCCAACCUAUCCGUAUGGCAUGCCCGUUGGGUAUAACCCACAAGCUGUCUGUGCUUAUCAUUCAGGGGCACUCGGCCAUCCGAUUGCUGAGUGUAAAGCACUCAAGCAUAAAAUUCAAGACAUGAUUGAAGCUGGAGAGAUUGUAAUUAGAAGAAAAGAGGCACAAGCGCCAAAUGUGGAUAAGAACCCCCUGCCAGAGUACGAUAACACCAUUGGGGUUAUUAUGGACAAUACAGAAUUUAAGGAGCCUGUUAGAAACUCGUUAAGUGAGGCUGAGGUGUUUGGAAAUGAUGCAGAAUUUCCCGACAUCCCUGAAGGAUCAAUUUCCAAUUGAACAGCCGAGUUUCUGCCCAUUCAGAAGGAGUUUCAGUAAACCUAAAGGGGUUUGUCAUUCAUGCGAACUCAUGAAAAUGCUUUUGCUAAUGAAAGUAUCUUUACCUUUGACUAAAAGUUUGCAGAUGUUUUCAUUUCAUUUCCACUUGCUUUCUUAUUGUUUCCGCUUUCAAUCAAAGGUUUUAUGAAAAUGCACAAGUCAUUCUUGUCAUGUUAUUUUGUUUAUUCGUUUGUUUAUAUUUCGGUCAUAUUGCUUGUUCAUUUGUUUGUUGUAUACUUGUUUGCUUAUUAUCCCAAAUUCGUUAAUUCUUUCAGAUGGCCAAAAAAUAAAGCUAUUUGACCCUUUGGAUAUCACCGUUCUGGAAUUCAAUAAUGGCAAUCUCUAUCUCACUCAUGACUUGAGAAUUUUGGAACCCAAAUUUCCAAGCGAGAGUGAUAAUGAGAAAAUAUUUGAUUCUUUUCAAAAAUCUUGAACAACAUGAGGAGAAAUUCGAACCAAACCUAGAAGCCACAGCAAUUGUUCACUUUGGCACUAAGAAUGAGGUCAAGAAGACAUAAAUCAGCAUUCGUUUGGACAAAAGCAGAAAAUGAGAUGAUUAAGGGUUUGACUAUGUGUCAGAGUGUACAGAUGGUUGGAGGCAGUCUCGUUUGCAGCAGCAGAAAUUCUAUCUUUGCACACUCUAAUGGGAGUCCAACCAAAAAAUGCCGUUUGUCAUGAAAUGUUACAAAAAUGCAUGGCCUGGGCCUGCAACAAGAAGUUUCAUCAGCAUACAUUUUGAGGAAGGUGACAAAGCACUCAAGCGAAUUUUGCCAAGACAGGACGAAGGCAGAGGCAAAUAUGCUCCAAAUCAGAAAAGGCCGUUCAUUGUCCAAAAGGUAUUACCUGGCGGAGCAUUUUUUUUUGGCAGAAAUGGAUAGGCGAACAUUCCCUCAACCCAUCAACUCAGAUAUGUGCAAGAAGUUUUUCAUUUGAUCAUGCAAAUUUUCUUUAGAAAUUCAUGCGAAUGGCAAAUGCAAGUCAGGCCAUCUUCUUUUACACUUAAAACAUUUUAUCCCUACUUGUCCCCUUUGAGCCAUCAGAAUUGAUAAAUUUUCGUUUGAUAACCCCUGAGAAUUGCAAACCCCACACUGGGGCAAAUUUAUUUUGAAAGAGAGAUGAUCAAAAAGAAAAGAAAACCCACACUGGGGCAAAGUUAUUUUUGAAAGAAAGAUAAAAGGCAAGAGAGAGAGAAGAAAAAAAAAAGAAGAACCCCACACUGGGGCAAAUUUAGCUUUUAAAGAAAAAUGCAAAAGUGAGGAAAAUGCAAUAACGAAAAUGCAAAAAGAGAAAAUCCGAUCAAACUGGGGCAAAAUUUCCUCAGUUUCGUUCAAAAUUGGAGACAAUUUCAAAAUAGUGCAAUCUCAGGUUAUUUCACACCUCGCAUCGAAAUUUGCUUUCAACCCUCAACUUUUCUUGAAAACACCCCACCUGACCUCAUUACAAAAGCCCAAAGUCCUGGCUUUCGUCACUUGCUACAUUUCUACUUGAAAGUUUGCUAACUUUCGCCUAAUCUUACAAGGGAAGUGCAUUUUACUGAUGCCCGAAACCUUUAACUCAUAUUUCUGAGUCGAUCAUGGUCGAGGUAUUUCAUUGUUCUUUAGGUGAAAACCCGAAAGGGCGCCUCGGGAAAAGAAAAGAAAAAGAAAGGAAAAAAUAAAAAAAAAAGGAAAAGACAAAACAAAAACAAAAAGGGUGGAGGCAACCUUGGUGAAAACCCGAAAGGGCGCCAAGGCAGUUUUUCUCAACAGACGAGCACGAGACGGAACAGCUGGUGAACUGGUUCAUUUGGAUUUUUCCUCAUUUUUAUGAUACUUCUGCCAGUAUCGAAUUCUGAAGCGAAUAUAUCCAAAGUCUUGAAUAUGAUAUUCGUUGGCCAAAUUUGUAUUUUUCUUUACAAGUAUCCUUUUGCAAAAUGUAUCUUCAAAAGCCUCUUGGUUUUUUUUCGAUUACUUGCAUUCGACUGCUUGUGGUUGUGUGUCUUCUUUUGCAUACUUAUUCUUGCCUGACAUAGGAAAUCAUCUUGUACAUAUCAUUGAUUUUUCUAUGACAAAUUUUCAUACAUCAUUCAUUCUUUCACCAUUGGAUUCGAAUGGAUGAUAAACCCUAAGGUUUGUGAAACACGUUGGAUUCAAUCGUCUAUUAAAAUGGGUGAAAUGCCACAAACUUGCUACACAGAUUUGUGGAUAUGGCAAAUGCGUACUUCAUCAGUCUCAAGAGUCAAAAGGUUUUCGCAAAUUCAACCAAGCCUGACACCGCAGAGUAGAGGCAAAAGCAUCAAAAGACUCAUGUUUACACGAUUCUCAAAGGAAACUGGAUCCAAUGAUGGUGGCAAGUUCGUUAUUUCCUCUUUUUCUUGCAGGAAUGCUACAUCUACAAAUGGAAACAACCACCCUCUUUUCUCGCCCAAAUUAGUGUCAGAAAAGCUCCCCAGUGGACAAAAGACGAAUCAACAGUAUUACUGGCAAGUGCAAUCAGAAGAAACAAUGUGUUAAAACAAAGUCAGCUACCAUUUUAGCUACAAGGAUCAAAUCUUUCCUCGAUACAAAACUUUUAGCUGUUCUCAGGUAAAAACUCCACUCAUCGUUUUAAAUCCCGUGGGUCUAUCCCAUUUACAUUUCUGUCCGGGUCUAUCCCGUUUACAUUUCUGUCCGGGUCUAUCCCGUUUACAUUUCUGUCCGGGUCUAUCCCGUAGGUCUAUCCCAUUUACAUUUCUGUCCGGGUCUAUCCCGUGGGUCUAUCCCAUUUACAUUUCUGUCCGGGUCUAUCCCGUUUACAUUUCUGUCCGGGUCUAUUCCGUGGGUCUAUCCUGUUUACAUUUCUGUCCGGGUCUAUCCCGUGGGUCUAUCCCAUUUAAAUUCCUGUUCGGGUCAGUCCCGUUUUAAAUUUCUUGUUCGGGUCAGUCCCGUUUUAAAUUCUUGUUCGGACCAAUCCUGUUUUUAAAUUCUUGUUUGGGUCAGUCCCGUUUUAAAUUUCCUUUUCGGGUCAGUCCCGUUUAAAUUCCUGUUCGGGUCAGUCCCGUUUUAAAUUCCUGUUCGUUGGAAUCAUUUUGCGGCCAAAUGACACAGGUGAGUAUUUGGUGUCUACUUCUUUGUCUCAAGUUUUUUCAAAACUCAGACAAAGAGGGGCAAACUGUAGACAUCAAAAUUUUAGUGUAAUUUCAUUUACUAUUUAGUUUAUUUGUCAUGUUAGUUUUAUUCACUUUUUAGUUUUUAGUUUUUUAGUUUUAUCUUUAUUUGAAAGUUUUUAGCAUAGAAUUUCUCGAAAAAGAAAAAAAGAGAAAAAAAGAAAAAGAAAAAAAAGAUGAAAAUGAAAAAUGAAGGAAAAAAAGAUUGAAAAAUGGAAACUUUAUUGUUUUUAGUGUGAUGCUACUUAAAUUGUUGUUUUUUAUUACUUAGUUUUAUUAUUAUUCUAAAAAAAAAAAGGGGAAAAAAAGUGAGAAAACCCGCAUACGGGUUUUGGGCUGUUUAAGAAAUUACAAACAUUUUUUGAUUGCAUUUUAUUUUUUAUUUCUAUUAUUGUUAUUAUUAUUAUUAAUAUUUUAUCCUGAAAAAAAAAAAAAACCGCGACAUGCAAGCUGCGAAUUUUCGCAGCUUGCAAGGAAGGCCUCGGGCAGCCCUUUGGCUGCAAUUUUAGAAGAGAAGGCUGGUGGUUCCAGGUGGCCAGACACCUGGCUAAAUGGAGGAAGCUUCCAUGCAAGGUGGAAGGCUAAAAAUGAAAAGAAGGAGAAGCAGCAAAGGAGGACCGUGGGAUGAAGGGUUUGGCAUGAAGGUGGGUUGCAUUUGACAGUAGCCGACAGAGGAAAAAAGGGGGGAUCUGGAGAGAGCUAGAAAAUAGGAGGGAGGAGAGAGGACGGACGGCUAGGAAAAGAAACCAGAGAGGGGCGGCUAAGAAAAUUGAGAGAAAAGAAAGGAAGAACAGGAAAGCAAGAACAGUCAAGGGUUGAGGAAGAAACCGGCAACUUAACAAGGAGAGAGGUGAUCGAGAAUCUGGAGGGCAAUCGCAGCAGAAAGGUGGAACUUUUCCCAGCUUCGCUUGGCCUGCGUCCGUGAUUCAUUGCUCCUCCCUCCAGGCACUGUUUGUCUACGAUUCAAAGGAGUGAAGGUAACCUUUCAUUCUCUUUCGGUCAUGAAUCAUCAAGCUUUCAUCUGAUUGUUAAAUCGUUUUGUCGCCAAAUUUGCUGUGAGUUUUCUUCCUUCACGUUUUUAUUUGUACAUCUGGGGAGAUGGUGGAUCCGCGUCAUGGCUGUCAUCUUGGAUGUCUGCUGAUGAAGCUGUAAAGUUUAGUUGGUUUCGGAUGAUAUCACCAUAGAUUUCAUCCGAAACAGAGACCAAUUGCUUUUUCCCCGUGCAUCCUUCAUGCUUUCCCCUUGCUUUGUUUGAAAAUGGUCCGUGUAUCAUUUGUUUUGGCUGUCAGGACCCUUAAGAGUCAGAUUUAGAGUCUGCUGCGACAAGCUUCAAGCUUUUGGCUUGUUGCAGCCGUUUUUUUUUCCUUCUUGGUUGCUGAAUCUGCAGCGGAUCUGGCAAGUUUGACGUGAUGUGUUUAUAUUGCUCUGAUGUUCUGGUUUUGUUUAUUGGGAGUGUGGAUUGAAGUCUCUAGAAGUUUGUUUCGGAGAUUAGAUUUGUUUGGGUGUUUUGGGUAAUGCAUACUUGUUUUGUAGUCUAUUCCUUCAUGACUGUUUUGACACUAAAGCUUCCGAGAAAGAAUGGUAUUUCUGGGUUUGAAAUUUGCAUGUUUGGGUGUCGAAUGCUAUGUUUCCUUGUUUAUGAUAGAAGCUUGAUGUUUGAUAGAAUGUUAGCUGUGUUGGGAUGGAAAUUUCCAUUGGAUUAAACACAGCCAUGGUAAAGAACCAAACCAUGAAAAAUGCAGCAGUCUUGUUUGUCCUGUUGCAGAAAGCCUUCUACGUGAUUACAUUGAUUUUGCAUGUAAAGCAACCUUUUGAAAAUUACUUUGCUCCCUUUAGUCUCUAGUAAUGCUACAAAGACCCAAUUACAUUCCAAUCUCUUGCAAUUAAGUCCUAAGUUGAUUGCAACUUGAACCAUUACUUGACCUUUUCUUGCUCUUGGACCUUCAAAGUUCCUAAAAUGUUUCAAUUGGCCUUGAUUGAUUCUUUAAUGGUUGUUAUUGGGUCCUUAGUCAUUUUGCUAUAUUAGAAAUUUGAUCAAUGAUUCACUUUUGCUUAGAAAUUAUGCAUUAUUUGAUCAUUUUUAAGUUGCAAUUGAAGAAAGAUUCGAUGAUUUGGUGAAUUCAAAUUGCCUUAUUUGCAUUUUACCAUUAAAUUGGUGCAUUAAUCCCUUGCUUUGAUGGUUUUAGCCCAAGUUAUCCCUUUCUUUGGUAACUCUAGCCCAAGUUAAGUCGUGUUUACUUUACUAACAUCAUGAAUGAGGAGGUAUAAUUUCUUUUAUCCUUUCUUUUGUCUCUCCUAUGUGAUCCAACGUGCUAAGUGAAGAAUUGCAUGUCUACUUUGCUUUCCUUGCCUCUCCUUAAUUCCUUUCAUUUAUUCAUUUGCUUUUGUUUUUAUUUAAGUUAUUCUUUCUGGGGUAUGUGUACACCUCUUGGCUUGUAAUAGAUAGGGCUUGGAGAGCAAUUUUGCCUAUUUUUCCCCUUUCCCUUUUGUUUUAGUUAGCAAAUGUAAUAGGUUCAUUAGCUUGAUUGCUUGCUUUUGUUGCUACGUGUUAAUUUGCUUUAUUAGGCUCUUGCAUCUAGUCGAGCAUGCUAAGUGUUAUGUGCUACGUGUUUAUAGGUGAUUGGCAUGUCUACUUGCUUUCCAUAGUCGUAGAUGAAUGUGAUAGAUGAAUGCACGUCACCACACUAGUCCAACGCUAGUUGUGGCUCAUUGUCCCGUUUUCCACUAGUCCAACGCUAGUAGGAAUUCCUAGAUAAGGGUUAGUCCAAUGCUAGACCCAAUAGGCCGUCUCCUCUUGUUAAUACAUACUUGCAUGUUUCACUACAUUUCAUGCAUUUUUCUUAGUUUUCUAUCAUUUGGCAUGCCCCUCCAACCCUUUCCUCUUCAUUUUAGGUUUCUGCAUCUUCAUGGUAGUUAUAGGGUACAUUUGCUUGAGAGUCCCCUUUCGGUAAGGGAAACGAGCGAGUGUGGCUGCAAAAUAGCCUUAGCACGCUAGUUCUUCCUUCUAAUCAAAGGGAAAAUUAAAAUCAUGAAGUUAGGAGUCAUUCCCAUACCCGACUUGAUGCAUUCCUCUAGGUUCAUACACUCUCAUUUUUAUCAUAUCGCUUCCUCACCUUUUUUAUCCACAUUUUCUCAUUACUUAUAUUUUUCUCACUCCACAUGCCUUGUUUGCACAUUUUAUUUCUUUUUCUAUCACUUGUUUAUUUUUCUACCUCACAAAUUGUACCCAAUUGCACUUAUAUAUUUACUACUAUUAUACCAUAUUUUCAUCCACUUGCACACAUACACCUUUAUUUUCUCAAUUGGCACACAUGCACUUUUCUUACAUUUGCACACUUGCAUUCUUCUUACAUUUUCACACUUGCACUCAUAUUUGGGUCUUCAUUUGCAUUACUCAUGACCUCUAUGUGGGCUUUCCUUACUGGCCAUCACAAUUCAUGUGGUUGGAACCAAAAAGCCUCAUAAGAGAUAUUUUAGAUUUAGGAUUGCAUCUUUUUCAUAUCCAUUAGUUACAUCCAACAUGCAACGCAUAUUUUGGGUAGAAGAAUUAGGAAAAGUGGGGCUAAGUCACGCAACUAGUUUUGGCUAGGGUAAGGGAGUGCCUUAGGCUUUGCCUUUGCCUUCUCCCUUAUCAAAUGUGACCCCCGAUCCCUUUUCUUUGAUUACGUAGACCUAAAAAUUCUUUAAAAAGGGUUUUUACUUUUCUUUCCAAAAAACCACUUUUUGGGUGACUUGGUACACCCUAACUCUAUACCAAGUGGCGACUUCGUUUUUAUCUAAAAACCCUUUGUUUGGCCAAACCGUCGCAUUUCACAAUCCUACGGCCUUUAUUUUCACUUUCACACACGUUCACAUACAUAUACCACACACUACUUUCACCCCCUUCAAAAAGUGAAUGCAUCAAGUCGGGUACGGGAAUGACUCCUAACUUCACGACUUUAAUUUUCCCUUUGAUUACAAGGAAGGACUAGCGUGCUAAGGCUAUUUUGUAGCCACACUCGCUCGUUUCCCUUACCGAAAGGGGACUCUCAAGCAAAUGUACCCUAUAACUAGCAUGAGGAUGAAAAAACCUAAAAUGAAGGGGAAAGGAUAGGAGGAGCAUGCCAAAUGCUAAAAAACUAAGAAAAAUGUAUGAAAUGUAGUUAAACAUACAAAAAAUGCACUAGCGAGAGGGACGGGCCUAAUGGGUCUAGCAUUGAACUAGCCCUUCACUAAAAUUCUCUCACAAGCAUUGGACUUGCGAGAGCUCGAGGGGAAAAACCAUGACCAGCGUUGGACUAGCCACGGUGACGCGCGUUGGCAUCCAUCGUACAAAUAUAUAAGCAAUGUGCAUAAUUAAAGCAAGUAGACAUGUGAGCACGUAAUUCACGUAACACAUAAGCAUGUAUAUCUAGAUGCCAAGCCCUAAGAAAGCAAGUAACACGUAGCACGUAAGCAUGCAAGUCACACAGGGCAAAUAAAGCAAAGAAAUCCCUAUCUAUUACAUUAGGGGAGCCCUACUACAAUCUAAAAAGGGGAAAUAAAUAAUAAUUAAAAUAAAUACCUAACUACCACAAAUUUGGCAUUCAAGUGCCUUUCAAAUGAUAGAUAUACAAAGCUAAAGACAAUAAAGCAAAUAAAUAAAUAAACAUCCAAGGGGCAUGCAAUUAAACACGUAAAGUCACAUAGAACACGUAGGGUCAAAUAGAGUAAGAAAUAAGGGAUUAGGGUGUACCUCCCUUGAAUUGGGGCCCUAGCGAAAUGAAAUUACUUAUUUGCCCUCCAAAAUACAAAGAAAAGGUCAAGGCAUCGCUUUAAUUAACAACUAAUCAUAAAAGAUAAAAUGAAUUGUGAAAUUGAAUCAAUUAAAUCAUAUAAACAACCCACAUUUAAGAAGUCAAAAGAAGAAAGGACUUGAUUGCAAAAAUUAACAAAAACUUUGGGGGUCAAAAUUAAAGAAAAAUAAAGUUUAAGGACCUAUUUACAAUUAAAUUAGGGACCCAAUUGAAAGCAUUGAAAGUCUGUAGGGCCGUAGUGAAAUUAAAGAAAAGUACAGGGACUGAUCUGCAAAUUCGUUCUCUAGUCUCUUAGGAGACAAGGCCACUGGGCCAUUUUAACCUUUCUUGGGCCGAAACUUUCCAAGCCCAUUUGAAAAUCCAAAGCAAAUGGAAUGGGCCAGCCUACUAUUUUUAUCAAGUAAACCCAACAAAAUGCAUGGACUUUAACUCUCGAGCCCAAAUUACUAACCCAGAAAACCAACAACCAAGGCCCAAUAAAAAAUGGACAAACCCACCAUAAAAACUCAAAUGAAAUUUAAUCCUAAUCCAAUUCUCAUCUAAUUUUAAGCCCAACACAGUAAUGUAAUAAAAAAAUUAUUAUUAGAACCUUAUUAUACCACAAAAUCUCACAAUUAAUCUACCAACAACUCACUGAAGAUAGAGAAAGGGGAUUAAAACUGAAAAAAAACCAAAUCAAUUCGAUUCUUUUUAUAUGUUGGGCCACCGUGAAAUUAUGCAAAAGUUGGCAGACCAAAACGAAAUUUCAGAAAGAUCAUGCAAGUCAGAAUCGAAGCUUUCUUCUUCUAACUCAAGAUUUUCAUUUGAGCAUUCCGUCAAACAACUAACGGGCAUGGAAACACUCAGCAAUGUUCUGCUCAAAUGAUGUAAUUCAGCACCCAAAAUUAUCAAACAUCCAAAGCAAUUCGAAUUAAUCAACGUACAAAACAUAUAUGUUCUUAAAACAACAAACAAUCGGCAUAAAAACUUGUCAUAUCUACGCGCGGCAGUCAUGCUUUGAGAGGAACACUGAAAUGUAAAAGAAGGGAGCAACUUACAGGGUUCUCCCAGUGAGCUUCGCUGGCAGUGAUGGUGGGUUCCAGUGGUGGCAAUGGCUGUGAAAAAUUCCGUAGCUGUCAACAAUAUGCAAUUCCUUCGCCGUCGUGCUCUAUCUCCUGCUCGCGUUCCUCGCCGACGCCCUGAGCGUCCUCACCUGCUUCCAAUUCCUCCCCGACACGUUCCGGCUGCCGGAGCAGGUGAGCAGACCCACCAGUUUGUUCGGAUUGUCCGAUGAAGUCACCACUUGCUUCUUGUUGGAAGGAAGGUUAUUGUAUCCUCAUCCGCCUCAGAAUCCUCCAUGUCAUCCAUGGCUGCGGCGGCGGAAUGGUCAUGAUGCUGAUGCUGCCGUUGGAGGCGGAGGGAUCUCAUACAUUGGAGAGUUUUGCCUCCGAAAACUUCGUCUAAACAUCUGGGAGUGGGAAUGAGGGUGGCAGUAGCUUCCCUCGAACGGCAGUUCCGGCUGCUCUGCUUUCUCAGUCACAAGCUCUUUGUCCGCUGCUAUCAUUUCUUUCUCUGUUUCCUCUUCUUUUGUUCUCUGUUUUUUCCUCCUCUUUUCAGUCCAAAAUCUUCCCCCUUUUCUCUAUUUUUUUCCCUCUAUUUUUCCUACUGCUGAAGCUCUCUCGCUUGGUUCCCCAAUUUCGCCCUCAAUUCUCUCCUUUUGUUCCCCUGUCCGCUGCCCCCUCUAGUUUUUUCCUUCUCAGCCCGCCUGAAGCUUUUUCUCCUUAGCUUCUUCAGAUUUUCCCAGCCUUUUCUAACUCCCCCAGUGGCCUUUGAAGUUCUCGCUCAGUCCCUCUUUCUCUAGCUUCCUCACUUGCUUCUAUUUCUCUACCCGAUCCUUUCUCCUAGCUCCCUCUCGGUUUCUCUUUUAGUUUUUCUUCCUUCCGCCGUCACAGAACACUCCCUCUCGUUCCCUUUCCAGCUUUUUUUCCGUUCCCCCCUUAACCUCCAAGUGUCCUUAACCUCCGGUCAACCACUGGGGCGCGACAGAUUGGCGACUCCACUGAACCCAGAAUCUUCGGAUAAUUUUUCGAGCAAGUCUUACACAGUCUCUUCGUACAUACCAGCAUUUCUUUUACUCUGCCACUAGCCGUUGGGUCAGUCCCACUAGUGCGCAUUUCUUUUACUCUGCCACUAGCCGUUGGGUCAGUCCCACUAGUGCGCAUUUCCUUUAUUCUGCCGCUAGCCGUUGGGUCAGUCCCACUAGUGAGCAUUUUAUCUUCAUUACCGCUAAACAUGGGUCAGUCCCACUAGCGUGCAUUUUAUUUUACACCGCCACUGAACAUGGGUUUGUCCCACCAGUGUGCAUUUCAUUUUUCAACGCCGCUAAACAUGGGUCAGUCUCACUAGCGUGCAUUUCAUUUACACCGCCACUGAACAUGGGUUAGUCCCACCAGUGUGCAUUUCAUUUUCACCGCCACUGAACAUGGGUUAGUCCCACCAAUGUGCACUGCAUUUUUUUGCCGCUAAACAUGGGUCGGUCCCACUAGCGUGCAUUUCAGCUUUAUUGCCACUAAACAUGGGUCAGUCCCACUAGUGUGCAUUCAUGAUUUUAAAUUUUGUUCGGGUCAGUCCCAUGAUUUAAAGUUUGUUCGGGCCAGUCCCAUGAUUUAAAUUUUGUUCGGGCCAGUCCCAUGAUUUGAGUUUUGUUCGGGUCAGUCCCAUGAUUUUAAGUUUGUUCGGGUCAGUCCCAUGAUUUUAAGUUUUUGUUCGGGUCAGUCCCACGAUUUAAAGUUUGUUCGGGCCAGUCCCAUGAUUUAAAUUUUGUUCGGGCCAGUCCCAUGAUUUUAAGUUUGUUCGGGUCAGUCCCAUGAUUUUAAGUUUUGUUCGGGUCAGUCUCAUGAUUUUAAUUUUGUUCGGGUCAGUCCCAUGAUUAAAUUCUGUUCGGGUCAGUCCCAUGUUUAAAUUUCUCAUUCGGGUCAAUCCCAUGAUUAAUUUCUAGUUCGGGUCAGUCCCAUGAUUUCAAUUUUUGUUCGGGUCAGUCCCAUGAUUAAAUUUUGUUCGGGUCAGUCCCAUGAUUUCAAUUUCUUAUUCGGGUCAGUCCCACUUUAAAUUUCUUGUUCGGGUCAAUCCCAUGUUUAAAUUUCUCAUAUGAGUCAGUCCCAUUCUUUUAAAAUUUUGUUAAAGGGGUCAGUCCCCAUUUCAGAAAGCGUCAAUCAUUCGAGUUGUUCGCAGUCGAAUAACAUGUGAGUAUUUGGUGUCUACUUCUUUGUCUCAAGUUUUUCCAAAACUCAGACAAAGAGGGGCAAACUGUAGACACCAAAUUUUUAAUCAUUUUUAUUUUAUUUUUAGUGAUAAUUAUUAUCUAUUUUUAUUUACUAAUCUCAUGAUUUUUGUUUCAGGCGUUGUUUUUAGCAUUUUUAUAGUAUUUUAGAUUAUUAUUUAUUAUUCUAGUUUUUGUCUGUUUAAAUAUGAAAAAAGAAAAAAAAGCAAAAAAAAAAAGAAAAAAAGGGGCAAGCUCACGGACCCUGAGAAGCACGUGAUCCAAGCCUUUGCUCUUCAUUUUCAUUUGCAAAAAAUGCAGAAACAAGAAAUUUCCAGCUGCUGUUCCACGGGUUUCAUUUUUUAUGCUCCGUUUGAUCAUUCCACUUGGCUUUAAUCCCUAUCCUAAGAGCAUCAUAGGACAACUAACCAUCUAAGGGUUUAUAAGGCAGGAGGAAGACAUCAAGUGAAGGGGAACCAUCGGAUGUUAGGGCUAAAAGAUCUUUGGGAUAUAAAAAGGAAAGCUAAGGUUGGGAAUGACGGCUAGGUUUUGGAGAUAGAGAGAGAGAGUUGGGAGUUUUUAUGACGGCGGAGGAAGAGUUUGAGAGGAUGGGGACGGCUAAAAAUCUGGUGAAGGAUUGAGGGAGGACAGAGUAGCGUAGAAAGGGAGAAGCUUUCGACCAAGAGAAAAACAACGAGAGAGAGGUAGGCAACUGAGGGUGGGUCGGCUAGAAAGGAAAAGAAAUGGCAGAAACAAGGGAUUAGAAAGUCAGAAACCUACGCGUAAGGAAGAAAGGCUAGGAAAGCCGUGAGCUUGAGAGAGGAAAAGAAAGGAAGAUUGCUAGGGGGGUUGUUGACGGCUGAAGGAAAGCUAAGCCAGAAGGGUUUCAGCCGUGGAGACGAAGAGGGAUUUGGGAUUGGAAAGAGGUAAUUGCAUCGCCAUCACCGCCUUUCUGUGGACGUUCCUUUGAAGGUUUGGCCGAAUCAUCCGAGCCCUUUUUCCGUUCCUCGAUUAAGGUAUCGUAUUCUUCUUUUAAGGUUGAAAGCUCUUUUCUUUAGUCGUUUGCUUGCAUUUCUUUGUUGUUUACUGGUUCGGUUUUGCUUCAAUAUGGCUAAUGAUUCUUGUUUGGGUAUUGAUGAAUCUGGAGUUUGGGUACUGGGUCGGUAUCUUGCAUGUUUGCGUCUUGGCCGAAAGAAAAUUGCAGAAAGUUUUCAACUUUAGUUGGCGGCUUGGUUUAGACUGAGUUUUGAGGUAGAAGUCUAGGGUAGUGUCAUGGAUUAUUGUUUGAGUUUAUGGCUUCUGUUCAUGUGAGGAAUAAGAGCAAAACCAGAAAAAUAGCACGCAAUUCCAGCAAGUUGAAUUUCUGACACUUCGUUCGUUGGUUGUCACUUUCAUCAUUUUGUAUGUCCAUAGUAAUGCAUGUGAGUUGCAUGUUUUUGCUGGGUUGGGGACGGAUGCAACAUAUUUGUAUGGGGGCAACGAGUUUGACAUCCAUGGCGAGUUUUUGAACAAACUUAGCAGGUUGCAAGUUCACCCGCGCGUUUCCCUUUGCUGUUUUUCUUGUCUGCGUUGUGAUUAAUGCUUACUGGAUAUGGCUUUUGAGUUAGACAGCAGCAGGGGAAAUGUUUGGUAAUCUUAUUCCUUCAGUCCAAACCUUCGUUGUCUAAGUUGUUCCUUGCAUUUGGAUUGCAUCAGAAAACCCGAAAGUGAGUUUUUUUUUAAAUUAAAAAAAAAACGCAGCACAGCUUCGGCUGAGUUGCAUGAACUUUUAGGGGCAUUUUUGCUCAUUUUGUUGCAUGUUCGGCUGUGAUAUGUUAACCAAAGUGUUUAGUUGUUAAAUGGUGAUUGAGUGAUGGUCUUUGCUGGCUUUUGUUUGAAGUCUUCUAUGAAACCUGCAUUUGAAAGCUUAAAGUUGCGGGAAAAUUUUGGAUGAAUGUUGCAGCAGAAAAUUUGCUUCGCAGGCUCCUUUUGUUUGAUUGAUUUCUCUUGUUUGCAUUGUAAAGUGAGUAGAUCAGGUGGUGACUUAUUGUUUUGUGCGAAUUGCAUUCGGUUUGGGCUGUCAAAUGCGUAGAGUUUGUUUGAGUUCUCACACACAAACAUAUCUAGGCCGAAGUAGAAAAAGUUGCUGCAUUCGUUCUUAUGUCUUUGCUGUUUUCUUCUCCGCAACAGCUCAUCAAGUGAGCUUUGUCACCUAAUGUGCUAGUUAAUCUUGUUUUGAAAAGGAAGAAAUUGGAUAAGUAGUGUUUGAGUUUGCAUGCUUAGGGUCUAAAACACCUGAAUCAUGUUCGAACACCUUGCUGAAAAAUAAACAAUCAGGCUGCCGAACCAUUUCUGCAUGUAUUUUUCAGAAUUUUGGUAUGAUAUAUUUCCAAGUUUUCUGGUCAUUUGGAUUGUGAUCAUUAUGUUGUCUGUUGUUUAGUGUGACGACCCCACUUCUCCCAAGGGCGAACCCAAGGGUAUCGGCGGGCCGCCUGCCUAGCUCGCGCCAGGACUCAAACCUUAAAGCGAUAAAAACCAGAAAAUCCAAAAGAGUACCUUACAUACUAUAUACAAAUCCCAAAAAGGUUAUAAUUACAUUCUCCAAAAGUACCUGCUCAAACUAUUACACCCUUAUAAUUACAACCAAAACUAAAAGGUAGACCCUAAGGAGGGUCCUUAUACAAACCACCACAAUAAAAACAAACAUCCUAAUUGUCCAACUAUGACAAACCAAUACUAGUUUAAGUGCCCAUAAGUCCCCGCGUCGGCCCCUGCUAAGGAAAACAAAAGGAACGGGGUAAGCUAUAUGCUUAGUAAGUAAACAGGGGCAAAAGCGUAAAUGUCAUGUAACCACAGUUACUCAAUAAGAGUAAAGCAAAAGCAGAAAAGUAACAUCACAUAAUAAGGAUACAGGUGGCUCCAAAGCCAAGUCGUUGCCAUGCGUGACCUCCUGUCGACACUCCGUCGACCAUACAUAAGGUCCGUAGAACUCCACUUGUACACCCACCGAACACCUUAUCACCCUCACUGGCCAGUCACCUCACAAACUUGCCCAGGCGAACGAAAUCACAAACUUGAGUUUGAGUCACAAGCUCGGGUCACAAAAUUGGUUCACAUACUCAGCGAACCGGGUUCACAAACUUGGUGACCUCAAACCAAGUUGGACUGACUUCGACCAAGCCCUAACCGGCUCGAAUAGUCCAUCUAGGUAUUGAGUUCAACCUCAAACUCACAAAAUUCACAAAAUUAUUCAAAAGUCACCCUGAGCCACCAGUUCAAGGGUUUUAGUUCCAAAAUUGCUCAUAUACAUAAGCCAUGUACAAAUAUGUGUGCAAAUUAGGGUUUAGAGCGAGUGCGAUAAAGUACACCCUCGUCUAAGUACCCUCUUCAUACAUAUCGAAACACAUAAGCAACUAACAUACAAAAGCGGCCUGAAUACUUACUCCAAAUACAAAAGUAGUACAAAAGCGGAAAUCACUUCGUUGGUUGGCUAGUAGUGGGCCCCACCGGUUUCGCCUAGUUCACCACCGUCUGAAAUCGAAGAUUGUGUCACAAUAUAUCACAAACAGCUACUCACACACGUAAAACAAGCAAAACGGCAAAAUUGGCACGCGCAAGUGCGAAAACGGCAAAAAGGGGCACACGCGCGCGCGCGGAACGGCAAACGGGACGGCCAAAUCGGCCAUCUUAAACCGUUUUGGUCGAAAGUUAGGAUAGGAGUGUCGGAUCAAGGUGAGCGAGAUACCGUUUCGAAGCUAAGAGGAAGGGAUACAAUUCUCAUGAAGACAUCUCAACCCAGAUCUCAAUAGGUAUAGGUCAAAAAGGCACGAAAUAGUGCCAGCUGUUUCAUGGCAAGUUACCAAACAUGCCCUGUUUGCAAGGCCGUAACUCACGGCUCAGAAAUCGAAAUCAAGAAAUUCCAAAGGAGUUAGAAAGCUGAGACAUAAGGGUAAAACUUUGAUGUUUUGGCCAAGACCUGAAUCCACUCAGAACAGAACGAAAAUCGAGUGUCAACGUACCCGUCAGAACUGUCCAAAUACAAGGCAGUUCUGACGAGCGUUAUUGUUUUGAUCAUAACAGGAGCUACGGAACUCGGUUUUCGACGUACUUUAUACCGUUUCGAAGCUGAGACCAAGAUCUAAAUUUCUUAUGAAGGAGUCGAUACCCAGAUCGUAUGGAAUCAGAACGGAAAAAUGCACGGCAGAAACUGAAAUGCAAACCGGACACAAACGGACGUCUAAAACAGGUCUGAGGGUUUUGUCUAUAACUCGGAAUACAUUAAUCCAUUUGACCUGAAAUUUUACAGGUAGAUUCAGCACUUAAAAGGCUACAACGUUGAAGAAGGCCACUUAACCCAGUUUCGAGUGUAACUAGGUCAAAACUGUAAGAUACUAAACCAGAAUCGUAAAACAGGUGAACAAACCGCAACCUGGUGCAAACAGCAUAACUCAGCCUACUUAAGUCCAAAUUCAGAAAUUUCAAAGGCAUACGAAAGCUUAGAAACAGGGUUACAUUUCAUCAGAAGACUAGAACAACCAAUUCUGAAGUAAUCCUAUCCAAAAUCACCAAUUACAAGUGCAGUUCUUACAUUCGGACAAAACCAGAACAGCAAGGGUAUUUUCGACUUUUCUCACUCUACUCUACUCCGAUUGACCUGAACUUUUACAGGCACCUAUAAAAUGUCAUUUCCUACAACGUUCAUGUUUUAAGCCAAGGCCAAUUCGGCCUCUAUCUAGGACCAAAAUAUUCGGACAGAAUGAAGAACAAAGAAACCCCAAUUUUCCAGAUUUCAUUCAAAACAGAAAUCACUUGCAAUCUUCCACUUUUUCCACCAUCUAGCAUCAUUACAUACCAUUUCCAACCAUCAUAUAUAGCCACACAAUCAUGCUUAUAUUAAAACAGGAAAAAUCCCAACAAAUAUAAAACUUCACUAAAUCAUCCACAAAUCAAGAUAUAAACCAUAAUUUUUCAUCUCUUAACACCACUAAGCAUGAAUUAAGCUUCUUUAGGUGAAGGAGAGAGUUCAUUCAUUACUCACCUAGUAAAACAAGAGAGAGGGAGUUGCUUGUCACCUUAGCUUCCACAAACACUUCACCAAUCAACUUACUAAUACCAAAUGAAGAGGUUUUAUGGAAGGAAUUCAAGAUUAACCGGUUAGUUUAUGAGAUUGAGCAAGAUUAGGACAAGGAAUUGAGAGAGAUUUUUCUUUCUUCCUUUGGAGAGAAUUUUGGCCAAGAGAGAGAAAAGAAUGAGGAAGAUUAAGCUUCAUUUGUCUUAUAAGAAGGUUGGAAAAAAUAAGAAUUAAUUCUAGCCACAAGUUUGGUUAACACUUGGUUGAAUCACAACCACACAAUUUUCUCUCUCUUGUUGCAUUUUGAACCACUAAUUUUCGGCCAAUAAGAAGCUAAGAGGGGGGGAAGAUAUUUUGCUCUAUUAGUGGUAAACUUGCAUGGCAAGUAAGUGGUGGUCAAUUGGUGCGUUCAAUCGGUAAUGCGCGGGACCCGCCGGUUCGCGCCGUUUUUCUUAAAACACACGUACUAGGGUUUUUACUUCCUAUUCACUAAUCUUAUCUUAUUGCUCCUAAUUACAUAUUAUUUCUCACUUAAAAGUCACUUUUAAUCACCAAAUUUGAUCCUUUUUCCGUACCAAAAUUUCAUCCGGCGAAAAUCACAAAACCCUAAUUUUGCUCCAAUGCUGAAACCGAAGAGUGAAACCCUACUUUCUAGGCCUCACUUGCACUUAUUAUGGAAUAAUUGGAUAGUAGGGCUUUAAAUCUUAAUCCCUACAUAGGGUUUUCGAAAUACUCCUAAAACCAAACGUUACCGCCCAGCUAAUGAAUAUAUCAACGUAGAACGGACUGGGGCCUCACAUUUAGCUUAAGGUUGUGAUGUUGGGUUGAAAAAUAUCUGAUCAAAGCCGUGUAUUUGAAUCAAAAUCUGGUCUGCAUGAUGAAAUGGAAAGAAAAGCCGCGGCUGGAAAAAAUUGCUGAAUGCUUUUCGGCUGAAGAAAAUGAGUUCUUCGUAGCUUGCAUGCAUGAAAUUCCUUUUGAAAAUUGUAUUUCAACCCCUCGGUUUUUGGUUUACGCUACUAGGACCCAAUCAAUUGAAUAAUUUCCUCAAUUUGAACCUUGGUAGUUUUAAUUUUACAACUUCAUUGCUUGUUUGUUUCAAUUAAUUACUAUGCUUUGUUUCAAUUGCACUUAAGUCAUGACUUUAGGGGCUUUAUGAUCAAGUGAGCUUUGUUUUGCACAUUUCUUUUUAUUUAUCUUAAUUAAAGUGGUACCUUGACCUUUUUAUUGUUUUGAAGCCAUUUUUGCUUCAUUUGAUUACCACCGCGAGGGAGGUAUAACUUCUUUUAUCUUUUUUGUCUCUCCUCUAUGUGAUCCAACGUGCUAAGUGAGAAUUUCAUGUCUACUUUGCUUUCCUCGCUUUUCCUUAAUUCCUUUCAUUUAUUUCAUUUACUUUUGUUUUUAUUAAGUUAUUCUUUUAUGGGGUAUGUGUACACCUCUUGGCUUGUAAUAGAUAGGGCUUGGAGAGCAUUUUUAUUCACUUUUCCCCUUUCCCAUUUGUUUUAGCUAGCCAAUGUAAUAGGUUCAUUAGUGUGAUUUGCAUGCUUGUGUGCUACGUGUUACUUGCUUUCUUAGGGUCUUGCAUCUAGAUACCAUGUUUAUGUGUUAUGUGCAAUACGUGAUUUAUGUGUUUAUUUGCUUUAUUAGCCUUUACAUGAUUUAUUUGGCUUAUAAUGAAUGCAUGACGUCACCGUGGCUAGUCCAAUGCUAGUCAUGGUUGUCCCCUCGUGCUCUCGCAAGUCCAAUGCUUGUGAGAAAAUUUUAGAAAAAUGGCUAGUCCAAUGCUAGACCCAAUAGGCCGCCCCUCUCGUUAUUGCAUACUUGCAUGUUUCACUACAUUUCAUACAUUUUUUCUUAGUUUUCUAGCAUUUGGCAUGAUCCUCCAAUCCUUUCCCCUUCAUUUUAGGUUUUUGCAUCCUCAUGUUAGUUAUAGGGUACAUUUGCUUGAGAGUCCCCUUUCGAUAAGGAAAACGAGCGAGUGUGGCUACAAAAUAGCCUUAGCACGCUAGUUCUUCCUUCUAAUCAAAGGGAAAAUUAAAAAUCAUGAAGUUAGAAGUCAUCCCCGUACCCGACUUGAUGCAUUCCUCUAGGUUCAUACACUCUCAUUUUUAUUGCAUCACUUCCUCACUUUCUUUAUCCACAUUUUCUCACUACUUAUAUUUUUCUCAAUCCACAUGCCAUGAUCACACAUUUUUCUUCUUUUCCUAUCACUUAUUUAUUUUCUACCUCACAAAUUGCACCCAAAUUGCAUUUAUAUGCACUUACUACCAUUAUACCUUAUUUUCAUCCACUUGCACACAAACACCUUUAUUUUCUCUAUUGGCACACAUGCACUUUCCUUGCACUUGCACACAUGCACUUUUCUUACAUUUGCACACUUGCACUUACAUUUGUUUUUAUUUUACUUGCACUUUUCUUACAUUUGCACACUUACACUCAUACUUGAGUCUUCAUUUGCAUUAUUCAUGACUUCUAUGAGGGCUUUUCUUACUGGCCAUCACAAUUCAUGUGGUUGGGACCAAAAAGCCUCAUAAGAAACAUUUUUAGAUUUAGGAUUGCAUUUGUUUUCAUAUCCAUUAGUCAUAUCCAACAUGCAACACAUACUUUGGGUAGGAAAAAUUAGAAAAAGAAGGGCUAAGUCACGCAACUAGCUUUGGCUAGGGUAAUGGAGUGCCUUAGGCUUUGCCUUUGCCUUCUCCCUUAUCAAAUGUGACCCCCGAUCCCUUUCUUUGGUUACGUAGACCUAAAAGUUCUUUAAAAAGGGUUUGUUUGCUUUUUCUUUCCAAAAAAUCACUUUUUCUUGGGUGACUUGGUACACCCUAACUCUAUACCAAGAACGACUCCAUUUUCCAUUCAAAAACCCUUUUUGAACUUUGUUUGGCCAAACCGUCGCAUUUCACAAUCCCACGGCCUUUUAUUUUCAUCUUCACACACAUUCACAUACACACUACUUCCACACACCAUUCAAAAAGUAGGGCGCGACAGAUUGGCGACUCCACUGGGGACUCCUAAGUGGGUCCAAGCAUUUGAUUUAGCCAUUCUUUUCCGUUUUCUACCCUUGUUAUGCGUAGCAUUUGGAUAUUAGGGUUGCAUUUUCCUUUUUAGGAUUUUUUGCAUUUCACGCGUAUCAACUCACUCCCUCGCCCAUUUGUGUACGAUUAAUGUGAUGGAUGGAUGAUUUAUUUAUGUGAAUCUCGCGCUUUGCAUUGCAUUUGGGUGGGGGGACAUCACCCUAGAGCCUCGCGUUGGUUCUUGAUCCCUCCCCUCCAAAAAGGAGCACUAGCAUACGCGCAUACGCUUUAUUAUUUAUCCCUCCUUUAUUUUUCUUUUAGUGGCUUGUCACGCCACUCCACCCUAUUAGGAUUAGGUGACCUACUUGGACAUGUGAUUGUGACACGACGUGUGCGUAGCAUGAUCCGAGGGGUCACUCAAUCUUCCGCUUUAAACUUUGGGUUAAUAGCCUUUAGUUUUUAGUCGAAGGUUGAGGAUUUUUCUUAGAUUCACCCGGACAUGUAGCCGUGACACGAUGUGUGCGUAGCAAUGUCUGGCGAAUCGCUCGAGCCACCGACAAGGAACCUUGGGAGUGAUGACCUUUAGUUUCCAAGUCUGAAGGCUCGGGGACCUGAGCUUAUCAAGUCUAGAUGCAUUAGUGAACCCCAACCUCAUGCAUCCAUAAUAGUUCACCUAGGGUAGAGUCUGCCUUACCCUAUUAGGGACACCGUUCACGAGGGGAGGGAUCCAACCCCUCCAUUCUUUUUACUUUAUCUCUUUGUAUUGCUUUGCUACAAUGUGUUAUGUGUAUUUAUCUGAUUGAACUAACCUUUCGUGGUUUGUGUCUCCAUUGCAUUCAUUAGCCCUAGGAAAUAAGAGUCCUGGCAUGGCACUCUCUAGGAGCCUACCCCAUUUGAAUGUGACACGUUUAAAUUCAACGCUUCGCAUGCGUAACAUGAAUACAUUUCAUUCUAGGCUCACCCCGGCAUACAAAAGGGGUCCCUUUAGGUCAUGUUUCAUUUUGUGUAAUGCAUGUGUGCUCGCUUUGAUAAAAUGGCAUCAUGCAUAAACCCUAGAGGGGAUGCCACUUAGGGAAUCCCAUAUUAGGGACAAGCCAACCCUAUAUCCCCGUGGGUAUUUAACCCUAUCUUGGGAUUUGCACGUUUAAAUUCAUGUUAACCAGAGAAAUGGGACCUGUAGGUAAGGUAUUUGACUCCGGUUUUGUUUCUAGAUGGAAAGUCCUCGCCGAGUUCAACAGAUAUUAGUAGUACCGCCGGAGGUACAAAGAUGGCCAACGUUGCUUUCACCCAGUGAGAUUAACCAAAUAGCCGGUCGAUUAGGACACAUUGGGGAUUUCAAGGACAUUAAGUCCGACGGCUAUUUGGUAGAAGCUUUGGUGCAUCUAUGGGACCCCACUUGUUCCGCUUUUAGACUAGGAAAAGGGAAAUGACCAUAACAAUUGAGGAGGUCGCCGGAUUUCUCAAUUUGCCGAUUCAGGGAACUGCAGUGAUAUUUCCUGUGAGAACCCGUUUUGCCCUAAUAUUUUCUUAGGGUUUUUCCCCCCUUAAAUUUCAUGUUUUCUGCAUUUUCUGGCCUAGGAAUAUUUUCUUGGUGGAUUUCAUGAGCAGUUAUAGUUUUUUAGAUGAUUUUUCUAGUAUUGGAGAGUUUUUAGAAAAUUAAGACUAGAUAUUGGACGUGGGACCCACUAGUGCGAAAAGUUCGGGAAAAUUCGGCCAAUACGGUUAAGUUUCGGAUACUGUGGAAAAUUUAUCGGGUGUUAAGAGAUAAGUAGUAUGUGUGAAGUGAUUGAUGUGAGAGAGAAAAGAAUGAUAAGAAUGCAUUUAAUGAGGUGACAAGUGUCACAUAAGUAUUGGUUUGACCUUAAGAAAUACUAUUCACAUUUUUGACCUUUGACCCAACUUGGUUAUAUAUCUUCAAAAAUCACAAAAAUGCACCAUUUUUCACUCUUGAUGGCCGAACCUCUCAAGCUCAAAGAAGGAAGGAAAUUCUUCAACUUUUAGCUUCCAUUUCACUCAAUCUUCCACAACUAAUCACCUAGAAUAGAUUCUACUCCAUAAAAUUCUUCCUUCUAGUGAUAGUAAGUUGUUUGGUGAACUUUGUUUGAAGGACUAAGGUGCACAACAUCUUCCUCUCUCUUGGUUCUUGGUAAGUGAAGCUUGAAACACCCUACUACACCUAAUGAUGCUUAUGUUGUGCUUAUUAGUGAUAAGAGUGCUGAAAUUUCUGGUUUUUAUCUUGAUUUGAAGAGUUUUGGUGAAGUUUUUAUUUUAUUGGGAAUUUUUCUGGUUUAAUAUGAAUGGGAUGUUGUGGCCUUGUAUGAUGAAUGGUAAUGGCUGAUAAUGACUCUAUGAGGUGUAUUGGAUAGGAAAAUGUAAUCAAUUUUGGAUUUGGAUGGAAAAUGGAAAGUUAGGGUUCAUAUUAUUCCCAAUUCUGUCCGAAAUUUUAGGUCAUAGCUAGAGGCCGAAUUGGACUUUACUCAAAACAUGAAAGUUGUAGGUAUUGGUGAGUAUGAAGUGCCUACAAAAUUUCAGGGCAUUUGGAGUAGUAUAGAGAGAGUUAUGCCAUUUUUACUGUUGCUGUUUUUGGUGAACAGAAUGUGCGGAACUGCGAUAGUAAUUGCCUGUUUUGACUGGAUUUGGUUUGGAUUUUUAAGUUGGUGUAUUCUGAUGAAAUGUAGCUGGAUAUCUUAGCUAACUUAUACCUUUGGAAUUUCGGCAUUUGGACCUGUGUAGGCUGAGAUUGACGUAUUACAGUUUUGUGUGAUUUGGGAACCUGCAAUUUCGGUUCUGGUUUGGUAUUUGGCACUUUUGACCUAGUUGUGCUAGGAUUUGGACUGAGAGGCCUUCUACAUUGUUGUAGCCCUGUUUCAUAGCUUCGAAAUGGUGGGUCUUACACCCCCAACCGAUAAUUGUAGUGAGAGUUGUGCCAUUACCGCAUUAUGACGUCAAAACCGGUUUUCUUAUCAAGGCCAACAUUAAAGCCUUUCUUAAUUUCUGGUUUGCUUUCAUGCUAGUAUAUGUUUAUAAAACCCUAUUGGGGUUGUGAAUUGGUGUUGUUUAUGGCUCGGUAUGGUUUCUUGUUUUAUGAUAUUGUGAGCUAUGGAACGGCUCUUGACAUGAAAUGCUUAUAUGUGUGUUGUUGAGUUGUGAUUGAAGAAAAAUAAUGAAGCCUUAUGGCUGGAGAAUUUGGUAAACACAAAGGGCAUGCUGCCCGCAUUUUUACUCGAAAUUUAGAAAACUAUAUUCUCGACUUGAGUAAAGGUUACGUAUUUAACACUUGAAUUUCCAUGCAUGAAACCCUAUUGGGUUAUAAUUGGCUUGGCUUUGUGACUCGUUAUCGAGUCUUAUGGUAAUUGUUCACUUGUUCUAGGAGGAAACGGUGGUGCACGACGUUCGUUUAACGACGGUGCAUGAAACAUCAUUUUCUCACUUGGUGAGUAUACUACUCACCUACUUGUUAUAAUGUGGCUUUGUGCUAUGUGUAUUUGAUGCCUUGAAGGCUUACUUGGUUAUUGGGAAUGAUUGAGGUGAGGGUGUACUUGAUCGCCCUCACCCCUUGUGAUUUUAUUCAUGACUAUUAAUUAUUUUACUGAAAGACUGCACUGGAUAUAUGAGAUACUGCAUUCCAUUCAUGGAAACUGAUUUGGUGUCGUUGGACGAGUAUCCAAUGGCUUUACUGCAUUUAUGAGCUCAACCCCGUAUGGUAGUUAAUUGGAUCGAGCCGGCGAGGGCUUGGUCGUGAAAAUUAUCAUGCCACGGGGACUGUACUGGGGAACCUUGUGGUAAUGAGACCCUUGGUUCCGGUAAACUCGAGUAUUACCAAAAUGACUGAAUGGAGUGCGGGCCCGGUUGGGGUAUGUUGGGUGGAAGGAAUGGAAGUGAAGUGAGGUCUACGGUUUGGUACUUUUAACAUUGACGGAGGGUCAAUGAGUGUGGAUCAAGAAUGUAAGCGUGGAAAUGGGCUCUUGAGAGCCGACUGUAUCCUUUCACUGAAUUGCUUUACUUCGAAAUUGUAUACUUGACUUGAAUGGUUAUGCUUAUGUGAUCUUAACUGCUAUUGUGAUAGUUGCUCACUGAGCUUUAGCUCACACCGUUCCAUUUGUUUUCCUUACAGGAAAAUGAACACUUUUGGAAAAGAUUGUAAUAGUUGAAUGACAAGUUGAGCUCAUGUACAUGUAUUUUGAAUAGCUCCUUGAGGGUGAAACCCUAAGUGUUUUGUUUCCUCCAAUGUUUGGUUUGUAAUUGGUUAUUGUACAUGUAUGGAUUAGUUGGAUAUUUUGGUAUGCCGAUUUGGCUUGGAAUGUUGGAUUUCAAUGUAUAUAUGCUUGGUUGAUGUUUGGCUGAACUUUGAAUCGAUUUGGAUUUCAAACGGCAAAAGGAAAAUUUUGAACGAAAAGUCACUGGACUGAAUCCGGCCAGGAAUCCGGCCAGAAACUGGCCGGAUUGCCGGCCGGAUUGCGGAGGGUUUUGGAGAACAUUUUGGAUUGCUCUCGGCCUAGUAUCCGGCCGAGAAUCCGGCCGGAAAUCCGGCCAGAUUCCGGCCGGAUUCUGACGUGGCCUGCACUAUUCAUUUUCGGCAAAUUUUUUUCGUUUUUUUUAUUUUGACUCUUUUGACUUGUUUACGUGCAAUGGGAUGUUCCGGAACGUUAUAGAUCGACGUAAACUGUACCGUAGUCCUGGCGAGAGCUGGGCAGGCAGUCCGCUAACCCCUUUGGUUCGCCUUAGGGGAAAGUGGGGCUGUCACAUUUCCGUUAGUGUCUAACAAAGCCGAAUUUUGUCGUUUCAUCGGGUUAAAGAAAUCAGCAAUACGAGGGUCGGACCAAAAUAUAGAGGCAAAGUUCUUAUUUGAUUGAUUCGCUUCAAAGGAUGGGUUUGAGAGGCACCUAGGAGAUUUCUCGUUCACUUUCAAGGAAAUCUGGGAACGAAAGAGAGUAUGGGUAUACGGGUUGGUUAUGGCUGGAACCUGUUUUUUCCCCAGAAAAGACAAAAAGAUAGCCUUUAAACUCACUAAGAUCUUGUACGACCUAUUUCUAGGAAUGAAAGAUAAACAGUGUUCUAUUAUACCGACUAUUUUGGCCGAUAUUUUCAUAGCCUGCACUACUUGUCAGAGAGGGAAAAAGUUCUUCGUGGUUCAAAUUGGAUUCUACAUGUAUGGGGUAUGGAGCACUUCAUGAGGCGAUCGUCUAUUCCCGAGGGUCUACCAAUGGCUGCGUACAACUGGAUAACUACACACCAUAAGAGGGUUAACAGAGAGGGUCUGCCAUAUAAUGCAUCUGAGUUUGUGGAUUUCUUGAAGAAUAUGACUGAUCAAAAUAUUAGAUGGGUAUUGGAUUGGACCAAUUGUAUCAAACCUGUUCUUCACACUCAAGUAUCUGAAUUUGUUCUUUUACUGGGUACCCAAGGAAUCACCGCAUACACCCCAAAGAGGUUUCUUAGACAGUUAGGACGCACCCAAGAAGUCCCGCCUGCACUUGAUAUGAAAGAGUUUACCAUUAUUUUUGAUGAAGAAACAUGCCCAAACCAAUUCCCUAUGAAAGAUCGGAUUAUUGAGGCAUGGGUGAAGCUAUCUGAUGAUGAAAGGUUUAAAUACAUCCCGGAACUCAAGCAAAAGGGAUUGACCACUCCACAAUACGAAGACUGGGUAAGAGGGUCCGCUACACAAGGAACACAAGAUGAGCCAGCCGAGGAGGUGAAAAGGUUGAAAGCUGUUAUCGAAGCAAAGGAUAGAGAAAUUCUGCAAUUAAGUAAGUCUGUCGAGACAUACAAAGGGAUAGCGGAGCAAAACAAGCAAUUAUAUGAAAAUGAACGAGAAAAGCGUCAAGAGCUGAAAAGGAAGUGCGGAGAAUUGUAUGACCAAGCUGAACAUGUUAGAGUUCCAUAUGCUAGAGAAACUAGGGACUCUGUAUUAGAUAGGCUCAGAAGUUUUGGCAAUCUUGUACGGAAUCGUCUUCGUGACAUGAUGUAAAUAUUGACAAGUCUUAUCAAUGAAAGCGAUUUCUCUUUCGCCCUUAUUUAGCAUUGUUGUCAAAAACAGGUUUGUGUUACGGGUCCCAUUUCGAAGGUGUUGCAUCAUACUAGGCCUACCCUUGGCGCGAAAAGGGCCCCCCAAUAGGACAUGCAUCCGAAUUUUUUGGAUAUUUACUAACUCUUGUCUUUUUCUUUUUUCUUUAUUUUUUUCUGGAAAGCUAAGCCAGGGUUAAGAUCUAAAGGCAAGUCAUUUCAUAUUUUCAGGUAAUAUUUAAACAUAGCUUCUCGUCGAAGCCCCAUCAUAACGCGAUCCCGAAGUAAAACCCAAAGGAAUCAUGUAGACAUGAGUACUCAGCCCGAAUCGUCUGAUAAGACCGCUGCAACUACCCAGCCGGAAGCCACAAGUCCCGGGGUUCAGUUGACUGAAUUACUCACCAAAUUUGGGGAAAUGGCAUCUGAAAUGGCCGCCCAAAAGAAGUUGAUCGACGAGCUCAUUAGUAGCGGAGUGCAGCCUGAGCCUGUGCCCGCCAAACAACCGGAAUCCGAACCAUUUGUCAUUCCUCCAAUUCAAACCACUUUUGAGGGAGUUUUCAACCCGCAGUAUACUUAUACUCAAAAUCCUCUGUUCUAUCCUUCCUAUGGGCAAGGAUUUCAGCCUCAAGGUGGUCCAAACAUGCCUCUGGAUCCACAAGCUUUUUAUCAGACUACCGCAGAGCCUGUUGUGCCAGAGCAUACUGUUCAAACCAAGCCAGAAGUGGGAGAGUCGUCCGCCCCGGUGGAUAUGAAGCUACUCAAGAGAUUGGAUCGUUUCGAUGAGUUCAUCAAGAAAAGCCAAGGUUUAAGCAAACACGGGGUGCUAGACUACGAUGAUCUGUGCCUGUUUCCAAAUGUACAGCUGCCCGUGGGGUUCAAGACUCCGAAGUUCAAUAAAUAUGAUGGUACGGGCAACCCUAAGACACACUUGCGUUUGUUUGCCAACAAGUUGGGCAGACCGGUGGAUGACGAAAACUUGCCAUUAAGGUUAUUUCCAGAGAGUCUAGAGGGAGACGCCCUCGAUUGGUAUUCCAACUUAAAGCCAGAGGAGGUGAAGACUUGGCUUGAUCUAUCCAACGCCUUCAUCAGACAAUACGAAUAUAAUUACGAGCUAGCACCGACCAGAACUACUUUGGAAGGCACAAAGAGGCAACCAUCUGAAGAUCACAAGACAUACGCCAAAAGAUGGAGAAAGAUAGCUGCCAAGGUUGAGCCUCCGAUGACCGAAGAUGAAAUUGUUCGCACUUUUAUAAAGGCGCAUGAUCCUCCACACUUUGAAGAAAUCUUCCGUAUGACCGGAUGUUCAUUUGCUGCGAUUGUGAAUAAACUCGAAGAGUAUGAUGAUUUUGUGAGAACCGGGAAAAUUGUUAACGUCUCUGCCUUAAAAUCGCAAGUAGAAGCUUUGCAAGGGCAAGGGAGCAGUGGAAAGAAGCUGCAUUUUAAAAAGAAAGAGGGGGAUGCAACUUUUAUCUGGAACCAGAACCCUUCACCCAAACCCCGAUACCAACACAAUCCAACCUAUCAACCACAUUACCCUUAUUAUUCAAACCCGCACCAUGUAUAUACUACCAAUAUCCAUCACCUUCGACCUCGCCCAAGCUAUCCUAACUCACCUUUAGCUCCUUUUCAAAUUUCUCAACCAAAUCCGCCCUAAAACCGACCUCGCCCUCCAUAUAACCCAAGAUUUCCUUCCCCAAAUAGACAUGUUUACAGCUAUCCUCAACCUCCUGAACCUUACAACCGACCCCCUAGCCGUACAUUUAUCAAUUUAGGCAGGCCUCUGGACCAAUUGUAUGACCAGUUGAAGGCCGCCAGGAAAAUUGGUAUGGUACCCCCUCCUACCUAUCCAUAUGGCAUGCCCGCGUGGUAUAACCCACAAGCUGUCUGUGCUUAUCAUUCAGGGGCACCCGGAUAUUCAACUUUGGAUUGCAAGGCUCUUAAGCAUAAAGUUCAAGAUAUGAUUGAAGCUGGAGAGAUUGUAAUUUGGAAAAGGGAGGCACAAGGGCCGAAUAUAAAUAGGAACCCCUUGCCGGAACAUGCUAAUACCAUUGGGGUCAUUCUGGACGACACAGAGUAUGACGAACUAGCCCAAAAAUUGGCAAGGGAAGCUGAGGUGUUUGGGGUCACAGACCAACCAUUUGUAAUAGAGAUGCCAUUUGAGGAAGACAAAAGACCCUUUACUUUGGAUCUCACUCCAGCUGAGAGCGAGGCUUUGGAGCCAGUGGUCAUCGAAUUCCCAGAGCAGGCGCCUGUUCUAAGUUUGCAACGAGUGCCAUGGAAUUACAAUGAAUCUGUCAUACAAAUUGGAGGAAAGCCAGUUGCCAAAGAGGAGGUGUCAGUGGUCACUAGAUCAGGGAGAAUUGCAAGUCCGUUUGGAGCUACCGUCCCGAUUAAAACAAACGGUCCCGAGCUGCCCGCUAAACCAGCAAUUACUGAGAAGGAAGCCUUGGAUUUUCUUAAAAGGCUGCAAAGAAGCGAAUAUAACGUAGUCGAGAAGCUAAGCAAGUCGCCCGUCCAAAUAUCCAUGUUGGAUCUGCUUUUUUCUUCGGAUAUGCAUAGGGAUGCGUUGCUCGAAGUGUUGACUAAAGCUCAAAUCCCUAAGGACAUUUCGGUUGAUAAUUUCUCACAUAUAGUUGGGAAUGUAUUAUCUACAAAGCAAAUCACUUUCUCCGAUGAUGAAUUACCAGCAGAAGGUAUUGGACAUAACAAGGCUCUGUACAUAGCUGUGAGGUACAAUGGGAAAAUGCUACCAAAGGCGUUGAUUGACAACAGAUCUGCGCUUAAUAUCUGUCCUUGGAGUACCUUGGAAAAGCUAGGGUUGCAAGAUAUCAAGCUGAGGUCUUCAGGGACCAUAGUUCGAGGUUUUGAUGGAGCACAAAGGGAACCAAUAGGAGAAGUGGAUUUAGUGAUCGAGAUGGGGCCCGCACAGUUUCAAAUAACCUGCCAAGUUAUGCACUUUCCUAGUGUUUACAAUGUUUUGCUUGGAAGGCCGUGGAUUCAUAAGUCCGGGGCUGUGCCUUCUUCAUUGCAUCAAUUGUUAAAAUUCAUAGUAAAUGACAAGUUGAUAACUAUCUUUGCCGAAGAGAAUUGCUUCGUAAUUGCUGAUUCUGGGUCCGAAGAAGAUGGUAGCCGAAACGCCACAGUGACCCCUCAUAGCACAGCUGAUAUCGUCUCCGUAAGUUGGAUAACAAAAGAGGAACGAGCUCUGUCAAAGGCCAGUGUCAUGAUGGCUAAGGAAAUGAUUCGCGGAGGAUAUGAGUUUGACAAAGGGCUGGGACGCGAUUUACAAGGAAUUCUGAAACCAGUGGUAAUUGUGGAGAAGAAUGACUCAUUCGGUUUGGGUUUCCGACCAACCGCUAAAGACAUCAAAGAAAUGAAGGAACGCAAGAGAGCAGAGAAAGAAAGCAGGCAAAAGGCCUUUGAUAUUCCACCACUGCAUUAUACCUUUCCACGACCAACCGAGGUGAUCACGUUAGAGAUUAACCCAGUUGACGAAAUCGAAACCAGUUUGGCCCAAUUGUUCGUUGGGGCAACAUUUGAAGACAGUCUCCCAGAUGAGGCCGAGUUUCCCGACAUCCCUGAAGGAUCAAUUUCCAAUUGGACAGCCGAGUUUCUGCCCAUUCAGAAGGAGUUUCGGUAAAACUAGAGGGGUUUGUCAUUCAUGCGAAUUCAUGAAAAUACUUCUGCAUCUGUAAAUAGCUAAUGAAAGCAUCUUUAUCUUUGACUAAAAUUUGCACAUGUAAAUAUUGUUUCCGCUUGCUUUCCUUUUAUUUUCGCUUUCAAUCAAAGGUUUUAUGAAAAUGCACAAGUGGUUCUUAUCAUGUUGUUUUGUUUAUUCGUUUGUCAUAUUGCUUAUUCAUUUGAUUGUUGUAUGUUUGUUUGCUUAUUACCCCACGUUCGUUAAUUCUUUCAGAUGGCCAAAAAUAAAACUGUUUGACCCUUUGGAUAUCACUGUUCUGGAAUUCAAUAAUGGCAAUCUCUAUAUCACUCACGACUUGGAGGUCUGGGAAUCUGAGCUCCAAAGCGAGAGUGAUAAUGAGGAGGUAUUCGAUUCUUGUGCAAAGAACUUUGAACAAUAUGAGGAGAAACCAAAACCGAACCUGGAAGAAACAGAAAAGGUCAACAUUGGCACUAAAGAUGAAGUUAAGGAGGUGCAAAUUAGUAUUCAUUUGAAUGAGAGGCAGAAAAAGGAGAUGCUUGAAUUCUUGACUAUGUUCCAGGAUGUAUUUACAUGGUCCUAUGAUGAUAUGAUUGGUAUUUCAACUGAUGUGGUAGUGCAUAAGUUGCCCACAGACCCUACUUUUCCACCCGUAAAACAAAAACCCCGAAAAUUCAAACCAGAUAUGAGCCUCAAAAUAAAAGAGCAAAUUGAAAAACAGCUCAAAACCAACAUUAUCAUUGUUUUCCAUUACCCUAUUUGGCUUUCGAAUCCAGUCCCUGUUCCAAAAAAGAAUGGAGAGGUGCGAGUUUGUGUUGAUUAUAGAGACCUCAAUAAGGCCAGUCCUAAAGAUGAUUUUCCUUUACCAAAUAUUCACAUUCUCCUAGACAAUACCGCUGGGCAUGAGAUUGAAUCUUUUUGUGAUUGCUUCGCUGGAUACCACCAGAUUUUGAUGGCAGAAGAGGAUAGGGAGAAAACUGCUUUUAUCACCCCUUGGGGCACAUUUUGCUACCGAAUGAUGCCGUUUAGUUUAAAGAAUGCUGGGGCUACGUAUCAAAGGACCAUGACCACCCUGUUUCAUGAUAUGAUCCACCGGGAGAUGGAGGUCUACGUGGAUGACAUCAUAAUCAAGUCUAAAAGGGCAGAGAACUAUUUGGUUGAUUUGAAGAAGCUGUUCGAAAGGUUGCGAAAGUACAAUUUGAAACUAAAUCCUGCAAAGUGUGCCUUUGGGGCACCAGCUGGUAAAUUGUUGGGCUUCAUUGUUAGUAAAAGAGGCAUAGAGAUAGAUCCAGCGAAAAUCAAAGCAAUUCGAGAUAUGCCAGUGCCGAAAACUCAGAAGGACGUGAAAAGUUUCUUAGGAAAUAUCAAUUUUAUUGGGAGAUUUAUUGCCCAACUAACUGCCACAUGCGAGCCGUUAUUCAAAUUAUUGAGAAAGAAUGUGCCAUUGUAUUGGAGUGAAGAAUGCCAACAAUCUUUGAUAAGAUCAAGGAUUAUUUGUUACAUCCGCCAGUCUUGGUGCCACCCAAGCCGGAUCGACCAUUAAUCAUGUACCUAUCUGUGCUUGAAGAAGCAGUUGGUUGUGUCCUUGGGCAGCAUGAUGACUCCGGAAGGAAGGAGCAAGCCAUUUACUAUCUAAGCAAAAAGUUCACGCAGUAUGAGGCUAAUUAUUCAUUCAUUGAGAAAAGCUGCUGUACAUUGGCCUGGGCAGCUCAAAAGCUGAGACACUACCUGUUGAGCCAUACCACUUAUCUUAUUUCCCGAUCUGAUCCUUUGAAGUAUCUUUUGGAGAAGCCGAUGCUAACUGGACGUCUGGCUAAAUGGCAGAUAAUUCUCUCAGAGUUCGAUAUUGUUUUCACUUCACAAAAGGCUGUCAAGGGGCAAGCUAUAGCUGAUCAUUUGGCAGAAAACCCAAAGGAUGAUGAUUAUCAACCACUUCAUACUUAUUUCCCUGAUGAGAGAGUCUUAUUUGUAGGCGGCACAGACGAUAUAAGUGAGCAAAGCCCUGAAUGGAGGCUUUUCUUCGAUGGAGCUUCGAAUUCUCUCGGAGCUGGAAUUGGAGCUGUUUUGGUUUCACUCGAAGGGAAGCACUACCCUGCCGCUGCCAAAUUGCAAUUUGCUUGCACGAACAACAUGGCCGAAUAUGAAGCCUGCAUUUUUGGUCUUAAAAUGGCUUUAGAAAUGGAAAUCAAAGAAUUGAUAGCUUUCAGUGAUUCAGAUUUGCUCGUGCACCAAACCUUGAAGCAGUGAAUAACCAAAGAUUCAAAAAUUCUGCCCUACCAUUGUAGUCUGCUCACUCUGGCCAAGCAAUUUCGAAAUUUGGAGUUCAGACAUCUCCCGCGAGCCCGAGACGCAUUUGCUGAUGCUUUGGCCACUUUAGCUUCUAUGAUCCAGUAUCCAGAUGAAUUGAGUAUCGAACCAAUCCAGAUUCAACUCCAAGACAAGCCUGCACACUGUUGGGUUGUAGACAAGUCUGCUGACAACAUUCCUUGGUAUAAUGAUAUUAAGGAGUUUCUCAAAACAGAGUCUUACCCUCUGCAUGCUAGUACAAAGGACAAGAGUUUUCUGCGUAGAAUGGCUUCAAAAUUUUUCUUAAGUGGAGAAGUUUUGUACAAAAGAACCUCAGAUUUGAACCUUUUAAGGUGCGUCGAUGAAGAUGAAGCUCAGUAUAUGAUGAAAGAGGUGCAUAGUGGCGUUUGUGGACCUCACAUGAAUGGCCAUUUGCUAGCAAAGAAAAUCAUGAGAACCGGACACUUCUGGCUUACUAUGGAGCAUGAUUGUAUAGAUUUUGUCCGGAGAUGUAUAAAAUGUCAAAUGCACGGUGACGUUAUACGCGCUCCACCUACUGAAUUACAUAGCAUGACCGCCCCAUGGCCCUGUUCAAUGUGGGGUAUGGACGUGAUUGGUACAAUCGAUCCUCCUGCUUCAAAUGGACAUCGAUUUAUAUUGGUGGCGAUUGAGUACUUUACUAAAUGGGUUGAAGCGGAGUCAUUCAAACAUGUUACGAAGAAGGUAGUUGCCAAUUUCUUGAGAGAUCACAUCAUCUGUCGCUUUGGAGUACCCAAAACGCUUAUUACAGACAAUGCCAACAAUCUGAAUAAUGACAUGGUAUAUGGACUAUGCGAGCAGUUCAAGAUCAGACACCGCAACUCUGCCAUUUAUAGGCCUCAGAUGAAUGGAGCUGUAGAAGCCGCAAAUAAGAAUUUGAAGAAGAUUAUCCGCAAAAUGACUGAAAGGCAUCGCGAUUGGCAUGAAAAGUUACCUUAUGCAUUAAUGGCGUACAGGACUUCUAUCCGGACAUCGACUGGGGCAACGCCAUAUUCACUCAUCUAUGGAAUGGAAGCUGUAUUGCCAGCUGAAGUUGAAAUUCCUUCGCUACGAAUCCUCAUGGAAGCUAAAUUGGAGGAGGCUGAUUGGAUGAAGCGGCGCCAUGAGCAAUUGACUUUGAUCGAUGAAAAGCGGCUCAAUGCUAUCUGUCAUGGUCAGUGUUAUCAGAAACGUGUGGCCCAAGCUUACAACAAAAAGUCCAUCGGCAUGCGUUCGAAGAAGGUGACAAAGUACUAAAGCGGAUUUUGCCAAUGCAGGAUGAAGCUAAAGGCAAAUUUGCUCCAAAUUGGCAAGGGCCGUUCAUUGUCCAAAAGGUAUUACCUGGCGGAGCACUUAUUUUGGCAGAAAUGGAUGGGCGGGCAUUCCCUCAACCCAUCAACUCGGACAUGUGUAAGAAGUUCUUCAUUUGAUUAUGUAAAAUUUCUUUUAGAAAUUCACGCAAACGGCGAAAUGUAAGUCAGGCCAUCUUCUUUUACACUUAAAACAUUUUAUCCCUACUUGUCCUCUUUGAGCCAUCAGAAUUGACAAAAUUUUUGCUUGAUAAACCCUGAGAAUUGCAAAUCCCACACUGGGGCAAAUUUAUUUUGUAAAAAAAAAAAAAAAAAAGAGAGAAAGAACCCCACACUGGGGCAAAUUUAGUCUUUUAAUGCAAUACAAGAUGCAAAGAGAGAAAAUCCAAUCAAACUGGGGCAAAAUUCCUUGGUUUCGUUUAAAAACUGGAGAUAAUUUCAAAAUGAUGCAAUCUCAGGUAGUUUCACACCUUUCAUCAAAAUUUGCUUUCAAGCCUCAACCUUUUUCAAAGCACCCCACCGGACCUCAUUACAAAAGCCCAAAGUCCUGGCUUUUGUCACUUGCUGCAUUUUUACUUGAAAGUUUGCUAAUUAAUUGGCAAGUGAUGUCCAUAAUGCUUUCACCUAAAAUUUAUAUGGGAAGUGCAUUUUACUGAUGCCAACAAUCUCUUAACCACAUUUCUCAGUUGAUCGGGAAUGAGGUAGUUCUGCUACUCUAUAGGUGAAAACCCGAAAGGGCGCCUAAAAAAAAUAAAAAAAAUAAAAAAAAAGGAGGAGGGGGGCAACCUUGGUGAAAACCCGAAAGGGCACCAAGGCAGGUUUUCUCAACAGACGAAACGAGAAGGAACAGCUGGUGACCUGGUUCAUUUAGACUUUUCCUCAUGAUUGUGAUACUUCUGCCAGAAUCGAAUUCCGAAGCAAAUAUAUCCAAAGGCUUGAACAUGAUAUUCAUUGGCCAAAUUUGUAUUUUUCCUUUACAAAUAUUCUUUUGCAAAAUGUAUCUUUAUAAACCUCUUGGUUUCUCUCGAUUAUUUGCGUUCGAUUGCUUGUGGUUAUCUGCAUUCUUUUGCAUGCUCAUCUUUGCCUGACAUAGGAAAUCAUUCUGCAUAUAUCAUUGAUUUUUAUAUGACAAAUUUUUCAUGCAUCAUUUUUUCAUCAUUGGAUUCGAAUGGAUGAUAAACCCUAAGGUUUGUGCAAGGAGUAAAAUGCAACAAAGCUGCUACAUAGAUUUGGUGACAUGGUAAAUACGUACUUUGUCAGUCUCAGAAAUGGAAAGGUUUCAAAAUUACAAGUUCAACUAAGCCAGACGCCGCAGAACAGAAGCAAAAGCACCACAAGACUCAUGUUUACACGAUUCUCAAGGCAAACCGGAUCAAAUGAUGGUGGCAAGUCCAUUAUUUCUUCUUUUUCUUGCAGGAACGGUGCAUUUACAAAUGAAACAACCACUCUCCUUUUCACAUCCAAAUCGAUGCCAGAAAAAUCUCCCCAGUAAGCAAAGAUGAAGCGGUGAUGUUAUUAGCAAAGCUUGAUCAUAAGAUACAACAUCAUCUAUCGCUUCAGCUACAGAGAUCAAAUCUCCCUCUUGGUACAAAAGUUUGAACUACUCCCAGGUAAAAACUCAAUUUAUUGUUUAAACCUCCCCGGUGAAGUCCCGUUUUAAAUUCCUGUUCGGGUCAGUCUCGUUUUAAAUUCCUGUUCGGGUCAGUCCCGUAUUAAAAUUCCUGUUCAGGUCAGUCCCGUUUUAAAUUCCUGUUCGGGUCAGUCCCCUUUUAAAAUUCCUGUUCGGGUCAGUCCCGUUUUAAAUUUCUGUUCGGGUCAGUCCCGUUUUAAAUUUCAUGAUUCGGGUCAGUCCCGUUUAAAUUCCUGUUCAGGUCAGUCCCGGUUUAAAUUCCUGUUCGGGUCAGUCCCGUUUUAAAUUUCAUGUUCGGGUCAGUCCCGUUUUAAAUUCUUGUUCGGGUCAGUCCCGUUUUAAAUUUCUGUUUUAAAUUUCUGUUCGGGUCAGUCCCGUUUUAAAAUUCCUAUUCGGGUCCGUCCCGUUUUACAUUUCUGUUCGGGUCAGUCCCGUUUUAAAAUUUCUGUUCGGGUCAGUCCCGUUUUAAAUUCCUGUUCGGGUCAGUCCCGUUUCUUUUUUUAAAUUCCUGUUCGUUGGAAUUAUUUUGCAGCCAAACAACACAGGUGAGUAUUUGGUGUCUACUUCUUUGUCUCAAGUUUUUCCAAAACUCAGACAAAGAGGGACAAACUGUAGACACCAAAUUUUUAGUGUUAGUUUUGUAUUGAUUUCUUGUAUUUUCUUUAGUUUUUUAUUUAUUGUAUUUUAUGUUAUUAUUUUAUUUUUGAGUAAUUUUAGCGUAAGAAUUUAUUGAAAAGAAAAAGAAAAAUCCUUCACAAAAAUGUAUUUUAAUCCUUUUCAAAUUCAAGUUAUUGUUUAUCGAUUAAAAAAAAAGUAAAAAAAAUAAGAGAAAAGAAAAAGAGGAAAAAGAGGAAAAUUGUAGUUUUUAUUUUUAUCCUUUGGGUGCUAAUUUUGUACAUUUUUAUUUAAGUUUAUUUAAAUUGUUAUUUCUGUAUUAUUAUUAUUAUUAUUAUUUAUUUUUAAAAAAAAAAGAAGAAGAAGAAAAAAAAAAGGGGGAACCCCGCAAGCGGGUUUCAGGCUAUUUAACAGGUUCGAAAAAAAAAGAAAAAAAAGAAAAAGAGAGACGUUUUGUUUCAGCCGCAGCAGAAGAGAAGUGCAGCUGCGUUUUUCGGCUAUUUUCCUGGUUUUCUUUAGCUCCCUUCGAUCAAUGUUAGCACUGUUACACCUGGCUUUCAUCCACAAGCCAAAGGAAAAUUUAGAAGUGAAGGCAAAUCCGAUGGCUGAGAGAGGGACGGUGAUCUGAAACUGGUUAUAAGCCAUCGAGAUGAGGUUUUCUAGGGUGAGAGUCUGAUAUAAAAGAGGGAGCUAAGGGUUUAGAGAAAAAAAGAGAAAACCGAGGUGCGGCGGCGGAGUUAGAAAGAAAAAAGGAGAAAGAAAGACAGAAAAACAGAGCAAGAGUGAGGGAGCUAGAAGGAGUUCUUGACGGCUGGAAAACUGAGGGCUUUGAGAGAGUUGAGACCGAAAAAGGUUAGGAAAAACUGAAAAAAGAGAAGAAGAGGAACUGGAGAGCGUCGGGAGUUGGAGAUAAAUUGAAAGCUGAGAGAGGAGAAGGGAAAAACGAGAAGGCCAAGCAAGGAAGUGUUACCGGAAUUGCUGACCGAAGCGGAAAGCUGCUACCACCGCCUUCUGCUAUUUUCAGUCCGGAUCUUCAACAAAAGAAGGCCACUGUAAGCCAUUCUCUCAUGUAAACUUUUUUUUUUUUUCAGAUGCUAAUCCUUUAAGCUUUCCAAGUCUGUAUGCGUGUGAUUGGAACCCCAUGCUUUUACCUUUAGCAUUAAAGCUGUCGUCUUUCUGUUUGUUGUUACCUUGCACGUUCAGUUUGAGGUUCAUUUGCUGUUUGUUCAUGGGUUGCAAUUUAAUGCCAAGAUGCUAGCUUUGAAAGGGGAGGGUAUUUACAGGGUUUGUCCUUGCCGAAAUUCUGGAUAGGUUGUACAGAAAAAGGGCUUGCAUUUUUUUUCACUUUGAAUUUGUCUGCCUCUGUUCGAAUGUUGGGUUUUAUUUGGAAUCUGGGAUUUCGGUCUUUUUCCGCUAUUGUUAGUUUCCGCAAGAACAAAAGAACCAUGCCUGUGAAAUUUGCAUGAAAACAAUAGCAAGAGCUGCGGUUGAAGGAUUGCAGAAAAAUGUUUUUUUUAUGCUUGCUAUGUCCAUGUUUCUUUCUCUCGUGUGUUCAUGCGCACCUGUGGCUGUCUCAUUGUGUUCCUUGUUGGCUGCAACAAGAUUGGAAUUCCUUGUUUGUCACAGUAGUGUUGACGGAUUGGGGUCUUUAGCUUGUUGCAGCAGCGUGGAGGGAUCUUUUUCUUUUCUUUCGAUUAUUGAAAUUCUGGCUGAGUUUAGCUUUCCUUUUGCUUUGGCUUGCUGAGUGAUGGUGAUGCCAUGUAUAUGUUUGUUUACCAUUACAAGUAGCAAUGUGCGACAUGCCAUCAGGCUGGAACAAGUAGUCCAAAAACUGUUGCAGCCACGGCCUCUUUUCUCAUUUUUAGACUUGUAGUUGUUCUAACCAAAGUCUGAGUUCACAUUUUGUUAGAUUCUGGUUUCGUUGUUGGUUUAGCACUAUUUCAAUUAUGCAUGUCUGUUUUCCCAGGCUUUUGUUCCUUAUAUUCUUUCCUGUGUUGUAUGUUUUCAUCCCUGAAGUUUAGUCUAUCACAAUUGGGAAGCUCAGUUCAUGUUUUGAUGCUAGAGAGAUGGGAUUGUAUCAUUCUGUCAAAAUGGCAUGUUAUUGUUUUCUUCUAUUCUGUUGUUGUGCAAGAAGUCAUGAGCGAAUGAAUGGCUAAAGGUUGCAGGAAGAAUUGCAGAAGCUUUCUUCGUACUAGCUUCGCAUGAAAGUUGCAUGAAAAACUUUCCAAAAUUGCACUUUGGCCCCCAAGUCUUCCUUGGUUUCACUAUGGCCCAAUCAUGUCCUAAUUUCUUGCAAUUAGGUCCUAGAAAUAUUGCAAUUUGAACCAUUACUUGACCCUUUCUUUACUUUUGGCCCUUUGAAGUCCCUAAAAUGUUUAAUUGGGUUUGAGUGCUUGAUUAAUGUUUGUAAUUGAGUCCUUGGUGGGUCCCUUUCUUGGAAACUAUGCAUUAUUGGAUUUCAUUUAAGUUGCAAUUAGGAGGAAUUUGGUGAUUUUGUUUUAUUUUACUAUUAAAUUGGUGCAUUAAUCCCUUGUUUUGAUGGUUUUAGCCCAAGUUAUCUAUUUCUUUGGUGACUUUAGCCCAAGUUAAGUCUUGUUCACUUUACUAACAUCACAAACGGGGAGGUAUAACUUCUUUUAUCCUUUUUUGUCUCUCCUCUAUGUGAUCCAACGUGCUAAGUGAGAAUUGCAUGUCUACUUGGCUUUCCUUGCUUUUCCUUAAUUCCUUUCAUUUAUUUCAUUUACUUUUGCUUUUAUUAAGUUAUUCUUUUAUGGGGCAUGUGUACACCUCUUGGCUUGUAAUAGAUAGGGCUUGGAGAGCAUUUUUAUUCACUUUUCCCCUUCUCCCAUUUGUUUUAGUUAGCAAAUGUAAUAGGUUCAUUAGCUUGAUUGCUUGCUUUUGUUGCUAUGUGUUAAUUUGCUUUAUUAGGCUCUUGCAUUUAGUCGAGCAUGCUAAAUGUUAUGUGCUACGUGUUUAUAGGUGAUUGGCAUGUCUACUUGCUUUCUAUAGUCGUAGAUGAAUAUGAUAGAUGAAUGCACGUCACCACACUAGUCCAACGCUAGUUGUGGCUCAUUGUCCCGUUUUCUACUAGUCCAACGCUAGUAGGAAUUCAUAGAUAUGGGCUAGUCCAACGCUAGAUCCAAUAGGCCGUCCCCUCUCGUUGGUACAUACUUGCAUGUUUCACUACAUUUCAUGCAUUUUUCUUAGUUUUUUUUAGCAUUUGGCAUGCCCCUCCAACCCUUUCCCUUUCAUUUUAGGUUCUUGCAUCCUCAUGCUAGGUAUAGGGUACAUUUGCUUGAGAGUCCCCUUUCGAUAAGGGAAACGAGCGAGUGUGGCUACAAAAUAGCCUUAGCACGCUAGUCCUUCCUUCUAAUCAAAGGGAAAAUUAAAGUCGUGAAGUUAAGAGUCAUUCCCGUACCCGACUUGAUGCAUUCCUCUAGGUUCAUACACUCUCAUUCUCAUCAUGUCACUCCAUCACCUUCUUUAUCUACAUUUUCUCACUACUUAUCUCUUUCUCAAUACAAAUGCCAUGUUCACACUUUUUUUUUUCUUGUCACUUGUUUUUCUACCUCACAAAUUGCACCCAAUUGCACUUAUAUGUAUCUACUAUCAUAUUUUCAUCUAUUUGCACACAAACACCUUUAUUUUCUCAAUUUGCACACAUGCACUUAUCUUACAUUUGCACACAUGCACGUUUUCUUACAUUUUCACACUUGCACUCAUACUUGAGUCUUCAUUUGCAUCAUUCGCGACCUCUAUGAGGACUUUCCUUAUUGGCCACCACAACUCAUGUGGUUGGGACCAAAAAGCCUCAUAAGAGACAUUUUAGAUUUAGGAUUGCAUUUUUCUUUUUUCUCGCAUCUAUUAGUCAUAUCCAUCAUGCAAUACAUACUUUGGGUAGAAGAAUUAGGAAAAGUGGGACUAAGUCACGUAACUAGCUUUGGCUAGGGUAAGGGAGUGCCUUAGGCUUUGAGUUUGCCUUCUCCCUUAUCAAAUGUGACCCCCGAUCCCUUUCUUUGGUUACGUAGACCUAAAAGUUCUUUAAAAGGGUUUGUUUACUUUUUUCUUUCAAAAACAAAAAUCAUUUUUUGGGUGACUUGGUACACCCUAACUCUAUACCAAGUGGCGACUCCAUUUUUCAUUCAAAAAACCCUUUUUGAACUAUAUUUUUGGCCAAACCGUCGCAUUUCACAAUCCCACGGCCUUUUAUUUUCACUUUCACACACGUUCACAUACAUAUCUCACACACUACUCACACCAUCAAAAGUGGGGAGCGACACCACGAAAAUAAAAUAAAAUGGGAUAACAGUAAAUAAACGUGCACGUAUGAAGUGUUCCCUAUUUUGAGGGAAGGGGUUGAGAACCAACGCGAGGCUCUAAAGGUGACACACACCCCCCCCCAAAUGCAAUGCAAAGCGCGAGAUAAAAUAAGUACAAUAUACAUCCAAACAACCAAUCAUAUAUACGUGAGUGAGGGAAUAGCUUGAUACGCGCGCGAGGCAAAAAGUCCUAAAAAGGAAAAUGCAACCCUAAUAUCCAAAUGCUAUGCAUAAAAAGGGUAGAAAAAGGAAAAGAAUAGCUAAAUCAAAUACUUGGACCCACUUAGGAAGUCCCCAGUGGAGUCGCUAACUGUCGCGCCCCACUUUUUGAAGGUGUGAAAGUAGUGUGUGGGAUAUGUAUGUGAACGUGUGUGAAAAUGAAAAUAAAAGGCCAUGGGAUUGUGAAAUGCGACGGUUUGGCCAAACAAAGUUCAAAAAGGGUUUUUGAAUGGAAAAUGGAGUCGCUACUUGGUAUAGAGUUAGGGUGUACCAAGUCACCCAAAAAUGAAUUUUUUGGAAAGAAAAGCAAACAAACCCUUUUUAAAGAACUUUUAGAUCUACGUAACCAAAGAAAGGGAUCGGGGGUCACAUUUGAUAAGGGAGAAGGCAAAGGCAAAGCCUAAGGCACUCCCUUACACUAGCCAAAGCUAGUUGCGUGACUUAGCCCCUUCUUUUCCUAAUUUUUCUACCCAAAGUAUGUGUUGCAUGUUGGAUAUGACUAAAGGAUAUGAAAACAAAUGCAAUCCUAAAUCUAAAAAUGUUUCUUAUGAGGCUUUUUGGUCCCAACCACAUGAAUUGUGAUGGCCAAUAAUGAAAGCCUUCAUAGAAGUCAUGAAUAAUGCAAAUGAAGACUCAAGUAUGAGUGUAAGUGUGCAAAUGUAAGAAAAAAUGCAUGUGUGCAAGUGCAUGUGUGCCAAUAGAGAAAAUAAAGGUGUUUGUGUGCAAGUGGAUGAAAAUAUGGUAUAAUAGUAGGAAAUAUAGUAGUGUGCCAAUUGGGUGUAAUUUGUGAGGUAGAAAAAAUAAGUAAGUGAUAGGAAAAAAAGAAAAUUGUGCAAACAUGGCAUGUGGAUUGAGAAAAAUAUAAGUAGUGAGAGAAUGUGGAUAAAGAAAAUGAGAAAGUGAUAUGAUAAAAAUAAGAGUGUAUGAACCUAGAGGAAUGCAUCAAGUCGGGUACGGGAAUGACUCCUAACUUCAUGAUUUUAAUUUUUCCUUUGAUUAGAAGGAAGAACUAGCGUGCUAAGGCUAUUUUGUAGCCACACUCGCUCGUUUCCCUUUUCGAAAGGGGACUCUCAAGCAAAUGUACCCUAUAACUAGCAUGAGGAUGCAAGAACCUAAAAUGAAGGGGAAGGAUUGGAGGAGCAUGCCAAAUGCUAGGAAACUAAGAAAAAUGCAUGAAAUGUAGUAAAACAUGCAAGUAUGAACUAGCGAGGGAAAUCCCUAAGGGUCUAGCGUUGGACUAGCCCAUAUCUAUGAAUUCCUACUAGCGUUGGACUAGUGGAAAACGGGACAAUGAGCCACAACUAGCGUUGGACUAGUGUGGUGACGUGCAUUCAUCCAUUACAUUUAUCAUUGACUAUAGAAAGCAAGUAGACAUGCCAAUCACCUAUAAACACGUAGCACAUAACACUUAGCAUGCUCGACUAAAUGCAAGAGCCUAAUAAAGCAAAUUAACACGUAGCAACAAAAGCAAGCAAUCAAUCUAAUGAACCUAUCACAUUUGCUAACAAAAGGGGAAGGGGAAAAAUGGACAAAAAUGCUCUUCAAGCCCUAUCUAUUACAAGCCAAGAGGUGUACACAUACCCCAUAAAGAAUAACUUAAAUAAAAACAAAAGCAAAUGAAUAAAUGAAAGGAAUUAAGGAGAGGCAAGGAAGCAAAGUAGACAUGCAAUUCUUCACUUAGCACGUUGGAUCACAUAGGAGAGACAAAAGAAAGGAUAAAAGAAAUUAUACUUCCUCAUUCAUGAUGUUAGUAAAGUAAACACGACUUAACUUGGGCUAGAGUCACCAAAGAAAGGGAUAACUUGGGCUAAAACCAUCAAAGCAAGGGAUUAAUGCACCAAUUUAAUGGUAAAAUGCAAAUAAGGCAAUUUGAAUUCACCAAAUCAUCGAAUCUUUCUUCAAUUGCAACUUAAAAAUGAUCAAAUAAUGCAUAAUUUCUAAGCAAAAGUGAAUCAUUGAUCAAAUUUCUAAAAUAGCAAAAUGACUAAGGACCCAAUAACAACCAUUAACCAAUCAAUCAAGGCCAAUUGAAACAUUUUAGGAACUUUGAAGGUCCAAGAGCAAGAAAAGGUCAAGUAAUGGUUCAAGUUGCAAUCAACUUAGGACUUAAUUGCAAGAGAUUGGAAUGUAAUUGGGUCUUUGUAGCAUUACUAGAGACUAAAGGGAGCAAAGUAAUUUUCAAAAGGUUGCUUUACAUGCAAAAUCAAUGUAAUCACGUAGAAGGCUUUCUGCAACAGGACAAGCAAGACUGCUGCAUUUUUCAUGGUUUGGUUCUUUACCAUGGCUGUGUUUAAUCCAAUGGAAAUUUCCAUCCCAACACAGCUAACAUUCUAUCAAACAUCAAGCUUCGAUCAUAAACAAGGAAACAUAGCAUUCGACACCCAAACAUGCAAAUUUCAAACCCAGAAAUGCCAUUCUUUCUCGGAAGCUUUAGUGUCAAAACAGUCAUGAAGGAAUAGACUACAAAACAAGUAUGCAUUACCCAAAACACCCAAACAAAUCUAAUCUCCGAAACAAACUUCUAAAGACUUCAAUCCACACUCCCAAUAAACAAAACCAGAACAUCAGAGCAAUAUAAACACAUCACGUCAAACAUGCCAGAUCCGCUGCAAAUUCAGCAACCAAGAAGAAAAAAAAAUGGCUGCAACAAGCCAAAAGCUUGAAGCUUGUCGCAGCAUACUCUAAAUCUGACUCUUAAGGGUCCUGACAGCCAAAACAAAUGAUACACGGACCAUUUUCAAACAAAGCAAGGGGAAAGCAUGAAGGAUGCACGGGGAAAAAGCAAUUGGUCUCUGUUUCGGAUGAAAUCUAUGGUGAUAUCAUCCGAAACCAACUAAAGUUUACAGCUUCAUCAGCAGACAUCCAAGAUGACAGCCAUGACGCGGAUCCACCAUCUCCCCAGAUGUACAAAUAAAAACGUGAAGGAAGAAAACUCACAGCAAAUUUGGCGACAAAACGAUUUAACAAUCAGAUGAAAGCUUGAUGAUUCAUGACCGAAAGAGAAUGAAAGGUUACCUUCACUCCUUUGAAUCGUAGACAAACAACGCCUGGAGGGAGGAGCAAUGAAUCACUGACGCAGGCCAAGCGAAGCUGGGAAAAGUUCCACUUUUCUGCUGCGAUUGCCCUCCAGAUUCUCGAUCACCUCUCUCCUUGUUAAGUUGCCGGUUUCUUCCUCAACCCUUGACUGUUCUUGCUUUCCUGUUCUUCCUUUCUUUUCUCUCAAUUUUCUUAGCCACCCCUCUCUGGUUUCUUUUCCUAGCCGUCCGUCCUCUCUCCUCCCUCCUGUUUGCUAGCUCUCUCCAGAUCCCCCCUUUUUUCCUCUGUCGGCUACUGCCAAAUGCAACCCACCUUCAUGCCAAACCCUUCAUCCCACGGUCCUCCUUUGCUGCUUCUCCUUCUUUUCAUUUUAGCCUUCCACCUUGCAUGGAAGCUUCCUCCAUUUAGCCAGGUGUCUGACCACCUGGAACCACCAGCCUUCUUUUCUAAAAUUGCAGCCAAAGGGCUGCCCGAGGCCUUCCUUGCAAGCUGCGAAAAUACGCAGCUUACAUGUCACGAUUUUUCUUUUCCAGGAUAAAAUAUUAAUAAUAAUAAUAACAAUAAUAGAAAUAAAAAAUAAAAUGCAAUCAAAAAAUGUUUGUAACUUCUUAAACAGCCCAAAACCUGUAUGCGGGUUUUCUCGGUUUUUUCCCCCUUUUUUUUUUAGAAUAAUAAUAAAACUAAGUAAUAAAAAACAACAAUUUAAGUAGCAUCACACUAAAAACAAUAAAGUUGCCAUUUUUCAAUCUUUUUUCCUUCAUUUUUCAUUUUCAUCUUUUUUCUUUUCUUUUUUCUCUUUUUUUUCUUUUUCGAGAAAUUCUAUGCUAAAAACUUUCAAAUAAAGAUAAAACUAAAAAACUAAAAACUAAAAAGUGAAUAAAACUAACAUGACAAAUAAAACUAAAUAGUAAAUGAAAUUACACUAAAAUUUUGGUGUCUACAACAAGCGAUAAGUUAGGCAUCUCCUGUGAGAUCCCCUUGAAGGUCCUCUUGAGUGCCUGAGCAAUUAAUAAUAAUCUAUCACUCAUAAUCCCAAUUAUCGAAGAAGAUUGUACUAGAGUACAAUCUAAGAAAAUCUCAUGAAAAUGAGCCCUAUUUACACGUGAAUCGAGGCUCAAAGGCAGGGUUUUAAAGUACAAGAGAAAUCUGGUUUUCAUUUCUAAAUUCAAGUGUAAAACGAUCAUGUGAUAUCGAAGGGAAAUGGAGAAUUCGAAAAACUCCAUUUCCUUAAGUUUCAAAAAUUUCAGUUUUGAUACGAAAUCUUUGAAAAAUCGUAUCUCAUUCUUUACAAGUCCAAAAUUAGAAAACUUGGUACCGUUGGAAACUCCUUCCAAAGUACUAAAAGUUCCUAGAAGAUACUUUUCCAUGGUUCCAAAUGAAAGAUAUUUAAAAUUUGGCUCAAAGUUACUAUUUUAGACUAUCAAGGCAGUUUCGGGGUUGGUUUUUGGCCAACUUUAGAAAUUCGUCAAAAUUCACAGAAUUUGAACUAGCCUCUAAAAUUUUAAACUCAAUUAGAAUUAUAAUCAAAGUUUAAAACAAACAAGCAGAACAAGAAUUAGAGUUUUGAGCACCAAGAUAUGGCGGCUCAAAGUUAUUGAAAAGUGAGACCGUUAGGCUAAAUUCCAGAUUUAAUUCACGAACGUUGGGACUUUGGUUGAACAUCUUAACGGACUUGAAAUUGCACCAAAAUUAACAGUCUUAUACUACCAUAUAAGGGCUAUUUCUCUGUCAGAUUUCAUGGAAAAAUACAUAUGGAAAGUUGGUUAACCAAAUCACUAAAGUUUCCAAAUUUCUAAGGCAAAUCUGCAUUGUACUUGAGUUUUCCUUUUCGCAAACGUUUGGCCAACGAAGACAUCUUAAAUAUCAUUCAUUUGUAUAGACAUUGUUUAAGAAGCAUCCAAGAUGUGUUGGUAGGUGAUUAACACCAAGAAUUUCGAAACAGCAAGUCCCAAUCAAGGUUAAGGCAUCAACUAGCCGAAAGAUUUCAAUCUCUGAAUCAGUUUCGAACAUCGGCCAAAAAUCGCUCAAUUCAACUUGGAAUUGAGCGUGGUUGAUGGAUUUGAAAACUAGAUUCAUAAAGCUACAAUUUCUCAGAAGAAAUCAUUUUCAAAAUCUGUCCACAACUAGCUCACAUUUGAGCAUCAAUUCGCUGCUCAAUAUAGAGCUUCCAGUGAAUUAGUGAAACAGGACAGUCACGUUCAAAUGAUUGGUAUGGAUUAUUCAGGUGGAAUCAGAAUGUGCAUUUUAUACCUUUGCAAAGCUGGGAAUGACUAGUUUCCAUUUCAGCAAAUAGCACUCGAUUUAGACAUCGGAGUAAAAAGUUAUAGCUGUUUGAAAAACACUGCCAGUGCAAUACGGGAAAAUUUUCAGUUUUGAAUGAACUUUUGAAAUCACCACAUUUGGCCAACCAAAUCACGUAAUUUUUUGUGGAAACCUUCCACACAACCCAUACAACAUAUAUACAUAUAAAAAAUUCAAUAGGACUUAAAAAAUAUGCUCUAAAGGUCACGGCAUUCACAGGGGCAGAAAUGGAAAAAUUCUCGCCUUCACUUCCUUUGAGCUUUCAUCCAUAAUAUCACUCAUUUCUACUAAUUUAAGCACUAAUCCAACAUUAUUAACAUCAAAACUCACAAAAUCAGUCCAUCAAACCAUAGUGGGAGUUCAUAGAGCCCACUCACCAAUUUUUCAAUAAUUUAAAGCUACUCAUAAGAAAUUAUGAAUUCAUAAGUGCUAAACAACUUCCAUAAGUCAAGAUUUGCAAGGUUGAUCGUCACUUUCUUUCUUAGAUGAUUAAGGCAGAAAUUUCGGUCCUCCUUACUCAAGAAAAAGGGAUUUGAAUCUCUUUUUGUAGCUUGAGUUGCUCUCCAAGUAGAUUUCAAAGUGUGGUUAAAGUUUGAGGUGAUUUGGUGGAAAUUUAGUGAUGAAAUGAAGAAGAGCUUGAAGGAGAAAUUUGGUUCUUUUCUUCUUGAUAUGCAUGGCUGGAAUGGAGCAGAAAAGCGAGUGUUUUGGGCUCUAAUGAAGCUUCCAAGAGAAGCUAAAAUGUGUGGCUCUAAUUAAUUCAAAAGUCAACUUUUUUUCCCGCGCGCACGCGCGUGUUUUGUGUUCGCUUCCCCUCGAGUUUGUUGCACUAGUGCACUAAACCUCUAAUGCACUUACAUUCAUACUAUUAUUAUUCACUCUUAAUGGUCUUAAAUUAAAGGUCUAAAGUCCCUCAAUUAAUCGCGCGCGUAAAAACACGUACUUCCGAUUUGUGCGCGAUAAAGUGGAAUUUUCAAGAAAUUCUUAUAACGAUAGUAUAACUAUCUAACACUUGAACACUUAAACAUAAAAAUACUUAUUUUAAGACUAAUGUACAAGUCUCCAAUUUUUCAGACUCUUUGUACUCUUAAAUUGGUUAUUACUUCCAAAUGCACAUUCACUAUUCUCAUUUAACGAGCUUCCAAAAAUUAAAAUUUUGAAAUAAGUCACUUUAAAAAUAUAAUUAAGCUAUAGAUCCAUCUAAUUAGGUCUAAAAAGGUUAGAAAAUAAUAUUCGGGGCAAUUGUUCAAAUAAAUAAUUAAAUAAGUUAGAAUUAGGAGUUUAAAAUAAACAAUUUUUCGAGGCCUCACACAAAACCACCCUAAGGAGCUCAUCAUUGGUGAUCCAUCCGAGAAUGUCAGAACUUGUUCCUCUUCUAAACAACUAAUGGAUAAUUUUGCAUUAGUUUCACACUUUGAACCAAAAAAUGUUGUUGAUACUUUGAAAGAUGAGAACUGGAUUUUAGCUAUGGAAGAGGAGUUAAAUCAAUUUGAAAGGAACAAGGUGUGGACAUUAGUUGCUAGACCAAAAGAUCAUUCUGUCAUUGGCACAAAGUGAAUUUUUAAAAACAAAAUGAAUGACAAAGGUGAGGUAGUAAGAAAUAAGGCCAGACUUGUAGCCAGGGGAUAUACUCAAGUAGAAGGAAUUGAUUUUGAUGAAUCAUUUGCACUCGUAGCUAGGCUAGAAUCAAUUAGAAUGUUUUUGGCCUUUGCAUGUUUCAAGAACUUUAAAUUAUUUCAAAUGGAUGUUAAAAGUACUUUCUUUAAUGGAUUUAUUGAUUAAGAAGUAUAUGUUGGUCAACCUCCUAGUUUUGAAAAUGAAAUUUAUCCAAAUCAUGUAUUUAAACUCUCAAAAGCUUUGUAUGGACUAAAACAAGCUCCAAGAGUAUGGUAUGUGAGUGGUUUUUUGAUUGAAAAUGGCUUUAAAAGAGGUAUUGUGGAUACUACUCUUUUCACUAAGCAAACUUCACAUGAUCUUUUAAUUGUGCAAAUAUAUGUGGAUGAUAUUAUAUUCGGUGCUGCUAAUGAGAGCUUGUGCAAGGAUUUUUCCAAUAUCAUGCAAAAAGAGUUUGAAAUGAGCAUGAUAAGAGAAUUAAAUUUCUUCCUUGGACUCCAAGUGGUUCCAACCCAAGAUGGAACAUUCAUCAACCAAACAAAAUACACCAAGGAGCUGCUCAAAAGAUUUGGAAUGGAAGAUUCAAAGCAGGUCGGAACACCUAUGUGCACAUCUACCAACCUUGACAAGAAUGAAGAAGGUACAAAAGUUGAUGAAAAGAAGUAUAGAGAUAUGAUUGGUAGUUUGUUUUACUUAACUGCUAGUAGACCAGAUAUCAUGUUUGAUGUGUGUUUAUGUGCUCAUUUUCAGUCUUGUCCAAAGGAAUUUCAUUUAAAUGCAGUAAAAAGAAGUCUUAGAUAUCUAAAAGAAACCUUGAAUUUUGGUCUAUGGUAUCCUAAAUGUCAUGAACUCCCUUUAUGUGGAUUCUCUGAUGCUAACUUUGACGGUUGUAGGGUUGAUAGAAAAAGUACAACAGGUAUAUGUAACUUUCUUGAAAAAUAUUUAGUAUCCUGGUUUACCAAGAAACAAAAUGCUAUUUCAUUAUCUACAACUGAAGCUGAAUAUGUUGCCGCUGGAGCUUGUUGUGUUCAAUUUUUGUAGACACCAAAUUUUUGGUGUAAUUCCUUUUACUUUUUUAUUCUCAUUUGUCGUGGUUGCUUUUAGUUUUUAUUUUAUUUUUAAGUUUUAGCGUAGGAAAAUCAUGGAAAAGGAAAAAUCAUAAAAAAAAAAGAAAAAAAAAGAAAAAAAAGCGUUCAAAAAAUAUGUUGUAGUUGUUUCAGAUUUAGUUUCAUUAUUUAAAAAUGAAAAAUGAUGAAAAAUUAAAAUUUGUAAGAAAAGGAAAAGAAGGAAAAGAAUUUGUUCAUAAAAAUAUGUUUUGAGCAUUUUUUUUUUAGUAUUUUAUUUAUUUUAGUUAAAAUUAUUUCUUACUUUUCAAAAAAAAAAACAAAAAAAAAAAAAAAAAAAAAAAAGGAUACCAGCGGCAAGCUGCAUUUGUAGCAGCUUGCAAGAAAGGACCUGUGCGGCUCCUUAAGCUGCAAAUAUGGCAGGAUUGAUUUAGGGUUUAGAGGUUAGGAUUCUCAUAUAAAAAGGAAGAAGGAUAGCAGCCGCAAGGGGGAGGUUUUGGUGGGUAACAAAAAGAGAGGGAGGAAUCGGGAAAGAAAAAAGGGGAGCAAGAUAGGCAAGGUGACGGGGGGGAAGAGAGAGAGAGGAAAGCCGAGAGCUAGGAAGAGGGCAAAAGAGGAGUGAGUGUGUGAGAGCUGGGAAAGUUGAGACAAGGGCGACGGCUGAAAAGUUGGAAGAGAGGGUGACGGAAGGAAGCAAGAGACUAAGAAAAGGAAAGUGGCGGGUCUUGGGAAGAACAAACAAAGAAGGAGAAUCCGGCAAGGAAGAAAGCUGUGGUCUUUGGACUGAGAGAAAAGAUCUGAGCAGGGAGAGAAGGAAGUCGCGUUUCUGAAAAUUUGGUGGAUCCUUAUCGAAGGUCAGAUCUUCAUAGCUUGUUACUAAAAUCUACAACCUGGGCUGUUUGAUCCUUGAGCAGUUGCAUCACUCAUUCUGCCUUGAGAUUUCUACCGCCCCUUUGAGUCUUCAAGACAGAGAAAGGUAACUAUCCAGCCCCCUUUUGUUCAUUUGUAUGAAAACAAAUCCUUUAGAUAGGAGCAUAGUUUUCUUGUUUGAUGGCCUGGCUGGUCCACCGCUGUAGGAUGGUUCCCCAUUCCCUCGUUGAUUAAUUGCAUAUUUUUGCUCUAGAAUUUCUGUUUCCAAACACUAGAUGACUGGGCUAAUGUUUUGACAAAUCAUGUUAGAAGAUUAGGAUGGUUUUGCUUGUUAGAAUCGCAAGUUAUGAUUUUGUUUGUCAAAAGUUGCAAAAACCUGCACAUAAAAUCUGCUGCAACAAGCUCCAAGCUCUUGGUCCUGUUGCAGCAGCGUGCGCAGAUACCUUUUCUUUUCCUUAGAUGGCCGAAGCUUUGGUUUUGUUUCAAACGCUUGAUUUGGUUUGUAGCUUGACUGAAAUGUCCUGUGCAUGAUUGGGAACUUGGUGUCAAAGGUCAUCAGUAAUUUCUGGUUUGAUAAAUCUGUUGGUAUGAUGAAACAACAAGUUUGGAAACCAAAAAAAAAAUGCAGCAAGUUUCAUUUCGGUUAUUGCAGAAGCUGUUUCGAAGUCGUCACUAGCAUGAGGGGCUUCCUAUAAGUUGCAUUUUUGUCAGGAGGUUUUGCCAUGUUUGUGACUGUAGUUGGUUCAAAGUCUUAUAUGACUCAGCCGAAAGUUUCAUGGGAUUGCAGAAACUGUUUGAACAAAAAUUGCAGCAAGAAAUAUAGGAAUGAUUUUGGGUUUUACCAGUUUUUUUUCAUUCCCCCCUGAUUUGCAUGUCUAAGUUAAUGUCUUAUGAUGGUUUUUGAGAAUCUAAUGAACUCCCUGAAUAGCCAAGGAAGCUUUAAGAUCACGGAAAAAUGAGAAGAGUUUCGCUGCACUUGUUUUUGCUGUUAUAAACUCUCGCCGCCCCUUUGUUUUUUAGCAGUCAUCAACCUGAAUUUUCUUAUUUGAUCUCGCAAUGAGUGUAUUAUUUGGCUUGGUUGAUGAUCAUGGGAAUAUUUUAUGUUUGUUUGACUCAAAAGUUGAAGUUUUGCUGGUAAUAUUUCGGUGAUGAAGCACAGCAAUGUGCGGAGAGAAAUUUCUGCUGCAUUUAUUUUCCAUUCUUUUGCGGAUUAGUUCCUUUCAUCCUUGCCGGUCUGCUUAUAUUCUUUACUUUGGAUCUGCAACAAAGUCUAGCUAUUGAUUUAGUUGGUGGCUGAGAGUUAAAAUCUUGGUAUUCAGUGAACCUGUUUGCAUGAAAUUUGCCUUGAAUGAACAAAGAAAGUUGCAGCAGUUUUAUGCUUCAGAUUUUUUUUGCAUAUUUUUCCAGUAUUUUUGCACAAGAUCUUUCUAAAUUUCUGGCCAUUGGAUUGUGACUAUCAUGUAGUUUCAUUUAAGUUGAAGUCUAGAUGAUUAGUUUUGGAUUAAAUCUGGAAUUUUUUACUUGAAAGGAAGAGGCAGUAAUGUGCACCUGUUCUUGAUUGCUGAAGGCUGUGUUGCAUUUUUUUCCUUUUUCUUUCUUUUGCUUUUAGUUUUCCUUUUGCUGGUUAGUUCCAAUUUUGUUUAUUUCAAUCCUACCAUGAAGUUGUAUGUUUAGUAGACAAUUUUGUUUGCAUGGUAAAUAGAUAGAAUUGCACCUGAACAUUGCCGCAAGCUUGGAACAAAAUGUCAUCAGAAUUCAUCCUUUUUAGUUGCAGAAUGUUAAGCUCUUCACGUAUGCAUGCAUGCAAAUAUCUUUCAGAAAAUUGCACUUUAACCCCCCCAAGUCUCUCCUUGUUCCACUAGGACCCAAUCAAUUAAAUAAUUUCAUCAAUUUGGUCCUUGGUAGUUUUAAUUUUUGCAACUUCAUUGUUUGUUUGAUUCCAAUUAGCCACCUUGCUUUGUUUAAAUUGCACUUCAUGCAUGAAUUUAAGAGCUUUAUGACCAUGUGAGCCCGUGUUUGCAUAUUUUCUUUAAUUUCUUCAAAUAAAUUGGUACCUUGACCAUUUCUUUUAUUUUGGAGGAUAAAUAAGUUGAUUUCACUCCAUUAGAGCUUCAUUUCAAGGGCGGUAUAUCUUCUUUUAUCCCUUUUGUCUCUCCUAUGUGAUCCAAUGUGCUAAGUGUGAAUCGCAUGCCUAAUUUGCUUUCAUUACCAUUCUUUAGUUCCAUUAUUUCAUUCCUUCUUGCUUUUAUUAAAUUAUUCUUUUAAAUGGGGUAUGUGUACACCUCUUGGCUUGUAAUAGAUAGGGCGUAGCAAGUAAUUUGGUCCAUUUUCCCUUUCCCUUCUGUUUUAGUUAGCAAAUGUAAUGGUUGCAUGCCUAUGUGUUAUAUGUUAAAUGUUUUAUUAGGAUUUUGCAUCUAGUCAAGCGUGCUAAAUGUUAUGUGCUACGUGUUUAUAAGUGAUUCGCAUGUCUACUCGCUUUUUGUAGUAUGGAUGAAUGGAAUGGAUGAAUGUACGUCACCACACUAGUCCAACACUAGUUGUGGCUUCUUUUAUCGUUUCCACUAGUCCAACGCUAGUCGGAAUUCAUAGGAGGGGCUAGUCCAAUGCUAGACCCAAUAGGUUUUUUUCCUUUUCUCAUUAAGUGCAUGAUCACCACAUAUCACGCAUUUUUCAUUAGUUUUAUCAUUUGGUAUGUUCCUCAAACCCCUUCCCCUUCACUUUAGGACUUGCAUCUCAUGCUAGUUAGCGUUCAUUUGCGUGAGAGUCCCCUUAAAUAUGGGAUAUAGACGAGUGUGGCUUUUUCUAAGCCUUAGCACGCUUGUAUUCUCUCUAUCAAAAGGCAAAUUGAGUCACGAUUUAGGUCUCCCCGUACCCAUUAUGCAUGAAUUCCCUAGGUUCAUGCAUCCACUCUAUCAUUACACUUUCAUUUUUUCCUCCCAUUUGCACACGUACACCUUUUAUCCCUCCAUUUGCACACGUACACCUUUUAUCCCUUUUAUCCCUUCAUUUGCACACGUACACCUUUUUAUCCCUUCAUUUGCACACGAACACUUUUAUCAUCACUUGCACACAUGUACUUCAUAUUAUCAUUUCACACACCGCACCUUGCCCACUCACGUGCACAUUUUCACUUACAUAUUAUUGCCUUUUAUUACUUUUUUUCAAACUCAUGUCCUCACAUUGCAUACAUGCAUUCCAUUCAUUUGCAUCCCACUCGCAUUAUUCGUGACCUCUUCAAAGGAUCGUUAUUGGGCUUCACAAUUAAUGUGAUUGGCACCACUCAACCUUUGAAGGGAAAUUUCCCCCAAUACCCCUAGGUCUAGGGUUUUCCAUUCAUGUAGUACAUCCAAAUGUAAUAAAUUCUUUGGUUAAAACAAGAAAAUCUUUGAUUAAAUCAACGCAACUAGCCUUGGCUAGGUCGAAGGGGUGCCUUGGAUUUUUAUCCUUGCCUUCCCCUUCGUCAAAUGUGACUCCCGAACCUUUUUCUUUGUUUGCGUGGACUAGGAGUCGUUCAAAAGGGUUUCUUACUUUUUUCCUUAAAAAUUCACUUUUUGGGUGACUUGGUACACCCUAACUCUAUACCAAGUGGCGACUCCAUUUUUCAUAUAAAAAACCCUUUUUGAACUAUUUUUCUUGGGUCAAAUCGUCGCAUUUUCAAACCCCCAUUUAGACCCAUUUUUCUUUUAAAUCACAAUUCAUUUUCCAAUCACAAAUAUAUUUUUCAAACCAUUUAUUUUAUUUAUCAAAAAAUGGGGCGCGACAGUUGGCGACUCCACUGGGGACGUUUGAGAGUCCGAGCAAAUUUGAUUUAAUCAACCUUUUUCUCUUUUUAACCUUUUCAUUUAUCACAUUGGAUGUUUAGAGUUGCAUUUUUCCCUUUUUUAGGAUUUUGCAUUUCACGCGUAUCCAAUUACUCCCUCGCUUGCGAAUGUAUGUUUGGUUGAUUGGAUGUAUGUUUACUUGCUUAUCUCGCGCUUGCAUUGCAUUUGGGUGGGGGACAUCACCUUAGAGCCUCGCGUUGGUUCUUGAUCCCUCCCCUCCAAACGAGCACUAGCAUACGUGCAUACGCUUUAAUUAUUUUUACCCCCCAUUUAUUUUUCUUUUAGUGGCUUGUCACGCCACUCCACCCUAUUAGGAUUAGGUGACCCACUUGGCCAUGUGAUCACGACACGAUGUGUGUGUAGCAUGUUCCAAUGAGUCACUCAAUCUUCCGCUUUAAGCUAUGGGUUGAUAGCCUUUAGCUUUUAGUCGAAGGUUGAGGAUUUUGAUAGAUUCACUCAAACACGUAGCCGUGACACGAUGUGUGCGUAGCGGUGUUUGGGGAAUCGCUCGAGCCACCGACAAAGAACUUUGGGAUUGAUGACCCUUGGUUUCUAAGUCUGAAGGCUCGGGGACCUAAGCUUAUCGAGUCUAGAUGCAUUAGCAAACCCCACCCUCAUGCAUCCAUAUUAGAAUUGCCUUAGGGUAGAGUUGGCCUUAUCCUGAGCUAGGGACACUAUUCACGAGGGGAGGGGUCCAACCCCUUUCUCCCUUUUCUUGCUUUAUUUCUUUGUAUUGAUUUCGUUGCUACAAUGUGUUAUGUGUAUUUAUCUGGCUGAACUAACUUUUCUUGGUUUUAUGUCCCCAUUGCAUUCACAAACCCUAUCAAAUAAGAGGUCUGGCAUGACCUUCUUUUAGAACCUACCCUCGUAGAUAGGUUAUUGCACGUUUAAGGAUUUUGGUAUAUUGCAUUCAUAGAUUUUGGUAAUUGCAUAGCAUUUUAGGCCUACCCUGGCAAAUAAAGGGUUCCUUAGGUCACGUUUCAUUUCGAAUUGCAUAUUUACAUCGCUUUAAUAACUGGCAUCAUGCAUUAAACCCUAGAAAGGGAAUGCCAUUUAGGGGAUCCCGCGUUAGGAAUAAGCCGCCUUGCGUCUCGGAUACUUAAUCCAAGGAGACUUGCACGUUUACAUUUUGUACCAUCCAAAGGGGUAGUGCACAAGGUAAGGUAGGAUCCGAUCAUUUUCAUAGAGUGAUCUUUGGAAUAUGAGCGUCUAAUAAUCACUUUUUGGCCAUUUUUAUCAAAGUUGGUAAAAAUCCCUUGCGCAAAGGACAUUAAUUUGAAGAAAUUCACAAAUGAUUCUUCCUAUUGAGACGAUGAAUAAAUUGAGGCCAAAUCGUGAUUUUAGAAGGCUCAUGGACUAAUUUUCUGAAACCAUCAAUGGCCGAACGAUUCAAUCGAUCCAUUUUGUCAAUUCCUAAUCAAUUUUGAAUAAAUCAAUUCAUUUGACCAAUUUACCCUUUUAGGGUGAUUUGGUCGAUUUUUGCAUAAAUCAUCAAUCUCCAUUUUAUUCAUUGGACCAAUUUACUCAUUUCUUAGGUCAACUCAAUCAAUUUUGAAUAAGUCAUUCGAUUUCAUUUGACUAGUUUACCCUUUUUAGGGUGAUCUAGUCAAUUUUGAAUCAAUCAUUCGAUCCAUUGGACCGAUUUGCCUAGUUUUAGGGCGAGUUGGUCAAAUCAUCAUUUCACUCGAUCUGUUUGAUCAAUUGACUUCAUUCAAUUCAUUUGAUUAAUUCAUUCUUAGGGUUAUCCAUUCAAUUUUGAAUAAAUGCAUUUGACCAUUUUACCCUUUUUGAAGGCGAUUCGGUCGAUUUUUGAAUAAAUCAUCCAUUUUAUCCAAUCCAUUUUGUCAAUUCAUUCAUCAUUUGACCAAUUCAUUCAUUUUGACCAAUUUACCCUUUUUAGGGUCAUCUGGUCGAUUUUGAAUAAAUCAUCAAUUCAUUUGACCUGUUUCCCUUUUUAGGGUAAUCCGGUCGAUUUUAAAUAAAUGGUCAAUUUCAUUCAACCCAUUUGACUAAUCAGGGUUUCAAUUUCAAAUUGGGAAAUUUAGUUGAUUUUUGAGAAAACCAUCCAUUGUAUCCAGCCAUUUGAUCAGUUGGAGUUUUGACCCGUGCUCCACUGAAAAAAUUUGGUCAACGAAUUCCAAUCUCUUCGAUAGGAAGUUCGUCAAGGUCAAACCCGUGCGUUUUUGCAAGUUCUUGUAUCGAUCAAAAGUAAUCAAUCCCUUCGGACGAGGUCCUCAUUUUGACAAACGUCUCUUCUCAUUUCAAUGGGCCAAAUUUUUCAAAUUAUUUUUCACUCCAUAAGCUGAUCGGAUCCAUCAGGUAUUGUAUAGUGCCUGCUCUGAAGGAUUGCAUUUUCAUGCUAGGCCUACCCUUGGCACAAAAAGGGCUCCCCCAUAGGACAUGCAUACCGAUUUUAUAUUCUUUCUUACUAACUCUGGGUAUUUUCCUUUUGUUUUCCCCCUUCCCCCCUGCAUUCAUAAGAAUAUUUCAAUAAGGCAAAAACAUUUUUCUAUGGUUGACGAUAAUUUUGAUCUAAUAAAGUUUGAAAAUCACAAGUAUUAUUUGAUUCUUGGGCAGAUCCAACAAUGGAAACCUGAAAAACCCAUCUGAAAGCUCUAGGCUAAGAGCUUCUAAGAGAUUUCAUAAUUGUUUUCAAGGAAAAUUCUAUAUAUUUGACUUGUUAAUAUAUUUUUGUGUCAAAAGAAAAGGAGACAAAAAGUGUAUAUGUGGAGCUCUUUACAAGUUUCUCUCUUCUCAUUUGUAUCAUAAUUGAAUGAGAAUUUUUGUUUCAAACUUUUUCAGCAAUAAAAUUUUUGGACAAUCAUUGUCUUGUACAUAUCAUUCUUUAUUCUUAUUCAUUGGAGAUUUCAUGAUGAAUUUUGAGAAAUAAAACAAAUUGAGAUUUUUUCAACCUCUAGCCUAAAAAUUCACAAGUGUAUGCUUCCUAAAUCCUUACAUUUGAUCGGUGAUCCAAGUUAUACAAUAAGAGUGCUCAGAGGAAAAAAGAGGUGAAUGAUCACUCAAAAAGCCCCUUGAGAUACCUUUUCUCCUUCACUUAACCCCAAAAUAAAAUCAGUCACAUUGAUUGAUAAAUUGCAAAUUGAAGCAACUUUUUGCUUGCAAAUGCCCAUUGGUUUAACCAGAUUCAAUUCACAUCUAAGUGAAAGCAAAAAUGUGCAUUACUCUUGUUUGUUUUGAAAAUUUGGAAUGAUACUUCGAGCAAUUUUUUCUCUACCUAUACACAUUUUAUCAUUUGCUCUCCCAUUUGAGCCUUUGAAAGAAUAAUUUCGCUUCAAAUAAGAGCCCUAAUGAUCACUACCCUAUGUUGGAAAAUUUUCAAAUAUAAAAAAGGGGAAUGAAUUUUCAAUGACCAUUUCGUUACUUUGGUUGUCAUGAAGCGUAAGAAUGAUGCUUUGGCCAUCAUUUCUCCAACCCAAACACUGUUUUACCCCUUGCAUCCUCAUUUGAGCUAAAAUUGGUGGUUCUUUUCGAAGCACCUAUGAUCGCACCCCACAUUGGGGAAGGAGAUUGGGGAAUUUUGAAAAAAAGAAAAAGAAAAGGGGAAAGGGAACCGCAAAUUGAGAAAAUUUGAUUCCACUUGGGUUCCAAUUUUGAAAAAAAAAAAAAAAAAAAAAAGGAAGAGUUUUGUCCGUGUGGAUCGCCUAUGUUUCACAAAUAUGGAUGAACAAGCGUCUCCCUCAUUCAAUUAAUUCAUAUACAUGCCAGAAAUUUUGCAUUAACGAAAGUUUCCUUUCAGAGUUAUUGUAAGGAACGGAACAAAGGUCAGGCCCUCUUCUUUUCCAAUCAAGCAUUCUAUCCCUAGUUAUCCCUUUUUGAGCCUUCAAAAUGAAUUAUUUCGUUUGGCAACCCCUGAGAAUCGCAAACCCCUCACUGGGGCAAGUUUGAGUUGAAAAGAAAAAUUUCAAGAAGUGAAAAGUGAAAAGCCACAAAAUCAAAAGACAAAAGAGAAAAGAGAACCUCAGUUCAAAAAUAAACUGGGGCAAAUUUUGUGAAAGUUCAAAAAUGGCAAAAAGUUGAAAAAUCAAAAGAAGAAAGAAAAUGAAAGAGAAAAAGCCUCAAUUGAGCAUAAACUGGGGCAAAAUUUUGAUUUAACCCUAAAAUAGGGUUGGCACAACAAUGCGAUCUCAGAUUACUUAAACUACUCUUGAAAUCUGCCUUCAAGCCUUAACUUUUCUAAACACCCCACCAGACCCCAUUACAAAAGCCGAAAGUCCUGACUUCUGUUCUUUACAACGGCCCUGACAAGAAAAUUUCUGAUGUCGGAAAAUUUUAGCUGUAUUUCUGAAUUGCUUGGAUAUGGGGUUGACGCUACUCACCAUGUAAAAACCUACCAAGUUGAGGGAAAGGAAAAGAGGCAAAAAGCAAAGCAAGAAAAGUAAAUGCAAGAAAAUGUAGAAAAUUCGACGCUGAAGUCCCUGGUGAGUGAUGAGAAAAAUGCAAACAAAGUCUGAGAUCUUUAAGUUCAGAAUAGGGGCGAUUUUGAGAAGAAUGCGAUCUUUGCUGCAAUGCCCUUGAAAAUUAUUUCUUUAACUAUCGUUUCAAGCCACAUUACAAGCUAAUAAAGUCCAUCGUUGACUUAUUCUUUCAUGACAAUCCAAAGUGAGGAUCAUGCUCAUAAGAAAUUCAUCAAGUCAUUUGUGAUCAUAAGGGUAUAACCCGUUUCCACAUGUUUAGCUAUCAUUUCUACCCAUUUGUUGCAAGCUUAAAUCUUGUAUGUUGACUAAGUUUUCUUGAAAAUAAGGGUAACAAACUCUUUGCUUUCACUAAGAUGUGAUGUUGAAUGGAUUACAAUUUGUGGGCACAAGAACCAGACAAAUCUUGACCUCUCAUUUUCCUUGGCCACCUCAAAAAUCGGAAAUAAAGCCACUCGAUUAGUCCUGAAGAUGAGCCAACUGGAAAUGGUGACCCAUUACCCAAAACACAGAUGCUAAAAGUGAGGAAGAAAUCCUCUGUGAUUUGGUUUUAUUUCAAGAAAUUCAUCAUGAAAUUUUCUUGUAGGAAACAUAGUUCUUACAGUGUUCAAAUAAAUGGAAAGUCAUCCGAACAAGCUUUUUCCAUUAAAUGGGCCCACAUUGGGACAAAUUUUUAUUCAUGGGAUUUCACAGAAUAAGCCCACACUGGGGCAAAAUUUUUAUAUAGUUCAUUUGACGAUUUCGUCCAAGAAUCAAAUAAUGCAUUUUUCAAAUCAAACACGCUGUUUCUUUUCAUGAAAUUCAAGUGCAUGUCAUAUUUUUGUAAGCCCCCUGUGCAGGUAUUCAUAGUUGAAAUCGACGAAGGAGCAUCUGGUGAUGUGGAAAGCAGACGCCGAAGAAAGAAAAGAGAGAAGGGAAAAGGGACCCUACACUGAGGGCAAUUUAUUUUGAAAAAUUUUUUUUUCGAAAAAUCAGAAAAUUCAAAAUUCAAAAAAUCAAAAAAAUCAAGUUCAAAUUCUUGUUUCUUGGAAAAUCAAAUUUCUUGUUUCUUGACAAUCACACUUAAUUUCUUGACCAAUUGGAGAUAGGAUUGGAUCUUACCCCACUGAAUAUUUCAAAAAUCACGUUGGGCCUGGAUUUCGUGCCGCCAACAUUCCAAACAGCAAGUUGGGCCUGGACUUCGGGCCGCCAACCUUCCAAGAAUCAAGUUGGGCCUGGACUUCGUGCCGCAAACCCUCCAAAAAAAAAAAAACACGUUGGGCCUGGAAUUUGUGCCGCCAACUUCACAAAAUCACGUUGGGCCUGGAAUUUGUGCCGCCAACAUCCCAUUGAGUCUGAAAUUUGUGCCGCCAGUGCAACCAAGGCAAGCUCGGGUAUAAUCCCACUGAUCAAUUCAUCAUACUGGGGCAAAUUAUUUUUGGGAAGUUUUUCAAAAUAAAAAAAAUAAUAAAUAAAUAAAAAAUCAAAAAAAUCAAAAAAUCAAAAAAAUCAAAAAAAUCAAAAAAUCAAAAAAAUCAAAAAUCAAAAAUCAAAAAUCAAAUCAAGUUUCAUCACGGCAGGCUCGGGUUUUAUCCCACUGACCGCUUUUAUUUUCGUUGGGCAUGGGUUUGUUUUUAUCCCUCCGACCUCGGCAGGCUUGGGUUUUAUCCCACUGACCGCUUUUAUUUUCGUUGGGCACGGGUUUUAUCCCUCCGACCUCGGCAGGCUCGGGUUUUAUCCCACUGACCGCUUUUAUUUUCGUUAGGGCACGGGUUUUAUCCCUCCGACCUCGGCAGGCUCGGGUUUUAUCCCACUGACCGCUUUUAUUUUCGUUGGGCACGGGUUUUAUCCCUCCGACCUCGGCAGCUCGGGUUUUAUCCCACUGACCGCUUUUAUUUUCGUUAGGGCACGGGUUUUAUCCCUCCGACCUCGGCAGCCUCGGGUUUUAUCCCACUGACCGCUUUUAUUUUCGUUGGGGCACGGGUUUUAUCCCUCCGACCUCGGCAGGCUCGGGUUUUAUCCCACUGACCGCUUUUAUUUUCGUUGGGUAUGGGUUUUAUCCCUCCGACCUCGGCAGGCUCGGGUUUUAUCCCACUGACCGCUUUUAUUUUCGUUGGGUAUGAGUUUUAUCCCUCUGACCUAGGCAGGCUCGGGUUUUAUCCCACUGUCCGAUUGUCAAAGCAUGUUAUUUUCAUAGACACUGGAACGUGGGUCAGUCCCGCCAGUGAACAUUUCAGUUUCACAGCCACUGGAACGUGGCUCAGUCCCAUUAACACUUCAUUUCACUUCUUUCAUUUGCAUCGCCAAAAAACAUGGGUCAACCCCACUAAGACUCCAUCUCACUUCAAUUCAUCUGAUUAAAAAUUCUGUUCGGGUCAGUCCCGUUUAAAUCCUGUUCGGGUCAGUCCCGAUUUUAAAAUUUCCUGUCAGGGUCAGUCCCGUUUAAAUUCUGUUCGGGUCAGUCCCCUUUAAAUUUCUGUUCGGGUCAGUCCCGUUUAAAUUCUUGUUCGGGUCAGUCCCGUUUAAAUCCUGUUCGGGUCAGUCCCGUUUAAAAAUUCUGUUCGGGUCAGUCCCGUUUAAAAAUUCUGCUCGGGUCAGUCCCGUUUAAAUUCUGUUCGGGUCAGUCCCGUUUAAAUUCAUGUUCGGUCCAGUCCCGUUUAAAUUUCUGUCUCGGGUCAGUCCCGAUUUUAAAAUUUCCUGUCAGGGUCAGUCCCCAUCAUUUGAGUAAUUCGCAGCCGAAUAACGCAGGUAAGUAUUUGGUGUCUACUUCUUUGUCUCAAGUUUUUCCAAAACUCAGACAAAGAGGGGCAAACUGUAGACACCAAAUUUUUGGUGUAAUUCCUUUUACUUUUUUAUUCUCAUUUGUCGUGGUUGCUUUUAGUUUUUAUUUUAUUUUUAAGUUUUAGCGUAGGAAAAUCAUGGAAAAGGAAAAAUCAUAAAAAAAAGAGAAAAAAAAAGAAAAAAAAGCGUUCAAAAAAUAUGUUGUAGUUGUUUCAGAUUUAGUUUCAUUAUUUAAAAAUGAAAAAUGAUGAAAAAUUAAAAUUUGUAAGAAAAGGAAAAGAAGGAAAAGAAUUUGUUCAUAAAAAUAUGUUUUGAGCAUUUUUUUUUAGUAUUUUAUUUAUUUUAGUUAAAAUUAUUUCUUACUUUUCAAAAAAAAAAAAAAAAAAAAAAAAAAAAGGAUACCAGCGGCAAGCUGCAUUUGUAGCAGCUUGCAAGAAAGGACCUGUGCGGCUCCUUAAGCUGCAAAUAUGGCAGGAUUGAUUUAGGGUUUAGAGGUUAGGAUUCUCAUAUAAAAAGGAAGAAGGAUAGCAGCCGCAAGGGGGAGGUUUUGGUGGGUAACAAAAAGAGAGGGAGGAAUCGGGAAAGAAAAAAGGGGAGCAAGAUAGGCAAGGUGACGGGGGGGAAGAGAGAGAGAGGAAAGCCGAGAGCUAGGAAGAGGGCAAAAGAGGAGUGAGUGUGUGAGAGCUGGGAAAGUUGAGACAAGGGCGACGGCUGAAAAGUUGGAAGAGAGGGUGACGGAAGGAAGCAAGAGACUAAGAAAAGGAAAGUGGCGGGUCUUGGGAAGAACAAACAAAGAAGGAGAAUCCGGCAAGGAAGAAAGCUGUGGUCUUUGGACUGAGAGAAAAGAUCUGAGCAGGGAGAGAAGGAAGUCGCGUUUCUGAAAAUUUGGUGGAUCCUUAUCGAAGGUCAGAUCUUCAUAGCUUGUUACUAAAAUCUACAACCUGGGCUGUUUGAUCCUUGAGCAGUUGCAUCACUCAUUCUGCCUUGAGAUUUCUACCGCCCCUUUGAGUCUUCAAGACAGAGAAAGGUAACUAUCCAGCCCCCUUUUGUUCAUUUGUAUGAAAACAAAUCCUUUAGAUAGGAGCAUAGUUUUCUUGUUUGAUGGCCUGGCUGGUCCACCGCUGCAGGAUGGUUCCCCAUUCCCUCGUUGAUUAAUUGCAUAUUUUUGCUCUAGAAUUUCUGUUUCCAAACACUAGAUGACUGGGCUAAUGUUUUGACAAAUCAUGUUAGAAGAUUAGGAUGGUUUUGCUUGUUAGAAUCGCAAGUUAUGAUUUUGUUUGUCAAAAGUUGCAAAAACCUGCACAUAAAAUCUGCUGCAACAAGCUCCAAGCUCUUGGUCCUGUUGCAGCAGCGUGCGCAGAUACCUUUUCUUUUCCUUAGAUGGCCGAAGCUUUGGUUUUGUUUCAAACGCUUGAUUUGGUUUGUAGCUUGACUGAAAUGUCCUGUGCAUGAUUGGGAACUUGGUGUCAAAGGUCAUCAGUAAUUUCUGGUUUGAUAAAUCUGUUGGUAUGAUGAAACAACAAGUUUGGAAACCAAAAAAAAAAUGCAGCAAGUUUCAUUUCGGUUAUUGCAGAAGCUGUUUCGAAGUCGUCACUAGCAUGAGGGGCUUCCUAUAAGUUGCAUUUUUGUCAGGAGGUUUUGCCAUGUUUGUGACUGUAGUUGGUUCAAAGUCUUAUAUGACUCAGCCGAAAGUUUCAUGGGAUUGCAGAAACUGUUUGAACAAAAAUUGCAGCAAGAAAUAUAGGAAUGAUUUUGGGUUUUACCAGUUUUUUUUCAUUCCCCCCUGAUUUGCAUGUCUAAGUUAAUGUCUUAUGAUGGUUUUUGAGAAUCUAAUGAACUCCCUGAAUAGCCAAGGAAGCUUUAAGAUCACGGAAAAAUGAGAAGAGUUUCGCUGCACUUGUUUUUGCUGUUAUAAACUCUCGCCGCCCCUUUGUUUUUUAGCAGUCAUCAACCUGAAUUUUCUUAUUUGAUCUCGCAAUGAGUGUAUUAUUUGGCUUGGUUGAUGAUCAUGGGAAUAUUUUAUGUUUGUUUGACUCAAAAGUUGAAGUUUUGCUGGUAAUAUUUCGGUGAUGAAGCACAGCAAUGUGCGGAGAGAAAUUUCUGCUGCAUUUAUUUUCCAUUCUUUUGCGGAUUAGUUCCUUUCAUCCUUGCCGGUCUGCUUAUAUUCUUUACUUUGGAUCUGCAACAAAGUCUAGCUAUUGAUUUAGUUGGUGGCUGAGAGUUAAAAUCUUGGUAUUCAGUGAACCUGUUUGCAUGAAAUUUGCCUUGAAUGAACAAAGAAAGUUGCAGCAGUUUUAUGCUUCAGAUUUUUUUUGCAUAUUUUUCCAGUAUUUUUGCACAAGAUCUUUCUAAAUUUCUGGCCAUUGGAUUGUGACUAUCAUGUAGUUUCAUUUAAGUUGAAGUCUAGAUGAUUAGUUUUGGAUUAAAUCUGGAAUUUUUUACUUGAAAGGAAGAGGCAGUAAUGUGCACCUGUUCUUGAUUGCUAAAGGCUGUGUUGCAUUUUUUUCCUUUUUCUUUCUUUUGCUUUUAGUUUUCCUUUUGCUGGUUAGUUCCAAUUUUGUUUAUUUCAAUCCUACCAUGAAGUUGUAUGUUUAGUAGACAAUUUUGUUUGCAUGGUAAAUAGAUAGAAUUGCACCUGAACAUUGCCGCAAGCUUGGAACAAAAUGUCAUCAGAAUUCAUCCUUUUUAGUUGCAGAAUGUUAAGCUCUUCACGUAUGCAUGCAUGCAAAUAUCUUUCAGAAAAUUGCACUUUAACCCCCCCAAGUCUCUCCUUGUUCCACUAGGACCCAAUCAAUUAAAUAAUUUCAUCAAUUUGGUCCUUGGUAGUUUUAAUUUUUGCAACUUCAUUGUUUGUUUGAUUCCAAUUAGCCACCUUGCUUUGUUUAAAUUGCACUUCAUGCAUGAAUUUAAGAGCUUUAUGACCAUGUGAGCCCGUGUUUGCAUAUUUUCUUUAAUUUCUUCAAAUAAAUUGGUACCUUGACCAUUUCUUUUAUUUUGGAGGAUAAAUAAGUUGAUUUCACUCCAUUAGAGCUUCAUUUCAAGGGCGGUAUAUCUUCUUUUAUCCCUUUUGUCUCUCCUAUGUGAUCCAAUGUGCUAAGUGUGAAUCGCAUGCCUAAUUUGCUUUCAUUACCAUUCUUUAGUUCCAUUAUUUCAUUCCUUCUUGCUUUUAUUAAAUUAUUCUUUUAAAUGGGGUAUGUGUACACCUCUUGGCUUGUAAUAGAUAGGGCGUAGCAAGUAAUUUGGUCCAUUUUCCCUUUCCCUUCUGUUUUAGUUAGCAAAUGUAAUGGUUGCAUGCCUAUGUGUUAUAUGUUAAAUGUUUUAUUAGGAUUUUGCAUCUAGUCAAGUAUGCUAAAUGUUAUGUGCUACGUGUUUAUAAGUGAUUCGCAUGUCUACUCGCUUUUUGUAGUAUGGAUGAAUGGAAUGGAUGAAUGUACGUCACCACACUAGUCCAACACUAGUUGUGGCUUCUUUUAUCGUUUCCACUAGUCCAACGCUAGUCGGAAUUCAUAGGAGGGGCUAGUCCAAUGCUAGACCCAAUAGGUUUUUUUCCUUUUCUCAUUAAGUGCAUGAUCACCACAUAUCACGCAUUUUUCAUUAGUUUUAUCAUUUGGUAUGUUCCUCAAACCCCUUCCCCUUCACUUUAGGACUUGCAUCUCAUGCUAGUUAGCGUUCAUUUGCGUGAGAGUCCCCUUAAAUAUGGGAUAUAGACGAGUGUGGCUUUUUCUAAGCCUUAGCACGCUUGUAUUCUCUCUAUCAAAAGGCAAAUUGAGUCACGAUUUAGGUCUCCCCGUACCCAUUAUGCAUGAAUUCCCUAGGUUCAUGCAUCCACUCUAUCAUUACACUUUCAUUUUUUCCUCCCAUUUGCACACGUACACCUUUUAUCCCUCCAUUUGCACACGUACACCUUUUAUCCCUUUUAUCCCUUCAUUUGCACACGUACACCUUUUUAUCCCUUCAUUUGCACACGAACACUUUUAUCAUCACUUGCACACAUGUACUUCAUAUUAUCAUUUCACACACCGCACCUUGCCCACUCACGUGCACAUUUUCACUUACAUAUUAUUGCCUUUUAUUACUUUUUUUCAAACUCAUGUCCUCACAUUGCAUACAUGCAUUCCAUUCAUUUGCAUCCCACUCGCAUUAUUCGUGACCUCUUCAAAGGAUCGUUAUUGGGCUUCACAAUUAAUGUGAUUGGCACCACUCAACCUUUGAAGGGAAAUUUCCCCCAAUACCCCUAGGUCUAGGGUUUUCCAUUCAUGUAGUACAUCCAAAUGUAAUAAAUUCUUUGGUUAAAACAAGAAAAUCUUUGAUUAAAUCAACGCAACUAGCCUUGGCUAGGUCGAAGGGGUGCCUUGGAUUUUUAUCCUUGCCUUCCCCUUCGUCAAAUGUGACUCCCGAACCUUUUUCUUUGUUUGCGUGGACUAGGAGUCGUUCAAAAGGGUUUCUUACUUUUUUCCUUAAAAAUUCACUUUUUGGGUGACUUGGUACACCCUAACUCUAUACCAAGUGGCGACUCCAUUUUUCAUAUAAAAAACCCUUUUUGAACUAUUUUUCUUGGGUCAAAUCGUCGCAUUUUCAAACCCCCAUUUAGACCCAUUUUUCUUUUAAAUCACAAUUCAUUUUCCAAUCACAAAUAUAUUUUUCAAACCAUUUAUUUUAUUUAUCAAAAAAUGGGGCGCGACAAUUUUUGUGGAUGAAAAACACAUUGAAUGGCUUUGGAUUGAUGUAUGAUUGUAUGUCUAUGUAUUGUGAUAACACUAGUGCUAUAAAUUUGACAAAAAAAUCCCAUCCAACAUUCUAGGACAAAGCACAUAGACAUAGAGCAUCAUUUCAUUCGCGAUCUUGUCCAUAAGGGUGAAAUUUGUGUUCAAUAUGUCUGUUCAAAAGAUCAAAUUGUUGAUAUUCUCACAAAGGCCUUACCACUGGAUCAAUUUGUGUUUUUUAGAAUAAAAUUGGGCGUUUCAAAAAAAAUUCUCUAAAAAUUCUCUGGUCACUCUUUAUCGGACGUCCGAUGUGUUAGAACGGACGUCCGACAGUGCUCUUAAUCAUUUACCCAGAAAAUUUUGGUUCGGACGGAGGUGUCGGACGCUCUACUUCGUUUGGCCGUCCGAUACUCAAAAAAUACGUCUUAUAAGGAAACCCUCUACGUUAUUCAGUUCAUUCUUACCAUUUUGUCUCGGACGCAACUCUUCAUAUUCCCUCAAUUUCAAAAUUCAAAUUCAUCUCCUCUAGGAACAAGUAUCAAGAAAUCACUCUGACCGACACAUUCACAUACCUAUUGCGAGUUUAUUGCGUAUCAUAACUUCCCCCAACCGCCAACUACACUAUAAAUUCCAAUUCUUACCCGAAACCCUAACCACAAAAAUUUUUCCCUCUGUGGACAAUUUCGUGCAUCCACUGUAGUUCAUACUGCACUCCUCAUCGUUUGAUACUUAUUUGCAUCACAUUACAUAACAAAACCGCACUGCAUUGCGAUCAUGGUGAGAAUUAGAGGAGGAUCCGUGAGUGCCGGACGCACCUUCAAGCUUCAUGAUGAGGAGGAUGAAGAUGUUCAGGUUAUCGAACCAUCCAUCAAAUCACCCAAAAAAAAAUUGGAAAUCGUGGUGGAAAAACGAAGCAAUCUGUAAGGAAAAAGCAAAAUGCGCAAACCAAAGAGCCAUCGAUUGAACCAUCCGAUGAGCAGAUGAAGGAGCUUCAAUCUGAAGGGCAUCCAGUAAGUGGCAAUGAAAAGGAACUGGAGCAGCCUACCAAUGUAGAUCUAACCACCACGAAAUCUCCCAGGAAAGGAAAAAGGACUGCCAAAAGGAAGAGCAUUGCUUAACCCAAAGGAAGGCAAACUGUUAAUCCCUCUAGGAAACAGCAAGAUGCAGAGAAAAAUGCUGAGGAACAGCAGACUGAUGAACCAUCUACCAGAAAAGUCACCAAGGACAAAGUCUGGUGUCCAGGGUACUGCACCAACUAUUCAGCGCAGUGGAAAAAGAAAGCAUCCAGAAAAUGAACAACCAGAGACACAAACUGCUGUUGAACCAGCGCCCCUGCCUAAGUUCAUCGAUGAUGAAGCCAGUGAGAGGUUUGAAUGGAUUUUGCAGAAAGGUUUCAUCACUCAAAGGACCAUCAUUCCCUACGAAUUCCGUAAGCUUGACCUUGAAUCUGUUCUCAACCUUUUUGAAUUCCAAAAAUGGACCCAUCUUUUGACCAUUCCAAACACCUACUAUCCUGACAUGCUUCAUCAAUUUUUUGCAAACCUUAAAAAGGGUAAAUCACAUAUUGAUCUCAUUUCUGGUAUCAAUUCUGUUAACAUAGAACUGAAUCUUGAACUUGUCAACUCUGUUUUGGAAAUCAAAAUUGAAGAUGGUUUUAAAGGCAAAAUUGCAAAUUUCUUCUUUUACGAAGAAUUUUCCUCUACAUACCAUCACUUUCAUGUUGCAAAAUUGAUGACUUAUUUUUAGUCUCACUUUAAUACUCCUGCUGAGGCAAGAUUGGAAGAUCUUAGUCCUUAAAACCUGAUCAUUUUUACUAUAAUUUCAAAUCUGUUGGUACCCACUGAUGGUCACAGAACUGAUGCAAACAAAAUGGAACUAUAUCUGUUCUACUGUUUUCUUGAAAAAAUUCGAAUUGAUUUUGAUUUUGUCAUGUGCAAAUUUCUGCUCAAAAUCAGCACUGACAGCCGUAGGAAACUGUCCUAUGGAAAAUUUCUGACUCCUAUUUUUGCCCAUUUUGAAAUCCCCUUUACUGGCGAAUCUCCAAAAGAGAGUGCAUCAACUGCGUUUUCAAAGGCUUAUUUUGAAAGGAAAAAUCUGAAAUUUUUUUAGGGUCAUUGGUGCUACAAAGAAAAUGUCUCUGAGUCUAGGAGAAAAAAAUUUCAUGAAACUCCUGUAACCCCUAGGACUUCUCGAGACCAGUCUAUGUAUGUGACACCCUUCACCAUUCAUCCUGGAAGGUCAACCUCUAUGCAUACUUCAUCCAACCUUGAGGUCAUCUCUCUGCUUGAUGACCUCAAACAACAUAUCCUACUUCUUGAAGAUGGCUUGAUGAUGACCAUGACUUCUGAUCAACAAGCCACCUUCAUUGCCAAAAAGAAUCUGCUUGUACCUCCCAUUCCUCCAGAAAAUGAAAAUACACAUCAAAAGGAGCCUAGAACUGAGCCAACCACUGAGGCUACCCCAGAAUACUGUGCCUCCAGUUCUCAACCACAGGACAAGGGAAAAGCUCUGGCAACUGAAUAAGAGACUGAAGAGGAUGAUGAUGAUGAGGAUGAGGACACUGAGGAAGAAGAGCCUGCUCAGUUUCUCCUGGCUAGAAGAAGGUCUGGAUACUCAAAGAUCACCAUAUAGGCACUCCUAGGCUACUACACUUCAUGAUUAGGAUAAUGAUUCAUAUUAGGUUUUUGCAUCUUUUGCACUUAAAAACAUUUGAUGUGCUCUGUCUUAAGGAUUUUACUCCUCUACUGGUCUGUAAAACUAUUUAGUUAUCCUUUAUAUUGAAUAUUGCUUAUUUCAGUCUAUCUGUAAAUAUUGGUUUCUGGUUGAUAAUGUUUUAGUUUUGAUUAUGAAUGGAUGGUGUUGCUAUGUUCUGCCAAUAUUAGUUUUGCUAAAUUCAGCUUGGAUGUGUGUUGCUGAUAAUACUUGGUGGCAAUGUUGGUAAGCCAAUGUAUUGGUAAUAUGGAAAAUUUUACUGGUUGAUUCAAUGAUGACAAAAAGGGGGAGAUAUGGAUAUGUAAUCUAUAUGUGAGAGGGAGUCAUUUUAAGGGAGAGUUGUGAUUAUUCUGAAGGGAAGUUGUGAAUACUCCCUGAAUGCAUUAAGUUAGGGGGUACUGUACCUAAAACCUUUUUACUUCAUCCAUUGUUUUGUCAUCAUCAAAAAGGGAGAGAUUAUUUAUCUUAAUCUGUAACUUUUGAUGAUUACAAAAAAUGGAUGUUACUAAUAUUUUCUGAUUAGAUCUUUCCAGAAUUGGAGCAGAACAGGUUCAAAGGCUAACAUAUGCUGAAAUAGCUGUCAGACGCACAUAAAGUGUGAGGACUCACAAAUUUCGUAUAUUUUUCUCAAAAAUGCCUUUUAUUUGGAACUUAUUCAUUUAUUGUAGCCCUACUACCCAAUCAUUCCACAAUAAGUACAAAUGAACUUAAAACGUAGGGUUUCGCUUUUGGUUUCAAGAUUGGAGCAAAUUAGGGUUUUCGCGAUUUUCAGCCGGAUGAAUUUUCGGUACAGAGCAAGGACCAAAUUUGGUGCUUAAGAGUGACUUUUAAGUGAGAAAUAAUAUGUGAUUAGGAGCAAUGAUAUAAAGUUGGUGAAUACAAAGUAAAAAUCCUAAUACGGGGAAUUUAAGGAAAAACAGAUCGAACCGACGUGUACCGGGUACUACCGAUUUAACCACCACUUGACCACCACUUUCUUGCCAUACAAGCUUAUCACUAAUUGAGCAAAAUAUCUUCCCUCUCAUGAUUACCUAUUGACCAACAUAUGUGGCCCAAAAUGCAAGGAAAGAAAGAGAAAAUUGUGUGGUUGAGGUUGAGCCAAGUGUUGGCCAACAUGUGGACUAAGUUAAACCUUAUCUCUCCUACCUUCUUAUAAGACAAACUAAGCUCUUUCUUCUUUAUUUUUUCUUGCUUAUGGACGAAAUUUUUGAGAGAGAAAAGGGAGAGCAAGAGAAACCAUUUUUUUUCUUCUUGAUUUGUACCAACCAAGUGCUAAAAUCGAAUUCUAAACCGAUUGAUUGUAAGUUUGGAAGCUUGGGAAGCUAAGGGAACCAAAAACUUCAAGAAAUAGUGGAGGAUCACUCUUGCAAGCCUUCUUUUUGAGGUAUAAAAUCUGAUCUAUGGCUUUGAUCCUUUUAUUCUUGUUUAAGAUGUUAAAUAGUCCAUGUUUGGGUUUGAUUACAAGUGAUGCAAGUUGUUGUGGUAAUUUUUGGAUGAAAUAUGUAAGUUAGAGUUUGAUUAAUUUCUGCCUAAACUUGUUGUAUAGUUAGUAUAUGUUGUAUAUAAGGUUAUAUAGGGGGUUUUGGUAGCAAGUGUAGCAAGAAAUUAAGAAAACUAUCAUUGAAACCAAAAGAUUUCAGAUUUCUGGAAAUUUUCAUCCUAUUCUGCCGGUUUUUGUUGCACCAUGUUAGAGGCCGAAUUGGGCUUGGAAUAAAACAUGAAAGUUGUAGAGAAUGAUAUUUUAUAGGUUCCUAGAAAAUUUCAUCUCAAUCGGAGCAACGUAGCCUGUGAAAAGACUAAAAUACCCUCACUGUUUUAAGGUUUUUCCCAGUAGUCCGUUUGGUCAGUUUAUCCAGUUUAUCAUGUUUAUUCACUAGGAUCCGUACUGAUUUAGCCUUUUUCCAAAACAUUAAAAUUUUAGUACUCUGUCUUAGCUUUUAAAUUCAUCCAAGAACACCUUAAACAGACCUUGGUAGCCUGAGAUAUGACCAUUCUAGUCUAGUGCGGUUAAUUAGCCGUCAAGUUGGAAGUUGGUUCUGUAACUUGGGAAUAUGACCAGGUUACCCUGGAAAUAUGACUAAGUGACCUUCAUGGAAGUUGUAGGACUUCGUCUUAGCUUCGAAACGGUAUAAGUUACAUACCAAUCCGAUAAGCGUAGCCUCGGAUGUAUUCUUUCCGCAACCACACGUCAAAUCUGUCUUUCGCUAGGUUACAUUUCCGCACUUGUUAUCACUUAAUUUUUGUUCUUGUAUUGUAUUGAGCCUAUGGAAUGGCUAUUGAACUGAAUUUGUGUCAUGGACAACUUUGGGUUGGAUUGAGAAAAAUAAUGAAGCCAAAAUGGCUGGAAAAUUUGGUAAACACAAAGGGUAUGCUGCCCAAAUUUACGCUCGAGGACUAGAAAACUAUACUUACACUUUGUAUUAGUAGUUAUUUGAAUUUUCUUUGGUCCACUUAACCUUUGUAGGGGUUUAACUGUCAUAUUUUCUCUUGGCUAUUAUUAGGGUUUCUUGGCGAUUGAGAGUGUUAUCCGGGAGGAUACUUUGGACAUUAUUUUGCUUAAAUAUGUGAGUGUUCUAUAUACGUUUUGUUUCUAUGACUAUGUGGAUUGUUGGGUCCAUGUGAUUAUUUGUGACUAUUUGAUUAAAUGUUACUUGUUUUCUAUGAUUUCUAAAAUGAACUUUUGCUAGGUGAGUGUGUACUUUAUCGCACUCGACCUAAAUAAAUAUGAAAUUUUCGGUGAUUAAAUGUUGAAAUACUAGUUGCGCAUGAAUGUAAGUCUUUUGGCUGAACUGGGCCCUUGCUCUUGUUACCGAUCGACUCGAGCCAGAAGCAGACUCGGUCGGGCGAUAUGGUGACCUGGGUGAACAUUUGGUAUACUCGAGUAUUACCUUGUAGUCCGGCCAUGUCCGGAUGGGUGGAGUCCGGCCAACGUCCGGAAAGGGAUGAAUGAAUGAACGCAGGCACGAGGGUUUUACUUCUCAAAAAAGGAAAUUUUCAAAUAAUUGGAGUAAUAAGGGGAAAUGUCAAGGGAACGAACGAAUGAACAAAUAGCUCCUUGUGAGCCCGUAUCCUUUUAAUGAAUGCAUUAUCAUUGCUUUAUAUUGGACAUGUUUUCUGGAUUAUUUGUUAUUACAUGAUUAAUGUCCUUGUUCAAUUACUUGUUUUUGUAUAUAGAAUCUCACUGAGCUUUUAACUCACCCCUUUAGUUUGUUUUCCUUAACAGGGGAAGGCGAGCAAGGACGAGAGCUCAGUUUAGACUAGCCUAGACUAGUUUUUUGGUUUUGUAAUGGUUCUCGCCCUAGUGCUUGGCACGGGCUGGAUGUGUGGUGAACUGAGAACCUUUGUAUAUUCGAUGUUUGUACUCCCUUUUGAGAUAGUAUUGUACAUAAGUUUUGCGUUAAGUUUUGGAUCGUCGUUAUAUUUAUUCCCGUGAUUUAUUUCGAUUUUAAUUGAGGAUUGAAGUGAACGAGUGAGUCCUGGCAGAGUUGGGCAGGCGACCCGCCGAACCCUUUGGUACGCCCUAGGGGGAAGUGGGGCCGUCACAUAAAGACUGCAUCGGCCGUCCGACAACCAUUGAGUAAUUUCGGAUGCAUGAAGAACCCACUCUCGAACAUCCAAAGAUGAUAAGCCAAGUCCUCCAAACUAAUUGACCUCGAUCGGACGUACAACGCCUGAGUACCAGACGUCCGAUAAACGUUGCGACACUUCGGCCGCAAAACAUUGGAGGCACCGGACGUCCUAACGAAUUGAAGGAGAAUUCCCAAUUUUACAUCAUACCUUCGGACGCAUAUUCUGGAGGUACCGGACAUCCUAAACAUUUCAAGAAAACUUCUUGAACUCACUGCCUGCGUUCGGAUGCAGAAAACUAGCCUACCGGACGUCCGACAUCACCAACGGCUAGUUGACUUUUCAGCUGCCUUCUAUCCGUUGGUAGCAUUAAUUAAAGAAUUUUUUGGUCCCUUAUAAAAAGAAAAAAGUCAACCACUUCAGACAACUUUCGUACUUUGAGACUACAUCAGAUCUUGAGUGAUUCAAGUGUGAGAAUACUCUUUAAAGAAGAUUUGUACUCUUAGUUGUAGAAUUUUCAAUAAGCUUUUAAGUGUGUUUCUAUUUCUUCAAUAGUGUAGCUUUGUGAGGGUUAUCUGAAUGACAGUAAAACUUCCUUGCUUGACCAAGUGCAGCUUGGGGCGAUGAGGAAGUGAUCCUUCCUUUGUACACAAGAGAUUGGUUGUAAGUUGAUCAACUUGAAGAAACUUGCUAUAUAAAGUGGUAUUCAAACUCAAGUGGAGUUUGAAACUUAGUUUGCUAUUCUAUCCUUUUUAUUUACUGUCUUGCAAUAUAAACUGUCUAUUUCUUCUACUCCCAAGCACUUGUGCUUAUUCAUCAAUUGCUGCAUUGUGUGGUCCUUUAGAAAAAGAGGGCAAGUUCUCAAAAAGUAACUCAUAUCUUGGUUAGUUUUUAAACCACCUAAUUCACCCCCCUCUUAGGUUGUUUUCGAUCCUUACAUAUUUAUAUCUUGAGUUAUAACCAAAAUACCAAAAGGUAUCAAUGUUGUCAAACUUUUCUUCUUUAGAACUUGAAUGCAUUUCACAUUUUGAACAUUUUAUACUUCAUAUUCUCUGUAAGCCUUUUCAAAUCAUCACAAAUCAAAUAAAAUGAUGUUCUCUUAAUCCAUGAAAUGCUAAAACAUACAAAAAUACCACUAAUUUGUACAUUAAACCAUAUUUUUGCAUGUUUUGGUCAUAGAACACUACAUGCAUGAAAGAAUUCAUAAAGGAUUUCAAUUCUUCCAUUUUAACCAAAAAAUACAUUAAAAAGAACUAACAUUAAAACUUCAUUAGAAAUAUGUAAAAUAUAUGCUAAUCAAUCUAUCCAAAAAUUAGAAAAAAGAAUGAAGGAUAACUUAGAGAAGGCAACUAAUUGUGUUCUUCACAAGUCAAAUGAAAUACAUCGUGAAGUUUCUUGUCCUUAUGGUAAAAAAUAUGCAGUUAAUAUUAAAGAUAAGACAUACUCUUGCAAGAGAUGAGACGUCACAAUGAUGCCAUGCUUCCAUGUGAUCUCAGUCCCAUGGAUUUUAAUACAAGAUCCUAUGAAUUACGUUGAUAAUUGUUACAGUGUGCAAACUUGUGACGACUGGAAAAUUCGCUCAUAUUUUCUUAAAAUUUUCUUUUAUUUUGACUCAAUUACCUUAUGAUCGUUUUACUACUCAUUUACUCCCUCAAUAGUUGUAAUGAAUAAGAGAUUUAAGCAUUUUACCCUUAGUAUUAUAGUUUGAGUAAAUUAGGAUUUUCUGGUAUUUUGGCUGUGUGAUCACUUGGUAAGAUGUGUGUACUAAAUUUGAUGGUAAAGAGUGAGUUUUAGAUAAGAAAAAGUGUGUGAUUAGAAGUGAUAAUAAUAAGUUAGUGAACUAUAAGUAAAAACACAAGUACGCGAGUUAAGGAAAAUAGGCUUGAACCGACAUGCACGGUUUGUUACCGAGUGAGUACACCACUUGAACAUUACUUUAUUACCUUAAUCUCCUUACUUUUAUUUCAGUAAAAUCAGCCCAAAAUAUUCCUUAAGUCAGGCGAAAAUUUUGACCAAAAGAAAAGAGAGAAGAGAAAAAAAUUGAGAUCUAACUCUAAAGCGACACUUGGCGGAAAUCAAAAUUAACUUUGACCAAACAAAUUCCUAUCUUCUUAUCAUUCUUUUAGCUUCAUUUCUUCUCCAUUUCUAACUUGUUGGCAAGGAGGGAAAAAUAGCAAGAGAGAAAACUCCAAGAGUUGAUUCAACAACCAAAUUUUGGAAGAAGGGGGUGUAGUUUUAACUUACAAGCAAUUAUUGGAAGGUAUCAUGAUUUCCUUUCCUUUUCUUUUCCUUAAUCUUGUUUAAAUUUGGAUAGAAGCUUAUGUUCUUAGCUUAUUAUGGUUAAUGAUUCAGUUUUCGAUGAUAUAAUGAAGGGUUAGCUAGGGUUUACAUUUUUAACCUUGAUUAUGGUUGUCUACCUAGUAAUUGAUGGUAUUGAGCUAGUAAUUGAUGGUUUUGAUGAUAUAGGACUUGAUAGUAUUGAGCCAGGAUAUAAAUUAUUAGAGUAGAAAUGAAUUUUCAGCUUUGAUGAUGAAUCUGCCCUGUUUCCGCACUGUAUAUUCGUCCAUGAUAAAGGCUGAAUCAAGUCUUGCUGAAAACAUGAAAGUUGUAGGGAGUGGAGUUAACUAUCUUCCUGUAAAAUUUCAAAUCAAUCGGAGCAUUGUAGAGUAUGAAAUGACUAAACUACCCCUGACUGCCAAAAGCCUAUUUCGCAGGUAGCUUUCUAUUUUCUAUAAGAUUUCACAUUUUGACCUUGAAAAUGCACGAACUGGGUGUUAAUGUCUUCAUAAGAAAUGUAGCUCUCUGUCUUAGCUUUGAAACACCAUAAAAUUUAACCCAAUCCGAUAAGCGUAGCUUCUACUGUGACCAAAACGUCGGAAGAUGUCAAACCUGUUACUUAGUUAUUCUUCUUUAAUUCUAGUUCCAGCUUUGAUUUUGAUAGUUACAUUGCUAGAAUUCCCUUGUAUUGGGAUGACAUUGAGCCUAUUGAAGUGAUAUUAUGUUAAGAUCGUUUAUGUGUGAAUUUGGACGGAGUUGAAAAAAAUAAUGAAGCCAUAAAUGGCUGAAAAAUAGCUAAAUACAAAAGGCAUGCUGUUCAAAUUUUCACUCGAGGGUUAGGCAUGUGUACUCGUGACUUGAGCGAAGAUUUGAGGUCAAAUUGAACUUGGAUUGUCUAUGGUAUUCGAGUUUUUUUUCGUAAAGGUAUAUAAGCUGAAAUUUGGCCGAAACUCAUACCCUUGAAAAAAUGAAAGUAGUGACCACUCAGAAUAUAUUUUCCUCGUCUUUUGGACUCAAAUGCGAAUUCCAAAGUUUUAAUUGCUUCUUUAGCAACACCAAAAGAGCAAGCAUGAAUUUUCUAGAGUUUGAUACGUAACAUGAAUCCUAUCGAAAUGAGUUUCAUUUACUUUAUCUUCUUAAAGCGAAACUCUUAAGUUUCGAACCCUAGUUGAUUUUAAGCUCGUAAAUGAUAUUUUAUCGCAGAUUUGGACUCCAACCAAGGAGUUACACCUGAACGUAAUUUUGACAAGUACUAAAUCUUUGGUGAGUGCUUCCAAGUAUAUGAUUGAACAUGAUACUUGAUUUAAAUACUUGAUAUUUGAUUGAUUUGGUAGGGCAAGCGUGUACUUUAUCGCACUUGCCCUAAUGUGAUAUGUACUUGUUUAUUGUUGCAAUUGACUUGAUAUACUUGUGCUUGACUUGUAAGUACUAAGCGGCAGCAUGUACCACACUCAAUCCAAGUGGGAGGUGCCUCUCAUUCUGGUCUCUGUACUUUUAUCUUGAUUUAGUCGAUUGGAGAUGUUAUCUCAUUGAUUUCUUGGGGACCCAAACCCUACUGGCUAGUUAAUCGAGUCGAGUCGGCAAGGGCUUGGUCGAUUAGAUAAUGAACCAUGGGUAUCUAGUGUUGUCGAGUAGAGUGUUAUCUCCUCGACUAAUCGGUAUGCUCGAGUAUUACCACCAGUGUUUAUUGAGGAUUUUGGGCCUAGUAGGGGGUUUGGAUGGUGGACGGAGAUUGUAGCUAAGUGGUGCUCUACUGGACUGGUUACUUUACUUGAAAUUUGACGGAGUGUCAACUACUACUGAUCAAGCUCUAGUGAAGCAAUGGGAACUUGGUUCUUGAGAGCCAUCUGUAUCCUUAUACCCUGACAUGAUUAUUACUUAUCGGGUUAUUGUUUCUUUUGAAAAACUUUACACUCGCUCAUUUUGAAAUUGGACACUUAAAGUGUUAUUGCUCACUUUUAUGAACUUGUUAUGCUCGCUAUUUUGCUACGUUGAUACUUGUACUUUUAAAUAAUGGUCAACUUGCUAUUUGGAACCUCACUGGAUUUUUAGCUCAUUCCACGCCAUUUGUUUUCCUUACAGGGGAUACGAGUAAGGCGUGAGAUUGGUAUAGGCUAGCAUAAUCUAGUUUUUAAAAAUUUUGUGAUUGUACUCGCACUAGUCGCUCAAUUAGGGUUGAAUGUAUUGAGAACAUAAAUCUUUUGAUAUAUUUGGGAUUGUAUGGAUGUUUGAGAUAGAAAUAAAUGUAUUUAUACGUUCCAAACUUGGGAACUGUUAUUUCUUUCAUUCUUGAGGUUGCACCCUAUUUUCUUGACGUGAGUGAGUGAGUUCUGACGAGAGUUGGGCAGACGGUCCGCUAAACCCUAAGGUAUGCCCUAGGGAGAGGUGGGGUUGUCACAAAACUUAUCGUAGAUGUUAUGACCCAUGCAUAUUACAUGUGAAUGGAGAGCAUAAUUGGGUAGACGUAAAUGACAAACGACCACUCUCACCAGCAUAUUGAAGAGCAUAAAAAAGACCCAAGAAAUAUAGAAGGAUAUUUACUAAUAUGCUAUAGCAAGCAAAAGAGGAAAUAAAAAGGGCGAGAAGAUUUGGGCAAAUUUGUAAGUGCACAUACACUGGUGAGAGAGGUUAUAACACAAGGCAUACAAGCUUUUUACAGGAAAACAGUGGUGCACCAUGUCACAAGAAUGAAACUAGUCAAGAUAUCAAGCAAGUCAGGAAUCAUCUUUCACAAUACAAGAUGGACUAAUUGUGUGGACCCAAAAAUUAUUUUUAUAUUUUAUUUUGUUUCUUUGAAUAUAUUUUCUUUACUUUAAUUUAUUACCUUAAUUUUCUAGAUAUUUUUAUAAGUGAGUCAAUAUUUUUUUAUCAUUUUUCUUAUAUAAGUUAGUGUAUGUUAAAUUCGCAGUGCAUUAUGGAAGUGGGACCCACUAGAAAGGUGUGUAUUCAAUUUAGUUGACAAACGGAUAUUUUUACAAGAUAGUUUAUGUGAUUAGAACUGUUAAGAGUGAAUUAGAAGAAAACAAUAUAAAUUAGUCAUUAGAGACAAACGAAAGACGAAGAGAUAAGUUUUAAACCCUAAGCUGACACUUGUCGACCAUCCAACCAUCCUUUGAUCAAGACUAGUCUUGGUCUUUAUCUUGAAAAAUUGGACAAAUUCCUUCACUUUCUUCCUCCUUCUUGGCCUAAAUUCUUAGCAAGAAAAGAGAGAAAAGAAACUCCAAAUUUCACUUUGAUUUCUUGCUUGAAUCCUUGAGAAGUUCAUCCUACAAUCCAAAUCCAAUCUAUAAAAAGUUGUAUUGAGAUAGAAAGAAUGGCUGUUGUUGAGAGAUUUAGAAGCUCUUAGUUGCAUUUCUUCAUUUCUUCAUAGGGUUUAAAGGUAUUUAUUUCUAGAACCAACUUUCUUUUUUAUCUUGCACUUGAGUAGAUUUAAGACUUAAUUAUGGUAGAUUCUAUAAAAAAUUUCAGCAGCAAAAUAGUGAAGAAAAACAAGAUAGUUUGUAAUGAUCCCACAUCGGCUAAGGGAGGAAGUCCUGAACCGCUUUAAUAACCUGUAGUGGUGUUCCCCAUCUGGUCGAGACUUUUGGUGAGACAUUAGCCUAUUGUGUUGUCCAGCACCGCCAGGAACAAAAUCCACGGCCCCACGGGACAGCUAACUGUGGGACAAUAUCGGUUAGGGGUGUUAGAGUUGGUACAAAUGACUUGGACGAACUAGAAAUUUGAUUCUCAGGAACUUCGGGUAAUGUGUUAGAGUGUCCAUAAGUAUGAUUAACCCUGUCUAAAUUAUAAACUGUAGUUAUUCUUGUAGGUUAUGGACGGAGCUAGUGGGGAGGGCGGAGGUGAGCCAUCUCAAAGGCGUUUCCGAGUUAUCGACUACGAGGAGAGGCCGGGAGGACCGAUUCGGCAUUGGAGUACUGCUAGUCGGACUCGAUGCUGUAGUGUUGCCAGAACUAUUAUAUAUCGAUCGUGUGGUCGUAGCGGUGCUAAACAAGAGAAGGAGGCUUAGGCAUGCCACUGUUAGGGAUCACACUGAGAUGGUAAGGUUGAGGGACAUCAUGAGAAUGCAAGCGGAUAGGAUUCGGGAGCUCCAGGAGAACAUAGCGACGGAGCAAGAGAGGAUGAAUACUCUUAGAGAGCAGUUGCAAGUAGUUAAUGACCGUCUCACUAGAGUGGUCCAGGAGGUCAGGGACCGGUCUGAAGGCAUUAUUAACGAGUGUGAAGCGCUAAUUCAAGGAGUGAUUGGCGUUAAUGCACAAGUAGAGGUUAAGUGUGACAACCCCACCUCCCCCUAAGGCGAACCAAAGGGUUAAGCGAACCGCCUGCCCGACUCUCGCCAGAACUACAGAGUCGAACCUCACAAACCCUAUAGUACGCGCGAGAACCCAACGAAAACGAACAACUGGAGGCCACCAAAAGUUAAAACAAAGCUUUCCAAACCAUACGGAAGUACGGGACGUCGAUUAAACACUUAUACAUAUAUUUACAUCGGAGUCUUGAACAAAUGAACCAAAAUACAAGACAAAGUAUUCACGCUACACAAAAUACAAUUAGGGUUUCAGUUACAGACUAUGUUUUCAAACUCGGACCGGGACUCGACUCGGUAGAGGUCGGGGGUCAGGGGUCAAUGGGUUCGACCGGGGUCGAUAGGGGGUCGACUCGGAUGACGUCAUAUAUACAUCAUAUAUAUAUAUAUAUUAUAUACACACACACAUACCUGCAAAUCAAAUUUACAAAAUAUAACCAAAGAACCCAAUCAUCUAAAUUUAUAUCUAAUUCAUCAAACAAUUCACCAAAUUCAUCCAAACUCACAAAUUUAUAAAAUAGAAAUCCCAUAUAUGUUCAAUCAUUAACAAAUAGCAAUCCAAAUAAGGUAACAAGUUCAUGUUCAAAUGCUUGAUAAUAUCAAUCUAAAUAAAACACCAUGUUCCAAAGAACUAUCUAAGCCAUUCUUCAUCUUCACCUUCAUCAUCCUUAUCUCCAAUUUCAUAACUUUCGAAGUCAAUAUCAUCAACAUCAUCCUCAUCAUCAAGUUGCACAAUAUUUGUGUCUUUCUUAUCUACAAAUCAUUUAAAUACUCAUAAAUAAAAAUAUUCAAAAAUAGACACAAAUUAAAAAGAAACUUAAAUAAAGUUAGCAAAUAUAAACUUACGUGAUUGAGAGGCUUCAUUCUCGCUAGUUUUGGGAAAUUCUUCUUCAAUCAUUUCUUCUAACUCAUCAUAAUCAAGCUCUCCUUCUUGUUCCUCAUCAAUUACCCAAAAUUCAACUUUAUCAAUAGUUUCAUAAUCCACCGGAUCAUAAGACCUCUUUUUAUAUGAAAACCUACAAUGAAAAAAAGAGCAAAAAAAAUAAAAGAAGUAAGUAAUUUUAAAAAAGUAAUAAAUUUACAAAAAGAAAGUAAGCAUGUAUAAUAGUAAUUCCAUACCUAUUCUUCAAACGUAAAUUAUAAUGAAUAUAAACAAGAUCAUUCAACCUUUGAUGCUCAAGUCUAUUUCUCUUUUUGGUAUGGAUGCGUUCAAAUACACUCCAAUUGCGUUCACAUCCCGAAGAAGAAGAUGUUUGGCUCAAGAGUUUAAUUGCCAACUUUUGUAAAUGUGGAGCAUCAUUACCAAACAAUUUCCACCACUCAUCUAUAUUAGUAAGACAUAAUUAGUAAUCUUUUUUUAAAAAAAACCAACAAAAGUAAUUCUUAACAUAAUCAAUGUGAAAUUAGAGUAGGCAUACCUGGACGGGCAGUUUUGUGAGUAUUUUGAGCAAAUUCAAAUCCAAAACUUUGAUCCUUUGACCUAAACAUUGAUAUUUCAUCCAUCAUAUAUUGAAGUUCAUCUAUUUUUAGCUUUUGCAUGACUUCUAAAACACUUUUCAUAAUCUCAGGCAUGUGACAAGGGCUAUCCUUAUCAUAUUGAAAGGCCGGAUUCAACCAAAAGGCAGCUGCAUGAAGAUCUUUUUUCAACAUAUUAUCCCACCUCCUAUCAAUUAUAUCAAUGUAUGGACCAUAGAACUUUUUCUUGUUCUUAAACAGCUCUUUAAUGCCAUUAACAACUCUCCACAUGCCUUCAUAUACAUAACCCAAUGAUGGUUUUUCAUCAGAAUCACAAAUGCGCAACAAGCGCAUAAUUGGACCCAUAAUUCUCACAAUAAUCAAACAAUUAUUCCAAAACUUCCCAUCAACAACAAUUUGUUUGACUUCUUUACCUUUUUCAUUUUUCAACUCUCUCUUGUAUGCACUUGAAGUCACUAAAGCCUCCAAAUGUUGUUUCAAAUCAUGAAGAUUCUUCAAAGCAAUAAAAUUAGUACCAAAUCGUGUUUCCGCAGGACGAAGAAUCUCUCUCCAACCAGGCCUUUUUCUUAACCAACUAAGAAUCCACUUUCGAUUAUGAACAUACACAGUGACUCUUGAAGCAAGAGUAAUUACAUCUUUCACAUGAGUCAUUUCUCCAAUAUCUUUCAUAAUUAAAUUCAAACAAUGUGUUGCACAAGGAGACCAACUAAUUGUAGGAUAUUUUUCAGAAAGUAAUCGACCGGCAGCUUUAUAAUUACUUGCAUUAUCUGUGACCAUGUGAACAACAUUACUAGAUCCAACAAUCUCAACAAUUUCUGAAAACAGAUUACACAAAUAUUCAGCAUUAGACUCAAAAUCUGAAGCAUCAACAGAUUUGAUAAAUGAGAUCCCACUAGGACAAUAGACCAAAAAAUUGAUCAAACUUCUUUGCCUAUUAUCCUUCCAGCCAUCACCCAUAAUUGUGCAACCAGUUUCAGCCCAUUUACUACGUAGAUUGUCAACAAUUAAUUCAACUUGCUUCUUUGCAUCUUUCAACAAAGUUACCCUUAAAGCAUGAUAACUAGGUCCUUGAUAACCAUGACCCAUACUUGUUAUUUUUCCAAUUGCUUGUUGGUAAUAGGGAGAAUUACAAGCAUUCAUUGGAAUACAUGCAUCAUAAAACCACAAAGCUAUAGCCAUGUCAGUACCAUGCCAUCUCUCUUUACUUUGCAUACAAGACUUGAUACUCGGUUGAGAGCGAUCAAGAGAUUUACCUGUCAUAUAAGAUUCAAUGCCAUGUGCCUUUCUUUUUCCCUUAUUCCCACUCAUGUUAGUUUGAGUCUUUGUUUUUGGAUGAGGAAUUUCUUCAAUAUCAUCAUCUUCAAAUCCCGCUACACUUCGGCCCACUGGAUUUCCAAUUUCAAAUAUCCCUUUUUUCUCUUUUGCUUUUUUAACAUUUUCAUUCAAUGAAUCUUCCAUUAUCUGCUGAACAUCAUUUGGCACAUUUUUGCAUGGAGCCACAUUACCCUCACUUUUUCAAGAUGAUGCUUCACUCGAUUAAUACCUCCCCCUCUAAAAAUACUACUGCACCAUUGACAUAUCAAAAUUCUUCUACCUUGUGAAUCUUGUCCUUCUAUAGCAUAUCUCCAAGCUAUAUCAGUUUUUUGCCUAACAUUUUCAGAACUUGACUUUGAUGCCGAUCCUUCAUUUGUUGGUGUGGACUGUGAAUCGGUACCUUCCAUUGUCCUACAUUAGAAAGAACAUUGAAAAUAUUAAAAAAUUUAAAAAAUCUCCUAUAAAUGAAAAUCUACAGCAAUUAUGCAUAGCCAUAUAUGCACAGACAUUAGCCUGUCUUGUUUACAAAACCAGUGGAAUUGCGCCUGUCUUGUUUACAAAACCAGUGGAGUCUUGUUACUAAACCAGUGGAAUUGCGCCUGCCUUGAUUCCAAAAAUUACAGUGCCCAAGAAACAACCAUUACAGUUUGGCAACAAUUACAGUGCCCAAGAAACAAAAUUUGGCCUGUCUUGUUUCGUGAGCCUGUCUUGUUUCUUGAGCAACAACCAUUACAGUGCCCAAGAAACAAAAUUUGGCAAAUAGUGAAUUUCCUUCAAGUUUGGCAAUUAGGGCUGCUGCCUGUUUAAUAUCUAGAGCCAUAAGAAAAUGCCAGAGUUAUAAACCUUAUUCCUAUAAGCUAAGACAGGGUUCAGAUUCAUAAGCCAGUAAUGUAAAAUCUCCAAUUUAACGAAACAUAAUCAGUCAACAUUUUAUCGUUUUAUAAUGGAUAAAACCAUUAAAGCUCAUGGUUAACAAAAAUAGAAGGUCUAGCUAUUAAAAUGUGCAUAUGAUUGGCGGUGGUAAAUUAUAGGACCUGGAGGUUUAUCAUACUUGUCUGUCCUCUCAAAAUCAUCUUCCAUUCAAAGUAAUCCUCAUCCAUUUCAUCCCUUCCAUGUAAUCCUCAUCCAUUUCAUCCAUGUAAAAAUGGUAGAAAGUUUUUAACAUACGCCAUAAUAGUAAAGUUUUUGAAAAAUCACAGGCAUCAUAUUCGGGCAACAAUAAAUUUGCAAACUGAUACAUUUGUCUUUCAUCUAGGUGAUUCAGUUAGCUGGAAAGGGAGAAACGUGCAUAAAAGAAAGGGAGAGAACUGAGAACAGAGCACAACAGUUGUGGCCUUCGUAUUAGUUUCACACCCGCAAUAUCCAAUCCCGAAGGCCCAGCAUAAUGAAUCAAAAAAUUCCAGCCACAUAUCAACUUUAGCAUAACAAAUCAACAAUAAUAGCCUUCAGAUUGUAAAAAUUACCAGAUUUAGGCUUUUGCUUCAGUUCACCCGCUUGCUAACUACUUGCUUCUCUUGAAAUCUGAACGAACUGGUGGUGUUGCGGCGGUGGAGGCCAGAGAUUGAAGGCUGUGGAUCUCAAGAGCGAUGGAGGCCAAAGAUCGGCGAUGGAUCUCAAGAGCGGCGGUGGUGGCUGAACGGCUGUGGUUAUCGGCGAGGUUAUCGCCUAUCGGCUGAAGAAGAAACACUCAAACAGAAGCUCACGAAAGCUUUUGUCAAUUUUGCUCUAUUUUUUCAGUCAAUUUUUAGCGUUUUUAGUUGGUCAAUUUGUCAAAGUCUGACCCAAAAAAAGGCAGAAAAUGGAAAAAAAAUAAAAGACCGGAGUUAAUCAAAAAUUCCGGUUCACCGGUCCAAUCCGAGUUAUGACCGAGUUUGACCGGUUUUUUAACAGCCGAGUUUUUUAGCUAGCUCGGACCGGAUGCCUGGCCGGUUCCCGGUCCGACCGGCCGGUCCAGUCCAAGUCUGAAAACACAGGUUACAGAGGAGCAUAAACAAGAGAAGUCCUACAACUAGCUCAGCUCUUUUCUUCGAAAAAUCUUGGUUUCAAAACAUGGAACCCUGUAAGGAAAACAAAAUAACGGGAAGGGGGUAAGCUUAUGCCCAAUGAGCUACCAGACAUAUAGCAGUAAAAUCAUAACAUCUCACGUUUAACAAAUCAGGUACACAUGCCAGAUAUAAAGUAAAAUAGUAGACACAAUGAUUCCAAUAGGAAGGAUACAGGCGGCUCUCAGGAGCCAGAUUCCCAUUUGCAGUACUUGAUCCGAACCCGUUGACUCUCCGUCAACGUAUUUAGAACUGACAUAUCCGUAGACCCCACUUUACACCAAAUUUCGUCCACCAAACAUACCUUUACCGGGCCCGAACACCUCAACAGAAACAGAAGUGGUAAUACUCGAGUAUACCGGAAUCAAGAGUCUCAAUACCCAAAGAUUCUCAGAACAGACUACCGUGGUUCGUUAUCUAAUUGACCAGGCCCUUGCCGACCCGACUCGAGUAACUAGCCACAGGUGUUGAGCUCAAAGGUCACAGAAAGGUCGUUGGAUACCAACCUCCAAAUGACGUCCGAACAGACUCAGAUACAGAUAACAGAUUAUACACAGUAAGGAGGCAUACAGACAGACAGUAGAUAUACAGACAGACAAGAGAAUAAGUGUGAUAAAGUACACUCUCGUCUCCAAUAGAAUAAACAGAUAGUACAAUCAUUCAGAUCACAGAUUGCAAGUGCAGAAAUCAAGUUAAGCAACAAAUGAGGGGAGUGGUACACUCACCGGUUAAAGCAAGGAUACUUCAAAAGUUUUACCCAAAGUGGCUUUAAUCACCAAGAAACCCUAAAAUAAUCAAGAUGAAACAAUUAUAGUUCGCACCUCCAAAAACCAAGUAAAUGAAAUGCAUAAAUGAGGCCCAACUUCAUGUUGUAUCCCUUUCCAGGUUAAGUACUGGUACCAAAGAAUAAAAAUAUGACUUUUGAGUAAAAGAUAACAGUUGGUCCUAGGGAUACAAACAACCCUCAAAAUCCUUCAUUUUUACUAAGAGCAACUCAACUUGAAGGAAUCGCAUAGCCCUAAACUUUUGGGCAGCAUGCCCUCUGUAUUUACCUAUUUUUCAGCCAUUUAUGGCUUUAUUAUUUUCCUCAAGUCAGUCCAAUUCAAUAAAAUAGCCCUUCAACUAGGCUCAAAUUCAUCCAAAUACAAAGCAAGUCUAGGAAUGCAACUAGAAAUCAAAUUUUAAGGACAAAGCUAAAAAGCAGGUUUGAUGUCUCUUAGCGGAACAGACACAACUGAAUCUACGCUUAUCGGAUUGGGGUACAAUUUAUACCGUUUCGAAGCUAAGACAGAGGGCUACAAUUUUGAUGAAGACCACUUAGUCUAGUUCUUACCCUAACUAGAUCAAAUUUACCAAAACAACUCCAGAUUUUUCAGUUCGAAGCUCACUGUGGAAUUCAACUAGCAGUCCUGAUUCAUUCACUCAUAUCUCAGUACACACAACUCCAAUUCAGGUAAUUCCAAAGCCAUUUGAAAACUAAGGUACAAGGUUAUAAUUCUUAAGAAGACAUCAACAACCAAUUCGGUAAUAUUCCUGGUCAAACUAACCAAUUACAGAAGCUGAUUAUCAGUUUCGGACAGAAACAGGGCAGCAGGGGUAUUUCGGUCUUUUCAUAGGCUACGUUUCCGAUUGAGCCGAAAUUUUGCAGGAAACUAUAAAACAUCAUUGUCUACAACUUUCAUGUUUUAUACUAAGGCCAAGUCGGCCUCUAAAUAGGAGAAACAGUACCAGGAAGAAUGGAAAUACUUGAAGCCCUAAACCGAAAUUUCCACACCAAACCAGAAUUUUUCGCAACCAAUCGUAUCCAACAUAUACUAGCUUCAUUUUACACUAUAAUAAGCCCUCAAUCCAUGACCAAAUCAUGAUUAUCAUACAAAACAGAAAAAGAACAAUAAUAAAUCAAAAUCCAUCAUACCUUCACUUCCAACCAUAAACAAACCAUAAUCACACUAUAUGUCAUCAUAUUAAACCACUAAAGCCACCAAUUGAACAUUAUCAAAGCUAAAGGGAAAAGUUCUUAACAACUCACCUUGUAACCUCAAGAAAACAAGCAACUUAGCACCUUUGCUCCUCAAACCACUCCACCAACUACUUCAAUACUACUUAGAAAAGGGUUUUUAUGGAGAGAUUUGAAGUUUUAACGGUUGGAUCAAGAGAUUGAGCAAGAAAAUAGAAGGCAAAAGUUGAGAGAUUUUCUUUCUUUUCUCCUUAUGUUGCUCGGCCAAGAGGAAGACAAAUGAAGCUCAAAUUGGUCAAAAUUCAAGUUUAGUAAAGGUAAAAGAAAUUGGUCAAAGUCCACCCUCCAAUCAAAUCGCGCCACGUAGCACCUUUUAGGUUUAAACAUAUCCUUUUGUCCCUCCAACAUUAAUCCAUUUAGGUAACCCCUAAUUAUUUUUUAACACCUAGUAAUUAAAUCCCUUUAUGCAAAACUUAACCUAAUUGGCCGAAUUUUAUCGAACUUAUCGCACUAGUGGGUCCCACGUCCAAUAUACACUCCUAAUUUCUCAUGAACUAACUUAUACUAGAAAAAUGAUUUAAAAAUGAUAUUUACUUAUAAAAAUUAUUUUUAAAAUUUUUUCAUAUCAAUAAAAUGUGAAAAAACGUGCAAUUAAAAGAAAAUAAAACCUAGCAAUUAAGAAAAUUACGGGUUCUCACAUUCAGGGCGAUGGAACCCCUAAAGAGGAAGAUGCACCUAGUUCUGACCAUGAGGGAGAGUCCGUUAGCUCAGUCGGGAACUAGGAUAGAGUUCUUAUGAACCAUGUUUUGAUCCCGUAUGAGGGGUGGUAGGAAAGUUCUUAAUUAAAUGCUUUUGUCCUUUUGGCAUAGUUUUGUACAUUUUACUUUGGGAUAGGACCCCACUACUUUCAUGGGAUUACUUUUGCUUGUAUCUGACUGCUACUAUGUGGUUUGUAUGAUAAAGUUGUGUUAUAUAUAUAUUUGACUUUUGAUUUGUGUAUACUUUUUGUAAUUUGUUCAUGCAUAUAUUUAUAUUUAAUAUUAUAUUCACGUUUCGACUCUAGAUUGGUUAAACCAAAUGGAGGGUACCCGUAAUGGAAGAGGUCGUGAGCGCAGAUUUAGGCAACUCUCGAAUGAAGGGGUAAUCGGGAACUAAUGCCUAUCCUAAACCGGGAGUCGAUCCUAGUGCUCAGGUAGCCGCCGCUAUCCAGCACAUAACUGAUCUUUUGGCUCAUGUAGUGGAACGUCAGGGCCAAAACCCUAUUAAUCAACCUGAAAAUCCUAGAAAUCACGUAGAGGGUGAGGAUAGAACCCUUGAAUGAUUCCAACAGUUCUCCCCACCCAAAUUCCUUGGAGAACGAGACCCUGACGUGGCCGAGAGAUGGUUGGAGAAAAUGAUCGAUAUCUUCGCCGCUUUGCACUAUACUGAUGAGAGGCAGGUGACUUUUGUUGUCUUCCAGUUGGAGCGAGCAGCUCGUUCUUGGUGGAAUGUGAUAAGAAUGAAGUGGGAGAGAAAACAAACCCCAAGAAUUUGGGUAAAUUUUAUGAGAGAGUUCAACGCCAAGUAUUUUUCGCCUCUAAUCCAGGAGAAAAAAGAGAAUGAGUUCAUUAGAUUUCGACAAGGAGCUCAAACUGUAGCAGAAUAUGCAAGCUAAUUUACUAGAUUAUCCAAAUUCGCUCCCGAAGUAGUAGUGACCGAGCAAAGGCGAAUAAGGUGAUUUGUUCAGGGGUUGAAUGUAGAGAUUCAAAAGGAUCUAGCAGUAGCCUAAAUCAACACCUUUAGUGACGCUGUGGAGAAAGCCCAGCGAGUCAAAAGUGCGAGGUUACAAAUUAGAAACUUCGAAGCAAAGAAACGGGGAUUUCCUGGAAGUAGUUCGGGACAAGGAGAAAAGAGUACACCUCCCAAGUCUGGAAGGAGAACUGGAGGAGUGAGACUUCCGAGGAUGUCAAGAGGAGCUCCACCAAGAGGUGGUCAAGUCGAGCGAGGCCAACAGAGAGGUGCCUCACAGGGAAGCUCAGCUCUUGCUUUCCGUGGUCCCUGCGGGUAUUGUGGGAAGCCGAACCACACGGAAGAAAAUUAUUGGAGGAAAGAAAGAAAGUGCUUGCACUGUGGGAGUGUCGAUCAUCAGAUCACCAGUUGUCCAGUCCCACUUCGAGAAAAGAGUGGGACCCAACAACAAACAAAGACCAACCUGGGACAGUCCAAGGUGGAAGGGACUAGAUCGAAGGUGCCAGCUCGAGUGUGCUCCCUAGAACAACAUCAGGUCCCUGACUCGUCUGAGGCCAUAGAAGGUAUGAUCCCUGUAUCCCACUGUUUAGUUAAGAUUUUGAUAUAUCCUGGUGCUACCCAUCCAUUUGUCAAUCUCAAUUUUAUGUAUGGAAUGGAUGUAAAGUCUGUUAAAUUGUCAUAUGAUCUGGAAGUUAGUACUCCUGCGGGUAACCAACAUUUGAUCACCAGUAUGGUGUAUAACAAUUGCGAAAUUUGGAUGGAGAGAGAAAAUUAUUGGGGGAUCUAAUAAACUUAGCCAUUAAGGGGUACGAUGUUAUAUUGGAUAUGAAUUGGUUAGCUAAAUAUGAUUCCCAACUAGAUUGUAAGAGGAAAGUGGUAGAAUUUCGUAUACCUGGGGAGGACACUUUAAGGCUAGAUGUAAGGGGUUGAUUAGUCUCAUCUGCACUGAUUUCGGGUAUUCAGGUUAGGAAAUUACUAAGUAAGGGGGCGCAAGGGUUCCUAGCUUUUCUUGUAAAUACUCCGAUCGAUAAGUUGAAGGUAGAAGAUGUACCGGUAGUGAUGAAAUAUCCAGAUGUCUUCCCUGAUGAGUUAGUGACUUUACCUCUAGAAAGGGAGAUAGAAUUUAAGAUUGACUUGUUACCGGGGACAUCACGUAUCUCUAAAACUCCCUAUCGGAUGGCACCUACUGAGCUUAAGGAAUUGAAAUUGCAGUUGCAAGACCUAUUGGAGCGAGGGUUCAUUUGAGAAAGUGAAUCUCCAUGGGGAGCCCCUGUACUAUUUGUUAAGAAGAAAGACAGGAGUUUAACGUUAUGUAUAGACUAUCGGGGGUUGAACAAUGUGACAAUUAAGUGUGAGAACCCGUAAUUUUCUUAAUUGCUAGGUUUUAUUUUAUUUUAAUUGCACCCUUUUUCACAUUUUAUUUUUUUUGAAAAAUUGUGAUAAUAAUUUUUAUGAGUAAAUAUAGUUUUUAGAUGAUUUUUCUAGUACCAGUUAGUUUUUGAGAAAUUAAGAGCGUAUACCGAACGUGGGACCCGCUAGUGCGAAAAGUUCAGAAAAAAUUCGGCCAAUUAGGUUAAGUUUGGGAUACUGGGAUUAAUUUACUAGGUGCUAAGAGAUAAUUAUAGGUUACCAAGUGGAUUGGUGUGAGAGGAAUAAAGGAUAGAUUAGCAUUAAAUGAAGUGACAAGUGUCACUUGAAGAUUCAUUCUUACCUUUUGACCCCUAUUCAUGACUUUACCAUUUAAACUAAAAAUUGACCAAAAUUACUUCAAUUUUGCAAGCUUCUUGGCCGGCUCUUAUCAAGCAAAAAGGAAAGAAAAGCUCUCAAUUUUCUAGUCUCCAAUCUUGCCCAAUUUUUCAAUUCAACUGUUUAAUCUUCAAAUUUUCCUAAAAACCUCUUAGUUUGGUGAUAUUAAGGUUGGUUGUGAAGUUGUUUGGAAGGCUAAGGUGGUUAGUUGCUUCCCUUCUUGUAUUUUAAGGUGAAUAUCUAAGGAACUCCUCUUUUGUUCUUGAUGAUGUUUAAUUAAUGGCUUGUGGUAGCCUAAGAGGUGUUUUUGUGGGUUAUUUCAUGACUUUUAGUUGAGAUUGGUGACUUUUAUAUUUAUUCUUGAAUUUUUCUGUUUCCAUAUGUGUAAUAUGGUGCGGCCAUGAUUGAUGAUUGGAAAUGAUCUUGAAUGAAGCUAGAAGGUAUAAAUUGUGGUUAAUUGCAGAAAAUUUCUGCUUUGGAAAGAAAUUUUGAAAGUUAGGGUUUCAUUUCCCCUCAUUCUGCCUGGCACUGUUCAUCAUAGUUACAGUCCGAAUUAGCCUUGGGUUAAAACAUGAAAGUUGUAGGGAAUGAUAUUUUAGAGAUGCCUCCAAAAUUUCAGGCCAACCGGAGUAGCGUACCUUAUGAAAAGACUGAAAUACCCCUGCUGCCCUGUUUCUACCCAAACAUGCUAAUCAACUUCUGUAAUUGGUUGUUUUGACCAGGAAUACUACUGAUUUGGUUUUUGAUGCCUUCUUAAGAAAUAUAGCCUGAACUCUUAGCUUUCAGAUGGCUUUAGAAUCACUUGAAUUGGAUUUUGGUAGCCUAAAUUAUGGUUGUUUAACCAGAAUGCGGUUCGCUAACUUGUUUAUGCGGUUCUGGUUUGGUAUAUUGAACUUUUGACUUAGUUGCACUACAAACUGGACUGAGUGACCUUCUUCAAUAUUGUAGCCCUUUCUGUUAGCUACGAAACAGUGUAUCUUGUACAUCCAUCCGACAAUCAUAGUGCCGGUUGUGUCCAAUACGCUAAACGACGUCAAAACUAUUUUAGGGUUUUAGAGCUUAACUUUCAUUUCCAGAUUUUUCCCUAGCUUGAAUUGUACUUGUACUACUUGGAGCUUAUUGAACGGCUAUUGAAUGAAAUUAUUUUGUGUGUGACUUUGGGAGUGAUUGAGGAAAAAAAAAGGGAAGCCUUGAUGGCUAGAAAAGUAAGCAAAUUUAGGGGAAGUGCUGUCCAAUUUUCAAGGCCGUUUGGCUCCUUUAAGUUUGAAUUGCCUUUUGGUAGAAAUGAAGGGCUUUUGGGUUGUUUGAGCCUAGGUCUUCAUGUUACCUUUUCGUUCCUAAAAAUCAUGUUUUGCACCCUUGCAUUAGUAAUUAUGUGGCGAGGCAUACGACUAGUAGUCGAGCCUCACAUGUGCAUUCUAUUUACUCGAUUUUGGAAGUGGAACCUUCAAUUGUUUUACUUUGGUUCUUUUAGGGUUUCUUGGCGAUUAAAGCCAGUUUGAAGUGAAAAUUUUGAAGUAUCCGUACUUGAACCGGUGAGUGUACCACUCCCCUCAUUUGUUGUUUAACUCGGUUUCGGUACAUGCAAUCUGUGAUAUGAACGUCUGAACUAUCUGUUUAUUUUGUUUGAGACGAGGGUGUACUUUAUCACACUCGUUCUCUUGUCUGUUCAUAUGCCAAUUCUUGGUGCGAAUUUGAAUCUUUUAUCUGUAUCUGUAUCUGUAUCUAUAUCUGUUAUCUGUAUCUGUAUCUAUUCUGAUGUCGUUUGGAAGCUGGUAUCCAACGACCUUUCUGAAACCUUUGAGCUCAACACCUGUGGCUAGUUACUCGAGUCGGGCCGGCAAGGGCCUGGUCGAUUAGAUAACGAACCACGGUAGUCUGUUUUGGGAUCUUUGGGUAUUGAGACCCUUGAUUCCAGUAUACUCGAGUAUUACCAUUUCUGAACUGAUUGGAGUUCGGGCCCGGUAGGGGUAUGUGAGGUGGAAGAAAUCGGAGAAAGUGGAGUCUACGGUAUUGGUUACUUCUUUAAUGUUGACGGAGUGUCAACUAUUAUUUCGAUCAAGUUUCGGUGAAGCAAAUGGGAAUUUUGGCUCCUGAGAGCCACCCGUAUCCUUUCUGUCUAUGGUGUUUGUUCAUUUCUUAUUUGACUCGCAUAUGUGAUUAAUUGAAUAUGAAGUUUCACGUUUCUACUUGCUAUUAUUUUGGUACCACAUUAAGCGUAAGCUCACCCCUUUCCCGUUAUCUUUGUUUUCCUUACAGGGAACCACUUUUGGGGAUAAGAUGUUUUGAAGCACGAGUCGAGCUACAUUUAAUAUACUUUUGUAAAGCUCCUCGAUAGUUGGAAAACCCUAAAUGUAUUUUGAUCUAAUUAUCUUCUUUUGUUCCGUAAAUUACAAACAUUUGUGUAUAAGACUAUUUACCCUGUUCAUGUAUCCUAGUUGGAUUGGAAAUGUUUUCCCGAGUUAUAUGGCCACAUCUGUAUUCGUUUGGCCCCUGGUUGGGUGGUGACGUGGCAACCACUAUUCAUUGUGGUUUUGAUUUUCGUUUUGCCCUUUGGCGACUUUGAAUCGUUUGAGCGCGCUAUUUCCUUCCUGAACGUUUUCGAUUUCAUUUAACUGCUUGAUAGUCCUGGCGAGAGCUGGGCAGGCAGCCCGCUGAACCCUUUGGUUCGCCUUAGGGUAAGGUGGGGCUGUCACAGGUGGUAUCAGAGCCACUUCGCGUGGUCUCUGCGUGGAGUGGCUUGGGCCAAAUGGUGUUAUGGUCCUGCUUUCAUGAAUGCGUUAAAAGGUAUAAGUGCUCUUUUGAGCGUAAGCUAUGAACCGUGCAUGUCAUGAGUGUAAGGAUCAUUAUCAUGGGACUUGAGGAAGCUAGGUAUGUAUGUCUGGUAGGAAUCUUUAAUAUGGAUGAUUUACACUUGGGACCGGCCGGCUAGAGUUGUGAAUCAUCUUAGAUGGUAUUCUUGUGCCCGGAUACGAAAGAGAUGAGAGCCUAAGUUAGAAAGGAUUGGGCGAACUAGAAAUGCGAUUCUAUGGAACUUCGUGUGGUUUGUUCGGGUGUGGUUAACCGUGAUCAACCUUGAUUAAGAUAUAAAUGGUGUUGCUAUCGUAGAUUAUGGACGGAGCCCUAGAGGUGGGAAAAGCUUUUCGUGAGUCCUUUUGUACUCGUGACCUAGUCUGUCUAUAGUACUUUUGGAGGACCCCUUUUGUUUCAUGGGAUGAUUUUGUAUGUACUUGACUGACUGUUCUGUAUAAUUGCUUGACCCGGUUAUGUGUUCUAUAUAUAUGUGUUAUAUGUUUAAAUGCUCUACGACAUAGUUGUUUUAGUUAAUUGUUCUUGUUUAAUUGUUCCUGUUUAGUGCUACGAAAAGGAGGGUUAUGUGCCCUUUAACAGUUUAUUUAUUUUGUGACCUAGAUUGACUUAGAUUGAUGGAAGGCACUCGUAGUGGUCGAGGUCGUGGACGCGGGGGUAGGCAACCCACGCCUGAAAGGGGCACUGGGAAAACCUCAUCUGGACCUAACCCUGAACCGAGAGUUGAUCCUAACAUCCAAAUAGCGGCUGCCAUGCAGCAAAUGACUAAUUUACUAGCCCAAGUGGUGCACCAACAGGGCCAAAACCCGAACCCUAACCCUGGAAACCCUGGCAACCACGUCGAGAGCGAUGACAGGGCACUUGAAAGGUUCCAGAAGUUCACCCCACCGAAAUUCAUUGGGGAGCCCGACCCGGAUGUCGCCGAAAGGUGGCUCGAGAAAAUGGUAGAUAUUUUUGCUGCCUUGCACUAUACCGAGGAGAGGCAAGUAACCUUUGCCGUCUUUCAACUGGAAGGGGCGGCCCGUUCCUGGUGGAAUGUCAUUAGGCAAAAAUGGGAACGGGAACAAACGCCCAGAACUUGGGUAAAUUUUAUAAGGGAAUUCAACGCGAAAUUUUUUCCUCCUCUAGUUCAGGAGAGGAAGGAAGAUGAGUUUAUCUGACUCCGCCAAGGGGCUCAGUCUGUGGUGGAAUACGAGAGCCAAUUCACCCGCCUAUCCAAAUUUGCCCCUGAGUUGAUUAUGACCGAGCAACGGCGGAUCAGGCGUUUUAUCCAGGGCUUGAACGUGGAGAUCCAGAAAGAUCUAGCCAUAGCCCAAAUUAACACCUUCAGCGAUGCCGUAGAGAAGGCGCAACGAGUAGAGAAUGCUAGGCUGCAGGUGAAAAACUUUCAAGCCAAGAAAAGGGGCUUUCCUGGGAGUAGCUCUGAGCAAGAAGGUACAAGUACGCCCCCUAAGAUUGGAAAGGGAAACGGGGGAGUACGACAACCAGGGGUGUCACGUGAUGUCUCUCAGGAGGGACCGGUCUCUGCUACUCGUGGUCCUUGCGGAUAUUGCGGAGGGCCAAAUCAUACGGAGGCAAAUUGUUGGAAGAAAGAGGGAAAAUGUCUGCGCUGCGGAAGUGUCGAUCAUCGGAUUGCUGACUGUCCAGUUCGAUUGCAAAAAGGAAAAGGGACCCCGCAACCAACUAAGACUAACCCUGGACAGUCGAAAAAGGAAGGGGCUGGAUUGAAGGUACCGGCUCGGGUAUAUUCUUUAGAGCACCAUCAGGUUCCUGACUCGUCUGAGGACGUAGAAGGUAUGAUCCGUUAGGUACCUUAGAUUUUGAAAGAUUCCGUUGAUAAGAAAAUUUCGAGAACAAAAUUACUUUAAGAGGGAGAGAGUGUGAGAACCCGUAAUUUUCUUAAUUGCUAGGUUUUAUUUUCUUUUAAUUGCACGCUUUUCCACAUUUUAUUUAUUUGAAAAAUUGUGAUAAUAAUUUUUAUGAGUAAAUAUAGUUUUUAGAUGAUUUUUCUAGUACCAGUUAGUUUUUGAGAAAUUAAGAGCGUAUACCGGACGUGGGACCCGUUAGUGCGAAAAGUUCGGAAAAAAUUCGGCCAAUUAGGUUAAGUUUGGGAUAUUGGGAUUAAUUUACUAGGUGCUAAGAGAUAAUUAUAGGUUACCAAGUGGAUUGGUGUGAGAGGAAUAAAGGAUAGAUUAGCAUUAAAUGAAGUGACAAGUGUCACUUGAAGAUUCAUUCUUACAUUUUGACCUUUUGACCACUAUUCAUGACUUUACCAUUUAAACUAAAAAUUGACCAAAAUUACUUCAAUUUUGCAAGCUUCUUGGCCGGCUCUUAUAAAGCAAAAAGGAAAGAAAAGCUCUCAAUUUUCUAGUCUCCAAUCUUGCCCAAUUUUUCAAUUCAACUAUUUAAUCUUCAAAUUUUCCUAUAAAACCUCUUAGUUUGGUGAUAUUAAGGUUGGUUGUGAAGUUGUUUGGAAGGCUAAGGUGGUUAGUUGCUUCCCUUCUUGUAUUUUAAGGUGAGUAUCUAAGGAACUCCUCUUUUGUUCUUGAUGAUGUUUAAUUAAUAGCUUGUGGUAGUCUAAGAGGUGUUUUUGUGGGUUAUUUCAUGACUUUUAGUUGAGAUUGGUGACUUUAAUAUUUAUUCUUGAAUUUUUCUGUUUCCAUAUGUGUAAUAUGGUGCGGCCAUGAUUGAUGAUUGGAAAUGAUCUUGAAUGAAGCUAGAAGGUAUAAAUUGUGGUUAAUUACAGAAAAUUUUUACUUUGGAAAGAAAUUUUGGAAGUUAGGGUUUCAUUUCCCCUCAUUCUGCCCGGCACUGUUCAUCAUAGUUAGAAGCCGAAUUAGCCUUGGGUUAAAACAUGAAAGUUGUAGGGAAUGAUAUUUUAGAGAUGCCUCCAAAAUUUCAGGCCAACCGGAGUAGCGUACCUUAUGAAAAGACUGAAAUACCCCUGCUGCCCUGUUUCUACCCAAACAUGCUAAUCAACUUCUGUAAUUGGUUGUUUUGACCAGGAAUACUACUGAUUUGGUUUUUGAUGCCUUCUUAAGAAAUAUAUCCUGAACUCUUAGCUUUCAGAUGGCUUUAGAAUCACUUGAAUUGGAUUUUAGUAGCCUGAAUUAUGGUUGUAUAACCAGAAUGCGGUUUGCUAACUUGUUUAUGCGGUUCUAGUUUGGUAUAUUGAACUUUUGACUUAGUUGCACUACAAACUGGACUGAGUGGCCUUCUUCAAUAUUGUAGCCCUUUCUGUUAGCUACGAAAUGUUGUAUCUUGUACAUCCAUCCGACAAUCAUAGUGCCGGUUGUGUCCAAUACGCUAAACGACGUCAAAACUGUUUUGGGGUUUUAGAGCUUAACUUUCAUUUCCGAACUUUUCCCUAGCUUGAAUUGUACUUGUACUACUUGGAGCUUAUUGAACGGCUAUUGAAUGAAAUUAUUUUGUUUGUGAAUUUGGGAGUGAUUGUGGAAAAAAAAAGUGAAGCUUUGAUGGCUGGAAAAGUAAUCAAAUUUAGGGGAAGUACUGUCCAAUUUUCUAGGCCGUUUGGCUCCUUUAAGUUUGAAUUGCCUUUUGGUAGAAAUGAAGUGCUUUUGGGUUGUUUGAGCCUAGGUCUUCAUGUUACCUUUUCGUUCCCAAAAAUCAUGUUUUGCACCCUUGCAUUAGUUAUUAUUUGGCGAGGCAUACGACUAGUAGUCGAGCCUCAAAUGUGCAUUCUGUUUACUCGAUUUUGGAAGUGGAACCUUCAAUUAUUUUACUUUGGUUCUUUUAGAGUUUCUUGGCGAUUAAAGCCAGUUUGAAGUGAAAAUUUUGAAGUAUCCGUACUUGAACCGGUGAGUGUACCACUCCCCUCAUUUGUUGUUUAACUCGGUUUCGGUACAUGCAAUCUGUGAUAUGAACGUCUGAACUAUCUGUCUCACCCCAUUUUUGAAUAAAAAAAUAAAAGACGAGUUUAGAAAAAUGGCUUUUGAUUCAUUUUUUGAUUAGAAAAUGAAUUUUUUGAUUUAAGAAGAGAAUGAAAAACAUGGGUCUAAAUGGGACUUGAAAAUCCGACGAUUUGACCCAAAAAUAUAGUUUAAAAAGGGUUUGAAAAAUGGAGUCGCCACUUGGUAUAGAGUUAAGGUGUACCAAGUCACCUAAAAAUGAAUUUUUAAAGAAAAAGUAGAAAAACCUUUUUUAAACGACUCCAUGUCUACAAAAUUCAGAGAAAAAGAUUCGGGAGUCACAUUUGAAGAAAGGGAAGGCAAGGAUAAGAAUCCAAGGCACCCUUUCAACCUAGCCAAGACUAGUUGCGCGAUUUAGUCAAAGAUUUUCUUAUUUUUAACCUAAAAAUUUAUCACAUUUGGAUGUACUAUAUGAAUGCAUAUCCUAAACCCAGGAGGGUAUCGGGGGGUUGAAAUGUAUCUUCAAAGCUUACUUGGUACCAUUCACAUUAAUUGUGACGUCCAAUAAAGACUCUUUAAAGAAGUCACGAAUAAUGCAAGUCAUGAGACUCGAAAGAAAGAAAAAGUAAAGAAAAUAAUAAUAUACAAAUGUGUAUGACCUAAAGGAAUGCAUCAUAAUGGGUGCGGGGGACUUAUACUCGUGACUUUCAAUGUUCCCUUUAAUAGAGAGAAUACGAGCGUGCUAAGGCUAAAAAAAAGCCAAACUCGUCCAUAUCCCAUAUUCGAGGGGUUUUUCCUAGUCUAAUCAAGCAAAUGUACUAACCUAGGUCUAGUGCUUAGAUGAAAUGCAAGUCUAAUGUCAUGUUUCAUACAAAGGGGUAAGUAAUAUACAUAUAAGGGAAAAUAUGGGGAAAGAGAUAUACGUAUAAGGAGGGAUGUCAUGCAAAAAUGAUAAAAGACCCUAAAAGGUGAAAAAAUAUGCAUGAGAAUGUAAUGUAGUCAUACAAUCAUGAUCUAACGUGCGGAUGGUUCCUAAGGGUCUAGCGUUGGACUAGCCCUUAACUAACGUUCUCUCACAAGCAUUGGACUUGUGAGGGCUCGAGAGGAAGACCAUACUAGCAUUGGACUAGCCACGGUGACGUGCAUUCAUCCACAUAAGCACAUAUAAUAAUAAAAGCAAGUAGACAUGCAGAGGCACAUAAUUUUCACGUAGCAUGUAGCACACAAGCAUGCUUAUCUAGAUGCCAAAAUCCUAGGAAAAGCAAUUAACACGUAACACAUAGGCAUUCAAAAACACACAAGGCAAAUAAAGCAAAUAAAGCCCUAACUAUUACAUUCGGAGGAGCCCUAUUACAAUCUAAAAGGGAAAACGAAAUAAAAUAAAAUAAUAACCUAGCUAUUACAACUUUGGCAUUCAAGUGCCUUCAAAUGAUCAAAAUUGAACUAAAAAUAAAUAUACAAACUAAAGCCAACAAAGAAAAUAAAUAAAAUAAACAAAUAAAUAAUAAUAAAAACAUUUAAGAGGCAUGCAAAUUAAACACGUAAAAUCACAUAGGGCACGUAGGGUCACCUAAAGUAAGAAAUUAGGGAUAGAGUUUACCUCCCUGGAGAUGGUAAUGAAAUGAAGGAAAUAUUAGCUUCAAAAUAAUAAAAAGGUCAAGGAACCAAUUAAAUAGUAAAGUAUAAACAAAAUCACUGGAUCCUUCCUAAUUGCAACUUAAAUGAAACCAAGUAAUGCAUAAUUUCCAAGAAAAAGUAAAUUAUUGAUCAAAUUUCUAAAAUAGAAAAACUACCAACCAAUUGUAAAUAUUAACCAAUCAUUCGAGUCCAAUUAGAAGUUUUGGGAACUUCAAAGGUCCGAAAGUAAUAAAAAGGUUAAGUAAUGGUUCAAAUUGCAAUUACUCUAGGACCUAAUUGCAAGAAAUUAAAACAUAAUUGGGCCAUAGUAAGACAAGGAGAGACUUUGAGGGGCCAAAGUGCAAUUUUUCUGGAAAUUGUUCAUGCAAAAUGCAUGCAAAUGUAACGAGGGAGCCUUCUGCAACGAAAACCAUUCAACAACUUUUGAAACUUUCUGCAACUUUCGGCUUCUAUUCACACAGGAAAACAGCCAUGAACAUGAAAUUAAAUGAAACAUGCAAGCCUGUCAACUAAUUGCACAAGACCCAACUCAACACAAAUCAUACAAUGACACAAGAUCAAGGAUUCAAGAUCCCUUCUCUCCAACAGAUUCACAAAAACCAGAAAAACAUCUUUUGCUACCUCUCCUAAACUCUAGCAUGUUGGGUUCAAUUUCUGAUGAAUUUUUUUGGAUGCAAUCCAAACUUACCUAAUGGCCAAACCAACAAAUUUAGAUCAAAACAACAAGAUUAUCCAGUAAUCUUUCCAUUUUUCAACCACAAAGUCUCAUUUUUACGCACGAAAAACCGAAAGAGAGAGCAUGCGGCAAUUUGGAAAUUUUUCGGCCACUUGAGUUUUCAUUCCCAGAAGCCACAGAAAACUUGCAGCCCAACAUUCAUUAGAUUUCUCAUGAGCACAUAAUUGACAAUGCAAUCAAGGGAGACUAAGAAAAAGAAAACUGGCCAGUUGAAAUGCAUUCAUACAUUUCUUGCUGCAAUUUGUAGCUCAAACUCGCGCCAAGGGAUUACCAAGGUACUUUAUCAGAAACACUAACCAUCCAACAUACAAACAGACCCAAAGGAACAAUCAGACCAAACCAGAACCUCAGCUACCCAAAAAAAGAAGUCCAGUUUCGUCAACAUUGGAGAACAAGUGCUUCAGCAAACUGAAAGGAAGAACUAAAGCUGCUGCAACAAUCCGAAGGCUACGAACUUGUUGCGGUAAGAAAUUCCUACGCUUGCAUUUCAGUCAAACAAACUCUAACUCAAACCACAGUAUCGGCAGGUAUAGUUUUCAAUUUUCAACAUAAAACCUUGGAUGUAAACACAUAAAAGGGUCAAAACACAGGGGCAUGCCAAAUCUGUAAAUUUCACUAGCAACUUGAGUCUUCAUUUUCACUUUUGGGUUUCAUCAUUGAGCAUUAACAUGAUGCAAAUCAAAUCCAAAACAACAAAUACGCAUAUCUCAGCUAAGAAUCCGACACAAACAAGCAAUAUACGUAGUAGCUAGCAAUCGACGAGGCAUUGAAAAUUUUCAUUCAAACUGUGAAACAUCUUUGCAACCGUGAAUCUUGGACAAAAAUGAUCUAACCCCAAACUCCUAAAUGACCUAAGUCGCUACCCCAAAACUCCAGUCCAACCCACCAGAUUCACACAGAAAUAGGUAUGAAAAGGAAAACUCAGUACAUCCAUCCAGUAAACUAAGAACAAAACAGGUAAAAGACGUUAUCCCUUCCAAAGGCAAAACCAAGGCUGGGAUGAUCAGAAAGGGGUCGCUGCUCAAUCCAAAAUCCUCUCUCUUUCCGAUUCUGCUACUCUUCCAUUCUCCCUUCGCUAUUCUCUAUCGAUGCCUUCAACGAUGCCCUCUUUCUUUUUACUUUGUUUUCAGCCAGCCAUUCCCUGUUCUUGCUCUCGGUUUCUCACUUUUUCCGUAGCCUCCUUAACCCUAGCUGCCAACUAUCCCCCCAUCUUGUUCGCUCUUCAAACCCUUCCGUUCCUCUCUUCUCCCCUUUCUGGUUUCUUUCUUUUUUUUCUCACUCAACCAGCCGUCAACUUUCUUUCAUCAGUUGUUACCCAAGAAACCCCUCCGUAGCCUUCUGUGUUUUUUCUCUACCCACAGCCGCCAAUGAGCCUCCCCCUUUUCUUGCCGUCUAUUUUUCCUUUUAUAUGGGACCCCCAGGUUCCUAAAACCCUCAAAGUUCAUCUUGAUGGCUCCAAAUGAUUCCAACGCCCCAGCCCCCCUCCUAGCCAUUGAUCAUGGCUUUUAAUAGACAAAAUGCAAGAAACCGCAGAAGCUCUCUUUUUUUUCUUUUUUUCAUUUUCAUCAUUCAUUUUCUCUUUUUUUAAUUUAAUUAAUAAUAAACAAAAUAUAAAGAAAAAUAACUAAUUAAGAAAGAUCGAAUAAAAUGAGCGACACUAGGCAUAAAAAGAUAAAAAUGAAGUGCUAAUUAAUAAUAAUUUUUUUAAUUAAAUAACAAUGAAUUUAAAUCUAAAAUAACUAAAGCAUAUUUUUGUGAAUGCUUUUCUUUUUUUUCCUACGCUAGAAUGGCUUAAAAUAAAAAACUAAAAGACUAAAAGUAAAUAAAAAAUAAAAAUAAAUAGUAAAUGAAAUUACACUAAAAAUUUGGUGUCUACACUAUCUAUUUAUUUUGUUUGAGACGAGGGUGUACUUUAUCACAUUCGUUUUCUUGUCUGUUCAUAUGCCAAUUCUUGGUGCGAAUCUGAAUCUUUUAUCUGUAUCUGUAUCUGUAUCUAUAUCUGUUAUCUGUAUCUAUAUCUGUAUCUGUUCUGAUGUCGUUUGGAAGCUGGUAUCCAACGACCUUUCUGAAACCUCUGAGCUCAACACCUGUGGCUAGUUACUCAAGUCGGGCCGGCAAGGGCCUGGUCGAUUAGAUAACGAACCAGGUAGUCUGUUUUGGGAUCUUUGGGUAUUGAGACCCUUGAUUCCGGUAUACUCGAGUAUUACCAUUUCUGAACUGAUUGGAGUUCGGGCCCGGUAGGGGUAUGUGAGGUAGAAGGAAUCGGAGAAAGUGGAGUCUACGGUAUUGGUUACUUCUUUAAUGUUGACGGAGUGUCAACUAUUAUUUCGAUCAAGUUUCGGUGAAGCAAAUGGGAAUUUGGCUCCUGAGAGCCACCCAUAUCCUUUCUGUCUAUGGUGUUUGUUCAUUUCUUAUUUGACUCACAUAUGUGAUUAAUUGAAUAUGAAGUUCCACGUUUCUACUUGCUACUAUUUUGGUACCUCAUUGAGCGUAAGCUCACCUCCUUCCCGUUAUCUUUGUUUUCCUUACAGGGAACCACUUUUGGGGCUAAGAUGUUUUGAAGCACGAGUCGAGCUAGAUUUAAUAUACUUUUGUAAAGCUCCUCGAUAGUUGGAAAACCCUAAAUGUAUUUUGAUCUAAUUAUCUUCUUUUGUUCCGUAAAUUACAAACGUAUGUGUAUAAGACUAUUUACCCUGUUCAUGUAUCCUAGUUGGAUUGGAAAUGUUUUCCCGAGUUAUAUGGCCACAUCUGUAUUCGUUUGGCCCCUGGUUGGGUGGUGACGUGGCAACCACUAUUCAUUGUGGUUUUGAUUUCGUUUUGCCCUUUAGCGACUUUGAAUCGUUUGAGCGCGCUAUUUCCUUCCUGAACGUUUUCGAUUUCAUUUAACUGCUCGAUAGUCCUAGCGAGAGUUGGGCAGGCAUCCCGCUAAACCCUUUGGUUUGCCUUAGGGUAAGGUGGGGCUGUCACAUUAAGAAUAAAUACCCACUGCCCCAUAUUGAUGAGUUGUUUGACUAGCUGCAAUGAGCAGUGGUAUUUUCAAAGUUAGACCUCCGAUAGGGAUACUAUCAGUUGCUAAUUAGGAAGGAAGAUAUACCAAAGGCUGCAUUCAAUUCUAGAUAUGGGCAUUUUGAGUUCACAAUCAUGCCCUUUGAAUUGACCAAUGCCCCUGCCGCAUUUAUGAAUUUGAUGCAUCGAGUUUUCAAACCCUACUUGGCUCCAUUUGUAGUUGUGUUUAUCGACGACAUUUUGGUCUAUUUAAAAACCCGAGAAGAGCAUGAAUAGCAUUUGAGAAUCAUCUUGCAAACCCUAAGGGACUGCCAGUUAUAUGCCGAGUUCAGUAAGUGUGAAUUUUAGUUGGAGAAAAUCUCUUUCUUAAGGCACGUGAUUUCAAAAGAGGGUAUCACUGUAGACCCGACGAAGGUAGAGACAGUAACUAAAUGGAACACGCCAGAAAAUCCCACUGAGAUUCGUAACUUUCUAGGGUUGGCAGGUUAUUAUCGUCAGUUCAUUAAGGACUUCUCAAAACUUGUCAGUCCUUUAACCGAUAUGACGAUGAAGAACGGCGUUGCAUGUGGGACGUAAGGUGUGAAGCUAGUUUUCAAGAAUUGAAAAAAAGAUUGACCAUGGCACCAAUUCUAGCUUUGCCUAACGGAAGGGAUAGUUUCAUUGUAUAUACGGAUGCCUCGAGGAAAGGAUUUGGGUGCGUGCUAAUGCAAAAUAAGAAUAUGAUUGUCUUUGCCUCUAGAAAAUUAAUGUGAUGCCCCCACUUCUCCCAAGGGCAAACCCGAGGGUAUCGGCGGGACGCCUGCCUAGCUCGUGCCAGGAAUCGAUUCCAAAAUUGAUAAAAUAAAUUUCACGCUAAAAGAAAGUUCUAUAUACACCAUUACUUCUUCAAAAGUUAGAUAAACUUUUACAUCAAGUCGCACACACCACUAGUACUAGAAAGCAAACCCUAAGAAAGCUGAUAACUACAACCACCACAACAUACCCAUACAUCGUACUAGUCAACUUAUAACAGGUACAAAGUCAACUAUUCUAUAACCAAAAGUCUAUAUACCUUCCCGAACGAUCCCCGCGUCGGCCCCCUGAUAAGGAAAACAAAUAGAACGGGGUAAGCUAUAUGCUUAGUGAAUAAUUGGGGGUAAAAAUGUAAAAAUACAUUCAAAUAAACAUAUUUAUUCAAAUAUUUCACAUCAAUACAGAAAUGUAACAUCAAAAUGCUAGGAUACGGGUGGCUCCAAAACCAGUUCAAUUCCCCGAGCUUGAACACCUGUUGACACUCCGUCAACCAAAGUACUCAUAGAUCGUAGACUCCACUUAACUUUUCCCGUUCAUCUUAUCAACCCCCGUUGGCCAGUCAACAGCACACAGCAGCUCGAGUGAAACAAAAUUUCUUAGCUUUAUUCAAAGUUUUAACAAAGAACGAAAUCCCAAGGUUAGCAUGGAACUAACUUCGACCAAACCCCGGCAGGCUCGAAUAGUUCGUCUACCCUUGGAACCGGGAUGGAACCAAGCCCUGAGAUAUUCGAUCUCUUAAUAGAUGAUAUCUCUCAAAAAAGUACUUACCCCAAACAGCACACAUCAAAAGGGGUUCAAUUCAAGUCAUGUAAUCACCCACAUCAGCACUCAGCAAAAGGGUGAUACGCAACAUAAGGCAUGUAUUCUCACAUAUGAAAUCAAAACAAAGGAUGGGUUUAGGUCGAGUGAGAUAAAGUACACCCUCGUCUAAGUACCCAUUUAACAUAUACAAAGCACUUUGACAGUUUGACAUCAAUAAACAACCCAAUUACUCACUUGAUAAAGUUUGGCAUGACAAAUGAUACAAUUCACUCAGCUUGACCGUCACCGUCAAAAGCCUCACAGUCUGUAUUGACAGAUUAUAUAUACACAAAAGUGAAACGACCAUACAAUAGCAGUUUAUAACUUAAACGAUCGAAAAUGGUCAAAAAUAAUAAAAAAUGGUCAAAAACGACAUUAAGGCCAAAAGAAUGUCGAAAUCGGCCGGAAUGGUAACAAAAUAACAAAAAUAGUCCAAAACGGCAAAAAUGGUUGAAAAAUGCACGUGCGCGUUCGCAAAAAUGAAAACGGUCGCACGUCCGCACCCAAGGGACGCCUGCCUAGCUUGCUCCAGGACUCGAUUCCAAAAAUGAUAAAAUAAAUUUCACGCUAAAAGAAAGUUCUAUAUACACCAUUACUUCUUCAAAAGUUAGAUAAACGUUUACAUCAAGCCAUACACACCACUAGUACUAGAAAGUAAACCCUAGGAAAGCUGAUAACUACAACCACCACAACAUACCCAUAUAUUGUACUAGUCAACUUAUAACAGGUACAAAGUCAACUAAUCUAUAACCAAAAGUCUAUAUACCUUCCCGAGCGAUCCCCGUGUCGGCCUCCUGCUAAGGAAAACAAAUGGAACGGGGUAAGCUAUAUGCUUAGUGAAUAAUUGGGGGUAAAAAUGUAAAAAUACAUUCAAAUAAACAUAUAAAUCCAAAUAUUUCACAUCAAUAUAGAAAUGUAAUAUCACAAUAGUAGGAUACGGGUGGCUCCAAAGCCAGUUCAAUUCCUCGAGCUUGAACGCCUGUUGACACUCCGUCAACCAAAAUACUCAUAGACCGUAGACUCCACUGAACUUUUCCUGUUCACCUUAUCAACUCCCGUUGGCCAGUCAACAGCACACAGCAGCUCGAGCGAAAUAAAAUUUCUUAACUUUAAUCAAAGCUUUAACAAAGAACGAAAUCCCAAGGUUAGCAUGGAACUUGUAGACACCAAAUUUUUGUCAAUUUUUAAUAUUUUCUCAAGAUUUUUCUAUUUAAUGAAUUAUUUAUUUUCUAGCAUUUUAAUGUGUAAUUUUUUCAUUUUUACAGGUUUAUUUUAGGAAAAAAAAUAGCAAAAUAAAAAAUAAAAAAAGGAAAAAAGGAGAAAAUCAAGAAAUCAAAUCAUCCUAAUCAUUUUUUUUCCCCACCAAAUACAUUUAACCCAUUUCACACUCAAUUGCCAGGGACCUUUCUUUUCAUCUGCAGAAGUCAUCAUUUCGGAAGAUUCAGCACACAAGCUCCAUUUUUUUGGCUACAAGUCUCUCUCGGCUCUACCCCAGGGGACUGGACAGACAACCAAAAACAAGGCCAACACUCAACAUUUGCAGAGGAGAAAACACGCACAAAAAAGCUAAUUUGGCUGAAUUUUCCUCUCUCGGCUCUCUCUCUGGGCUGGACCGAAAAGAAGAAAAAAAAAAGAGAAAAACUCCUCUCUCCCUCUCGGCUCUCAUCUCUCCCAAAUUUUUUCCAACACAUUUGCACACAACAAGGCAGCAAUCGGUUGGAUUGGAGCUUGGCAAUUUCAUCAAAAAUCUUGGCAAAAGGACCAAACUCUUCAUUGAGGUAUUUAUCUCCCUUUUUUCCAGUUUUUGUUUUUUUAAUUAACUAGAUUGAAUGUAUGUGUGGUUACCUUUUUUAUUGCUUAUUUUUGCUGGUUUUUGUUGGUGUUGUAUGGAUGAAAUUUUGGGAUGGGUCACUGAACAAAAUUAGGAAAAAAGAAACGGUGCUGUGAAUGCAUGCCAAAUGUUUGAAAAAUGUCUAAAUGAAAAAAUGAAUCAAAGAAGUGAAUUUGGCGUGUAUGUUUUGUUUAAAUGGAAGACCAUUAGCUAGCAAAGAUCUGAAAAUGCUUGGUUAUCCAAAAUUUUGGGAUUUUUUGAGCCUUAAAAGCAUUAGAAUAAUUUUCUUCAUUUUUGGGGCUGUUUUGAUUUAAUGCAUCCUUUUGUUGUUGUUUACUUGUCAAACUAAGAUUAUAGUUGUAUUGUAGAAGUUAUCAGGAGGGUUCUGGCAUAAUUUUUAUGAUUUUUGGUGAAGAUGUGGGGGUUUUAAAAAAAUAAAAACUGAACUGAUUUCUUGACAUUUUGACAACUUUCGGCUCACUUUUUGUAAAAACUAACUCCGGAAAUGGAAUCUACGCAAAAAAUGGAGUAGGGAGGUGUAUUUUGAGGAUUUUUGGUGACCGGAGAGGUCACCGGCGGUGGCGGUCGGCGGCGGCGGCGCCACCGGCAGCCUCCAUGGCCGCCAGCUGAAACUUCUUCAGCUGGCCGAAGAAGCAGAGAAAGAAACGAUUGGGGAAGGAAGAAAAGAAAGGAAAGAAAGAAAGAAGAAAAAAGAAAAGAAAUUGGGCUGAUGUUUUUUUUUCUGAUGGGCCAAGAGUUAGUUUUGGUUGGGUUUUGGGAAUGGGUUUUGUUUUAUUUUUUUGGGUUUCGGUUGGGUUAGAAGGUUAGAGCCCAUGCAUUGUUUUUUGUUGGGCUUGAGUGAUAAAAAGAUGGGCUAGCCUGCUCGCUUGGCUUGGACUUUUGGCUGGGCUUAGGUAGUGUUCGGCCCAAAGAAAUAAAAUGAUGGCCCGAUGGCCUUUCCUUGCCCAAAUCAGAAAUCGAAAUUUGCACUUUAGCCCUUUAUCUUUGGAGUAGUUUCACUGUGGCCCAGAAUAUUUUAAAUUUCUUUCAUGUAGGUCCUUAAAUUAAUUGCACUUUGGUCCCUGAAUUUUAUCUUUCAUUUAAUUUUAACCCCUGAACUUUGGAAAAUAUAAUUUUUGUCCCCCAAAAGUUUUCAAUUUUUGCAAUUCAGUCCUUGGCAAAUUUUGGCUCUCUUUAUUAUGAUUGUUUCUUUUCUUCAAUAACUAAUUAUGUUGCUUUUGAACAUAUUCAACUUGUAAUUUUUAGAUGUUUUAAAUUUCUUUAUGUUUGACAUAUUAGUGUGAGUUUAGUACUUUUAUUAUUAUUGUUUUUUUUCAAUUAAAUUGGUGCCAUGAUUCUUUUGUUCAUUGUGAGUAUAAAUAGGACAAUUUGACUCCAUUUAGUCACCACUUCAAACGGGAGGUACCCCUAUUUUUAUUAUUUCAAUGUCAAUUACGUGCUCUUAUGUGCUCUUAUGUGUUCCUAUGUGUUUAUAUUUUUAUAUGCUUCAUUUAUUUGAUUUAAAUAUUCAUUCAAAUUUUCUUAUAUAUGUUUUAGUUAAUUUUUACAAUGAUUCAAGAGGCAUUUAAAUACCUCAAAAAUAUAAUAGAUAGGAUAAUUAGAUUUGUUUUAUUAUAUUUUUCCCUUCUAGAUUGUAGUCAGGCGCUCCCCGAUGUAAUAGAUAGGUUGCGUGUUUAUGUGGUUUAUGUGUUAUGUGUUUUAUCCGCUUUUCUUAGGAUUUUGGCAUCUAGAUAUUAUGUUUACGUGUUAUGUGCUACGUGCUCUUAUGUGUUUAUUUGUUUUAAUUUAUGUUUUAUUUGUUUCACUAUGAAUUGUUAAUGCAUGACGUCACCACACUAGUCCAAUGCUAGUUGUGGUUUCCCCCUCCGCUUACUUGCUAGUCCAACGCUAGUAAGGACUUUUAGAAAUGGGCUAGUCCAACGCUAGACCCUUUAGGUCAUCUUGCGCUAGAUUCAUCUUUGUAUGCUAUUCACUACAUUUUCAUGCAUAUUUUCAUUUUUAGGAUCUUUUCUCAUUUGCAUGAUAUUCCCUAUUAUAUUAUCCCCUACCCGCUAUAGGUGCUAAUCAUGUCAUUUAGAAUUGCAUCUCAUUUAAGCUAGUUCAUUUGCUUGUUCAUGUUAGGAUAAUUAUUUUUCAAACAUGGGAAAUGGGUGAUUAUAACUUUCUAGUUUAAGUACCCUAUUAAUCCAUGUAUAAGAAAAUUAUGUCACGAGUUUUGCCUCCCGUACCCUUUAUGUUGCAUUCUCCUUUUCUUUGAUCACUUAUAUAUAUGUAUAUAAUUUAAUUUCUUUUCUUUUAUUUUAAUUUCAUCAUUUGCAUAUUCGUGACACUUUCAAGGAAUCAUUUUGGCCUUCGCAAUUAAUGCGAUUGGUUCAAUUAAACCCCUUGAAUGAACAUUUUGUCCCUUUCGAUAUAUUUAGAUUUGCAUCCAUAUAGGAAACAUCCAAAUAUGAUAAAAUUAAGGGUUAGAUUAGGAAAAUUUUGACUAAACCUCGCAACUAGCUUAGACUAGGUUGAAAGGGUGCCUUAGGUUUGAGUUAAUUGAACCUUUGCCUUCCCUUUCUUCAACCGUGACUCCCGAACUCAUUUUCUCUUGUUUUCAAAGACCUGGAGUUGUCAAAAAGGGUUUUAUUUUAUUUUACUUUAUUUUUGGGUGACUUGGUACACCAAAACUCCAUACCAAGUGGCGACUCUUAUUUUUCUAAAAAAACCCUUUUAGACUAAAUUUUGGAUCCAAAUUGUCGCAUUUUUUUAAGUCCCAUUCUAGGUCCUUUGUCACUUGUUUAAAAUAAAAUCACAUCUUUUUAUAAACAAUUUCUUUUUUCAUCGCGAAAAAUGGGGCGCGACAGAACUAACUUCGACCAAAGCCCGGCUAGCUCGAAUAGUUCGUCUACCCUUGGAACCGGGCUGGAACCAAAUCCUGAGAUAUCCGAUCUCUCAAUAGAUGAUAUCUCUUAACAAAGUACACAACAAAGUACUUACCCCAAACAGCACACAGCAAAAGGGGUUCAAUUCAAGUCAUGUAAUCACCCCCAUCAGCACUCAGCAAAAGGGUGAUACGCAACAUAAGGCAUGUAUUCUUACAUAUGAAAUCAAAAUAAAGGAUGGGUUUAGGUCAAGUGAGAUAAAGUACACCCUCGCCUAAGCACCCAUUUAACAUAUACAAGGCACUUUGACAGUUUGACAUCAAUAAACAACCAAAUUACUCACUUGAUACAAGUUGGCAUGAAAAAUGAUGCAAUUCACUGAGUUUGACUGUCACCGUCAAAAGUCUCACAGUCUGUAUUGAUAGAUUAUAUACACACAUAAGUGAAACGGCCAUACAAUAGCAGUUUAUAACUUAAACGAUCGAAAACGGUCAAAAAUAAUAAAAAACGACAUUAAGGCCAAAAGAAUGUCGAAAUCGUCCGAAACGGCCGGAAUGGUAACAAAAUAACAAAAAUAGUCCUAAACGGUCCAAAACGGCAAAAACGGUUGAGAAAUGCACGUGCGCGUGCGUGAAAAUGAAAACGGUUGCGCGUCAGCACCCAAGAGCGCAAACAGACAUUUCACAGUUUUGACACUUUUUACGGUUUUAAUUGUAACAAAAGCUGUGGUCAUCGGUUUAAGGUGUACGAGAUAUUGUUUCGAAGAUAAGACAAAGAACUACAAGGUUUAUGAAGACCAUUUAACCCAGAUCAGAAGGCAUCUGGGACAAAAUGCAAAUUACAGUAGCGAAUCAGUCAUGGUCAGUCCCAUGUCAGAUCUGAUUUCAAAUAGCAAUAACUGGAGCUAUGGUUGUCGGACUAAAAUGCACAAGGUGGCGUUUCGAAGCUAAAACAAAACUCUACAACUUUUAUGAAGACUAUUCAACUCAGUUUACACUUUGGCUCAGUCAAAAAUGCAAAUGACAGUCUCAGAAUUUGCCUUGUCAGAACUGAGGACAAAAUGUCCGACAGUUUGACUUUCAAUGGCCAUAACUCGGUCCACACAAAUCCGUUUGGGGUGAUUUUUGUUGUUUUAGAAAGCUCUCACAUAGGGCUAUAAAUUUUAUGUUUUGAUCCAAAACAGAUUAGAUGAGAUUCAUAUCGGAAAAUGAAGCCAAAAGCAGGGCUUCACACUGCCCGGAUUUUCUGGUUUGGCACCAAAAUGCCCUAACCAAACUUAGGUCACAUUUGUGACUUCAAACACAUUUAUAAACAACCAAAACACAUGCAACCUCCACAAGCUGUCCGCAUCUUCACAACCAUAAUCUAUACAAAUUUGAGUCAUGCAACCACAUCAAAUGAACCAUACACCAUCCCCUUAAUCCAUAACACAUCAUCAACACUAAGUUGCAUUGGCCAAACCCUAGCUUUUCAACCCCUUUGCUGGCCGGUUUUCUACUCACCACAAACCCACAAUUUUGAGCUACAAAUUUCACAUUUUGAGCUCAAUCCAACCAAUAUAAACACAUACAAUCCAUCAUAACAGAAAUUCAAAGCAUCAAAACUGGAAAUUUGUAUCACUUGCUGUAAUUUUCUCAAACUACCAUAGAAAUCACCAAAUCUUCCAUACAAACACAAAAGUGAUAUAUAAACCAUCAUUAACCCUUAUUAGCAUCUUACAACAUCAAAAUCAACAUUUCUACUCAAUUGCUACAAGCUUUUACAAGAGUUCAAGCUGCUUUACCUUCCAAAGGUUGGUUCACAAGGUUGCACUUCAAGAACCACGUUCCUUAGCUUUCUUUUACUCUAACUCCCAAGCUUGUUGGAUGAGUUGCACACAACCAGAAUUUUUCUUGUUCUUCCUCUUAUUUUCUCUUGAUUUUUUCUUCCUUCUUUUCUCCCAAGAGCUGCCCGAAAUUUCCUUGUUCGUUUGGCUUUUGUCUUGCUAAGUUAGAUUAAUACUAAGUCACUUGGUCAAAGUCCAACUACCUUUUUGAUUAGCCAACUAACAUUAAGCUUAGGAAUCUCAUGGAACCUUUAGGAACUCUAGCAACUUGUGAUUAACCAAAAGUCACACUAUGGCCCAAUUCAAUUCACAAUCCUACCAAUUUACUCCACAAUUUACAUUCUUGAUAUAUUCCAAAAACCUAAUUACACCUCAAUUCAAUCAUAAUUAUACGUACAAUUCAUAGACUAUAAAACACACCUAAUUAGGGUUUUUGGGUAAAGUUUAGGGUUUCUAGUCUUUCUUAUUUUUAAAUCAAAUCCAAAGAAAUAACCUUAGUACCUUCUUUAAAAACAAACCCCUAACAUGCGGGGUAUCACAAUCUUCCUUCCUUAAAAAAAUUUCGUCCUCGAAAUGGCAACCUUUAAGUCAAAUCUUCUUAAUCCUUUCACGAGUUAAGGGUUGGAAUACUCUAAUAGCUCAUUAACGAGUUCAUCAGUAGUGGUAAAGAUCACCUUCUCAGGAAUUGGUCACUCUAUGUAUUCCAAGAACCAACCAUGUAGUUCUUAAAUUGAGGACUGUAGUGAGUGAGUGAGUCCCGGCGAGAGCUGGGUAGGCGGUCCGCCGAACCCUUUGGUUCGCCUUAGGGGGAGGUGGGGCUGUCACAGUUGGUAUCAGAGCCUAUAGAGUCUAUUGCAUCCAUCAGCCCCGCUCCGCCAGCCCUAGGUGGUGCCUCUGCAGCCAUAUCUAAGAGAACCUUACAGUCUAACAUAAUACCCCGGGCUCUCUCUCUCUCAUCUGCCCCUUCAAAGCGAAGAAGAGGCGGCGGGUUUCCUCAAGCUGACGACCAAAAGUAUGCGUCCGCUCAUCCUCAGCUCGUAACCCCAUCUCGAGGUAUUAGAGUAUUCCAACCCUUAGCUCGUGAAAGGAUUAAGAAGAUUUGACUUAAAGGUUGUCAUUUCAAUGACGAAAUCUUUUUUUAGGAGGGGAGAUUGUGAUAUCCCGAAUGUUAGGGGUUUGUUUUUAAAGAAGGUACUAAGGUUAUUUCUUUGGAUUUGAUUUAAAAACAAGAAAGACUAAAAACCCUAAACUUUACCCAAAAACCCUAACUGGGUGUGUAUUUCAAAGUUUAUUGUGUAAUUUUGUUCAUGUGUGAUGAAGUAUGUUUUUAUAGGUCAUUAUAGUGAUUGGGUGAUUAGUGAAGUAAUUGAGGUGUAAUUAGGUUUUUGAAAUAUAUCAAGUAUAUAAAUUGUGGAGUAAAUUGGUAGGAUUGUGAAUUUAAUUGGGCCAUAGUGUGACUUUCGGUUAAUCACAAAUUGCUAGACUUCCUAAAGGUUCCAUGAGAUUCCUAAGCUCAUUUUUGAUUGGCUAAUCAAAAAGGUAGUUGGACUUUGACCAAGUGACUUAGUAUUAAUCUAACUUAGCAAGACAAAAGCCAAACAAACAAGGAAAAUUUCGGGCAGCUUUUGGGAGAAAAGAAGGAAGAAAAAAUCGAGAGAAAAUAAGAGGAAGAACAAGAAAAAUUCUGGUUGUGUGCAACUCAUCCAACAAGCUUGGGAGUUAGAGUAAAAGAAAGCUAAGGAACGUGGUUCUUGAAGUGCAACCUUGUGAACCAACCUUUGGAAGGUAAAGCAGCUUGAACUCUUGUAAAAGCUUGUAGCAAUUGAGUAGAAAUGUUGAUUUUGAUGUUGUAAGAUGCUAAUAAGGGUUAAUGAUGGUUUAUAUAUCACUUUUGUGUUUGUAUGGAAGAUUUGGUGAUUUCUAUGGUAGUUUGAGAAAAUUACAGCAAGUGAUACAAAUUUCCAGUUUUGAUGCUUUGAAUUUCUGUUAUGAUGGAUUGUAUGUGUUUAUAUUGGUUGGAUUGAGCUCAAAAUGUGAAAUUUGUAGCUCAAAAUUGUGGGUUUGUGGUGAGUAGAAAACCGGCCAGCAAAGGGGUUGAAAAGCUAGGGUUUGGCCAAUGCAACUUAGUGUUGAUGAUGUGUUAUGGAUUAAGGGGAUGGUGUAUGGUUCAUUUGAUGUGGUUGCAUGACUCAAAUUUGUAUAGAUUAUGGCUGUGAAGAUGCGGACAGCUUGUGGAGGUUGCAUGUGUUUUGGUUGUUUAUAAAUGUGUUUGAAGUCACAAAUGUGACCUAAGUUUGGUUAGGGCAUUUUGGUGCCAAACCAGAAAAUCCGGGCAGUGUGAAGCCCUGCUUUUGGCUUCAUUUUCCGAUAUGAAUCUCAUCUAAUAUGUUUUGGAUCAAAACAUAAAAUUUAUAGCCCUAUGUGAGAGCUUUCUAAAACAGCAAAAAUCACCCCAAACGGAUUUGUGUGGACCGAGUUAUGGCCAUUGAAAGUCAAACUGUCGGACAUUUUGUCCUCAGUUCUGACAAGGCAAAUUCUGAGACUGUCAUUUGCAUUUUUGACUGAGCCAAAGUGUAAACUGAGUUGAAUAGUCUUCAUAAAAGUUGUAGAGUUUUGUUUUAGCUUCGAAACGCCACCUUGUGCAUUUUAGUCCGACAACCAUAGCUCCAGUUAUUGCUAUUUGAAAUCAGAUCUGACAUGGGACUGACCAUGACUGAUUCGCUACUGUAAUUUGCAUUUUGUCCCAGAUACCUUCUGAUCUGGGUUAAAUGGUCUUCAUAAACCUUGUAGUUCUUUGUCUUAUCUUCGAAACAAUACCUCGUACACCUUAAACCGAUGACCACAGCUUUUGUUACAAUUAAAACCGUAAAAAGUGUCAAAACUGUGAAAUGUCUGUUUGCGCUCUUGGGUGCUGACGCGCAACCGUUUUCAUUUUCACGCACGCGCACGUGCAUUUCUCAACCGUUUUUGCCGUUUUGGACCGUUUAGGACUAUUUUUGUUAUUUUGUUACCAUUCCGGCCGUUUCGGCCGAUUUCGACAUUCUUUUGGCCUUAAUGUCGUUUUUUAUUAUUUUUGACCGUUUUCGAUCGUUUAAGUUAUAAACUGCUAUUGUAUGGCCGUUUCACUUAUGUGUGUAUAUAAUCUAUCAAUACAGACUGUGAGACUUUUGACGGUGACAGUCAAACUCAGUGAAUUGCAUCAUUUUUCAUGCCAACUUGUAUCAAGUGAGUAAUUUGGUUGUUUAUUGAUGUCAAACUGUCAAAGUGCCUCGUAUAUGUUAAAUGGGUGCUUAGGCGAGGGUGUACUUUAUUUCACUUGACCUAAACCCAUCCUUUAUUUUGAUUUCAUAUGUAAGAAUACAUGCCUUAUGUUGCGUAUCACCCUUUUGCUGAGUGCUGAUGGGGGUGAUUACAUGACUUUAAUUGAACCCCUUUUGCUGUGUGCUGUUUGGGGUAAGUACUUUGUUGUGUACUUUAUUAAGAGAUAUCAUCUAUUGAGAGAUCGGAUAUCUCAGGAUUUGGUUCCAGCCCGGUUCCAAGGGUAGACGAACUAUUCGAGCCAGCCGAGCUUUGGUCGAAGUUAGUUCCAUGCUAACCUUGGGAUUUCGUUCUUUGUUAAAGCUUUGAUUAAAGUUAAGAAAUUUUAUUUCGCUCGAGCUGCUGUGUGCUGUUGACUGGCCAACGGGAGUUGAUAAGGUGAACGGGAAAAGUUAAGUGGAGUCUACGGUCUAUGAGUACUUUGGUUGACGGAGUGUCAACAGGCGUUCAAGCUCGAGAAAUUGAACUGGCUUUGGAGCCACCCGUAUCCUACUAUUGUGAUAUUACAUUUCUAUAUUGAUGUGAAAUAUUUGGAUUUAUAUGUUUAUUUGAAUGUAUUUUUACAUUUUUACCCCCAAUUAUUCACUAAGCAUAUAGCUUACCCCGUUCCAUUUAUUUUCCUUAGCAGGAGGCCGACACGGGGAUCGCUCGGGAAGGUAUAUAGACUUUUGGUUAUAGAAUAGUUGACUUUGUACCUGUUAUAAGUUGACUAGUACAAUAUAUGGGUAUGUUGUGGUAGUUGUAGUUAUCAGCUUUCCUAGGGUUUACUUUCUAGUACUAGUGGUGUGUAUGGCUUGAUGUAAACGUUUAUCUAACUUUUGAAGAAGUAAUGGUGUAUAUAGAACUUUCUUUUAGCGUGAAAUUUAUUUUAUCGUUUUUGGAAUCGAGUCCUGGAGCAAGCUAGGCAGGCGUCCCACCGAUACCCUCGGGUUUGCCCUUGGGAGAAGUGGGGGCAUCACAGGUGGUAUUAGAGCACCUUUUAAAAGGAAUAGAAGGAACCUCAAUACGAUGGAAGAUAAGAAGGGUACCUUCGAUGAUUGCCAAUGAGUCUAUCACCUCUUGACUUCCUACUGCAUAGGUCCUUGCCGACACUUUCGGUCGAUUACCCGUUGCAUUGGUCGGCUUAGACGUGUUCCCUUCUGUUCUUGGCAAAUUUUCUUCUUUUGGCAGGUGAGGGCACUGAGCAAUCAGAUGCUCAACACUAGCACAUUGGUAGCAUUUUCAAACUUGUCCUUUCUUCCAACAAUUAUCUUCCAUGUGGUUAGCAGCCCCACAAAAUCCACAUGCCAUUCUAGGUCCUGAUGUCGAUCCUCCUUGUGAGGUAUCCCUUUGGGUCUCUUUCCCUGCCUAACCCUUCUCAAAAUUUUCUUGACUUGGGAUCCCUGUGGAUCGUGGACCACCUAUUCCUCGGCCCAUCUUAAAUGAUGGCUCACUCCUCAAGCUAUGUCCCUCUAUAUAACUGCUUGGAUCUGGUUGUCUCCUUUUCUUAUCAUGAAAAGCUUUUACUUGACUCUUAAUACUUUCAAUUCUUUGUGCCUUUUCAAUAGCUUGACUAUAUGUCUCCAAUUGAGCAGCUGCCAGUGCCUCUUGAAUUUCUACGUUUAUACCCUGGACAAACCGACGAAUUCUCUUCCGAUCUGUUAGCACUAACUCUGGAGCAAAACGAGAGAGUUUGAUAAAUUGCGUCUCGUACUCUGCCACACUCAUAGUCCCUUGACGUAGGCGUAUGAACUCAUCCUCUCGCCUUUCUUGAACAAGUGGCGGUAAAUACUUCUCAUUAAACUCACGAGUGAAAUUAACCCAUGUCCAUGGGGUCUGCUCUCUAUCCCAUUUGGCUCGGAUCACAUUCCACCAGGCACGAGCCGCUCCCUCAAAUUGAAAAAUGGCGAAAGCUAUUUGCCGUUCCUCCGGGUAUCCUAGUGUAGCGAAUGUAUCUAACAUUCGAUCUAACCAACUCUCCGCUAUAUCAGGGUUAGGUUCUUCCAAAAAUUUUGGCGGUAGAAACAUUUGGAACCGUUCUAAGGUACGGUACUCUCCCUCAUAAUUUUCGAGAUGUUGUACCUGGCCUUGACCCUGUUGGUUGACCAUUCGUUCUAACAAAUCAGUCAUUCGCUGUAUGGCUGUAGCUACUUGAGUGUUGGCUUGCGUAUUCGCAUUUUCAUUUGUUACUCCUUCGGUUCCUUGUCCUUGUCCUCGUCCUCUACCUCCACCACGAGUCUUUAUUUCUAUAAUUGGGACAAAAUAUGGUAAGAGUUCAAAGCGUUGAAAAAUUAUAACAUGCACGAAUUAGCCAAGAUACCAAAAUAUCAUACACGAAACUAUACACAUAUAUAUACAAUUCACGCCAAAAAUAUACACAUAUCAGUUCACAGCUAGCCAUCAUUCAACCAAUACAAAACAUGUUAAUUCAUGAGCACACCGACUCCAAAAAGUCAACAAAACAACUCAGAGUAACGGCUUUAGCGGAAAUCCCCUACAGAGCCGAUAGAGUCUAUCGCAUCCAUCGGCCCCGCUCCGCCAGCCCUAGGUGGUGCCUCCACAGCCAUAUCUAAGAGAACCUCACAAUCUAACAUAAUACCCCGGGCUCUCUCUCUCAUCUGCCCCUUCAAAGCGAAGAGGUGGCGGUGGGUCUCCUCAAGCUGACGACCAAGGGUAUGCGUCCGCUCCUCCUCAGCUCGUAACCCCAUCUCGAGGUCACGCAGGCGCGUGGCCUGUGUAUGACUCACCCCUCUGACCUCAUCCAACUGUGCCCUCAAAGUGUCAACCAUCCUACCUAGGUGACGACACUCGUCAGCUAUAGCCAUAACAACCUCAUCCGAGUAUCCAUACGUAUAUCGACACUCACACGAUCGACUCAUCUAGCCGAAGGGAGAAUAUAACCUAUAGGGUUCCCCGACCCUCCUCUGAUAUCUAAGGACUCGUGGCGCACCAAUCGGUUAACCGGCUCGCCUACACUCGUAGCCCGUACUCCAGCACCGCUAGGUCCACCGGUAUUGCUAGGUCCACCAAUAUCGCUAGGUCCACCAGCCACCAUACCUACAGAACAAAAUAUCACCUAAUCAGUUCUCCGGCAUUUCAUCUUAAUAGAUACAAUUCAAUUUAAAAACAAUCGACUACUUAUAUGUUCGAUAACACAUUUCCCAACUGUCCAAGUCCUCUAACCUAGGCGCUCUGAUACCACCUGUGACGCCCCCACUUCUCCUAAGGGCAAACCCGAUGGUAUCGGUGGGACGCCUGCCUAUCUCGCGCCAAGACUCGAUUCCAAAAAUGAUAAAAUAAAUUUCACGCUAAAAGAAAGUUCUAUAUACACCAUUACUUCUUCAAAAGUUAGAUAAAUUUUUACAUCAAGCCAUACACACCACUAGUACUAGAAAGUAAAUCCUAGGAAAGCUGAUAACUACCACCACAACAUACCCAUACAUCGUACUAGUCAACUUAUAACAGGUGCAAAGUCAACUAUUCUAUAACCAAAAGUCUAUACACCAUCCCGAACGAUCCCCGCGUCGGUCCCCUGAUAAGGAAAACAAAUGGAAUGGGGUAAGCCAUAUGCUUAGGGGAUAAUUGGGCGUAAAAAUGUAAAAACACAUUCAAAUAAACAUAUAAAUCCAAAUAUUUCACAUAAAUACAGAAAUGUAACAUCACAAUGGUAGGAUACGGGUGGCUCCAAAACCAGUUCCAUUCCCCGAGCUUGAACGCCUGUUGACACUCCGUCAACCAAAGUACUCAUAGACCGUAGACUCCACUUAACUUUCCCCGUUCACCUUAUCAACCCCCGCUGGCCAGUCAACAGCACAUAGCAGCUCGACCGAAACAAAAUUUCUUAGCUUUAAUCAAAGCUUUAAUAAAGAACGAAAUCCCAAGGUUAGCAUGGAACUAACUUCGACCAAGCCCCGACUGACUCGAAUAGUUCGUCUACCCUUGGAACCGGGCUGGAACCAAGCCCUGAGGUAUCCGAUCUCUCAAUAGAUGAUAUCUCUCAACAAAGUACACAACAAAGUACUUACCCCAAACAGCACACAGCAAAAGGGGUUCAAUUCAAGUCAUGUAAUCACCCCCAUCAGCACUCAGCAAAAGGGUGAUACACAACAUAAGACAUGUAUUCUCACAUAUGAAAUCAAAACAAAGGAUGGGCUUAGGUCGAGUGAGAUAAAGUACACCCUCGCCUAAAUACCCAUUUAACAUAUACAAAGCACUUUGACAGUUUCACAUCAAUAAACAAUCCAAUUACUCACUUAAUAAAACUUGGCACGACAAAUGAUACAAUUCACUGAGCUUGACCGUCACCGUCAAAAGCCUCACAGUCUGUAUUGACAGAUUAUAUAUACACAUAAGUGAAACGGCCAUACAAUAGCAGUUUAUAACUUAAACGAUCGAAAACGGUCAAAAACGACAUUAAGACCAAAAGAAUGUCGAAAUUGACCGAAAUGGUAACAAAAUAACAAAAAUAGUCCAAAACGGCAAAAACGGUUGAGAAAUGCACGUACGCAUUCGCAAAAAUGAAAACGGUCGCGCGUCCGCACCCAAGGCGCAAACGGACAUUUCACAGUUUUGACACCUUUUACGGUUUUAAUUAUAACAAAAGUUGUGGUUGUCAGUUUAAGGUGUACGAGAUACCAUUUUGAAGCUAAGACAAAGAACUACAAGAUUUAUGAAGACUAUUUAACCCAGAUCAGAAGGCAUCUGGGGCAAAAUGCAAAUUACAGUAGCGAAUCAGUUAUGGUCAGUCCCAUGUCAGAUCUGAUUUCAAUAGCAAUAACUGGAGCUAUGGUUAUCGGACUAAGAUACACAAGGUGGUGUUUUGAAGCGAAAACAAAACUCUACAACUUUUAUGAAGACCGUUCAACUCAGUUUACACUUUGGCUCGAUCAAAAAUGCAAAUGACAGUCUCAGAAUUUGCCUUGUCAGAACUGAGGACAAAAAUGAAGCCAAAAGCAGGACUUCACAGUGCCCGGAUUUUCUGAUUUGGCACCAAAAUGCCCUAACCAAACUUAGGUCACAUUUGUGACUUCAAACACAUUUAUAAACAACCAAAACACAUGCAACCUCCACAAGCUGUCCGCAUCUUCACAACCAUAAUCUAUACAAAUUUGAGUCAUGCAAACACAUCAAAAGAACCAUACACCAUCCCCUUAAUCCAUAACACAUCAUCAACACUAAAUUGCAUUGGCCAAACCCUAGCUUUUCAACCCCUUUGCUGGCCGGUUUUCUACUCACCACAAACCCACAAUUUUGAGCUACAAAUUGCACAUUUUGAGCUACAAAUUUCACAAUUUUACCUCAAUCCAACCAAUAUAAACACAUACAAUCCAUCAUAACCGAAAUUCAAAGCAUCAAAACUGGAAAUUUGUAUCACUUGCUGUAAUUUUCUCAAACCACCAUAGAAAUCACCAAAUCUUCCAUACAAACCCCCAAAAGUGAUAUAUAAACCAUCAUUAACCCUUAUUAGCAUCUUACAACAUCAAAAUCAACAUUUCUACUCAAUUGCUACAAGCUUUUACAAGAGUUCAAGGCUGCUUUACCUUCCAAAGGUUGGUUCACAAGGUUGCACUUCAAGAACCGAGUUCCUUAGCUUUCUUUUGCACUAACUCCCAAGCUUGUUGGAUGGGUUGCACACAACCAGAAUUUUUUCUUGUUCUUCCUCUUAUUUUCUCUCAGUUUUUUCUUCCUUCUUUUCUCCCAAGAGCUACCCAAAAUUUCCUUGUUUGUUUGGCCUUUGUCUUGCUAAGUUAGAUUAAUACUAAGUCACUUGGUCAAAGUCCAACUACCUUCUUGAUUAGCCAAUCAAAAUUAAGCUUAGCAAUCUCUUGGAACCUUUAGGAAGUCUAGCAACUUGUGAUUAACCAAAAGUCACACUAUGGCCCAAUUAAAUUCACAAUCCUACUAAUUUACUCCACAAUUUACAUACUUAAUAUAUUCCAAAAACCUAAUUACACCUCAAUUACUCCACUAAUCACCCAAUCACUAUAAUGACCUAUAAAAACAUACUUCAUCACACAUGAACGAAAUUACACAAUAAACUUUGAAAUACACACCCAAUUAGGGCUUUUGGGUAAAGUUUAGGGUUUCUAGUCUUUUUUGUUUUUAAAUCAAAUCCAAAGAAAUAACCUUAGUACCUUCUUUAAAAACAAACCCCUAACAUACGGGAUAUCACAAACAUGCGAGGUAUCACAAUUGAAACUUCACAAGCAAAACUAUCCAACCCACGACUUGGAGUUAGCAACCGUUGUCUUUGCCCUGAAAAAGUGGAGACAUUAUCUGUAUGGGGUAACGUUUGAGUUUUACUCUGACCAUAAGAGCCUUAAAUAUCUAUUUUCUCAAAAGGAGUUAAACAUGGGACACCGGCGAUACAUGAAAUUUUUAGAGGACUAUGAUUGUACAAUUAACUACCAUCCUGAAAAGACCAAUGUAAUAGCCGAUGCCUCAAGUCAAAAGGCUCAAGUAACUGGGUUAAUGGUUAAAGAAUGGGAUAUGUUAGAGGAAGUGAGUGAGUGAAACCCUUAUCUUGAUUUUUGAAAAUAUUAGGGUGACAUCUACUCUACUAGAUCGAAUCAAAGAGGCCCAGAAGAAAGAUCAGAUGGUACAAAAGUGGAUGAAAAAGGUGAAAAGAGGGGGAAUUGCCUGAUUUCAAUUUGACUCCCGAAGGAAUUUUGAGGUACCGGAACCGAGUGGUGGUGCCAAGAGAUAAAACAUUGAAAAAGAAAAUUUUAGAGGAAGCUCAUCGGUCCAAGUAUAUGAUCCAUCCGGGUAGUAGUAAGAUAUAUCAGGAUUUAAGAGGGUUAUAUUGGUGGGACAACAUAAAGAAGCAAAUUGCCCUAUACGUGCAAACUUGCCUCAUCUGUCAACAAGUUAAAACUGAACAUCAAAAACCCUCUAGUUUGUUACAAUCCCUUGAGAUACCCGAAUGGAAGUGGGAGAACAUCAUGAUGGACUUUGUCUUAGGCUUGCCAUGGACGCAAAGAGGUCAUGAUGCCGUGUGUGUAAUCGUCGAUAGGUUAACCAAAUCGGCCAAUUUCUUGCUCGUGAACAUGAAGUUUUCUAUGAAAAAGCUAGCUCAGCUGUAUAUGGAUGAAAUUGUGAGACUACACGGAGUCCCAGUGAGUAUAGUUUCGGACAGGGAUCUCCGCUUUGUGUCUCGAUUUUGGCAAAAAUUUCAAGAAGUCUUGAGGACUAAACUAAACCUUAGUACUACAUAUACCCCCAAACGGAUAGAUAAUCCGAGAGAACCAUUCAAACCCUCGAGGAUAUGUUAAGAACCUGUGUCUUAUAUUUUAGAGGCAGUUUGUGAGGACUCAUAUUUUAUUCUUAAAAUAAUUAUUUUUAUAAUUAUUUACCCUAAUAUUAGUUAAUUAUAUUAUCGUUACAUGAAUUUCUUUUAAAUUUCGCCUUAUCGUGUGCGAAUCGAAAGUUCGAGUAUUUCGUGUCAAAACGGCUGAGUGGAGAUUUGAGAAAUUUAUACUAGACUACUAAGAUUGAAUACUUAUAGUGUUAAAGGAAUUACAUUUGAGGAUUAGUGCACAAGUGAAACAAACAAGAGAGAAAAGUGGUAGUUCGGGACAGUAUUUGCGCAUUAUUCGUAGUUGACUUUUACAUAACUUUAGGCCACAAAUUCUUAAAGCUUCCAAGAGAAGCUUCACACAACAAACCCUUCUCUCUUCUCUCUCCUUGGAGUCAGCCGAAACUCGAAGAAAACAAGAGGAGAAAGCUCCACUUCACUUGCUCAAUUCUUGCUUCCAUUUCACUUCCAAAUUUGCACCCAACUUCAAAAUUACUUGGAGAUUAACUUCAGCUUGGAGGAGGACAACACCUAGUGGAAAUUCUUGGAGGUUUUUGUGGUGAAAAUUUCUGGUUUCUACAAGGGUUAGGUAAACCCAUCAACUCUUCUAAUCUUUCCAUUUAAUCGAAGUUUAGUGGUUGGAUUUGCAUGCGUUUGAAACCCUAAGCAUGAAAUAGGCUAGCGGACUUGAGGUGUUUCAUUUUUUGCUUUAAUUGUUAGGCUAGCGAUCUUGAGGUGGAUUAUAGGUAACUAGCUUGAGGUGUAAUUAGUUGAUUGUGGUUGUUUAUGUGUUAUUUGAGGUGAAUACGGUUAGAAAAUGAAGGAAAAAUCGAAGGAGAAUUGGAAGUGCAAGCUGGCCGAAAUUCUGGUUGUGAUGUUCUAUUUUGAUUUCGAAUUUUUAAUGGUUAUUUGACUGUGAAAUUGAGUGAUAUAUGUUGUAUAUUGUGUGUACAAAGUGCCUUGUGAAAAUCGUUUCAAUUAGUAGUCUAGUAUAAAUUUCUCAAAUCUCCGCUUAGCCGUUUUGAAGGCGAAAUUUAAAAGAAAUUCAUGUAACGAUAAUAUAAUUAACUAAUACUAGGAUAAAUAAUUAUAAAAAUAAUUAUUUUAAGAAUAAAACAUGAGUCCUCACAGAGGAAGAGAUGCAAAAUGUGAGGCCCCAGUCCGAUCGUAAGUCGAUAUUAGGGUUAUUUGAUAUUUGGUUUGGAAAAAUAGGGUUUUAUGGCUAGGAAGGAAACCCUAAUUCGGUUAAGUUGGAAAAUCCUAGUUUACGUAUUAUGAUUAUAAGGUUCAAGCUAUAAUUUAUAGUCGGUAAUCUAGUGUGUGCCUUGACAUAGGUUAGUAAGUUUGAAUGAUUAGCAAACCUCUAGUGUUGCAAUAUUAGAAAGUUUCAGUGGAGAUUAUUUAUCGCCCGCCUUUUCUACAUUUUCUUCAUUAGAAAAAUUUCCAGGAUAAUUUUUAUGAGUAAAUAUGGGUUUUAGAUGAUUUUUCAAGUAUCGGUUAGAUUUUGAGAAAAUAAGAACGUAUAUCGGACGUGGGAUCCACUAGUGCGAAAAGUUCGGAAAAAUUCGGCCAAUAAAGUUAAGUUUCGGAUACCGUGUAAAAUUUAUCGGGUGUUAAGAGAUAAGUAGAAUGUGUGAAGUGAUUGAUGUGAGAGGGAAAAAGAAAGAUAAGAAUGCAUUAAUGAGUGUGACAAGUGUCACAAUAUGAUUGGUUGGACUUUAUGGUUUACUAUUCACAUUUUUGACUUUUGACCAAAAUUAGUUAAUAUCUCCAAAAAUUCACAAAAUUCACCAUUUUCUUACCUUGUGUUGGCCGGCCCUCUCUCUUGCAAGAAGGAAGAAAGUUCAUCAAAUUUCAGGCUUCCAUCUCACUCAAUCUUCCACAAACAAGAGCUUAGACUAGAUUUCACUCCAUAAAAACCUUUCUUCUAGUGCUAAUAAGUGUAUUCGUGAAGUUGAUUUGAAGAGCUAAGGUGUCCACAAGCCCUAUCUCUCUUGAUUUCUCGGUAAGUGAUGCUUGAACACCCUACUACAUCUAAUGAUGCUUAUGUUUGGCUUAGAAGUGGCUAAAGUGAUGGAUUAUAUGAUUUAUUUCUUGGUUUGGCUUGAUUUGGUGAAGUUUUUAAUUUUAUGAUGAAUUUUCUGGUUUAAUAUGAAGUGGAUGUUGUAGCCAUCUUUGAUGAUUGGCAAUGGACUAUAAUAACUCUAGUAGGUGUGAAUUGUGGAUAAUUGCAAUCAAUUUUGGAUUUGGAAGAAUUUCUGGAAAAUUAGGGUUCUUGGUUGAACAUUCUGUCCGAAAUUUUAGGUCAUAGAUAGAGGCCGAAUUGGACUUUUCUCAAAACAUGAAAGUUGUAGGUAUUGAUGAGGUUGAAGUGCCUGCAAAAUGUCAGGGCAUUUUGAGUAGUAUAGAGUGAGUUAUGCCGUUUUUACUGUUGCUGUUUUUGGUGAACAGAAUGUCCGAACUGCGAUAGUAAUUGUCUGUUUUGACUGGAAUUGGUUUGGAUUUUGUUGUUGGUGUCUUCUGAUGAAAUGUAGCUUGAUGUCUUAGCUUUCAUAUGCCUUUGGAAUCAAUGCUUUUGGACCUGUAUAGACUGACUUGGACUGAUUACAGUUUUGUGUGAUUUGGGAACCUGCAAUUACGGUUCUGGGUUGGUUUUCUGCAUUUUGACUUAGUUGUGCUAGGAUUUGGAUUGAGAGGCCUUCUAAAUUGUUGUAGCCCCUUAAUUUCUGGAUAUCCCUGUAAAUUUUCAGGAUUAACGGAGUGGUAUAACCUGAGUUAUAAACGAAAUACUCAGACCUGUUUUGACCGUCAAAUUCUGUUCUGUUCUUAUAUCCGGACAGUUUACGACUGGAACUUUGGCUUCACGUUUGACUAGGUUACAAGCUGUUUGGGCUUGCGACCAAAACACCAAACUUAUAGCUCUAUAUCAGAGUUUUCUAACGCCCUUGGAAUUUCAUGAAUCGGAUUUAUAGAACCUGAGAUAUAGCCGAGCAAAUAAGGCCUGCCCGUGAAAAUGCCCAUUUUCUGGUCAGAUCUGUUUUGGUCCUGACGACCAACAUCCGUUCCGAAUUUGGAUUGCCGACCUUCAUGAAAGUUGUUCCAUUUGGAAUGAACUAUCUAACUGCCAAUUUUCAGCUCUUUUGCCCAUGUGUAGCAUAGAAAACAGUUUGCACUCAAAACUGACCAUUUGUGCAUUGGCCAGAUUUCGUAUGUGAUUGUGUUUGGUUCAUUUGGGGCUGAAGCCUCCAGUUUCAGUUCUGGAUGUCUUCAUAACAAUUGUUGUUCAUCCUUUAAGCUUCGAUAUGGUGUCUCAUACGCCUUAAUCCGAUAUUCGUAGCUCAACUUAUGAUUAAAAUAGAAACGAGUGUCAAAUCUGCCGUUUCCGCUAACGGCCGUUUCCGUUUCCGUCCGUCAUAUGUACGUGCGCGCGUGCCGUUUUUGCCGUUUUGUUUGUUUGAGGCACGAUAGUAGCCGUUUACGAUAUUAUGUGACACAAUCUCCUAUUUCAGACGGUGGUGAGCUGGGCGGAUCUGGUGGGGUCCACUACUAGCUGUUCAUUUCGAUCCGACUUCGUACUUUUGCUAUUUCCGUUUUGAGUAAGUAUUCAGGCCAGUUUGGUGUGUUUUCUUUGCUAUGUGUUUGAGAUAUGUGAAAAGGGUACUUAGGCGGGGUGUACUUUAUCGCACUCGACCUAAACCCUAAUUUGAAUGUAUAAUUGUACUUGGCAUAUGUAUAUGAACCUUUUGGAACCAAAACCCUUGAGCUUGUGGCUCGGGGCGACUUUCGAGUAAAGUUUGUGAAGUUUGCAAAGUUUGUGAGUUCGUGGGCCCGAUCUAAGACCUGUAUGGACUAUUCGAGCCGGUUAGGGCUUGGUCGAAGUUAGUCCAACUUAGUCUGAGGUCACCAAGUUUGUAGGUUCAUGUUAUGAACCAAUUUUGUGAAUCCGGUUCACCGAGAAGGUGACCAAGUUUGUGACCCGAGCUUGUGACUCAAGCUCAAGUUUGUGAUUUCGUUCGCCCGGGCAAGUUUGUGAGGUGACUGGCCAGUGAGGGUGAUAAGGUGUCGGUGGGUGUAGAAGUGAAGUUCUACGGACCAUUGAGUGUGGUCGACGGAGUGUCGGCAGGAGAUCACGCAUGGCAUAUGAAUUGGCUUUGGAGCCACCUGUAUCCUUAUUAUGUGAUGUUACUUUUCUGCUUUUGCUUUACUCUUACUGUGUAACUGUUGUUACGUGAAAUUUAUGCUUUCGCCCCUGUUUACUUACUAAGCAUAUAGGUUACCCCUUUCCUUUUGUUUUCCUUAGCAGGGGCCGACGCGGGGACUUUUGGCUCGUACACUAGUAUAGUUAGAUUGGCUUGUAAUAGUUGAACAGUUAGGAUGUUUGUUUUAGUUUUGGUGGUUUGUAUAAGGACCCUUCUUAGGGUCUAUCUUCUGCUGGUUGUGGUUAUAGUGUAUUAGAGUGGUUUGACUCGAGACUUUUGAAGAUGUAAAUAGACUUUUGGUGGUUGUAUAUAUUAUGAAUCGUGUUCUUGUGGCUUAGAAGAGUUUUAUUAGUUUUAAGUUUUGAGUCCUGGCGCGAGCUAGGCAGGCGGCCCGCCGAUACCCUUGGGUUCGCCCUUGGGAGAAGUGGGGUCGUCACAGUUGGUAUCAGAGCCAUAUGCCGACGGUUGGGACUCUACGUCCUUUUACUGGAAAAGCCCCGAGUCUCUCGUUCGUGAAGAGUCACGAAGCGAAACUCUCCGUAGGGGAUGCCCGCGUGCGGGUGGCAAGCUGAUAGGUACCUUGUGAUGUGACCCUGAGAACUGUCACAGUUGGUAUCAGAGCGCCAAGGUUAGAGGACUUGGGCAAGUGGGACAUACGCGAUAGGCACUAGGCAUAUUUGACCAUCUUAAGUUGAAUGAUAUCUUUUAAGCUGAAAUGCUGGUUGACUGACGAUUUAAUGUUUUGUAGGUAUGUAUCCGGGCGAUUCGAGUGGUGCGGGACCCAGUGGCGUGGGACCGAGAUUUCCGAGUUCGAGAGGCAUAGAGGAUCGAGUGCUGCGUAAGCGGGCGAUCCGUUAUAGGCAGAGGCUGGGAGAGCCUUACACUUUGUACUCCCCUUUCGGCCAGGUGUCGUGCCGACCCUAUGCGUGUUGGUAUACGUAUGGCUAUCCCGACGAGGUAGUCAUAGCAUUGGAUGACGAGCGUUAUUACCUCGACAGGACAGUUGACUCUUUGAGAGCGCAGCUGGAGGAGGCCAGAGAGGUUGGCCAGGGGCGGGCGUCACGCAUUAGGCACUUGGAGCGGAGUCUCCGAGAGGAGAGGGAGAGGACGGAUGCUUUGCACCGUCAGCUCCAGGACACACACCAGCACCUCUUCGCUAUGAAGAGGCAGCUGAGGGACAGGGCUCGGAGUAUGUCUAUUGACUGCGAGCUCUUACUAGAUUUAGCCGCUGAGGCUCCGCCACGAGCCACCGGUCUGGAGAUGAUGGAUGAGGUGGAUACGUUAGGUUCCGUUGGGAACCUGGGUCCUAGGGGAGACGCAUAGGGCCGCUUUUGUACUUUUGACUGUUAGGCGGGUUACUUUUGUUAGAACUAGUUCGGCUAAUUCCUUUUGUUACGUGGCCGACUAACUCGAUUUUUGGAGCCGGAGUGCUCGUGUAUAUUGGGUUUUGUACCGACUGGAGGUCGGUAAUGUGUAAAUCUUUUGGUGUGACUUUGUAAAUACGUGUAUUUUGAACUUAUCUUUUGUGUGCCUUUUGUGCGUAAGUUUUGUGUCUCUUCUUUUGCUCAUAGUCUGGAUAAUAAGUAUACGGAUUGUUCCGAAUUAUAGACUUGUACACUAGAUGGCCUCCGGUACUCGAAGUGGAGCUAGAGGGCUAGGACAAGGCUCUGAAGGAAAUCAACGAAUUAAUUUCGAGGACGAAAUUGUCCUAAGUGGGGGAGAUUGUGAGGCCCCAGUCCGAUCGUAAGUCGAUAUUAGGGUUAUUUGAUAUUUGGUUUGGAAAAAUAGGGUUUUAUGGCUAGGAAGGAAACCCUAAUUCGGUUAAGUUGGAAAAUCCUAGUUUACGUAUUAUGAUUAUAAGGUUCAAGCUAUAAUUUAUAUUCGGUAAUCUAGUGUGUGCCUUGACAUAGGUUAGUAAGUUUGAAUGAUUAGCAAACCUCUAGUGUUGCAAUAUUAGAAAGUUUCAGUGGAGAUUAUUUAUCGCCCGCCUUUUCUACAUUUUCUUCAUUAGAAAAAUUUUCAGGAUAAUUUUUAUGAGUAAAUAUGGGUUUUAGAUGAUUUUUCAAGUAUCGGUUAGAUUUUGAGAAAAUAAGAACGUAUAUCGGACGUGGGACCCACUAGUGCGAAAAGUUCGGAAAAAUUCGGCCAAUAAGGUUAAGUUUCGGAUACCGUGUAAAAUUUAUCGGGUGUUAAGAGAUAAGUAGAAUGUGUGAAGUGAUUGAUGUGAGAGGGAAAAAGAAAGAUAAGAAUGCAUUAAUGAGUGUGACAAGUGUCACAAUAUGAUUGGUUGGACUUUAUGGUUUACUAUUCACAUUUUUGACUUUUGACCAAAAUUAGUUAAUAUCUCCAAAAAUUCACAAAAUUCACCAUUUUCUUACCUUGUGUUGGCCGGCCCUCUCUCUUGCAAGAAGGAAGAAAGUUCAUCAAAUUUCAAGCUUCCAUCUCACUCAAUCUUCCACAAACAAGAGCUUAGACUAGAUUUCACUCCAUAAAAACCUUUCUUCUAGUGCUAAUAAGUGUAUUAGUGAAGUUGAUUUGAAGAGCUAAGGUGUCCACAAUCCCUAUCUCUCUUGAUUUCUUGGUAAGUGAUGCUUGAACACCCUACUACAUCUAAUGAUGCUUAUGUUUGGCUUAGAAGUGGCUAAAGUGAUGGAUUAUAUGAUUUAUUUCUUGGUUUGGCUUGAUUUGGUGAAGUUUUUAAUUUUAUGAUGAAUUUUCUGGUUUAAUAUGAAGUGGAUGUUGUAGCCAUUUUGAUGAUUGGCAAUGGACUAUAAUAACUCUAGUAGGUGUGAAUUGUUGGAUAAUUGCAAUCAAUUUUGGAUUUGGAAGAAUUUCUGGAAAAUUAGGGUUCUUGGUUGAACAUUCUGUCCGAAAUUUUAGGUCAUAGAUAGAGGCCGAAUUGGACUUUGCUCAAAACAUGAAAGUUGUAGGUAUUGAUGAGGUUGAAGUGCCUGCAAAAUUUCAGGGCAUUUGAGUAGUAUAGAGUGAGUUAUGCCGUUUUUACUGUUGCUGUUUUUGGUGAACAGAAUGUCCGAACUGCGAUAGUAAUUGUCUGUUUUGACUGGAAUUGGUUUGGAUUUUGUUGUUGAUGUCUUCUGAUGAAAUGUAGCUUGAUGUCUUAGCUUUCAUAUGCCUUUGGAAUAAAUGCUUUUGGACCUGUAUAGACUGACUUGGACUGAUUACAGUUUUGUGUGAUUUGGGAACCUGCAAUUACGGUUCUGGGUUGGUUUUCUGCAUUUUGACUUAGUUGUGCUAGGAUUUGGAUUGAGAGGCCUUCUACAUUGUUGUAGCCCCUUAAGUCCUGGAUAUCCCUGUAAAUUUUCAGGAUUAACGGAGUGGUAUAACCUGAGUUAUAAACGAAAUACUCAGACCUGUUUUGACCGUCAAAUUCUGUUCUGUUCUUAUAUCCGGACAGUUUACGACUGGAACUUUGGCUUCACGUUUGACUAGGUUACAAGCUGUUUGGGCUUGCGACCAAAACACCAAACUUAUAGCUCUAUAUCAGAGCUUUCUAACGCCCUUGGAAUUUCAUGAAUCGGAUUUAUAGAACCUGAGAUAUAGCCGAGCAAAUAAGGCCUGCCCGUGAAAAUGACCAUUUUCUGGUCAGAUCUGUUUUGGUCCUGAUGACCAACUUCCGUUCCGAAUUUGGAUUGCCGACCUUCAUGAAAGUUGUUCCAUUUGGAAUGAACUAUCUAACUGCCAAUUUUCAGCUCUUUUGCCCAUGUGUAGCAUAGAAAACAGUUUGCACUCAAAACUGACCAUUUGUGCAUUGGCCAGAUUUCGUAUGUGAUUGUGUUUGGUUCAUUUGGGGCUGAAGCCUCCAGUUUCAGUUCUGGAUGUCUUCAUAACAAUUGUUUUUCAUCCUUUAAGCUUCGAUAUGGCAUCUCAUACGCCUUAAUCCGAUAUUCGUAGCUCAACUUAUGAUUAAAAUAGAAACGAGUGUCAAAUCUGCCGUUUCCGCUAACGGCCGUUUCCGUUUCCGUCCGUCAUAUGUACGUGCGCGCGUGCCGUUUUUGCCGUUUUGUUUGUUUGAGGCACGAUAGUAGCCGUUUACGAUAUUAUGUGACACAAUCUCCUAUUUCAGACGGUGGUGAGCUGGGCGGAUCUGGUGGGGUCCACUACUAGCUGAUCAUUUCGAUCCGACUUCGUACUUUUGCUAUUUCCGUUUUGAGUAAGUAUUCAGGCCAGUUUGGUGUGUUUUCUUUGCUAUGUGUUUGAGAUGUGUGAAAAGGGUACUUAGGCGAGGGUGUACUUUAUCGCACUCGACCUAAACCCUAAUUUGAAUGUAUAAUUGUACUUGGCAUAUGUAUAUGAACCUUUUGGAACCAAAACCCUUGAGCUUGUGGCUCGGGGCGACUUUCGAGUAAAAUUUGUGAAGUUUGCAAAGUUUGUGAGUUCGUGGGCCCGAUCUAAGACCUGUAUGGACUAUUCGAGCCGGUUAGGGCUUGGUCGAAGUCAGUCCAACUUAGUCUGAGGUCACCAAGUUUGUAGGUUCAUGUUAUGAACCAAUUUUGUGAAUCCGGUUCACCGAGAAGGUGACCAAGUUUGUGACCCGAGCUUGUGACUCAAGCUCAAGUUUGUGAUUUCGUUCGCCCGGGCAAGUUUGUGAGGUGACUGGCCAGUGAGGGUGAUAAGGUGUCGGUGGGUGUACAAGUGAAGUUCUACGGACCAUUGAGUGUGGUCGACGGAGUGUCGGCAGGAGAUCACGCAUGGCAUAUGAAUUGGCUUUGGAGCCACCUGUAUCCUUAUUAUGUGAUGUUACUUUUCUGCUUUUGCUUUACUCUUACUGUGUAACUGUUGUUACGUGAAAUUUAUGCUUUCGCCCCUGUUUAUUUACUAAGCAUAUAGCUUACCCCUUUCCUUUUGUUUUCCUUAGCAGGGGCCGACGCGGGGACUUUUGGUUCGUACACUAGUAUAGUUAGAUUGGCUUGUAAUAGUUGAACAGUUAGGAUGUUUGUUUUAGUUUUGGUGGUUUGUAUAAGGACCUUUCUUAGGGUCUAUCUUCUGCUGGUUGUGGUUAUAGUGUAUUAGAGUGGUUUGACUCGAGACUUUUGAAGAUGUAAAUAGACUUUUGGUGGUUGUAUAUAUUAUGAAUCGUGUUCUUGUGGCUUAGAAGAGUUUUAUUAGUUUUAAGUUUUGAGUCCUGGCGCGAGCUAGGCAGGCGGCCCGCCGAUACCCUUGGGUUCGCCCUUGGGAGAAGUGGGGUCGUCACAGUUGGUAUCAGAGCCAUAUGCCGACGGUUGGGACUCUACGUCCUUUUACUGGAAAAGCCCCGAGUCUCUCGUUCGUGAAGAGUCACGAAGCGAAACUCUCCGUAGGGGAUGCCCGCGUGCGGGUGGCAAGCUGAUAGGUACCUUGUGAUGUGACCCUGAGAACUGUCACAGUUGGUAUCAGAGCGCCAAGGUUAGAGGACUUGGGCAAGUGGGACAUACGCGAUAGGCACUAGGCAUAUUUGACCAUCUUAAGUUGAAUGAUAUCUUUUAAGCUGAAAUGCUGGUUGACUGACGAUUUAAUGUUUUGUAGGUAUGUAUCCGGGCGAUUCGAGUGGUGCGGGACCCAGUGGCGUGGGACCGAGAUUUCCGAGUUCGAGAGGCAUAGAGGAUCGAGUGCUGCGUAAGCGGGCGAUCCGUUAUAGGCAGAGGCUGGGAGAGCCUUACACUUUGUACUCCCCUUUCGGCCAGGUGUCGUGCCGACCCUAUGCGUGUUGGUAUACGUAUGGCUAUCCCGACGAGGUAGUCAUAGCAUUGGAUGACGAGCGUUAUUACCUCGACAGGACAGUUGGCUCUUUGAGAGCGCAGCUGGAGGAGGCCAGAGAGGUUGGCCAGGGGCGGGCGUCACGCAUUAGGCACUUGGAGCGGAGUCUCCGAGAGGAGAGGGAGAGGACGGAUGCUUUGCACCGUCAGCUCCAGGACACACACCAGCACCUCUUCGCUAUGAAGAGGCAGCUGAGGGACAGGGCUCGGAGUAUGUCUAUUGACUGCGAGCUCUUACUAGAUUUAGCCGCUGAGGCUCCGCCACGAGCCACCGGUCUGGAGAUGAUGGAUGAGGUGGAUACGUUAGGUUCCGUUGGGAACCUGGGUCCUAGGGGAGACGCAUAGGGCCGCUUUUGUACUUUUGACUGUUAGGCGGGUUACUUUUGUUAGAACUAGUUCGGCUAAUUCCUUUUGUUACGUGGCCGACUAACUCGAUUUUUGGAGCCGGAGUGCUCGUGUAUAUUGGGUUUUGUACCGACUGGAGGUCGGUAAUGUGUAAAUCUUUUGGUGUGACUUUGUAAAUACGUGUAUUUUGAACUUAUCUUUUGUGUGCCUUUUGUGCGUAAGUUUUGUGUCUCUUCUUUUGCUCAUAGUCUGGAUAAUAAGUAUACGGAUUGUUCCGAAUUAUAGACUUGUACACUAGAUGGCCUCCGGUACUCGAAGUGGAGCUAGAGGGCUAGGACAAGGCUCUGAAGGAAAUCAACGAAUUAAUUUCGAGGACGAAAUUGUCCUAAGUGGGGGAGAUUGUGAGGCCCCAGUCCGAUCGUUAGUCGAUAUUAGGGUUAUUUGAUAUUUGGUUUGGAAAAAUAGGGUUUUAUGGCUAGGAAGGAAACCCUAAUUCGGUUAAGUUGAAGGAUAGUAUGAUGGAGUAUGAUAGAUAUUGUCGACAGGAAUAACCAAGGCAUGAAGAAUCCGCUGCAACAGCAAGUGUGGAACGCCUCGACUCCAAGACUCCAGGAUGGCGGAGACUUUUGAUAGGUUAGUCAAAAAACCUGUAGUAGCUUCCCUCGGAGAUGCCAUGAAAAGCAAAAUUAGACAUUCAGAAGCUAAGUCAGCAACAUUCAUCUCAUUGGAUUUAGUCAACUCCAGCAAGACCCCAACAUUGUCACCAAAGUCUGCUAUAUCUCUUAUGCAUUCAUGCUGAUCAAGGGCAAUGAUUCCAUCAGAAGAAUUAUCAGACAGUAAAUUUGGAUCUUUAGCAUAAAUAAAUCCUUUCCUACUGCCCACUUGGCGCAAAAGGAAUGCUUUACACAGAUUAAGAGUGGGCUCAACAAAAUCUUCCAUUUCCUUAGCACAGACAAACUCCAAAAGGUUCCCGAUCUUUCUGACAACUUUUAGCUGAGACAAUAUCUUAGUCUCUAGUUCUGGAGCAGAUGCUAGAGUGAAACAAAGCAUGACAUUGUUUACAUUUGCAGUUGAGAGGUCACCAAGCAGAAAUUCAAAGCACUGUGAAAUGGUCUUUGUUUGAAGUAUGUCUGAAAUCUUUAUGUACUCAAAUUCAAUGAGCAUCACAAGAAGUUUCUGGGCAUACAUAGGAAUAGGGUCUUCGUCUUCAAUGAAAGAUGGGUAAAGAGGAAGGAAAUGAGAAUUUGAUAUGGACUUCAAAUCCUCUAAUUUUUGCUCAUUCUGUGAUGUUUCAUUCAGAAAGAUGACCAUUGAAUCAAACAAUAUCUUCAGGCACAAAAAUCUGGCAUCGCCAUCUUUGUUGCCUUUAUAUAAAACAGCUAGACUGGGAAGAAUCUGACUAACGAAAAUGUCACAGUUUUGGUGAACAGCAGAAGGUUCUUCAGCAAUAGACUCGAGAACUUUAAGAAGUGUUAUCUGGAACUCAUCUCUGCCCUGAAAUUCAAGAAAAGAACUCUAUGAAAGUUUGAACGCAUGUCAUCAAAUACCCCUAUUCAGAAUUUUCAUCCCGUGCUACUGUUAAACACUUGAACUAAAAUUUGAAUAACAUGCUACACAUAUAUAUAAUAAAUCAUUAUGUAAACAUUCUGAAGACCUGGUUUUGCUUGUACAACAUGGCAAUACUGCCUAAUGGGAUAAAGAAAGUAAACUGCUAUUCUCCUUCAUUCUAAAAGCUACCAAACCAGGGAUACCUAAUUCAAGACAGAUUACAACUUCACUGUACUUUAUAAGGAGUAAAUAUUAUUCGAGUAAUCAGAGUUGCCAUCAUACAUGCUUUUUUUUUUUUUUUUUAACUUUCCAGAUUUGUUUGAGGCCAAAUUCUGCAGAUAUAAAAAAGAGAGCCUUGUUUGCAUGCACAUAGUAUGACGAGAGGCAUCAAAUCAAAGAUUGUAUUUACAAGUAGCAUAAUGCUCAAUUCUCUAGCGGAUUCUAGAAGAGUUUCAAAUAGUUUCUGGAUUUCCUCUUAGGAGUCUAAUACUAAACUCUUAAGAUGACCUGAACAAAGAGAAGUCCACAUUCUGCAAAGAGAAACAUGGGGUGAGGGGGGAACCUUCUACAUACUAUGAUGUCAUCGACCUUCAAACAUGAUUUGACCAAUUCAACUAAGUUCUAGAAACACUACUUAAUAACUAAAUGUAGCCUAUUGACAUGAAUUGAAUGCACAAUAAGACGAAAGAUGGCCCCAUUAUGUAAUAUCUACCUGGAAUGGUGACUCAGCCAACCUAAGUAGAUUAGCAAAUUGUUGUAGAACUCCACUAUCAACCACCCUGUGCUUAAACAAACAGCUUCCAAGAAGAUUGAGAAUGACAGGAAACAAAUUAAUAUUACUCUUUGCAGAAUUCCGACUAGCGAGACCAGCAAAUUGCAUGCGGCGUCUCCCACCCGACGAUUGCUGAAUCUCCCCAGUAAUAGUUUCCAGCAAACCUGGUACAACUGAUGCCACAGUAUGUGCAAAUGCAUCUAAACAUAGUUUCAAAUAGCUGUCUUUCUCUUUUAGCAGCCUAUCUACGUUUGAUAGAAGUCUUGCAUUGCAAAAGAACUGUGGCAACCAUCUCUUCCCAUUUUUGCAAAGCAGGGCAGCAAAAAUAAGAGCCUUGCCCUUCAAGAUUUGACUUCCCUGCUCAAUAAGGGAAAUAAGGUUAGGGACGAGAUUCUUAUCCUCUGCCAGGGAAAGAAGGUACUUUCCGAUGUUUGUGAUUUCAAGCAUGGCCAUGUUCAGAAGGUUUAAGCGAAUUUGCUGCUCACGUGGACUACCCUUAUGUAGGCUUGAUGCAGUGUCCUUAAAGGAGAGUUUCUCAAUAAUUCGCAGGAUGCUUGGAGGGUUAAAACGAGCUAAACGUACCAAACAAGAUCCGGCUGUGAGUCUCAUGCUCUCCUGUUUCCCUUGAGCCCUAAAGAUAUAGCACAGGUUACUAAUCACAUCCUGGCUAAUGAAACGAGCUGCCCAGUACCCUCCUUGACUAGAUAUGUUCUCUAUUGUUCUCAGUGCAUAAAGCUGAGUCAUGUCAUCUUCGCCAUUUCGUAGAACAGAUGAGACCAAAGAAAUCAACGGGUUUGAGACCUAUAGAAAAGAAAUUACGUUUAUCACUUGCUACCAAUCAGAUAAUGAAUAUGCCAUAUGUGAGAUUGGAAUGAAAUUCUAGUGAGCCAACAAACACCAAAAUGUCAAUGCUAAAACAAAUUAGAAAAGCUGACCUGCCAGCCAGACGCAUGACGAAUGUCCUUAGAUGGAGAUUCUGGAGGAUUACCCACCCUCAACUGCUCAUUUUGUGUAGAUAUGUAAAAUAGCAACUCACCUAGAGCUGCCAUUGAAAAUCUUCUAACUUUUUCCUGCCUAUCUCUGAGACCAUCAGUUAGUGAGCCUAAAAUUCCAGAAUUUGCCAGCUCAUCUCCAAUAAAAGUAGAAUGGCGGAUCAACAAGCCUAUGAGUGAAGCAAGUUGAGCUCGCAAAGCUGAAGUCUUAGACUGCCUGAACACUUUGAUGAUAACUAGCAUUAUCGGUCCAUUGGUCAGAAUGUUUGCAGCGUCGCUGUUACUGCUUAACAUCUCAAGGUAUCUGAUAACAUUUUGCUUCUCACCUAUAGCAGUAUUCCCAUUAAAGAUACCUACAAUCUUAUUGUUCAUACUAUCAAGCUGCUCCCUUGACAUUUUGACAAAAUCAGAUACUGGAAAAGCAUCAAACGGCACGGAUGGAAUCGCCCCUGAUACUUUAUCAGACUUUUUGCUAGGCAUCACGGGCCUGACUGAGAGGUCAGAAGGAUGCCAAAACACCUGUGAGAUAUUUGUAGACAAUUUUGAGCACUCAGUGUCAACUGGUCCAGAAACAUCCUUUGCCUUCACUGGUGUUGUCUGAGUACUUAAACUUGGCGGCAUGGAUGUCAGUUCAGCAUGUUCUGAAGAUGGUUCCUGAUCAGAGGUUCUAAACUCAUCUGAGAUGGGAGUUUGAACUAUGGGUGAUGUCUCUGAGUUGCCUUUGUUGUUAUCGGUUUCCUCAAUCUUCCCUUCAUGCUGAGUUGGAGUUGAAAAAUCUGAUCAGAAGCACAAUUUGCAUUUUCAGGUCCAUCAGCUUCAUCAUUUACCUCAUCCUCUGUGUUCUCAUUAAAAUCAAGUUCCAUAUCAUUAUUGUUAAUUUCAACCUCAGCAUCAUUCUCAGAUCCAUUUGGCAAUGGCCGCCGGUAGUUCUCCUUUUCAUUUUCCCUCUGCAAGUUUGUUUUCGCAAUUCUUGAAAGCCUAAGAAGGUUGACUCCCCUUGUAUUUGAAUUAUCCUUCUGCUUUUCAUCAACUAUUUUGGUUGAAGCCUUUGUUUGAGUUUUCCGGCUGCUGAAUGCACCCUUGAUGGGUGUUUCACGACCUUUUACCUCUAAAACUGAGUUUUCAUCUGGUUUAAUAGUGCCUUUUGAAUCCUUUCCAUGUUUUGUUGGGGUCUUGUUUUGCAGAGGCUUCUCACCAUUGUGUUCUGAUAGAUAUGGCUUAGAUGAAAGUUCAAUCAUAUUAAUAAAUGCAGGUUGAGAAGGUAGAGGCAAUGGGUCAAAUUUUGACCUCCAAAAAGCAUGACUACACAGUUCUGGCCACUGUAUCCUUUCAGCUGGAUCUUUUAUCAGAAGAGAAUUUAUCAGGUUGACAAAAGGGCGGCUUGGGAACCAGGAAGGGCUGGAGUUGGAUCUGAAAGAAUUGAUUUUAUCAACUGCGUCAGCUCUUUUCCCACAAAAGGAGGCCUCCCAGCAUAGCAUUCGAAUAGCACACAACCAAGAGCCCAGAUAUCAGAUGCAAAGAAUGGACUCCUCCAUCCUGAAAUAAUUCUGGAGCCAUGUAACAGGGAGUCCCACGCUUUGCUUGUGGUAACUGGGCAGACAUCAAACAAAAUUGACAUCAUUGAAGGUUAUUAAUGUCAUGAAAGCAAGGUAUCAGAGAUGGCUAAAGCAAAACUAACAAGGAAAUAAUACUCCAUACAGAAAUUCUACAAAUGUUCAAAAUUGUAUAUUGAUCUGCGUGAGUAUUUGAACACAGAAAUGAAAAGAGCAUCACAACGUUGAAGAAUGCCCACCUGUGAAAAAGGUGUUUUAGAUAUAUCACUCAAUUUUCUUGCCAACCCAAAAAUCGCAUAGCUGCAAUUGAAAGAAUGACGUUGAAUUUUUGCUCAACAGUAAAAAGAACAUUACACCUAACAGACUUUAAAGACCCUGAACCAUACCUUUGUAUGUCCAUUUCAUCCAAUAAUAUAUUUGAGGGCUUUAAGUCACAAUAAAUGAUUCCCUUUGAAUGUAAAAACCUGAUAAAAGGCAACUUCCCUAAUUGUAAAUCCAUGAAGUAGAGCUGAACACAAGGAAUUAAGAAACAAACCAAAUUUUCUUACUGCAAAGCUCUAACAAGGCCAGAAGCCAUAUCGUGAACUGAAUCUUCUGGCAGCUUAGUAUCCUGCAAGUCAAUUUUUGGCCAAUUUAAGUCAAUUUUUAACUUAACAAUCUUUAAGUUAAAUAUACAAGGACAGUGAGCAUCAGCAGAUCAUAUCUAAAAUUUCAUUUGUUAUAUAAGUAUGUCAAAAUUCUAAUGCAGCCAAACAUAUAGUGGAGAUUGGAGAGAAAAAUCUGUUCCUAAAUUAUCAUCAUCAACAAGGAAACAUAUUGCAGAAUGUCUGACUUUUCAAAAAAUGCCAAAUGCAAGCAAGUAAUUUUGCUGAAAUAAAUCUGGUAAGUGAAGCUAAGAACAGUCGAUAUGCAAAAGACAAAUAAAUAAUCAAUUUGUUUUUCCUUUUUAUGAGUUCCAGAAUCCUCAGAAAACUUAUUCCAACAAUGAGCUAAUUCCACAAUUUGCAGGAAAGCUCUUCUUGCAGAUUUUAACAUUCCAGAGCAAAAUUAGGUGGCACUAUGAAUCUAAGCCACAGGCGAGUCCCAUAACAAAAUUAACCAAAUAAUAAACAAUUGGGUGACUUUAGGAUAGGUCACUUUUUAGAAUGUUUGGUUUUUGAAGAAACGCUUAAGAGAUCUUAACAUUAAGAUGAGACUCAUAGUACAAACUAAACUGAGAAGUGAAUGUAACUAUAUGGAAUUUACUUGACACAAAAACUUCUGGCCAAAAAAAAGGACACCAUGCUUUUGAUUAUCAGAUAGCAGUUAGAUUAGAGGAGGUUCAUGUGGUUCUUUCUGGAACCAAAUAGAACAUGACAAGCUAUCUAUUCGCUUUCUUCAGCAAGAAAUUCCCUAGUAGGUUAAAUAACAGUGGAUAGACAAAACAUGCAACAUACCACUACAAUACUUCAUAACUUGCUGUUCAUAUAAAACUAAAGAAGGAUAGAGUACCUGCUGCAGUAAGUUCAUGAGAUCUCCUCCAACACAGUACUCCAAUACCAGCCAUAAAUGAGCAGAUGUUUCGUACCUAAAGUUUCAAUACAGAACAAUAGAACUAAGAAGACAAAACUGAAUUCCUUAGGUGACUGGAAGAUUAGAUAGAUCCCUCUAGCAGUCCUACAGCAAAGGGAAAAGAUCUUUCAUUUCCAAAAAGAAUAAAAUUUUACCAGGCAUAGAAUUUCAAGAUAUUUGGGUGAUCCAGGGAGUGAAGAAUUCGAACCUGCAAAUGAAGAAAGAGCCAAAUAACACUUUUCAUAGUAAAUAGUGAAAGAAAUAAAUCUAUAUCCACACAAUUAGAUACAUUUACAUACAGAUCUAUAAACAUAUAGUUAGGUGGUUGCUUGUAUGAAAAUGCUAACAUAUGUAUAUGGGUUUUCUUGUGUGUAUGCCUACACGUUUUUUUUUUUACUUCCUGAUCUUAAUAAAAAGAUCCUACAGGAUCCAUGAGCAAAAUAGUAGUUCUUAUUCCAACCAGUAAUACCGAAGAUCAUGUUCUCUAAGUCCAAAAAAUCAGUUUCUGUUCUUUUGUCAUUAUGAUUCAGCAUACUGCAGAAAAUUAACUUCAAUCUAGGAUGCCAGCUGGCAGCGAUUGUAGUCCCUGAGCAACACAAGUAACAUUGAACAACAAAGAGUCAAACCAUAACCAUGCACAUUGUUUACAAAAAAGAUUACAGAUGUAUGUAUCAUACAUCAAACACAAACAGACAACUUUGAAAUAUCAGCAGUAUUCAUGAUCUGCAAGAUUUGAAAAUUUAGUCAACAGGACAAGCAUAUGCAACAUUCAAAAGUUAUUCAGACUAAUUAAUUUGUAAUUGUUUAGAAAUUAAACAAGAUUUAAUAGCACCAGAAGACAAAUCAUAAAAAAAAUUCAAAAAAAAUUAAAGGUUCUGUGAUGAAUAACAUUCAUUUUCUUAUUUCAGAAGCAAAACACUACUAGUAGCAAUGAAAUUAGACAUCAAAUUGAGUAUUAUUCAAAACUCCAUGUACUCCUAACAAUUCACUUGAACAUUGGGUUUUUUAUUGAAGGGAGUUGCACAGAGCUGAAAUCUGCAUUGUCUGCAGGACUGCAAAUCCAACAUCUUAGCUCAAAUCCAGCAUACAUUCAGGUCUCGGUUCACAAAUCAGAAAAUUUUCAAAAAACACAGAAUUCUGGUUUAAUUUAAAUUACCAUGUCAUAGAGAACUUCCAAUUGGGACUGACUUAAUUGUGCUACAAUUAGGUUGCAAACUGGAGGGCAUUAAGUUCAGUUGUUUAUCAAUAUCCAAAGCCUAAGCUCAAUUCCAUUUGAACUUACAAAUUUUACAUUAGCAGAAUUUUUAAUGCCUAUUAUACUGCUUAAGGAAGCUCAAGAGAGGGAAAGAGAGAGGGAGAGAGACCCUGAAAGUGGUCAAAGAGAGAGGACAUUGAAGCAAAUAUAAAUAUUGCUUACUUCUUGUAGAACCUUGCUCUUCUGAGAUUUAUCAACACUCUUGAUAGCAAAAUACUCUAUGGUCUUCUUCUUUCUUCCUUUAUAUACGGUCUGCAUCCAUUUACAUGGUCACCAACAUAGAUACAAGACAUAUACAGGUAAUCUACCAUCAAGUUAUAGCCAAAUCUAGAAGGAAAUUUUAUUUAUUUAUUUUGAUGCUCCAAAGUAGGAAGAAAAGAUACAAAAAUAUUUAAAAAAAAUUAUAAGAUUGUUCAGAUUUGCCUUCCAAAUUUUCAAGAUCAUAAAAUGACAAAAACCUCUGACUUUGACAUCAUUAUUUUUAAAUUAGAUUCAUUAGCACAAUUUUCUCCUCUACUUUUCUUUUUUCCAGCAAAUCCUACUAAACUUAAAACAGCCACAGAACAAAGAGAAUAAUCCGACCCAUUCACAUUUUUAAGAAAGUAAUGAAAAGCCCAUAACUUCCUUCUCCACCUUUACAUAAACACCCAAAACUAAGGCAAAAUCAACAAUAUCCGUUGGCUCCAUUAGCUUUACUGAACUUUGAAUCUAAAAAAACCAGUAAAAAACCAAAAAAAAUUAAAAUUAAAAUAGAAAUGUUGAUGUCCGGGAAGACAGGAGACAGAAAACUACAGAGUAUUUGCCGCGGCCAAUGGCUUCGUAGAUGUGAUAUUGAUUCAUCUCUGCAGCAGUAGCAGAUACUCAACAGCUAGGGUUUCGUUUUCCUCUUAUAUUCUCCCUUUUUUCAAUUGAAUUUCAAUGAAUUGAAACAGCUAAUGGGGAAUUUCAAGGUUUAUCUAGUGAAAAUUGAUCUUUGAGCGGGGUGGGAGAAAUUGAUUGAGUGAACUGAUGAGUGAAGAAGAUAUACUGUGUGUGUCUCCAGCGUGUGAGUGUGUGAGAGACAGAGAGUGCCGUUGAGGAAACAGAGAGAGCGAGCGGGAAAGAGAGGGUUGAAAAAUCAAAUGCAGAAAACUUGAAUUGGCUUAACCGUAAUACAAAUGAUGAGACAGAAAAUUUUGUUAAAAAGGCUGCGUUUUUAUAUAAUUAUUUCACAAGAGGACUUGAGGACUGCAAGUUUAGGCAUAUAUUGUACAUUUGAAUUGAUAAUGGUGCACCAUAUGCAAAUUUGUCAUACGGUAUUAAGUCAUAGGGGUGUGUUUGGGCUAAUUCCUUUGAUUAUUGCUCAUAAAAGAAAAAAUCGUAACAAUUAGUGUUUGGAUAGCAAAAAUAUCUCAAAUAAUAUUUCGCUUGCAUCAUAAACACAUUUUUCAAUCCACCUUUUUAUAUUCUCAAUUACCUUUUUAUCUCACAUAUAUCACAUUACAUAAAGUGCUACAGUAAUUAUUCCAAAUAAUAUUUCAAAUAAUUAUUUUGACAAUAUUAUGGUACAGGCAAGAGGAAUUUAAAAAAAAAAAAAGUUAGGCUACCAGAUUUAGUAAGCCCGGUAGCUAACUAAGCAUUUUUUUUUUUACAGGUUUUCGGGCAAUCAGCCCAACAGCAUACAACAAAUUUUUUUUAAAAAAAUGUUUGGCUGUCAGGCUGACUGAAAAUUUUCAAAAAGCUACAGCUGACACAGUCGACAGCCUGCAGCUUAAUUUUUUUUUUUUUAAACUUGGAGGCUACAGCCCGAUAGCCUUUUUGGUAUUUUUUUUUGUCCUUAUACUUGAUAAGCAUACCAUGCAGAGUUGGAUAGUUGACAGCCUACAGCUUAACUUUUUUUAAAAAAAACUUGGAGGCUACAGCCUGAUAGCCUUUUUGGUUUUUUUUUUUUUCCUUAUACUUGAUAAGCACACCAUGCAGAGUACAAUUUUUCUCACCAAUUUAAUAUUGCAAUUAACUAGUAACUGGGCCUAUCUUAUAUCCUCUCCAAGAAUCAAUUUCACAGUCUUUGUGGUCACUUUUUCUUCCUUAAUGCUAAGCUUCUUCUCCACAACAACCUUAACCUCAGCCUUCUUAUCUACAAGUUCCCCAUCUCUCUUUUGCUCAACUUCGGUGGCCUUCUUCUUCUCAAAUCUAUUACUUUUCUUCUUUUCACCUUCUCUUUCGUACUCCUGCUCGAUAAGGAUGGAAGGGGAGGCCAGAGCCAGAACAAUCUCUUUAUCCUCAGCCCUCUUUUCCUCAAUUGCCUUCUUCACCUUCUCAGCAAUUUCUAAAAGCAGUUAAAUUAUUAGGGUCCAUACUCAAAACAUUAUUAACAUCCCUUAAGGCCAAAUCAAGCCUAUUCAAUGCCUCAUAACACCUAACCCUCUUCAGCAAAACUUUACUAUAUUUAGGAGCAACUUCAAGUGUCAAAUUGCUUUCAUUUAUCGCUCUGGAAUAUUCACCAAGUCUCAUUUGCAUAUAGUAAGCAAUCAUGUUGCUGCGCAAAUAAGCAACAUCAAUAUGGUUUCUGGGAGCAAUUUGAGAGCUUUUUCAUACUUCAACAUAGCUCCCUCGAGGUCAUGUUUCUGAAAAAGUUUGUUUCCGUCUUCCUUCAAUUCUUGGGACAUAUUAAUAAAGACAACUGUGUCUUCAUCAAAUGCUUUAGAGGUACGAUCCAAAGCUUUGCCAACCUUAGCAGUGUUUGAAUCACUGCGUUUUAAGCCCACAAGAAAUUUUUUUUUAAGCCAACCUUAGCACCAAUUUUUUUUAAGCCAAACUUAGUACCAGGCUGACACAGCCCAGUAGUGGACAACAAGCUGCAAAAAAAAAAAAAAAUCUGAUUGGUCACAAGAUUCUGAAAAAGAAUUCCCAUCAACGUUGGUCGUUGACCCUGACAUCUGACGCCAACUUUUUUUUUUUUUUUUUUUUUUUGCCUUUUCAUGAACACAGGCUGAUAGCCAUCAUAUUUUUAAAAAAAUUUCCAACUUGGCUGCCAGGCUUAGUCAGUCCGGCAACCAAGCAUUUUUUUUUUUAAAAAAAAAUUUCUUUCCUGUCGAGUUGACUAAACCCGGCAGGUAUAGUUUCACACCAUACCCAUGUUAGAACAAUAUUCUUUUAAUAUUUUAUUUUUUGAGCAAUAACCAAAAGAAUUAGCCAUGUGCUUGGUAGGUAAGUUUUUCCAUGAGUUUUUCUUCUACAAAUUUUUUAACAAUUUUAAUCUAACUCUGUUUGGAUUUAAGAGUUUUUUUAAAAAUUGUUUUUGCCUUUCAAAUCUACGAGUCUAUUUGGAUUAGCUGUUUUUGGGAUUAUUUUUAAAAAAACUUUACUGUACCAAUCAUUAAAAAAUAAAGGAUAUCAUUUGAAUUGACGUAUAUGAAAAACUCAUUGUUUUUUUAAAAAUACAUUCGUUUGGAUUUUUCUGUAUUUGAAAAAUAGCUACUACGAUAAAUUAUGGUUGGACAUUUUAUGGACAAGUUAUGGCUCAAUGCUAUUUUUUUCAUUUGCCCUACACCACAAGCUCAUGACAUUUUAUGGCUAAUCAUUGGAAUAAUGGUGCACAUGGCCAAAUUGCACAUUGUACUACUUUUGAUAGCAGAUUGUCAAAACACGUAUACUAACGCCACUUCCAUUAACAUUUUCAUUCUGAAGUCGAAACCAAUUUCAAUAGUUUAACACAAUCCGUCUUACACUAAGGUUUCAAUCAAAGUACAUUUUCACAAACUUAGGUACUAUUACAUAUCAACUUUUUAGCUACACUGGUACAAUUCCGUGGAAAUUGCCCAACUUCCCAUAUUAGAAUCUAUUGAAUAAGAAAAAAACAACAUGGCCUGCUCUAUGGAUGAAACUCCAGUUCCAUCUCAUAGCGAUUAAGAUACAUAUGAUUGGCAAUUACCCACCGAUCUUCGUUCCAAUUAGUAAUUCUCUGUUAUGACAUAUCAACUGGCUGAGGUAUAUGGCCUUGGUUCUCCUCCUCAAAACCAUCUUCAUAAGCUCCGACAUCAUAUCUUUCCUCAAAAUAUUGGUCGUUUGAUACCUGAUCCCGCAUGAAAUUAUGCAAUGCACAAUAGGCAAGGACAAUAUUAUUCUGUGUGGCUAUUAGGUAGUUCUACAUUAACCCUUAAGUAUUGAAAAAUGUUUCUUCAGAACUCGGAACAUCCAUUCUAUAAUGCUCUUAACUGAUGCAUGCCGUUUGUUGAACAGAGCUUUUGUUGCAUGCUCCUGUGCCGAUCCCCGAACACCUCGAAAUAGAGCCAUGAAUCAGGGCAUAUUUGUAUAUACAGCGUCCACCACGUAGUACUUACCUUUACAUUACCAAUCCAUUCAAGUCUAAUAAUUUUCUAAUACAAAAAAAUAUGAUUUACUUUCCCAACUCUAACACUAAAGCAUUACAUUCCCAAUUUUUAUUGAAACUUUUUUAUUUAAAUUUAGACGUGCUUUUUAUAUUAACCAUUGAACCUCAUUCAUAACAAGAUAUUUUAGAAGCAUACCAACUGGUGGCAUAGGAAAAGUUGCAUUUGGGUGAAGUAUGGUGUUUUGUAGUACUCGUGAAUCAUGCGCACUGCCAUUUUAGCCUACCCAGACAUAUACAAACCUCAUGUCAUGGUCGCAAGCCGCUAAUACAUUUUGAGAUAAGCCGCAGUGUCUAUUUCGAUAUUGCUCUCUAUCACGUGCAUUACACUCACUAAGUUGAGUAGUAAGUACCAUCUAAUGCCCCAAUACAAUCCUAUUUUAGUUUAAUAAAUUACGAAUGAUAUAUGUGCAAACCUAUAUUAUUCAUUGUCGAGAACAAGGUUACCUUAAGCCAUGGCCAAUACUUCUCACUAUUUAUAAUAUGUGGAUGAAUCGCAUGAAAAUUAGUUGGUCUAACUAUAUCCCGAUCCAAUCUCACUAGGGCCCUUAGGCAUUGACGCAGGUGUCAAUCUACCGUUUCCAGGGAAUGUUGAAAGCAUUCGGCUAAAAUCCAAUGCCGUUCAUCAUGAUUUAGACACACAAUGGUAAUGGCUACCAACUCAUGAAUGCCAACCCUCUCUGUAGGGUGCGGUUGUCGAUAAUCCCAUCCUAGUAAUAUAUCACAUAAGGCCAGAAACUAUGGAAUCUCCAUGCAUAUGUUCUCGAAUAUCCUGUCCCUAUGACCAUUUAUGAGCUCAAUUACCCAUUACUCGCCGCUUAGAGCAUUGUCUUGAAUCUGCAUCUCCCUAGACUGUUGGAAUUGAGGUCUAAUAGAGUGAACAGAAACAUUACAAAUAAAGCAUAUGCCAACUCAAUUUCAUCAUUGUCGUUACUAUCUGUCCAUGAAACCGCUGCAAGUUGAUGAAAUUAUCCAUCUAGUGUUCAAAAGAUCCCGCCUAGAUGUCAAAAAGUUGCCUAAAAGGAAAGCAAUAAAGGAAACAUGUCAACCAUAUGUCAUAUAUGUAAUAUCGAGCUCGAAUAAAAAUCGAAUGAAUUGAUAUUCUACUGCAUUUGCAUCUAAAGAUAGUUUUAAUAAUAUAGAUGGCCAAAUGGCAUUAGGAAAAUUGAAGUGCCAUAAUAAAUGCCCAAUCCAACAGAGAAAAAAUAAUGCAAAUCAGAAAAGAGUCUUCAAAUACAAUUAGCCGACAACUACAACUUGAAAAACAACAAGUUAGAGCAAAUGUACAUUGCUCAAUCUAAAUUUACAAUCCUACAGAGCACUCUAAAAAGUAUUGGGUUAUAUAGGAGUUAUAAAUCCCUCAAGGUAGCAAUACAAUCCUACUAAUCUUUAUUUGGUUUGGGAGGUAGACAGCCCUAAAGUUGGGCAAACUCUAGUUGGUCCUCAUUGAAUCUAGCGGUGAACCAAAUGGCAUGCUCCUUUGGAUCUCGUAAGAUAUCAGUCAUCUUGACAUGAACUUUUCAUGGAAAGUUCAGAGAAGACAAUUGCUGGAGGGCAACUUCAUAGGUAGACAGUGCAUCCAUAGAGGGGAGUUCACCGACAUCAUACUACAACUCUUUUUUCAACUUACAAGGCUCUGCGGUCCAUCCAGGAUGUGAUCAAUUCUAUCCUGCGAAUGCUUUGAUACGCCAUGGAUAGGAGAGGAGUUUGAUGUGUCCCUGAAUUUGAGCUUACCCUUUCCUUUUCUGAAUUUCACUUUUUUCGGGGAAACCACCUAGAUUUCAUCUUCGAUGUGUCGUAGUCGACCAGACUCUUGGCCCUCUUAUUCCUUGCAGCAUUUUCCAUUCCUUCUUCUGACUUGAAUUAGGAGGUGAAUCUUCAAAUCCGGCACUAAAGUCCUCAUUGGCGCAGGUAUUCGCAAACACUGACUCGAGUAUGUGGUAGACAAAGUAAGAUUUAUCUCUAAAUUGCGCAAAGUGCCUAUUAACCUAAACAAAUACAGUGAAAAUUCAAACAAGACCCAAGGCAAUGUCGCUCUUUAAUCAGUUGGUCAAAUCUAUAGUCCUAAACUAAUGAAGGAAAAGGUUAAAUGUAUGCGACGAUUUACAGCCAUACUUGCUCCAAAUCAAUGCACCUAGAUCUUGCACAAAAGGUGUGUUUCUUACUAUUUCAACCCAUACUAGUGUCUCUCCUCUUAAACAUAAUGCAAAACUUAGUGAGAGUCCCCAGAGUAUAGUAUUUACCCUGAAUUGUGUCUAUGUGAAAGGAGGUGCCUUAAAAUCAUUCAAACGUGUCUAAAUUUUAGGAACAACAGGGCUAAAGAUGUUGUGAGGGGUAACCUCGCCAUUUACGUGCAUGUUGACAAGAUGUUGGGUGAAAGCAAUUUUGUGCUCCUUACUAAAGUGCGAACAUUUCAUAUACAGCUUUUUCAGUUAAUACAUCUUAAUUGGGAGAAUGAAUUGCAUUCUAAAGUAUACAAUAUGAAAUACAGAAAAAUACAUACCAAUAUUUGAAACAAAAUGGUAGACAAGAGAGAAAAGUUUACCUUGAAAUAAUUGGUAAUGCACAAUUAUAGAUCGUUUUCCUCCCAAUCAGAUUGUGCAGGACAAGAACUCAGUAAACUCGUUUCUCUUAAGGCUGUGAGCGUGAUCAAAGUAGAACAACUGUGACGGUUUUCUCCAAAACUAAUAACAAGUUUUGAAGCAGCGCAUUAGAUCACAUCCUUCCAAGCAUGCCUUAUAACAGAGGGCGAGCUUCUGCAACUUUGUUUCAAAUCGAAUGAAAUAUAAGCUCAUCUAUGUGAUAGUGUGAAAAUAAAAGGAAAAGAGAAGGAAAAAAUUGACUGAUUACAUAUAUAUGAGCACACAAUUACUGUAUAGGUAAGAUAAUUCGAUUUGAGGGAAUAAAUAACAUUGGCAGCAGUAAUAGCUAGUGGUCUUGGAAUGUAGAACUGGUCUUCAAAUGAAGUAAGCUAAAUUAUAGAUAGAAUAAUGUUUUUACUAAAAUCUUGAGGAUGUGAUAUUAUUAAAAGUGUAAUAGUCAUGAACAUUUGAAAAAAUAUAUGGCUAGUGAUCCUUUACUUGAGUUUUAUUUGCAUGAGGUAGUAAAUUCAACCACUAGGAAUCCCAAAUAUAUUAUAGGGCCUUAUGAAUAAACUUCACAUCUUAAGUAUGCAUGUUGUGACAUAUUUGUAAUGAAAAAUAUAAUAGCUGACUAUUAUGCUAUAUAAACUAAUGAAUAUAUAAAUUGUCCGUAGAAAAUUUUGGAACUUAGCUUAUGCCAUUAUUAAGCACAUUGUUGGAAUUUUACAAAUAGUAAGCAGGGCAAAUAUGAAGUUAGAAGCCAUAACAACUCAACAAACUAGAAGAGGUACAUACAAUUUCGUGCCCAUUGAAGAUCAUGCAUUUUUAGUCCAAUUCCUUAAUGUGAAUGAAAUAGGAGAACAAUUGAAAUGUGAUACUUACCAGUGCAGUGUAGGAUGCUGAGAUGGUUCUGCCGUCUGCUACAACGCACUGUUCUCACCGAUGGCUGAUUACACUCUUGCGACGAUACGGAUUAGAGUGACUUAGGCAGGAAUUGAGAAAGUUGGUCAACCAAUGCUUCCUACCUAACCAAGGCUACUUUCGUUGCUGCUGGUGAUGAUGCUAGCUGAUUUCGCGAUCGACAAUCUAAGAACAAAAUGGCAGCCAUACACUAUACUUCCAAAAUUUCGAACUUACUACUGAUAGUUUGUAGAUCUAAAUCCUUGUAACCUUCAUUCAAGCCACCAAAAUUGGAACGUCUCAUCGAUGUUUGGGGGGAAAAAGAUUGAAUGGAACCUAUUCAGGAGAUGCAGAGCUUUGCAGGUUUGCAAUUUGAUAGUUUGAACUGAAGUUGGGAGGAACAAUUCUUCUCUACGAAAGCUUUAUGUCACUUCAUAUCUGGAGGCACUAUGCAAAGCUCGGUUUUGAAGGAGCGAUUGGAAGACGAAUUGGAUGAUUAGCAGUGUGAACAAUAUUUGAUAUCUCUUGUCUCGGCCAGCACCGAAGCAGGGAAAGUGUGUGCAAAAGGUUUUCAAGGACAAGGGAUUCGAUUGGGAAAACAAAUGAAGGAAUAUUGGGUGAAAAAUCAAGUUGAUGGUGUUUGUAAUCAAAAUUGAUGGGGUAUAAUAAAUUGGAUACUGUGCACUUACCCAUUUUUUCCUUCGCUUGGACAUGCUCUAUCAAAUACAUAUACAAUUUUUCAUAUAUUUCUCAUAUCCAUACAGAACCUACGAGUCUGUUUAGGUUAGCUAUUUUUAGGGUUAUUUUUAAAAAACUUUAUUGUACCAGUUAUUGAAAAAUAGAGGAUGUCAUUUGGAUUGGUGUAUAUGAAAUAAAACCUUCGCUUGGAUUUCUCUGUAUUUGAAAUCAUCUACUACAGCAAAUUAUGGCUGGACAUUUUAUGGACAAAUUAUGAAUAAAUUAUGGUUUAAGACUAUUUUUUUAUUUGCCCUACACCACAAAUUCAUGGUACUUUAUGUCUAAUCAUUGGAACAAUGGUGCAAAUGGCCAAAUUACAUAUUGUACCACUUUUGAUAGCAGAUUGUCAAACACAUGUAUACUAAUGUCACUCCCGUUAAUGUUUCCAUUCUGAAGUGUAGGACCAAGCACCUUGUGCCGAAACCAAUUUCAAUAGUUUAACACAAUCGGUCUUACACUAAGUAACUAAUCCAAAUACACUUUCACAAACUUAGGUACUAUUACAUAUCAACUUUUUAGCUACACUAGUGCAAUUCUGUGGCAAUUGUCCAACUUACCAUGUUAGAAUCUAUUGAAUAAGGAAAAAAACAACGUAGCCUACUCCAUAGAUGAAACCCCAGUCCAUCUCUUAGUGAUUAAAAUACAUAUGAUUAGCAAUUACCCGUCGAUUUUCGUUCCAAUCAGUAAUUUUCUGUUGUGACAUAUCAACUGGUUGAGGUGCAUGAACUAGGUUUUCCUCCUCGAAACCAUCUUCAUAGACUUCAACAUCAUAUCAUUCUUUAAAAUAUUGGUUGUUCAAUACCUGAUCCUGCAUGAAAUUAUGCAAUACACAACAGGUAAUGACUAUUAUUCUGUGUGCUAUUAGGUAGUUCUACAUUGGCCCCUUAAGUAUUAGGAAGCGCUUUUUCAGAACUCCGAACAUUAAUUCUAUAAUGCUCCUAACUGAUGCAUGUCGCCUGUUGAAUAGGGUUUUUGCUGCACGCUCCUGUGCCGAUCCCCGAGCAUCUCAAAUUGAGCCAUGAAUUCGGGCAUAUUUGUAUAUGCAGUGUCCACCAUAUAAUACUUACCUGGAUAUUACCAUUCUAUUCAAGUCUAAUAAUUUUUUCAUACAAAAAAUAUGGUUUGCUUUCCCAACUCUAAUACUUAAGCAUUAAAUUCCCAAGUUUUAUUAAAACUUUUUGAUUUAAAUUCAAGUCUCCUUUUUUCAUUAACCACCUAAUCUCGUUUAUGGUAAGACAUUUUGGAAACAUACCAGUUGGUCGCAUAGGAAAUGCUACAUUUCGAUCAAGUAUAGUGUUUUGUAGUACCUACGAAUCAUGCGCACUGCCCUCUCAACCGACCCACAAAUAUACAAAUCUCAUGUCAUGGUCACAGGCCAUUAAUACAUUUUGAGAUAAGCCAUCGUGUCUAUUUCAAUAUCGCUCUCUAUGCUGAGCAUUGUACCAGACCGAGACAUGAGUACCAUCUAAUACCCCAACACAUUCCCAUUUCAAUUUAAUAAAUUACGAAUGGUAUAUGUGCAAACCUAUAUUUAUUCAUUGUCAAGAACAAGAUUACUAUAAACCAUGGCCAAUACUUCCUACUAUUCAUAAUCCAUGGAUGAAUCGCAUGAAAAUUGAUCGGCCUAACUAUAUCUCGACCUAGUCUCAUUAAGGCCUUUAGGCACCGACGCAGGUGCUGACUGUCAUUUCUAAGGAGUAUUGAAAGCGUUCAGCCAAAAUCUGAUGCCGUUUAUCAUAAUUUAGGCACACAAUGACAAUGACAAUCGAUUCAUGAAUGCCAACCCUCGAUGUAGGGUGUAGCUGUCAAUAACCCGCUGUAACAAUAUAUCACAUAAGGCCAAGAACUGUGAAACCUCCAUGCGCAUGUUCUCAAAUAUCUUGCCCCUGUAGCCAUUUAUGAGCUUGAUUACCCAUUGUUUGUCGCUUAGAGUAGUGUCUCGAAUCCUGCUUCUCCCCAAACCGUUGAAUUUGGGUCUAAUAGAGCUAACAAAAGCAUCACAAAUAGAGCAUAUGCCAACUCAACUAUUGUCAUCGUUGCUACCACCCUAUCCAUGAAACCCCUGCAAGUUGAUAAAAUGAUCCAUCUAGUAUUCACAAGAUCCCACUUAAAUGCCAAGAAGUUACUUAAAAGGAAAGCAAUAAAGGAAAUGUGUCAAACAUAUCAUAUGUGUAAUAUCGAGAUCGAAUAAAAACUAAUUGAAUCGAUAUUCAGCUGCAUUUCCAUCUAAAGAUAGUUCAAUAAUGCAGAUGGCCAAAUGGCACUAGAAAAAAAAUUGAAGUACAAUCGACACAUAAUAAAUUUCCACUCCAACAGAGCAAAAACAAUGCGAAUCGGAAAAGAGUCUUCAAAUACAAUUAUCUAGCAACUACAACAACUCAAAAAAUAACAAGUUAGAGCAAAUUUACGAUGCUCAAUCUGAAUUUGCAAUCCUACAAAACACUCUAAAAACACCAAUUUACAUAGGAGCUAUGAGCUCCUCAAAGUAGCAAUACAAUCAGACUAAUCUUUAUUUGUUCGGAGAUCAAUAGUCCUGAAGUCGGAUAAACUUAAGUCUUUCCUCAUCGAAUCUGGCAGUAAACCAAAUAGCGCACUCCUCUGGAUCUUGUAAGAUAUCGGCCACUUUGACAUGAACUUUCAUAGAAAAUUUAGAGGAAACAGCUACUGGAGGGCAACUUCAUAGGUGAAUGUGCAUCCAUAGCUGGAAGAGCAUUUUUAGAAAGGGAUCUCGCCGACAUUGUAUUACAGCCCUUUUUCCAGCUUACAAGGCUUUGCAGGCUGUCCACUCUAUCCUGUGAAUGAUUGGAUAUACCAGGGAUAGGGGAGGAGUUUGAUGUGUCUCCAGAUUUGAGCUUACCCUUUUCCUUUUUGUAUUUCACUUUUUUUGCGGAACCCACCUAAAUUUCAAUUUCAAAUGUGUCGUAGUUGACCAAACCCUUGGCCUUCAUAUCCCUCACAGCAUUUUCCAUUUCCUUUCCUAACUUGAUUAUGAGGUGAUCUUCAAAUCUGGCAUUGAAGUCCCCAUUGGCACCGCUAUUCGCAAACAUUGGCUCGAGUAUAUAUAGACGAAGCAUGAUCUGUCUCUAAAUUGCGCGAAGUGCCAAUUAACCUAAACAAAUGUAGCGAAAAUUCAAACAGGCCUCAAGGCAAUGUCACUAUUUAAUCAAUUAGUCAAAUAUACAGUUCUAAACUAAUGAAGGAAAAGGUUAAAUGUAUGCGCCUAUUUACAGUCAUACUGGCUCCAAGUCAAUCCACCAUGCAUCAUCCUGCACGAAGGUGUAUUUCUUACUAUCCCAACCCAUACCAAUGCCUCUCCUCUUGAACAUAAUGUAAAAUUUAGUGAGAGUCCCCAGAGCAUAGUAUUACCCCAAAUUAUGUCCGUGCGAAAGAAGGUGCCGUAAAAUUGUUCAGAUGUGUCUGAAUUUUAGGAAUAACAUAGCUAGAGAUGUUGUGGGAGGGGUAAUCUCGCCAUUUACGUGCAUGUUGACAAGAUGUUGAGCGAAAACAAUUUCGUACUUCUUAUUAAAGUACUAACGUUUCGUAUACGGCUUGUUUGAUUUAGACGUCUUAAUUGGAGAAUGAAUUGCAUUUCAAAGGAUACAAUAUGAAAUAUAGAAAAACACUUACAAAUAUUGGGAUCAAAGUGGUAGACAGGAGGGAAAAGUUUACCUUGAAGUAAUUGGUCAUGCACAAUUGUUGUAUAAGAAUUUAGCAAACUCGUUUCUCUUAAGACUGUGAGCAUGAUCAAAGUUGAACACCUAUGACAAUUUUCCCCUAAACCAAUAACAAGUUUUGAAACAAUGAACUAGAUCAUACCCUUCGAAGCAUGCAUUGUAACAGGGAGCAUGUAGUUAUGCCGAACUUAUGUAACUUUGUUUCAAAUCAAAUGAAAUGUAAGCCCAUCCAUGUGAUUGUGUGAAAAGAGAAGCAAAAGGGAAAGAAAAGCAAAAGGGAAGGAAAAAUUGACUGGUAACGCGUAUAUAUUGCUCAAAAUUACUGUAUAUGUAAGAUAAUUCGACUUGAGAGAAUAAAUGACAUUGGCAAUAGCUAGCAGUCUUGGAAUGUAGAACUAGUCUUUGAACGAAGGAAGUUAAAUUGUAAAUCAUAUUUUAUUAAAAUCUUGAGCAUGUGAUAUUGUUAAAAGUGUAAUAGUCAUAAACGUUUGAAAAAAUAUAUGGCUAGUGGUCAUUUACUCAAGUUUUAUUUGCAUGAGGAAGUAAAUUCAACCUCCAGGAAUUCCAAAUAUAUCACAGGGCCUUAUGAACGAACUUUGCAUCUUAAACAUGCAUGUUGUGACAUAUUUGUAAUGAAAAAUAUAAUAGCUGAUUGUAAUGCUGUAUAAUCUAAUUAAUGUAUAUAUUGUCUGUAUAAAAUUUUGCAACUUAGCUCAUGCCAUUAUUAAGCGCACUGCUGGAAUUUCGCAAAUAGUAUGUAAGGAAAUUAUAAAGCUAGAAGCCAUAACAACUCAGCAAACUAGAAAAAGUACAUACCAUUUUGUGGCCAUCGAAAAUCAUGCAUUUUUAGUCCAAUUCCUUAAUGCGAAUGAAAUAGGAGAACAAGUGAAAUGUGAUACUUACUGGUGCAACGUAGGAUGAUGAGAUAGUUCUAUCGCCUAUAACAGCACACUGUCCUCACCGAUGGUUGAUUCUAAUCAUGUGACGAUACAGAUUAGGUGACUUAGGUAGGAACUGAGAAAAUUGGUCAGCCAAUGCUUCCUACCUAGCCAAGGCUGCUUUCAUUACUGCUGGUGAUGAUGCUAGUUGAUUUCGCAGUUGGCAAUCCGAGAACGAAAUAGCAGGCGUACACUGUACUUACAAAAACCCAAACUUACUACUGAUAGUUUAUAGAUCUAAGCCAUUAUAACCUCUAUUCAGGCACCAGAACUAGAACGUCUUCAACGACGCUGGGGAAAGAGGCUAAAUGGAACCUAUUAAGGAGAUGCGAAGCUUUGCAAGUUUGCAAUUCGAUGGCUUGAACUAAAGUUGGAAGACAAUUCUUCUCUACGAAAGCUAGAUGCCAUUUCAGAUCUAGAGGCACUAUGCAACGCUCAGUUUUGAGGGAGUGAUUAGAAGAUAGAUUGGAUGAUUAGCGGCAUCAACAGUGUCCGAUUUCUCUUGUCUCCGCCGGCAUCGAAAUAGGGGAAGUGUGUGCAAAAGGUUCACAAGGACAAGGGAUUUGAUUGGGUAAAUAAAUGAAGGAAUAUUGGGUCAAAAAACAGGUUGAUGGUGUUUGCAAUCAGAACCGAUGGUGUAUAAAAAAUUGGGUUAAUUCCACUUUGUCCCCCCAAACUUUGGAUGAUUACCCACUUCAGUCCCUAAAUUUCAAAAUGGGACACUUAAAUCCCUAAACUUAUAAAAUAGGACACUUAAAUCCUAAAUCCUUAUAAAAUGGGACAUUUCGACCACCAACGGUAUUCAGGAUUUGUUAAUAAUUUUCCUUAAGUGGGAGUAUUUAUAAGUUUAGGAACUUAAGUGUCCCAUUUUGAAGUUUAGGGAUUGAAGUGGGUAAUCGUCCAAAGUUUGGGGGAGAAAGUGGUAUUAACCCUAAAAAAUUGGGUAUUAUGCAAUUACCCAUUUUUUCCUCCACUUGGAUGUGCUUUGUCAAAUACAUAUAUAGUUUUUCAUAUAUUUCUCAUAUUCAAACAGAGUCUACAGUAAUAAAUUCUAAAAACAAUUUCAAAAAAUAAUACAUCUCAAAUACAUUAAAAAAAAUAAAAAUAAAACCCCCCUCUUUCUUCUUCGCCCAUUAUUCACCACCACCACCACUAACAUCACACACCACCACCUGCUGCCACCUCUCCUUCUUCUCUUCUCCCUCUUCCUCUCCCUUCUUCUUCUUCUUUUUCCUUUCUUCUCCCUCUUUCCCUCCCUUUCUUCGUCCCCGUUUUUCCUCCUCCCUUUUCCUCCCCUCCUUUCCUCUUCUCCCUCCUCCCUACCUCUCUCUUGCAACCCCCCUCUCCCUCCCCUCUCUUUGGUCGCAAGCAGCGACUAAAGAUGGAGGAGGGAGUGGUGGUUAAAGUUUUAUAAAAUUUUACAAAUAUUUCAUUAAAAAUUUAAAUCUUAAAAAUAUUUCAAAAUAUAUUUUCAAAAGUACCACUAAAAGCAUUUAUGGUAAAAUAUUUUCACGUAUAUUACUAUAGUAAAAUAUUUCAAAAACACUACAAAAACUAGCUAAUCCAAACGGAUGGACAGUAAUCUCAAGAAAUUUUUCAAAAUUUUUCAAAUACACACCUCAAAUACCCAAAAACACAAAAAAAUUUCCCUUCUUCUUCUUUUUCCUCUCCACACCUCUGUCUACCACGACCUUCGUUGUCAACCAGUGCUGAUCACUAGUUCCACCAACAUUGGCACUAGCUAACCGGUGACUCUUUUUACUCUUUUUUUUCCUUUCUUUUUUCCAUCUUUCUCUCCUUCUCCCACUUUCCUCCUCCUCCUUCCCUCCUCUCCUCUCCUAUCUCGUCCUCCUUGUUUCCCUUGCCACCCCUUCUCCCUCAUUCCCUUUAUCGAAACCCUUCGUCUCCUCUUCCCAACUUGACACAUAAAUGACAUAAUAAUUUAUAUUGAUCAUAAAAUCAAAUAUGUUUUUUCCAAAAUAUACAUGGCACUCGAGAAUGGCACUUUCUUUUCUGAUAAAGUACUUCAAAUGACUUUUGCAUAAUUUAAAAUGUUAACCUUGUCUUCUUUUUCCAUUCUUUAUUGCCAUAUGACGAUUAAUUCCAAAAGUGGUCAAAACACAAAUGCUGCGCAAGAAAAAUGAAGGGAAUGCCACAAUAAUUUGGAGGCAAACAAAACUUGUUUAAUUUCUCAAAUCCUUUAAAGUUUGUAUUACAUAACUGGAAAUAGUACAUAGCAUAGGAGUUUCCUUGUAACAAAACAACCUACAAACUUCUUGAACUAAUUAAUAUGCUUUAAGACCAAAAAUAGGGGCCAUGGUUAGAAACAUCAACAAUUAAUUAAACUUUGUAAUGAAAAAGAUAAAUAAAUUAAAUUUGGUUUUAUUAUGCAAACAUACACCAUACUCUUUAUGUUUAAUCGCUCAUACAUCACUCAUAAAUCAAUUGUUAGAUUAAAUCAGAUUUUUGUAGUGGCAAAAGAUUCGUAGAGAAAAAUAAGAAACAAUUUAAAAUGUUGAAAUUCUUACUCUAAGGAGGUCACGAAGAAUUUGUUGAGCAAAAAUGCACAACGCCUAUAAGCUACCAUUCGAGAAUAUAAAAUGGUAAAAUUGCAAACAAAUCCAUCUAAAAUUACAAAAAUUUAAUUUUGGUACAUAAGCAACAAGAUAAUUUAUAUUCUCAUUUCUUUCCCUCGUUCAGUUACUAAUAAAAUAAAAUGCAUUUUUCCAAAAUUUGAGAAUGACAAAUGCAUUUCUAAGAACAUAUUUCAAACAACUUUUGCAUAAUUUAAAAUAUUAUUCUUUUUUCUUUUUCUCUUUUUUUGUCAUACGACUUGUACAAAAUGUAUAAACAAUAUGAUAAAGUUGUAAAAGAAGAAUUAAAACAUGAAUGAUGCAUAAAAAACACAAAAGGCAAACUCACAAAUACUCGAAGGUAACCAAAACUUUCUUUAGUUCUCAAACCAUCUAAAUUUUAUAUUAUAUAGCUAUAAGUAGUGUACAAGUGUAGGAGUCUGCUUGUAACAAAAAAACUUGGAGACUUCAUCAACUAACUAGUAACCUCGAGAUAGGUAAUAAGGGUCAAGGUUAGGAACCUCAAAAAUUAAUUAAACUUUGCAAUGUGUAAGCUAAAUAAAUGAAUUAAAUUUGGUUUAAUUACACAAAUAGACAUACCACUCUCAUGUUUAAUUGGUUAUACAUUGAGUUUAUUGCCAAAAUAACUCUCCUAAAACAUAUACCCAAAGUAACAUAAUUUUAAAAUUUAUUACCUUUAUGAUCUUUUUUUUGCCACAUAGGUUACACAUGUGUUAGGACAGAGAUAGACAUACACUCUUUUUUUUCCAUCUAAUAUCUUUUCGAUUCUCUCUCUCAAGUAUUUUUUUCCUUUCGUUGUCUUUUCCUUGUCAAACGUAAUUUUGAGAAGUCAAUAUUUAUGUUAACAGUAUUUAAAGCUUCAUUAUCAUCCUUGAUGAUAUCAAGGUAAACAAAGAUUAUUCUCUUAUCUUUUCUUUUGUGCAGUUUUUGGAACAUUGCUAUGGUGUUCAAAAAAUUUUUGAAUAUUAAUUGUAUAACAAAUGAUUUCUCACACCAUGUGUUUGAUAAAACGUCUAGGAGAAAAACUAUACAACAACAUAGAUUUAUGCUCAAUAUAUUUGAUUUCCACCACAUAUAUGAGCAUGUUCAAUUAUAAUGCCUCUCUAUCACAUGAUUAAAUAAUCUCGUAUACUUGAAAUAUUUUUGCACAUUUAUUCAACAUCAAUUGGUGGCUUGUGUUAUUUUUGAGCAAUUGUAGUAGUUCGUGUAUUAGAUAGCAUGACAAUAUUUGCUUAAUUAAUGAUUUUUUUAAAAUUUUGUGUAGGCGGUGUUGCUGAAUUUUGUAGCAAUGGCUGGAGGAAAUGUUACUAUAUUUUUUUAUUGAAAUGGGAGGAUGACAACAGGCACACAAUCUUAGUUACGAGGUGCUGCUCCAAAAGCCAUUCGAGAUAUCCUAGUGAUUUUGAAAUUGAGUUUGCUAAUCCUAGAAUAUAUAGUUAUAUACAAGUGGCUGCCUUCUGCUUAAUUUUCAUGUAAAUUGGACCCUGAAAAUUUUUAAAUGUGUCUAUGACAGCCUUGCAAGUUAGGCAAACAAUCAAUUAUUUUUUCUUGGAUUUUUUUAUCCAUGAAUGGUAAAGAAAAGUGGUGAGAAGUGAUUACUUUUGAUUGCUGAAGCUUGAAGUUAUCAUAUCUCUAGACUCUGAGCCUGCAAUUUAAGCAUAAUACAUCCAAACACGUUUUUUGGAUUUUAGUUUUCUAUUAUUUUACUUCUAACUUGUGAUACCUUUUUGUUUUUCUCAUUCUCCAUAUGUGACUUGCAGUGAUCAAAUAGAGCUUACCGUUCUGGAGAUAGGAUCAAUGAUGUACCUGAACUUAGCAUUAUUGAAGUGCCUGAACAUAGGAUCUCCAAACACGUUUUUUGGAUUUUAGUUUAUUAUUUUACUUCUAACUUGUGAUACCUUUUUGUUUUUCUCAUUCUCCAUAUGUGACUUGCAGUGAUCAAAUAGAGCUUACCGUUCUGGAGAUAGGAUCAAUGAUGUACCUGAACUUAGCAUUAUUGAAGUGCCUGAACAUAGGAUCAGUUGAUUGUCUAAUGACAUUCUUAUAUUCAUUCCAUCUUUGCGAGCACUUAAGGAAGCUUCAAGAGUGCUAACUUAAAUAUUUCAAAUUUGCUUGCAAUUGGCAAUGAUUAUAAGACACAUUUUUCAAUUGCAAAUUUAUUGUAAUUAUACUAUGACUAAGUUUUUUUUUUGGUUCAUAAUAUCUUGUUUUUUAGUUCUUUGCAUAAGAUAUGGAUGUUGAGAAUUUUACUGCAUUUUUAAAGUUUAAUAAAAAGUUUAUUUUUGUCAUUUUUCCCUUUACAACAUGACUUUUUUCAAGUAGUAGGAUGCUAUUGCCUUUUAUACUAGUUGAUUACUUAUAUAUUAAUCUAGCAGUUUUUAGUUUGCAAUUGAAAACUUGAAAAUUUCAGUUUUAUUACAUCUUGUAAAAGUUCUUUUCAAGAAAUAAGAAGGAUUUUUUAAUCAAAACAAUUUGCAUGUAAUAUAUAAUUAUUUAGAAUAAAAAUUAAUAAUGAUUGCCAAUAAAUUUUUGAAUUUUGAAAUUUAUUUUUUAAAAAAAAUGCAAUAGGUUUGAUAUAUUUCAAGAAAAAUGUAGAGACCAAUCAUAGUAAGGUCAAUAAUGGUAGAAUUUAUUCUAAAUAAUUAUAAUAAUUAUCAAAGUUAUGCAAUCUUUAUUGUGCCUCUAUGAUUAAAAAAAAUUAAAAAUUUUAGCUCAUGUUGGAAACUAUAAACUAGAUCAAAAAUUUCCUUUCUUGUUAUCCUACGUGGCAAUCAGGAUAAUUAGGUGGCAAUAAUAACAUCAUUAUGGGAAUAAAGUUUGAAAGUGAAUCAUAUUGGGAAUAUUUUUUAGAAAGAGUGUUAUUUUAGCAAAAACUCGUUAUACAUUAAUAAGAAGUCAAUUGCUAGGUUGAAUUAGAUUUUUAUAGUGGUAAAAGAUUUCCUUGAGAAAAAUAAGGAACUAUUUAAAAUGUUGAAGUUCUUGAAAGUCAUUAACAAUUUAUUGAACAAAAAUGCACAAGGCAUAUAAAACAUAUGAGUAUUAAAUAAUAAAAUUGCAGAGCUUGGAAUACCUUGCUCACUUGCUAGCUGCCUUAAACCUGGAUAAUAGAGUAAUUAUGGUAGGAAAUUUUCUAUCUCAUAUUGUAAAUGCAGCAUUACGUGAUAUGAAUGAAUGAAAAUUUCUUUCUUUCAAAAAAAAAAAAAAUCAUCCAUCAGAGAGUACAAAACUUGAUAUUUAUGUCAUUAGUUCUCGAGUUAUGUCUUGUCUCUUUGAUGUUAAUAUUAAUUAUAGCUUCAAAUUACAAGUUUUAGAAAAGAUUGAAUCUUUUUCCCCGGGAGGGAAAGUGAUUUAUAUGGAAGGCAAAUAAUCCACGACUUUAAAUUUAUUGUUGUAAGUAAUAUUUAGAUAACUUUUGCUCCUAGCAAUCAUUCAAAUUUCUGUCAAUAAACAACUCUUGUCCAUUGAAAACUAAACAUCCUUUCUCAACAUCAUAAAAAUCAACUAUAGCUGUCAACAAUGUGGACAAAUGAUUAGGAGGAUCCACAAGCUUUAAUAAGUUCUUGAAUCCACGUCCAACUAAUCAUGGCUUUACCAAAUCAGGAACUUUCUUUGCGACAUUUGAAACAUUUUGUAUAAAAUCAAUAAGGUGUAAUACAUUCCUCCUACUACAAAAGUAAUUGAAAUCAAAUUAAAUAAAUAUAACUUAAAUAGAGGAAUAAAGACAUUUUAUAAAAUAAUCGCUUUUUGUUGAACAUAAAAAAAAAAUGAAAUGAAUAGCAACAUAUUACAUGGAUGUUAUAAAAUUAUUAAAUUAUUUAGGUGUAAUUUCAUAAACCUCCCCUGAGGUUUCUAAUAAUUUCUCUUAUUACCCUUAAAAUUUAAAAAAUAUAAUUUAUCUCCCCUAUUUUCAAAUUUUUGUAACAUUCUUAACCCAAUUCAAAUUUUAUGAUUAAAAUACUCAUUUUAAGAAAGAGCAAAAAUUUCUUUCCAACAAUGCCCUUUCAUUGCCUUAAUUUUUUUUAUUGUAAGUAUAAUAAUCAUACGUUAAAAAUCAGGACAAAACGUAUGAAGAUGUUCUUUUUGAAAGGAAACAUAUAAUAAUUGCAACCAUAAAUAAUAUGCUUUUUAAAGUAGAAACAAAUAAUAAAAUUUUAUUUAACAUGUUUUCAAAUGACAAAGUAAUUUUUUUUCAUUUAAGGUUUGUCUAUUUGGUACUCUAAAGUCACAUAGUAAGAAAUAAACCCGAUAUUAUUGUUAUUAUCUUUUGACAAAAAUGUAGAUUUCUUCUACAAAAGUGUUCCAAUUUAGAAGACUAGUUAUAAUUUAAAAACUUCAGUAUUUGUCCAGCCUUUAUUUAUCCAUAUGUUUACCACAUGCCCUUAGAUUAUCAAAUGACAAAAAUCUUUCUUUUUAUGUAACAUAUUUUGAUUGAAUUUAAUAAAUUUUACGAAUUGUUUAGAAUCUUUAAUUUUAUUUAUUUGAAUUAAUGGCUUGAAAAUUUAGAAAAGGGAAAAAAAUACAUUUAGAAUUUAUUUGAGAUGUUUAGAAGAUGAAAAAAAUUAUUUUUCAUAUCUUUACAAUAUUUCAAAUAGUUUUUACAUUCUUUGUUAAUUAUUUAUGAUUUUUCAAUUUAAAAUUUUGUCUCCAUAUUAUAGAUAAGAUUUGUUAAAGCAUUUCUCAACUCUAAACCUAUAAUUUUUUACUAAAAAAUACAUCCAUAAAGUUUUCAAACAUAAAAGGAUUUUAAAUUGAUUUUGUCAUUACAGCUAAGGGAUCACAAUAAAGGGCAACUUUGGAAUGAAAUAACUUUCUCUUGAAGAAUUGGAUUGAGAAUGUUACAAAAAUUUGAAAGUAAGAGGGUAAGUGAUAUUUUUAAAAUUUUAAAAAUGUUAAGUGAAACCAUCCAAAACCUCAUAGGAGAUUUCUGAAAUUAUCCCAAUUAUUUACCAUGAAUUACAACUUGUUUAAAAGGAUGGAGUGUUAUUUGUCCCUUGGGUUAUAAGACUGCAUUCUCCUCAUGAAUUCAUAAGCAAAGGAACAACUUGAUUUGCCCUAAUUAAUAGCAAUUAUUAUUUCUUGCUUCUGUCCUACAAUAGUUAGACAAAAAAAAAAAAAAAACCACUUACCAGCUUAACAAUAUGCUGGUAACUAGGGAGGGACAGCCCGCGCGACGCGUGGGAAUUUGGUGCUUGUGAUUCAAGAUAAUUAAUAAUUAUUGUUUAAUAUUUUGUAAUAUAGGAACUGAAGUAUGAUGAUUUUAUCAUGUGAUUUUAAUAGAAAAAUCAUAAGUUACAUAGUGAGUCAAUAAAAAUAAUGUGCAAUGAGACAUCCUUAUCGUUAUACUAUAUAAGAAUCCGUUGUGAUCAAAGGUUAUGUUUGAAUUUCAACUGCAAAGAUAAGGGUAGUUUGAAAAUGUAAGAAUGUUUGAAGUGCGAUUGAAAAGUAUCUAAAGGUCUCCUCAAAAACUUAUCCAAGAUGAUAAAACAUUUUAAAGUAUCAAUUGGACCCUUCAUCUCUCGAAUCUAUAUAUGUUUCGUGAAAGAUCCCUCAAGCAAUGCUUCUGAUUUCUCUCUCGACUUAAACUCAAUUUGAAUUAUCAAGUCAAGUUUAUCCAUCAAUCACUUUGCGUCCAAUCUAAUCUAAAAUAAUUUUAUUUUUGACAAACUAUUUAUAUAAUUGGUGGGUAUAAUACGACUUAAUCACAUGUUUCUUACAGAGAUAAUAAUGCCAAAAAAUAAUAGAUAGAUAAGAAACUUAAGUGGUCUUUUUCAAAGUUUUGUAGAAACUAUUCAGAUUUGGUGUUUUUUGCUAGGGGCAUUUCUUUAUAAUCUUAUAAAUAAGUUCAAAUCUGCAUAAUUGUUAAAGAUCUGAAUUGAAACUAUCUUGAUUAUAAAAAAUUGGUGCAAAUAAUAUUUUCUAAAUUUGAAAUUGUAGAAAAUGGUAACUAAAAUCAAGAAAUUCCUCAUAUGAAUUCGAAUUGCAAACUAUAGGUAGAAACUGCUUAAUGAUAUUUUCCAAUGUUUACUUGUAUAAGUAUUCAAUAUAACAUCUCUACUUAAUUGACUCGUUUGAACUAUGGAUAAUAGCUGCUUCAAUCAAAUCAAUAAACAUUAUUUAUCAUUGUACAACAUACAAUUAUGAGUAAAUGAAUUAAUACAAUGCAAUCAAAAUGGUGCUGUAGCUAAAGCAUUUAAACUCAUCAAGUUCCACUACAAAUUCUUUUAGAUAGCAUAAAAAAACAAAUUUUUUGUAUUUGAAACUAUAUAAAUGGUAUAAUACAAGAACGAGAUCAUAACAUGGAAAGCAAAUAGAGUGUAAAUGACAUCUUAGUACUAUGUAGCAUGAUUAAUUUUCUUUUUUAGUUUCAAUGAAGUACAAAAUUCUAAGUUAAUAAAUUUUACAAUCAUAAAAUUCCCAAUUAAAAUAAACACAAGCUGAAUUCCAAAUCAUAUUACAUGAAAAAAUAACUACUUGAACCAUAACUGCUAGAAUGUAGUCAAAAGAUCCCUGGAGUCAAGAAUAAUAGGAGAAAGUUCAUGAGAAAUAAGGUUAUUUGACUUAAAUAAAGAGAUAAUACCUUGGCUGAGGAGGAGAAGAUGAUAAAAUUGCUUUUCUGAUUAUUUUAGAAAGUGACAACAUUAUCUCAAAUUGUACUUUGACCAGAGACAGAAUCUCUGGGAUCUACUAAGAAAAACAAUACAAUUAGUCAGUUUUUGAAAUUAGAAGUAUCAAAAGGCAAACUAUAUGGAGUUCUUGAAUAAACCAAUCAUCAGAAAAAAAAAACUACAAUCGAAGAAGACAAACCCAAAUAACUCACCUCAAUUUAAAGGAAAAGCUAUAAAUUCCACCAAAUAUUUAAUAGCCAUAAUAAAAUCAAAGAGGUGAAACCGAAAAAAGAAAGGGUAUCGGCUAAACAUGGGACAUAAAUAUGAUAAUUGAUUGUUCAGAUAAUAAUUAAGUUAAUUAAUUGUAAUUAAAAUCCAAUUAUGUAACAUCCAAUUAAUUCCUUAACAGAUGAGAAAGGUUUUAGGAAAUUGGAAGGCUUGGAUGUUAGUAUAACAAAUGAUUAAAAGGACUUUUAUGUAAUUUUAUCAAAAUACAAGCUUUAUUCAUUUGUACUUGAUACUCAAUUUGGUACCAAACAUUGUAACAUACCAAACCUACCCCUAACCUUAAAUGUCUGAAAGGUCAUAUAAGUAAUUAUAGUGAAAUUAAAGUUAUAAUGACUUGUACUCAAUGUUCCAAUAACUCUUCAAACACUCUCACAUUCCCAAAAUAGCCUCAUCCCUACGGUUGAAAUCUAGUUCUAAACUCGUUUUUAUAUAGUAUAAGGAUUCGCUCCUUUUGUCCUACAAAUUGUUAGAACAAAAAAAAAAAAAAACCACUUGCCAAAUUAUGAUAUCUUGAUAGUAGCAAUGAUUGAAAUCGAAUCCAUCUAGUUUUUUCUACCAAAAAAAAAAUGCUUAACAAGUUCGUGGGUUUUUUUUUUCUUUUAGGAAAAAGGCUUAACAAGUCCGUCGGUAGGUCCAACAAAUUAUAGGGAGUUGAACCAGAUAAAAAGAUGAGCAGGGGAUUCAUAGCUUCCCCACCACCACCAUCAGUGGUGGUAUCGCCACCUCGUAUUCCAUCGAAGCCCCUCCAACGAUGUGGCACUUACCAAUCAUGGAGUUACUCAUCUAAAUCUGUUCAUUCCCUCUUCUUCUGGGAUCUCAAGCUUAGUAAAAGCGGGUCAGAAAAGCCUUCAAGAAUCAGCUUCUUGAGAUGCAACAGUAGCACUGGCCCUGGUGGUCCUCCUGGUCCAGGUAUCACUUUUCAUCUAUAAUUGCCGCAUAUUCACGCUUAAUUGUUGAUUUGGUUUUGUGGGUUUUCGGUAAGAAGAAGAAUACUUGUUUCAGUUGAGUUGCUAUUUUGUGUUCAUUGGUUUCAAAGGGUUUAUAUUUUUGCGCAUUUUGGUUUCGGGAUGAGUGUUAGGUGAAGGACUGUAAUUUGCUGCUUUAAGCAGCUUAUCUUUCUUCAAGAUAAUUGCAUUUCUUGAAAUUCAUUGAAAUGUUUUAGCCUGCUAAAAGUUGGAAGUCUUAGAGCUGAAUAAGUGUGGAUGAUGGUUAUUCCCUGAACUUUGAACGAAUGCAUAAAACAUUAGUCUCACAAUUGUUUUAUCUGCUUCCAAAGAACGGUAAAAAAAGAGUAUGAGAUACUUACCAGAAAGGGAUCGCUAAGAGGGUGUAAUUUGCAGCAGAUUAUUAUUCAGGGCAUCAAUCUUGAAACCUACUAAUUACUGUACAAUGUACAAGACAAAAAUUGCGCGCUCUUAAUAAAUAUCUCCCUGGCUUUCCACUAGCUAGUACCAUCUCAAUUCUCGAGUCUGCUUCUUAAAAGGAUAGUUGGAAAAAUUGCCUCUUGAAAUGCUGUCUGAUGGAGUUUGUGUUAAUUCUCCUUUCCAAAAUCAUUGAGAUACUCCAUAGUUUCUGUGAGCAUUAUCACAACGGGACAACAGGUUAAAUAGGUUGAGGGACUUUGUUGUUCUUUACUGUUCUUGUCCUAGGUUUUCACUCCAACUAUAUAUACUAGCUGACUAUUAGAACUUCAGAUUUCUAAAUGCUGUUAGCUCUACUCUGAAUAGUUUUGUUUUUAAAGGCCUAGGAAUUUAUCUAUGUGCAAAAUUAGGACAGAAGAUUGUCUUUUCCUUUGUUGUCACAUUUUCAGGAUGGAUAUGUAGGAUAGUUUGUUUAGUUCUUGAUAAGGGGUGGGUUUGCUAAGCAGUAAUUUGAACAUCAUGGAAAUCAAUUUUGAAUGAUUUGUAAGAAUGAGUUUGGAAAGAUUGUAAAGCUUGGGCUUUAUGUGCCACGCAUGACGAAGAUAGGAAUUGCAACAGUUUCUUCUUCUAAACCGAUUUGCUUGGUUGUAUGUUCCUUUUCCCAACUUCAGGACAAUUGUUUUCUGCUUUGUCUUGAAAUGUCUUUCAUUCUGGUUACCAUUGCAUACAGAAAUUUGAUCUUGUCUGUUUUCUUAAUUUUCUUUUUGGUUCUUAAUGGAUUAUUUUUCCCCUGAUAUGCAUCCAUAUUUGCUCAUGUGAAAUGUUGUUGAUCUGAAAAAUGGGGAAAAAAAUAAAAGAACAAAGCUCAGACAUGGAAUUUCUUAUAACCUAGCGAAUUUCUAACGCAUCAAUGUCCUAGAUGAAAGUAAUAGAUUGAUUGUUGUUUCUUUGCUUUCUUUUGUUGUUAAUUGCGAUGUGAUAUCAACUCCAUCAUUAUCUUUCUAUGUCGUUCUACUAGAUGCUCUGUCUGUGUGUCUUAUACAUUGUGGUAAUGCCUUGCAGAAAUUUAUAAUGCAAUUCAGCCUGAGAAAAUGCUUUGACAUCCCCCCCCCGCUUCUCCCUCCCCCUUUUCCAGCUGGCAAAGAAUUUUUCUUGGUUUUGAGAUCUCUUCCUUUGCCAUGAGUUGAAGGUGGUUCAUGCUAAACAAAUUACAAGUUGAAGAUAGUCAUACUUCUGAGUCAAAGACCUUUUUCCCUGCUGCAACAAUGACUUGAAACUGCUUAAUUUGGCAGGUGAUAAUGACAGCAAAACCAUCCUUGAUGCAUUUUUCCUUGGGAAGGCUCUAGCAGAGUCAGUUAAUGAGCGUAUAGAGUCUGCUGUUGGUGAAUUUCUGAGUGCCGUUGGCAGAUUGCAAGCGGAGCAACAAAAGCAGGUUCAGGACUUCCAGGUACAAUGUUGUUUACAUCAGACUUAGCAUAAUAGUUUUAAAAGCAUUAUGUUUUUGAUAUCUCUUGUUAUUCUCGGGCUGGCAAUAGAACUUUACAAUGAACAGUUUUCUCUGUAGAAUGCACAUGUAGUAUAUAUAUAAAUUGUUGUCUUCAUCUUUCUUGACAAUGUUUAUGGGAAAUGGUAGCAGGAACCUCCUGGCUAAGUACAUGGAGCUCCACAAGUAAAAGUAUAUGGUAUUUUUCCUUAGACUCAUAGGUGGCACAAAGAGUAUAGGAAUGAUCUUUAUGUGCAUGGGAAAAACAUAAACAUUUAUACAGUACUGAACUUGUUCAAAAGGGCACAAUCUGAACAUAAUUCUAUCAUGCUUGAGGGUCAUUCUCACCUUACUGUGUGUUAAAUUGGUCUUGAGUAAUCUUGGUAAACUGAAUUGAGCAAAUAAUAUCAAUAGCUACUCCAGUAGAUGUUGCAACCUGCGCUUAAGAAUGUUUUGAGAUUUUUACUGAGUCAUACCUUCUGUUAUCUCCUACUAAUGGAGUUGGCUCUCUUUUUAAUCAAAGGUGCCACUUCAUAUAAAAUAGAGAAGAUACUUGAGCAAUUGAGCUUUCAACAUAUCUGACGUUUCUCUCCAACUGUUAACCAAGUUUGUACUAGAAUUGCCAUAUAGACUGGUGUAAAAGAUAGAUUGCCUCCUGUUAUCUGGCAACAGCUUUUCAAGGAACAUAAACAAAUCAAUAAAGAGGAGAGCCAUUGUUGAAGUCCACUGCAUUGCUUUUUCCGUUGCUUUUCUUGUUAUUUCAUACUGAGGAAAGUUGUUGACUGCCCAUAUAGUCUUCUUAAUUCUCUGUUUAAGUUGAUAAUGCUGUAUAGUGAUUGGACAGUUAGUGUAGCCAGUUGAAAUACUCAUGCCAUCAGCUAACUAAACAACUUUACAUGCAAGACCAAGUGCUAUUGACUACAGUAGCCUCCGUAAUAUACCAAAAUGCUGUGACAGAAGCCCCAGCUGGAUAUAAUUGUAAUCUUUUCUGUGUCUUCUAUUUAUCUGGAUGCCUUUACAUCAGUCUGGUGGAGGUGAUUUGAAUUAAUUUUGAUGACAUUACCUUCUCUUGAUAACAUAGGCAAGAACCAUUGGAUGAACAAUGCGGUUGCAACAAUAGAAGUCCCAAUGACCCAAUAGUCGUGUGCAAGUUUUAUUUUGACAUGUAGUUUACUCCAAUAUAGGCAACUCUAGGACAGUGUCAAAUGCCGCCUCUCUUUUCUGCUCUGGUAAUUAACAGAAACACUACCGUUUUGCUAAUCAAAGACUUGCAAGAAUGUAUAGUGUAGAAGCUAAGGAGAACCUGGAAGUUAAUGGAUGUAUGAUACUUGCAAGAUUUUUGAAGGGAAACUGUUAGGUGAUCUAAAUUGGGACCAGCCCCAAGAAUGAGAACUGUAUGAAGUUGCCAGCAUGAUUAGUUGACUAUAAACACUUUGCAGAAUGCAAGCUUACUUAUCAAGAUUUCAAAGUGACUGCCUAAACCAUUUAUUACAAGUUUUUUUUUCUUCACUCCAUUGAUAUUGGUACUCUUACGAAAUUGUCUUCUGGAAAAUGGUUCUGAAGCAAUUUGAUGGUCUUGCAGGAGAAGUAUUAGAAAGAGCUAAAAAGGCCAAAGAGAGAGCUGCGCGUGAGGCUAUGGAAGCACAAGGAAUUAUUCCCAAAUCGACAUCAACAAAUAUACCACCAGUAACUAAUGGUGUUGCUUCAGAAAUCACACAAUCUGCUGUCAAUUCUGUAACUCCUGCAGACAAAACUGUGCAAUCAAAUACAAGUCCGCGACCUACAAACGAUGAUCCUGUUUUAGGGCAUCAAAUGAGGACUGAUUGCCUAUAUGUAUCUAUAAAUGUUUUAAUUGUUAACUUAUUUUGAAAAUCUUCAUCUGUUAUCUACUGUGCCUGAAAAGUUGUAGAAGAUAUUUUAGCCUUUGUUCAUCCGUUCUAGUAUAAUACAUUGGAUGAUCCUAAAAAACAUAAUUGCAAGGAAUUAUCUACACAAAGAAUACUUUGAUAUAAACUUUGACUGCAUUUCAAGUGAAAAAGGAAGAUUCCAAACCUUAUAAGAGAGAGAAAAGGGACGAUUGGAGUUGAACAAGGAAUGUCAUAAAUAUAAUUACCUAAGGUACCUUAUCAAGCGGUUCUGGAAACAAUUGAAGAACUACUUUCUUUUGCAUAUUCCCACUGUAAUUUGAACUAACGAUAGAAAUAACACAAUAAUAGGUUGGUAAUUAGGCCAUAACCAUUUCUAAUGCAUCAUCUUCUAUGACACAUCCAAUCAUGACUCAAUCAGCCCAAUGUCAACCUUAACAGUACUGGUUUGUGGUUUUGGUUGUUUUUUCCCCACUGAUCAUCAAAGCCAUUUAAUUGCAACAGAAGUUUUGUUCUCAAUGACCACCUGAUGGCAAAUUCCAUAAAAGCAAACAAACUUUGCUAAUGGACAACUAUACCGAAUCCGUGGUCGGCCAGCAAUAAACUGCUUUCACAUAUCCUUAUUCUCCACUCAGUGUAUGUUAUACUCCAUGACUCAUUAAGCAUCCUCCAGAAGCUAACUUCAAUUUAUAAACUUGUGAAUAAUUGUUUUCUAUUUGCAACUUGCACUUUGCCCUACUGGAUGAGAAUCUUUUGGCUUUUUUUUUUUUUGAGGAAAUGCAAUAAUCAGAGUCAAAAUUAAUAUAUAAACUAGGUAAAGCAAAAUAUGAGACUAAUGAGAACUCUUUAGUUGUGUAUUUUAAGUGCACAAGAUUUAAAAAAAAAAUUGAUAACAAUUCUUUUAUUAUGUGCUUUAAAGAUACAAGAUAAGAAAUGUUUCAGUGCCACUUUUAGGGAGAGGGUAAACAUUUUUGCUAAAGUGUGUACUCAUAUUUUAUGUUUUGGAUGAUAAUUUUAGAAAUUUGAUAGUGCAUCCACCUUUUUUUUUUUUUUUGGUGUACUUGUCUUGUGCCCAUAGGACACUAAAUAAGAAACACAAUUAAUAAAGUUCCUUAUCUCAACUAAAAAAAGGAACUUUCAUGACAGUCAAAAGAACAAAUCGUGUAUUGAAAUCACAUAUGCAUCUACUCCUUGAUCUUAGCCAAAAUGCUGAGAAAGUCCGUUGACACAAAAAUGUCAACCAAUUUCUGCAAGAAAGUCCUAGUUGUUUAUUUAGUUCAUUAUUCUUGAGUUGAACUUUUAAUGAGUUUAAUGCUUCAUGACCAAGGUACUAAAAUUUAGAACUAGCUUCUAUUUUGUAUGGCAAGGAAUGCUUAACUGGGGUGGGGUUUACAUAUUAGCUUGCACUCUUUUCAUAACUGCUCUUUAUAUUAGAAGAAGUGUGAGAUGUGAUAAUACUUGUAUCAUGGGAUACUUCAAACGGUUUCCUUCUUGUAUUGGUAAGAACUUUAGGGUGUAAAAGAUCUAAAUCAAAGAUUAAUAUUAUAUAAUGAGCGAAGAUGUAAGAACAUCAUUUGUGUAAAUUGAAACUAGUCUGACAAUUAAUUGAAUAGGAAAAAUUCUUGGGUAUUUAUGUUUGUUUUUGCAGCAGCAAAAUAUUAUAUAUUUGAUAUACAAAUGAAUGGAAAUCUUUGAGGAGGCACGUAUGUUUGAUUUAGUUUUUCAACCUUAACACUAGCAUACAAGUUCAAACUUAGAUUGCAUUCCAUGCAAAUACUUAAACUUUUCUUUUCUGCCUCACAAACAAUUGAAAGAACUUAAUUUUCUCUUCCUAAUAGAUUGUAUAAAAGUUUCUUCUCUUCUCAUUAACAGUUUUUUUUUUUUCCUUUUUUAAUUUCCCUUUCUUAAGGUUGAAAACUAGGCUUCAAAACCAACACCUUGUGAUUCCAAAUUCUUUAUAAAUAACUUUUCCUCCUAUUCUUCUCUCAAACCUUUUCAUUUCCCUGUUUUUCCUUGUAAGGUUUAGGAGUCUCUCCUUUAAAUUAACAAAAAAAAAAAAAAAAAAAUCCCCUUAAUCCUCAAUUUCUGGGUUUUUGCAAUCAAAAGCAUAGAUACCCUUUUUUCAUUAUAUCUUCAAUGUACAUCAUGUCAUUCUCCCCAAGAAGGCAUAAUUUGGGAGCAUUCUCCCAGCAUAGAUACCGCUGUUACUAAUAGUGGAUUCUCAGUAUCAGCAUUCUCAACAUAAAAUCAUUACUAUGAAGGCCAUACAUUUAUUGUAGUAGCAUUAAUUCUCCAUGCACCUUACCAAUUAAUGUUUUUGCAAAACUUGAAUAAGUAAGUUUAUAAUGGAUUUUUUACCUUUAUACCACAUAAUGUAAUUUGCAUACUAUAAGAAAAAAGUGAAUUGAUUUGGGAGGUUGAUAAGAAAACAAUUAAAUGAUUAUAAAGAUUAAAGAUUAUUGCCUUCAAAAUUCAAUAAAGCAUAGAAACUUAAGAUGAUGGCUUAGAAUCUCUUGGUGGUCAAAAAUUUCAAGGGUGAAAAUUGAAUAUAUAAUAAAGAAGAGUGCAAUAUACUCAGAAACUCAGUAGAGUAACUUCCAAUAUACACGUAAUCUUACUGUAAACGCUUUCAUGACACUUGAGAAUAUUUAGAUGUGGCGUACAGGAAGCUUAAGCCCUCGAUGCCUGUGUAAAGUGCCAAAAUAAUUCUUCAAAUGUGCCGUUAUGAUCGGUGACAAAAAACCCUAAUUUAUUAACUAAGAAACGUGGAAAACAUCAAAACAGCACAAUUAGUCAAACAUAUUCAACACCUAGAUUUGUGCUAGUUUUCAUGAUUUUCCACCUUAGAAUAACCCUUCAUGUUACGUAAACCAACUCUAUAUAUAGGUCCAUGUACCAUUUAUAACCAAGAAAAUACGAGCUCAUUCCUGUUUCAUAGCGUAUAUAAUUUAUAUAUAGAAGCAAGCAAUAUUGUUGAAGAUGGAGAGAGGUGGGGCUUUGCUCUUCUCUCUUCUAGCUCUAGCAAUGAGCUUGCACAUCGGAUAUUUGCGCGCCGCCGUGACACUACCACCGGAGGACCGUCCGCUAACUCGCCAUUUUUAUAAGAAACUGAAUACGUGUGCGAAUGUGGAGGCAUUUGUGAAGCACCAGGUGACUUUGUUCUGGAAUCAAGAUAAGAGCAUCACUGCUAAGCUUUUCAAAUUGCUCUAUGCAGACUGCAUGGUCAAUGUACGUACUAUCUUCUUCAUAGCUAAUAUUCCAUUAUAAUAGUUUUAUAUUUUUGGGCUAGGGGAAAUUCUUGGAACAAUGAUUUUGCUAAUUUCUUGAACUUGAAAUGAUAUUCUUUACUUGCAUUUAACGGACUUGAUAUAGUAUUAGAUGUGCGUCUUUCCGGUUAGAAGCUCGACUAUUGUGACUUGACCUUUACUCUUAUGAGAAUCACGUUUGACAAAUGUUGUAAUCACCAAAUCCCUCUUGUUAAAGGGAAAUAUUGUAGGUAAAUUGUAUGGUUCAUGUGCUUAAAUAUGUUUCUUGUCUAAGUUGCUUUGAGCAAAAACCCUAAAUCUGUAAUAGCAUGGUUCAUGUGCUUAAAUGUGUUUCUUGUAUAUAAGUUGCUUCGAGCAAAAACUCUUAAUCUGUAAUAACACUGCCGAACUUGGAAUUAGAGGCUAGUUGGAACCGCAUUUGAGAGGCUACAGGCUCUUCAUAAAUCAUAUGAAUUGUCUUCUGGAUGAUUAGAUGUUAUCACACUAGCUAUUUUGGGACUUAUAGUAUACUUUUCACAUAUGUAUAAAGUCGUUAUUAUCUUCUACCAAAUUCCAAGAUCCUUGUCUCAUUUGUACUACAUAUAGAUUAUCACUAAAUAUUUCAUCCUCCAAAAUGUUUUUUUGAACCCCAUCCCAAAUCUAAAGAUGAUAAUCUUAGUUAGACGGUGGAAGUAGUUAAUCACUACGUUUGUGAAAUCUAAUCAUUCAAUGAUCAAGUUAUAAAAACUACGUUUUUCAAUAUGGUUGCUGCAAAUUGACUUUCAGAGGUAGAGCAACAAAAACAUACAUCUGUGGUGUUGGCUUUCACAGUUUUCCUCCACUAAUGUUCAAUUAUUUCAAAUAAGUUGGCAAAGAUAGUAACUUCAGCCCUAGAGGUGUUAGGCUCGAAUCUAACCACUACAAAUUGUAUUUGAUAAAAAAAGUUCAAUCUCACAUGCAAAAUGAUCAGAUUCCUAAGUUGUUUAUAAAUUUAGAGAAUUUUUCAAUUCCAACGAGUUGGUUAAUGUCAUUUGAAAGAAUGCUAUGCUUAGUCCUUAAAUGUUGCUGGUUCUGUGCUUGGAGAUGGCCAACGUUAUAUAUACUAGCAUUAUCCUGCUGGCAAGAAGACAUUUUCUCUGCUACUGUCACAUGAAGCGUGAAAUAUUCACGCAAAAUCUGGAGGGGUCAUAAACAUCAGAAUCGGCAUGCUAUCAAAUAGGGGAAAGUUUCAUCAUUGUUUAAUCUUUUAACUACACCCGCAACAAGAUUGACUACAAUAGGUUAUUGUUCAUAAUCUUACUAGGAUUACUGGCCAAAUUAGUCUGCCAAUUGAAUCCAAAUUCACUUAAUCAUUUCCAGGGAUUUUGAUCGACUUAAGAAAUGAAACCAAAAAACACAAUAGGGAAAAAUCUUAAUGGCUCUGACCACUGUUAAUUUCUUUUUAGUUAGUAAAGGUUUAGUUAUUUAGUUUUUAUUGUGUUCUUCAAAUGGUUAUAUAGGUUUCCAAAAACUGAUUAGUGCAUUGAUUUUCUGCAGGGUUGUGAUGGUUCAAUUCUCCUAGAUGGUCGAUAUGCAGAGAAAAAUGCACCGCAGAAUUCAGGGCUUGGAGAAAGAAUAUUCGAAAUCAUUGACAAAAUUAAGACUGUCCUCGAGAUCCGAUGUCCUGGAGCUGUCUCUUGUGCUGACAUCCUUAACCUUGCUGCUAGGGAUGCUGCUCAUCUGGUAAUUUCUACAUAUUCAAUUCAAAGAAAACUGAAAAACAAGUGUCUGAGCUCAUAGAAUUUGCCCUAUAUAAAUACUAUUUAUAUGCACUUUUGCUGCAAAGAAAACUGUACUUAUCUCACAUACACUUGAUAAGAAUUUAAAUUACAUCUGAUUAAUGCAAAAAAGAUCAAAUACACAAAAUAAAUUGGCUUUUAAGAUGACAGUACAGAUAAACAAAUUCACUUUUUGAAAACAAUCUCCAUUUAGACUAACUUUUUGUGAAAUGGUGCAAUAAACAGGCAGGUGCACCUUCGUAUCCUGUGUUCUUGGGGAGAAGGGAUGGACUAGAAUCAAAUGCUGCUUGGUAGACUACCCCUCACCUUCAAGUUCCUGGGACACAGUGGUGACCUAUGCCAAUUCUAAAGGUUUGGAUGAGCAAGACUUGGUUACACUCUUAGGUAAUGCUUUCUUGAUUUCUGAGUUCUGACAUGUUGAUAAAACUUAGGUCAAUGGGCAACUAAAUGGAUUUUGUUUCCUUCCGAUUGGUAUUCCAGGGGCACAUACAAUGGGAAGAACACAUUGCCAGUUCAUCAGGGAUCGCCUUUACAAUUUCAAGAGCACAGGUAAACCAGACCCCAGAAUGAAGAAGGUCAUUACUGAAAGAUCUGAGGCAGCAAUGCCCUCCCAAUACACAAAAAGGGAAAGAAGAUCCUCUUGUCUAUUUAAACCCUGAAAAUGGCCCGGGAUACAAGUUUACCAACAGCUACUACAAAAGGGUACAGUCCUAUCAAGCUGUUCUUGGAGUUGAUCAGCAGGUAUUGUGGGGUAACUACUCGCUGGUUGAUGCAUAUGCAAAAUAUUUCGAGCAAUUCCGCAGAGAAUUUGCUUUGUCAAUAAGCAGAAUGGGAGGCCUUAGAGUUUUGACUGGGAAGAAGGGGGAAAUACGGCUGAAUUGCCGUUUCACAAAUGGAAAUAAUCCUAGCAUCAAGUAGAGCUGAUUUAUCCUAAGUUUAUACAUGUUAUUUGUUAUUUUUGUACAAGUGUAUUAAACAAGAUGAAGAAGAACAUCCGAGCAAUAAAACAUUCAAGGUCCAAUGUUCCCUAAAAUAUAACGCUAUCAAGAAUUUCUAUGAUGAUAUGUUCUAGUAAAUCAUAGCAAACAAAGCCUCUACAAAUAUUUGUUGAUUUACUCUCAAAGAAUUGUUAAUAGACAGUCAACAGUAUCUAAAUAUGUAUCUUCAGCUAAUUUUUGAAAGCGGACGAACUAAAUCGAUUGCGUUGCUAAGCGUGUAGUAAUUGAAAUUAAUAGAAGUAACAAAGUUGAUUUAAAACCUAAAAGAACUGAUUGAAAACUCGAAAAUAAAUAUAAAGGAAGUGGACCUAAAUCUGACUUAUCAUAGAUUGUUAUUUGUCCUGCCUUGAUCAGCUCAUGGAUUUAAACUACUUGUGCAAUAGUGACUAUAUGGAAAGAAAUAAUUAAGGAAAUUGAUGAAAAUUUCUCAUAAUAAAACUCGCCAUCAGCUUCAACCAAAAAAAGAGGUAGACCCAUGAUUGCCUCAACAAUGUAGAUUUACACAAAUGACGAAAGAAAGUUCAAUAAAGUUGAGUCUAGUUCUAAUUGUAAUUUGUAGAAAAUCUAAAUGAGAGUUAAAUCCUAAAGGAACUAGACAGGUUCUUCAAAUAGUCAUUUUUCGUUGUUUUUGAGAAUUAUCUCUUUUUUACCUUGUCUCCAAGUAUUUAUAGUUGAGAUUUCUUGUAGUAAUGCUAUGAUGACUAACUGGUUCCAGAUGAUUUUCCUAUGUUUCUCUAUCUUCUAAGGUCCCCUACUCCACUAGAUUAGUCGCUAUUUUGCCAACCACAAUUUCACCAAAUUAGCCACUAUCUAAUCUAUGGUGUUGUAAACCUCGUCUCAUGACUCUAUCAUCAGCUAGCACUCUCAUGCCAAAAUCAGCUGUAUCACUAUCAUUGUCAUCAGUACCAGUAUGCUAUCGAUAACGACUUGUCGAUCACCACUAGUUAGGAUUACCCACCACUGAUGAAUGACAUCGAUAACAGCACUUAGAUCAGCCACAUAGUCGAUUCAUAUUGCACUAACAGCCAUCUCAUGGGCUCUUAAACAAGUCUCUUUAAGCUAGAUUUCACAUAGCUCCUAAGAGCACAAACCAUGUUUUGCACGUUAAGACUUGUUUGAUAAUCUAAUUCAAUAUUUAAACUUAAAUAUGUUUAGUCCUUAAUAUUCAACAUGUUUAAUAACAAAAAAUAGAAUAUUUAUAUUUGACAAAAUUAAAAUAUGAAAUCUGAAUUCAUUAAGUUAUUAAUUAUAAAUACUGAAAUCUUAACAUUUGAGUGCAUUUUGCAUUAAGUAAUAAGUAAUAGUUUAUCUUAUUUUUUAGUAAAUUUUGCCUACAUAAUUCAAACCCACUUAAUUAAUUAAGAUGAUAUAUUUUUGCUAUCAAACAUAUCUUAACAUGCUAAGAUCUCAUCCAUUAAGUAAAUAUUGAAUUGGAUUGUCAAACCAGGCCUAAGUCCCAUUUGGGGUUGCGGUGUUUUUGAUAAAAAAGUAAUUUUAGGUAUUAAAAGUAUUUUAAAGUGUUUUGGUAACAUCAUCCCAUAAAAUUAGGAGUGGAACUUUUGAUGUUAAAAGCACUUUUAGCAAAAGUUCAAAUUUGAUGCUUUUAGAGUAACUUUGUGAUUUAAAAAAUAAAAUAUCAAAUUUAAUCAUCUUAUCCUAUAUUAUGAACCAAAUAAAGAGAUAAAUACUUUAAAAAUUUUCAAUUACACAUUAUCCAAUAUAAUAAACACUUAUUGAAUUAUGUCUCCAAACAAUAAAUUUAAAAGUACUUAAGCAGUUGAUAAGUACUUUUAUCAAAAGUUCUACUAGAGAAGUACUCUUCAAUAAAAUAUUACAAUCCCAAAGGGCCCUAAGAUUUUAAAUUUUAGGCAAAACUUACUCUAAAAGUAACUGUCACUUAUUAUUUAAAACACAAUACACUCAAAUGUUAAGAUUCAUUACUUGAUUUGAUACUUUAAUAGAUUUAGAUUUCAGAUUUCAAUUUUAUCAAAAGCAGCCUAAAUCUCAUCUCAAGCUAGUUUCUGCCUAAGCUCCUCAUCAGCUUUCAUGCAUGUCCAUAACUACUGCUGAUGAGUGGCGGCUAAAUUUACUCAAACAAUGUGUGAAAGAAAGAAGAUUUUGGUUACUCCUAACUUGCGCCAGAAGAAUUCUUGGACAGCCUCAAUCCAUGCGACAGAAGAUUUUAGACUUAUUAUCCUGAACCGAAAGAUUAAGAGAAUCAAGGCUUCAUGAGUGAUCACAAUAACUAAACUGCAGCCAUUAGAAACAGAUAAAACUAGAGAAUGCAAAAGUUCUUGUGCCAUGUAUGCAUGCCAAGAGAUGAUUAAGAUAGUUUUUAUUUGCACUCGAUUUAUCUUUAGGAUUCUUAUACGCUGAAUUUUCAGAUAGCAACAGUUAAAUAUCGCAAAGUAUUAAGUUAAAAAAAAGUUGGAAUAAGUUAUAAAAUUUAAUGCAAUUCUCUAGAUUUCCUAAUCGAAUGUAUUGAUGGGUCUGGAUACCUCGGCCAUCUUGACUCAGGAGGUACCUUGGUUAUCCUGACCUCGAGAAAUACCUGGACAAGUUGGGUUUUGCCGUCCCCAUUUGGAUGACUUGUUUAUUUGAGCACUGUAAUCAGAUUGGAUUGAUAUGAUUAAUGAACAACAAACCACCUAUAAUUCAAUCCUACUUCUGAUAUAAUCGUUAUGUUUAUCUUACAGAUCAUGCUGCUAAUAGAUCUCAUUAUUCUAUUCCCAACUCUUUUAGUAUAAAUACAACCCUUGCUCACUCAAGAGGGGGCACUUCAACUUGGUCAAUACAACUCCUGACUAUUAUUGACUUAAGCAUUGGAAUGACCCCGAGGAUUUAGCCCAACCACUUCUUAUUUUAUAGUGAGAUCGUUUGGUGCUUGACCUCGCUCGAGUUGAACCUCGUGCACAAUGGGGGACGUGGCUGCUAUUGUUUUUGCUAGUGUAGCGCACUAUCGUAAAUAGGAGAGCGGAGAUUCUUAGAAAGAGCAAACUAUAGUCCGUUUGAUUUGUUCCUCUCUGAAAAAUUACAUGGUUAUAAACCCAGGUCGAACCGGCUGAUUAGACCAAAAAACCACCAAUUGGACUGUUUCCGGAUAUAAAUUAUGUAUAAUACAAUAUAUAUUAUACAUUUAUAUAAAUGUACAUUUAUACAUAAUAUAUAUAUUAAUGUAUAUUUAUAAUAUACAUUUAUAUUAUGUAUUAUAUAUAUAAUAUAAUACAUUUAUCAUACAUUUAUACAAAUUAAUAUACAUAAUAUUAAUUUUACAUUUAUACAUAAUAUUAAUACAUUUGUACAUUUAUAUUAAUUAUAUUAAUACAUUUAUGCAUAAUAUUAAUAUAAUUAUAAUUUAUACAUUUAUAUAAUAUUCAUUUAUAAUUUAUACAUUUAUAAUAAUAUACACUUAUACAUUUAUAAAUAUAUUUAUAUUAUGUAUUAUAUAUAAUAUAAUACAUUUAUAUAUUUUUAUAUAAAUACAUAAAUAUAUUUAUUUAUAAAUGUAUUAUAAAUACAUAAAUGUAUAUUUAUAUAAAAAUAUAAAAAUUAUAAUUUAUAAUUUAUACAUUUAUAUAAUAUUCAUUUAUAAUUUAUACAUUUACAAUAAUAUACACUUAUACAUUUAUAAAUAUAUUUAUAUUAUGUAUUAUAUAUAGUAUAAUACUUUUAUAAUACAUUUAUAUAUUUUUAAAUAUAUAAAUAUAUUUAUUUAUAAAUAUUUAUAAAUAUAUUAUAAAUGCAUAAAUGUAUAUAAAAAUAAAAAUUAUAAAUUAUAAAUUAUAAAAAUACCCAAAAAUAUGUUUUAAAAAUACCUCUAAAAAUAAUCCAAAAAACAUCUACAGUAAAAGUUUUUCAUAUAAUUUUUGAAAAACAAUCCCAAAAACAACUAAUCCAAAUGGACUUGUAUUUCAAAAACGAAAUGCUACAGUACUGUUUUUGAAAAACAACCCAAAAAACAGCUAAUCCAAACGGAGCCCGUAACUGUUAGAAUCUUCUAGCGCAUGAAAAUUAAAUCUCUUUAUUGUUUUGGGACACAUACCACACCAUUCAAUCUUUGUUUCUUUAAAAUACGUGUCACACCAUCCAAAAAACAUAAUCGAAAUCUAAAAAUCAUCAGAAUGAUAUCAAUCAUUAGAGGUAUGAAAAAGUCUCCACCGAUUCACGUCUACAAUCAGCAUUGGACUCCACCUUUUUCUUAACCCUUGAAUCACCUAUCUAGAUUCACCGUCAAGUAUCUUCAUGUUUUUUGACUUUCCAUUCUUCACUGUUGAAAAUAUGUGAUCUGAUAUUAUGGAAAGAUUUGAUAUUGUAAAUAUUAAAAAAGAUUAUAUUUGAUUGAUUACAGUAUCAUAUAUUAAUUAGGUAAUAGAUUGAUUUAGAUUAGCAUGAUUUUAGGAUCUAAAUUAGGUUACACUUGUGUAUAUAUAUUUGUAUAUUGUGUAGUCCAAAGAUAUGAAGAAAAAAAAUUCUCUCCCUUUUUUCUUAAUUUUCAUGGUAUCAGAGUUUCAAACUCUGUUAUCAGUUUGUCUUUUGACGUGACCCUAUUGAGUCACUUUUAGGUCUUUUUUGUAUGAAUUAUAACAACAGAUAUGAAAGGUAUUAGUAGAGAGAUGAAAAUAGUAAUUUCUAAUGUUAUUCCUACAACAUCAAAAAUUACUGAACACAAAUUGAGUGAAAAAAAAUUUUUGGAUUGGAGUAAAACUGUUCGGAUAUAUCUGCGCAGCAUCGAUAGAGAUGAUCAUCUCACUGAUGACCCACCCGUUGAUGGCGAAGAAAACAAGGUUUGGCUAAGGGAAGAUGCAAAGCUAUUUUUGCAGAUCCGAAACUCUAUUGAUAAUGAGAUAGGCAGUCUCAUCAAUCAUUGUGAGUUUUUUAAAGAUCUUAUGAAUUAUUUGGCUUUCUUGUAUUCUGGUAAGGGUAAUUUCAAUCAUAUAUAUAAUAUUUGCAAGGAAUUUUACCGUCCGAAAAAACAGCAGAGAUCCCUUACAGAAUAUUUUAUGAAUUUUAAACGUGUAUGAGGAGUUGAAUUCUCUCAUUCCUUUUAGUACUAAUGUAAAAACUCAACAAUCUCAACGGAAACAAAUGGUUGUAAUGAGUUUUCUUGCAGGAUUACCAAUUGAGUUCGAUGCUGCUCGAACAUAAAUUCUCUCUAACUCAAAGAUUGUUUCCCUCCAUGAAACUUUCACACGAAUGUUGAGAACCGAGAGAUCUUUAUCUACUUCCAAUGUUACUAGUGUUCUCGUGAGUCGGAGUGGAGCUGGUCGAGGAAAUAAUGGUAAAAACAGUGACAAAAAUGGGACUGAUGGGAUUACUGGUCACGGACAAUACAACUCAAAUCAGCGAGUUUGUUAUCACUGUAAGAAACCAAGCCAUACCAUACGUACGUGUUGGGACCUUCAUGGUAGACCUCAACAGCAGCCCCCGUUUGCAAAUUUCGCAACCCAGGAAAACAAUUAUGUGCCUUCUGACAAAUCCAUACUCAUCUCUGCAGAUGAGUUUGCCCGCUUUACUGAGUUCCAGGCCUCACAAAAAUCUACUAACCCAUCUUCUAGUACCAAUUCUUCUUCUAUUGAUCACUCAAGUAAACCUACUACAUGUCUUGUGUCAUCUUCUAACAAAUGGGUCAUCGAUUCCGGUACAACAGAUCAUAUGAUCGGUAAUAAAGGUAUCCUCUCCUCUUUUAAUCCUAACAAAGAUCAUUUGAAUGUUACUUUGAUUGAUGGGUCAUGUGCUUCAGUUGUGGGUUCUGGUAUAGCAAUUCCUAUGUCAUCUAUCCCCUUAUAUUCAGUCUUAUGUUUACCUAAUUUUUCGUUUAAUCUACUUUCAGUCAGUAUAAUUACAAAAGCUCUCAAAUGCUCUGUCUCAUUCUUUCCUGAAUAUUGUGUUUUUCAGGAUCUUAUGACUGGGAAGAUUAUUGGUAAAGGACGUGAAUCUGUCGGCCUGUAUACACUUGAAACCCCUUUAUCGAAACUGCCGAAACCUGUUGCAUGUUCCUCCACCUUGACUCCGUUUGAAAUUCACUGUCAUUUGGGUCAUCAAUCUCUACCCACCUUGAAAAAGUUAUGUCCAAAUUUUCAGAAUUUAUCCCAUUUAGAUUGUGAGUCAUGUCAAUUUGUCAAGCAUCAUCGUUUGCCUUAUUUGCCUUGAGUCAAUAAACGGGCUUCAUCCCCCUUUGAAUUAGUGCACUCUGAUAUAUGGAGCCCUUGUCCAAUAGUAUCUAAGUCUGAUUUUAAGUAUUUUGUCACCUUUGUUGAUGACUACUCUCGUGUUACUUGAUUAUAUUUAAUGAGAAGUCGGUCAAAUUUAUUUAAUAUCUUUUGUUCCUUUUGUUCUAAAAUAAAAGCACAAUUCAAUGUGCAUGUACGCAUUUUGCGAAGUGAUAAUGCAAAAGAGUACUUUUCUAAACCCUUUAAUUCAUAUAUGUCAGAAAAUGGAAUCCUUCACCAAUAUUCAUGUCCUAACACACCACCACAAAAUGGUGUUAUUGAAAGAAAAAAUAGGCACUUAUUAGAAAUUGCUAGAGCCCUUCUAUUUCACAGGAAGGUUCCUGAGCAAUUUUGGGCAGAUGCGAUUUCAACAGCCUGUUUCUUAAUUAAUCGCAUGCCAUCUUCUGUGCUUGCUAGUGAGAUUCCUUAUUCAAUUUUGUUUCCAACCCAAUCUUUAUUCCCCAUUGAGCCACGCAUAUUUGGGUGUAGUUUUGUUCGUGAUACCCGUCCUCAAGUGUCUAAAUUAGAUCCCAAAUCUCUCAAGUGUGUUUUUGGGUUAUUCACGUCUUCAAAAAGGGUAUAAAUGUUAUUCUCCAAGUUUAGAUCGUUAUUUAGUCUCUGCUGAUGUUACAUUUUUUGAGGCGCAUCUAUUUUUUCUUGAGUCUAAUGUCUAUAGUAGUCAGAGGAAAGGAGAUGAUAUUCUAGUCUACACUGUUACAACAACUGUUCUUAUAAGACAACCGAUCACUCAAGUGUAUUCUCGUCGUCCUCAACACAUAGACUCACAUCCUCCAUUACAUUCUCUGUCUACAGAUCCGAGUCUUGAUCCACCGCUUCUUCAGUCUCUAGAUUCCAGUCUUGAUUUGCCUAUUGUUUUAAGAAAAGGUAAAAGACAGUGCACUUACCUAGUUUCAUCAUUUGCUUCAUAUGAUCAUUUGUCUCCCUCCUUGCGUUAUUUUACUACUUCCUUAGAUUCAAUAUCUCUUCCUCAACGCUUAUCUAAGGCUUCAGAACAUCCUGGUUGGCGGGCUGCUAUGGAGGAAGAAAUGAUGGCCCUAGAUAAUAAUGGUACCUGAGAUUUGGUUCAUCUACCAACAGGUAAGAAACCUAUUAGUUGUAAAUGGGUGUUUACCGUAAAAGUCAAUCCUGAUGGUUCUGUUGCUCGCCUCAAAGCUUGUCUUGUUGCAAAAGGGUAUGCUCAGAUAUAUGAGUGGAUUAUUCAGACACGUUUUCUCCUGUAGCAAAACUCACCUCUGUUCAAUUAUUUAUUUCCCUUAUUGCUACUAAUAAUUGGCCUUUGUACCAAUUAGAUGUUAAGAAUGCAUUCCUUCAUGGGAAUUUGCAAGAAGAAAUUUAUAUGGAGCAACCACCUGGAUUUGUUACUCAGGGGGAGUCUGGUAAGGUUUGUAGACUCCGAAAGUCAUCAUAUGGUUUAAAACAGAGUCCUCGUGCUUGAUUUGGGAGAUUCAAUGAGGUGGUUCAAGAGUUUGGCAUGAAGAAGUGUAAUUCUGAUCAUUCUGUCUUUUAUCAACAAUCUGAAGUUGGUAUUAUCCUAUUAGUGGUUUAUGUUGAUGAUAUUGUUAUUACUGGUAGUAACAAUGCAGGUAUUACAGCUCUUCAAAAUUUUCUUCAAUCACGCUUCCAGACAAAAGAUUUGGGUAUGUUGAAAUACUUUUUAGGCAUUGAAGUUACAAAAUGUAAACAAGGUAUCUUCUUAUGCCAAAAGAAGUAUGUCGUUGAUCUUUUGAAAGCAACAGGAAAGCUAGGUGCUAAGCCAUGCAGUGCACCAAUGAUCCCCAACAUGCAACUUACAGCAGAUGAUGGAGAAUUAUUCUCAGAUGCUGAAAUGUACCGGAGAUUAGUGGGGAAGUUGAAUUAUCUUACUGUGACUCGUCCGGAUAUUGCAUAUCCAGUUAAUAUUGUGAGUCAAUUUAUGUCCUCACCAAGAACCAUCCAUUGGGCAAUUUUAGAACAAAUCUUAUGUUAUUUUAAAGGAACUCCAGGACGUUGUAUACUAUAUGAUAAUCAUGGCCAUUCUCAUGUUGAAUGCUUUUCAGAUGCGGAUUGGGCAGGUUCUAAAAUUGAUCGAAGAUCUACAACUGGAUAUUGUGUCUUCGUUGGAGGUAAUUUGGUAUCAUGGAAAAAUAAGAAACAAAGUGUAGUAUCUCGCUCUAGUGCAGAUGAUAUUGGUGUGGCUCUGUAAAUAUGCAUAUGAUAUUCUUUUUUUUGAGGAUCAGACCAUGUUCCUGAAUGAAAUCUAACUAAUUCUUCUUUAGAAUUAUCCAUUCUUUGUUUUAAUAUUCCACAACCUGUUAGGAAUAUCUGCACAAAUUUCUUUUUGUAGUAAUUUUUCUAAUUCGGAUAUUCUUUUUUGUAUUUUGAUAUCAUUUAAUUGUUCUUCAAUUUUUAAAUAAGAUUUUUCUUCUUUAAUAUAGCUUAUUUGUUGUUGUACUUUGGUAAUACUGUUUAUUGUUUUAUAUAUUGAAGAUGUUUGUAAUGUAUGUAGUUCUUUUUGCUUUAUUGGAGUUAAGAAUUUAAAGAUAACAAUUUUUCCCAUUAUAUUUACUGAAAUUCCUUCAUUACUUACUAAAAAUGGAUAUAUUUGAAUUAAAAAGGGUGUUCCUAAUAUUACAUCAUGAUGUAUAUUCUUUACAAUUAUGAAAUUAUGUCUAAUACAAUAUUCAUUGUUACAUAUUGAUCCUUUUGUAAAUUUAUAAGUUACUUUUAAAUCUUCGCCAUUUGCUGCCAUUAAUUUUUCAUUUGUUCUUUCACAAUAUUUAGUAGGAAUUAUUCCUUCUUUAAUACAACUUGUAUCAGCUCCACUAUCUAUUAGAGCUACAAAUGUUUCUUUGAAAUCUUCUACUGUAAUUGUUACUAAAGCGAACCAUUUUUGAAAUGUUAUUCUUUCAAUAGUAUUCAAAUAUUGAGAUUCUUCUACUAAUUUUUCUGAUAUUAAUAUUUCUUCUGUUUUAGAAUUAGAAGUUGAAGGCUGAUUACUUAUUAAUUCUAAUUUUGAUUCUAUUUCUAAAUCUUUUAAUUUGAAUUCUAUUAUUUCUUGUUGUAAUUGUUUUACUUGUAUUUUGAGAUUAUUAAUUUCUGAUUGAAGAUCUUUAGUAGUUUCUUUUUUCAUUAUAUUAAUGUUUGGAUAUUUAUCUAUUAAUUUUGAUAUACUAAAAGGUUCUAUUAUUUUUGGCAUUUUAUCUUCUUGAAUAAUUAAACUUUUUAGUCUUUCUAAAUAUUCUUUUUUGGCUAUUGGAUCAUCAAUUUUUUCUAUUAUAUCUAAUAAAAAUUCUUUAUCUUCUUUUUUAGUUAUUACAUUUAUAUAUUUUGGAGUGCAAUUGCAAUUUUCUUCACUAUCUGAACUAGAAAUAUCAUUGUAAUAAUCAUCUUCUGUAUUUUGUUCGUUUUCAUUUAUUAAUAAGUUUAUUAAUUUAUUUUUAAUUUCUUCUUCGUUAGAACAUAUUUCUGUAAUUUUUUCUUUUAAUCUACAUUUGUUUGCUUUAUGUCCUAUUUUUCCACAUUUGUAACAAACUAUUUUCUUUUUAAUAAAUCUUCUCUUUUUAGUUGGUUCAUUUUCCUUAGGUUUUAUAUAUCUUGGUUUCUUAGAAUAUUUUUUAAUUUUCUUCUUAUAUGCUGAUGGUGAUUUGAUUCUUUUAAUUCCAAAUGCAUCACAGAAUGAUCCUACUUCUUUUUGUUUUGAUCCAUAUUUUAUUUGUAAUCUUAAUUCUGAACAUAAUAUUAAUCCUUCUUUUUUCACAAAAGCAAAUAAUUGUCCAAAAGUAAUAUUUUCGAAUGAAAUUACAUCUGUUCCCAUUUCUUUUUGUAAAUUAUCCAUUAUUCUUUGUGAAAAUAAAAUUGGUAAUCCAGUUAUGAAUCUUUCUUUCCAAAAUGAAGCAUUACAAUCUGGUCUUCUUAAUACAUUUGUUAAAACAUAUCUUUGUACCAUCUAAAAUCCGAUAAUGUUGGACAUCUUAAAUUUGUUAAAAAUGUUUUAUUAGAAUUUAAUUCUUCUUUUGGAUUUCCUAUGAAAUACAUAACUAUUGUUACAAUUAGAAAUUCUGCAGCAUCUGAUUAUAUUUGAAUAUUUCCUUGAUCAUCUUCUAAUUCUUGUGUAUGAUCUAAUAUUGAUAAUUUAUCUUGUAAUGUUAAAGCAUUAUCCCACCAAUUCUUUAAUUGUCCAGUAAAUCCUGAAACUAAUAAUGUUGCAAUAUUUCUUUCUUGAAUAUUUUUAAUCUUAUAGGCUAAUCUCGCCAUUCCCAUUUCUUGCAAAUUAUUUAAUACUUCAUAUUCAGCUUUGCCAUCUAUGUUCCAUUCAUAUAUUGAAUCUCCAUCAUAUUUAGUAGUUCUAAAUUUUGAUCUUUCUUCAUAUUGAAUGUCAGGAGGACUUGGUCUUGGAUAAUAAUUCUUUGAACUUAUCAUUUUCCAAUUUUUAUUGUUACUAUAGUUCUUCCUUUUUAUUCUAUUUAUUUGACUAUUUUCUUCUUCAAAUUGAUUUUCUAUUGGUAAAAGUAUAUUUUCUUCUAUAUCUGAAUUUAUUGAUUCUUCUGUUAAAUCUUCUAAUUCUUCAGUAGAAUUUUCUUCUAUUAUUUGAUCUAAUGUGUUUAUUUUGGGUGUUGAUGGUUUUGAAUCUGUAGUUAGAUUUUGUAAGACAUUAGAUAUUUUAUUUAAUAAAUUAUCUGUAUUACUUAUCUUUUGAUUACUAAUACUUUGUACUAAAUCUUGUUCUUUUUCUCUUGUCAGACUUCUAGGUUGAAAAUGAGGUGCUGAUAUAUCAUUAGGAAAUUUUAAAUCUGGUUUCUUUAAUGUAUCUAUUUUUGUAUUUAAUACUUCCAUAUGUUGAGAUAUUGUAUGAAGAAUUUGAUUGGUAUAAUUAUUUUGUUGAUAAACUUUUUUAAGAUCUUCUAGAUUUAUUGAAUUAUUUGCACUUGAUUCUGCUUCUCUUCCCUUUUUAAAAGGUGAGGCUAUUACUUCUCCUUUUCCUAUAUUAAUUUUUACUUCUUGUAAUGGAGGGUGUAUUGAGGUUAAUAUUUGAUCAUCUUUUAAUUUCCAUUUUUUAUAUAAAUUAGUUUGAACAUUUAUUUGUGAAGUAUUAUAAACAUCAUUUAUUCCUAUUUUUGAAAUAUAAAAUGAUAACCAGGUAAAGAAAGGGAAAUCAAACUUUUGUUUUUCUAAUUCAUUUUUCCAUUCUAAAAUUAAUUUUUCUUUAUAUAUUGAUUCUAGUUGAAAAAACAAAUUCUUUUUUCUGUGUUUUCUUCAUCAUCAAAAUCUUCUUGUAAAUAUUUAUGAUUUAUGUUAUAUGGUCUAUUUAUAACAUUUAUUUCACCUUGCAUUUGAGAAUGUGUUGGGGAAUUUUGAUUUACAACUUCUGAAAUAGGAGUUUUAUAUUUAAAAUUUGAGGUAUUUUCCAUAGGGAAAUUAAUUUCAGUUGACUCAUAAUUUGAACGUCUAGCUGGUAACCAUGAAUAAGAUGAUUCUGGUCUUUCUCUUAAUGAUGUAAAUCUUAUUAAAGUACUUCCAUCUUCUUUUUCUAUAAUAUCUUCUGCAGUAGUCUGUUCUAUAUUUCUUGCUACUUGUGGAUUUUUAAUUUCGAAUUCACUAGGUAUAGUAAUUUCAUUCCAUUUUAGUCUUUUUGGAAUAUAUGUUGUAGGUCUGUCUGCAUCUACUUGUAAUAAAGUUGUUUCAUCUUUUAGAGUUGGAGUCAUUAUAAAUUUUGGAUUUAAAUGUGAAGAUAAAGGUCUAUAAUAUAUUCUGUAUAUUAUUGCAAAAUUCUUUGUAUGUUUUUCAAAUUCAUUUCCUUGUAGAUGAAUAUCUAAUAUAACUGAAUUUAGUAUAUGAGGGUCUGUUAAAUCUAUUGAAAAAUUUGGAGCACAGUUAAAAUAUAUGGGUCCGUUACAUACAUUUGUUUGAAUCAUAGAAAGUAAAGAAGUUUUAUAUCUUUUGAGUCUAGUAUCUCUUAAUGCUAAGUAUAUUGGAGCAUCAACUCCUAAAUGGAAUAAAGGUUUUACAGCAAUCUGUAUUAAACCUAUAUGAAUAUAGCGAUAUCCUUUACUUAAAUAUUUUUGAAUUGUACUAUGAUUUAAUAAUUGUAUAGUUUGAUAUUCUUCUUGAAUAGAUAUUGUUUCUUCAUGAGUUUUAACUGAUAAUGCAGUUUUGAAAUCUAAAGGGCCAAUUCUGUAAAUGUGUUCAAUUUUUUCUUCUGGGAUUGUCCAAUCUGAAUUGUUUAUAGGCAUAUGAUAUUCAUGACUUUGUACUACAUUGUCUUGCUUUGAAUUAGAUCCUAUUUUUAAUUGUCUAAGAAAUGCAGCCAUGUUUAAUAUUUAAUUAAAUUUUACUUAGACGGGAACAACCGAGCCUAUGCCUGGAACAUCCUAUCCUGGACUUACCAACGGUCUGACAAAGCAUCAAGUCUUACCAACGUUUUCAGUAAAGUUUAAUAAAAUAUGUAACAUAAUAUGCAUGAAAUAGCCAAGUUAAAAUAGAAACGUAAUUCAAAUAAAGUAAAUGUAAAUGCAAAGUUUAAAUAUGCGUAUGAAAUAUAAACAAAGGUGUGGCUCUGAUACCACUUCUACCCAGCACUUUGCAAUUAAUCAUAUACGUUAACUAAAAGCAAAUAUUGUAGGGACUUAGAAUGUAAUUAAUGAAACUUACUUGACUUUUGAGAGUACACAAUCGGAAGCUUGAAUUCAACAAUGGAAACUUGCCAAACUUGUUUGACAAAAUGAUACAAGAGGUUUGAAUAUUUAGUACAAGGCUUUGACUAUGGAUGGAAAUAUGUGGAAGUAGUGAUUACAAUGAGUUUUCUAACUUUGCUCUGAUAGUUUAUCGCCGAUUUCUGUCUUCUAAAUCUUGAAUCUAUUUAUAGAGGCUCGGUUCUGCAUUUCAUCUUCAUUUGAAUUUCAAUUUUGCUUUCAUUUGUUGUGGCCGACAUUCUUUUUCAAAAGUCGUUUGGAUUUUGUCCACCGAUGGGAUCAUCAAAAGGAUCAAAAGUAGAUUCUGAUGAUCCUGCUGGCUCCUCUAUUUUGUCUUCUUCUUUUGACUUUUGCAAAUAAUUCAGAUAUUCUUUCAGCAUCUCGGGAUUCUGCAUGAUUUGCUUUAUUAAAAAGUUACUGGCUGUUUCUUCGGAUGCCAUUUCCGUCACUUUUUCUUUGUCUCUUUUUGGAGUGAGUGGAGUUGGUGUAGUGGUUGGAAUGAUUGUUGACUGUCUCGUCUCCUUUUGAGUAGUGGUAGUAGCUGUCCACUUUAAUUUAUCUCCAGUGGUCAGGAAUCUGAUCACAUUAGUUUGAUCUCCAAAUUCUUGAUUGAAUCCAGUCCACCAUUUUAUUUUGAAUUCUCUUACCAAUGACAUUGGCAGAGGUUUUUCCAGUUCUUGAUGAAUUUUGAAACUCCAGCAAAAUAUCCAUGGCACUUUGAAUUCCAUGUGGAAUAAAAUUGGUCUUGUAUACUCUUCCCCCUUUGCUCUUUUUAGAUAUGUUUGAAAUCCCAUGAGAACAUUUGGAGGUAGAAUUUCUGGUUGGGGUCCAAACCAUUUCCACCAGUGAUUGAACCAAAUUGGGAAUUCUUUACUGCAACUGUCUUUGAAUGUGAAGAACCAGGAAUGGUUGAAUGGUCUAAAAAGGAAAGCACGAUACCAUGCCAUUUUGUAAUCUUGAUAUGUAAAUCCAUCUGGAAUAAAGUUCACUGAAAAGGAUUUUUUGGAAUAAAGAGAAGUCCAUUCAUUAGGAGAAAAAACUUUCUUUAUAAUACACUUAGAAUGGCUAAUAAUGUUGGGAUUCUUUUUAUCUGGAAUUGGGUAAAUCUCUACAGAUUGAGUAUCUGUAAGGAUUAAUUCAUAAUAAUCUAGAUUUUUUGAAGGGUCAUCUGGUUGCCAAUAGCAUUUUGGAGGAAAGAUCCUUUGAGUAACUUGAUGAAGAGUAGAGUAUAUGGGCAUUUCUUGGAAUCUGGUUAAAGUAAUAUGUUGAGUAAAUGGCUUUGUGAAAUAAGUAUUUCCUUGAGAUUUUUCUGGGGAUUUUGCUAGUUGUUGAAUGGGUCUUAUUUGAGAAGCAAUUGGAGUAGCAGCUUGACUAUAAGUCAAUGCUGGAAAAUCUGAUAAUAAUUGAAGUCUAUUUUGAGUAACAGGAGUUAGACUCAUCUCAUAAUCUUGAGGAGUCUUUGGUCUGGAACUUCCUGCUUUUGAAUCCAUCUUCCUGCAAAAUUUAAUAAAUAAUAUCUUUAAGUUGAUCAGAUAAUUCUCUGUUCUGUUUUUGGUAAUGUUGAAUAUAUUGAUUGUGAAGAAAAUCUCCACUUCUGCUUAAUCUCUGAUGGGUAAGAAGUCUGAUAGUGUUUUUCUGAAUUUGUCUUUGUAUAAGAAAGGCUUUUUCUUUUUGAGUAAUGGUUGCAUAGGGACUUUUGUGAAUAUAAAUUUCAUCGUAUUUAGGAAUUUGGUAAGAUGGAAUAAAUUGUCUUCCAUUUGGAGUCUGAAUGGAAUAGACAUAUCCUCUGGAUUGAAUCGAUUUUUCUUUAUUUUGAAGGCUGGGAGAAUCUCGUUGAGUUCUCAAAUAAUUUGCAUAUUCACGAGCAUUUCUUUGAGCCAUCAUUGCUGGAUCCAUGUCCUUGUAAGAAUUCUCUAGUAAGAAAAUCUGGUAAAGAAUUAUUUUCGCCUUUGAUAAAUUCAAUAUCAAAAUCGAAUACAGAUAAAAUAGCUUGCCAUCUUGCAAAUAUUUGUUUUGACACUAUAUUUUGAACAUCUUUUUGUAGAAUCUCUUUUGCAGAUUUACAAUCUAUUCUAAUUAAAAAUUUCUUAUUAUACAAAUCAUCUUGAAAUUUGGAUAUACACAAAACUAUUGAUAAAAUUUCUUUUUUAAUAGUUGAAUAAUUCUUUUGAGGAUCAGACCAAUUUUUAGGACAUAAUAUAUAUCAAGGAACAAUAAAACCAAUUAAUAGAGCUUUAGAAUUUGCUACUAAAUUUCCAGAUGAGAUCAAAGAUAAAAAUCAAUUACAAAGAUUUUUAGGAUGUUUAAAUUACAUAGCAGAUUUCUUUCCUAAAUUAAGGCAAGAAUGUUCUAUAUUAUUCAAUAGAUUAAAGAAAAAUCCAAAACCUUGGACAGAAGAACAUACUCAAAAAAUAAAAUAUUUAAAAGAAAAAAAAUAGAGUCAUUACCAUGUUUAUGCCUACCUCAUCCUAAAGCAUUCAUGAUAGUUGAAACAGAUGCAUCAGAAUUAGGAUAUGGUGGAAUAUUAAAACAAAGAAUGGAUAAUUCUAAAGAAGAAUUAGUUAGAUUUCAUUCAGGAACAUGGUCUGAUCCUCAAAAGAAUUAUUCAACUAUUAAAAAAGAAAUUUUAUCAAUAGUUUUGUGUAUAUCCAAAUUUCAAGAUGAUUUGUAUAAUAAGAAAUUUUUAAUUAGAAUAGAUUGUAAAUCUGCAAAAGAGAUUCUACAAAAAGAUGUUCAAAAUAUAGUGUCAAAACAAAUAUUUGCAAGAUGGCAAGCUAUUUUAUCUGUAUUCGAUUUUGAUAUUGAAUUUAUCAAAGGCGAAAAUAAUUCUUUACCAGAUUUUCUUACUAGAGAAUUCUUACAAGGACAUGGAUCCAGCAAUGAUGGCUCAAAGAAAUGCUCGUGAAUAUGCAAAUUAUUUGAGAACUCAACGAGAUUCUCCCAGCCUUCAAAAUAAAGAAAAAUCGAUUCAAUCCAGAGGAUAUGUCUAUUCCAUUCAGACUCCAAAUGGAAGACAAUUUAUUCCAUCUUACCAAAUUCCUAAAUACGAUGAAAUUUAUAUUCACAAAAGUCCCUAUGCAACCAUUACUCAAAAAGAAAAAGCCUUUCUUAUACAAAGACAAAUUCAGAAAAACACUAUCAGACUUCUUACCCAUCAGAGAUUAAGCAGAAGUGGAGAUUUUCUUCACAAUCAAUAUAUUCAACAUUACCAAAAACAGAACAGAGAAUUAUCUGAUCAACUUAAAGAUAUUAUUUAUUAAAUUUUGCAGGAAGAUGGAUUCAAAAGCAGGAAGUUCCAGACCAAAGACUCCUCAAGAUUAUGAGAUGAGUCUAACUCCUGUUACUCAAAAUAGACUUCAAUUAUUAUCAGAUUUUCCAGCAUUGACUUAUAGUCAAGCUGCUACUCCAAUUGCUUCUCAAAUAAGACCCAUUCAACAACUAGCAAAAUCCCCAGAAAAAUCUCAAGGAAAUACUUAUUUCACAAAGCCAUUUACUCAACAUAUUACUUUAACCAGAUUCCAAGAAAUGCCCAUAUACUCUACUCUUCAUCAAGUUACUCAAAGGAUCUUUCCUCCAAAAUGCUAUUGGCAACCAGAUGACCCUUCAAAAAAUCUAGAUUAUUAUGAAUUAAUCCUUACAGAUACUCAAUCUGUAGAGAUUUACCCAAUUCCAGAUAAAAAGAAUCCCAACAUUAUUAGCCAUUCUAAGUGUAUUAUAAAGAAAGUUUUUUCUCCUAAUGAAUGGACUUCUCUUUAUUCCAAAAAAUCCUUUUCAGUGAACUUUAUUCCAGAUGGAUUUACAUAUCAAGAUUACAAAAUGGCAUGGUAUCGUGCUUUCCUUUUUAGACCAUUCAACCAUUUCUGGUUCUUCACAUUCAAAGACAGUUGCAGUAAAGAAUUCCCAAUUUGGUUCAAUCACUGGUGGAAAUGGUUUGGACCCCAACCAGAAAUUCUACCUCCAAAUGUUCUCAUGGGAUUUCAAACAUAUCUAAAAAGAGCAAAGGGGGAAGAGUAUACAAGACCAAUUUUAUUCCACAUGGAAUUCAAAGUGCCAUGGAUAUUUUGCUGGAGUUUCAAAAUUCAUCAAGAACUGGAAAAACCUCUGCCAAUGUCAUUGGUAAGAGAAUUCAAAAUAAAAUGGUGGACUGGAUUCAAUCAAGAAUUUGGAGAUCAAACUAAUGUGAUCAGAUUCCUGACCACUGGAGAUAAAUUAAAGUGGACAGCUACUACCACUACUCAAAAGGAGACGAGACAGUCAACAAUCAUUCCAACCACUACACCAACUCCACUCACUCCAAAAAGAGACAAAGAAAAAGUGACGGAAAUGGCAUCCGAAGAAACAGCCAGUAACUUUUUAAUAAAGCAAAUCAUGCAGAAUCCCGAGAUGCUGAAAGAAUAUCUGAAUUAUUUGCAAAAGUCAAAAGAAGAAGACAAAAUAGAGGAGCCAGCAGGAUCAUCAGAAUCUACUUUUGAUCCUUUUGAUGAUCCCAUCGGUGGACAAAAUCCAAACGACUUUUGAAAAAGAAUGUCGGCCACAACAAAUGAAAGCAAAAUUGAAAUUCAAAUGAAGAUGAAAUGCAGAACCGAGCCUCUAUAAAUAGAUUCAAGAUUUAGAAGACAGGCAUCGGCGAUAAACUAUCAGAGCAAAGUUAGAAAACUCAUUGUAAUCACUACUUCCACAUAUUUCCAUCCAUAGUCAAAGCCUUGUACUAAAUAUUCAAACCUCUUGUAUCAUUUUGUCAAACAAGUUUGGCAAGUUUCCAUUGUUGAAUUCAAGCUUCCGAUUGUGUACUCUCAAAAGUCAAGUAAGUUUCAUUAAUUAAUAUAUAAUACAAUAUAAAUUAUGUAUAAUACAAUAUAUAUUAUACAUUUAUAUAAAUGUACAUUUAUACAUAAUAUAUAUAUUAAUGUAUAUUUAUAAUAUACAUUUAUAUUAUGUAUUAUAUAUAUAAUAUAAUACAUUUAUCAUACAUUUAUACAAAUUAAUAUACAUAAUAUUAAUUUUACAUUUAUACAUAAUAUUAAUACAUUUGUACAUUUAUAUUAAUUAUAUUAAUACAUUUAUGCAUAAUAUUAAUAUAAUUAUAAUUUAUACAUUUAUAUAAUAUUCAUUUAUAAUUUAUACAUUUAUAAUAAUAUACACUUAUACAUUUAUAAAUAUAUUUAUAUUAUGUAUUAUAUAUAAUAUAAUACAUUUAUAUAUUUUUAUAUAAAUACAUAAAUAUAUUUAUUUAUAAAUGUAUUAUAAAUACAUAAAUGUAUAUUUAUAUAAAAAUAUAAAAAUUAUAAUUUAUAAUUUAUACAUUUAUAUAAUAUUCAUUUAUAAUUUAUACAUUUACAAUAAUAUACACUUAUACAUUUAUAAAUAUAUUUAUAUUAUGUAUUAUAUAUAGUAUAAUACUUUUAUAAUACAUUUAUAUAUUUUUAAAUAUAUAAAUAUAUUUAUUUAUAAAUAUUUAUAAAUAUAUUAUAAAUGCAUAAAUGUAUAUAAAAAUAAAAAUUAUAAAUUAUAAAUUAUAAAAAUACCCAAAAAUAUGUUUUAAAAAUACCUCUAAAAAUAAUCCAAAAAACAUCUACAGUAAAAGUUUUUCAUAUAAUUUUUGAAAAACAAUCCCAAAAACAACUAAUCCAAAUGGACUUGUAUUUCAAAAACGAAAUGCUACAGUACUGUUUUUGAAAAACAACCCAAAAAACAGCUAAUCCAAACGGAGCCCGUAACUGUUAGAAUCUUCUAGCGCAUGAAAAUUAAAUCUCUUUAUUGUUUUGGGACACAUACCACACCAUUCAAUCUUUGUUUCUUUAAAAUACGUGUCACACCAUCCAAAAAACAUAAUCGAAAUCUAAAAAUCAUCAGAAUGAUAUCAAUCAUUAGAGGUAUGAAAAAGUCUCCACCGAUUCACGUCUACAAUCAGCAUUGGACUCCACCUUUUUCUUAACCCUUGAAUCACCUAUCUAGAUUCACCGUCAAGUAUCUUCAUGUUUUUUGACUUUCCAUUCUUCACUGUUGAAAAUAUGUGAUCUGAUAUUAUGAAAAGAUUUGAUAUUGUAAAUAUUAAAAAAGAUUAUAUUUGAUUGAUUAUAGUAUCAUAUGAUUAUAGUAUCAUAUAUUAAUUAGGUAAUAGAUUAAUUUAGAUUAGCAUGAUUUUAGGAUCUAAAUUAGGUUACACUUGUGUAUAUAUAUUUGUAUAUUGUGUAGUCUAAAGAUAUGAAGAAAAAAAAUUCUCUCCUUUUUUUCUUAGUUUUCAUGGUAUCAGAGUUUCAAACUCUGUUAUCAGUUUGUCUUUUGACGUGACCCUAUUGAGUCACUUUUAGGUCUUUUUUGUAUGAAUUAUAACAACAGAUAUGAAAGGUAUUAGUAGAGAGAUGAAAAUAGUAAUUUCUAAUGUUAUUCCUACAACAUCAAAAAUUACUGAACACAAAUUGAGUGAAAAAAAUUUUUUGGAUUGGAGUAAAACUGUUCGGAUAUAUCUGCGCAGCAUCGAUAGAGAUGAUCAUCUCACUGAUGACCCACCCGUUGAUGGGGAAGAAAACAAGGUUUGGCUAAGGGAAGAUGCAAAGCUAUUUUUGCAGAUCCGAAACUCUAUUGAUAAUGAGAUAGUCAGUCUCAUCAAUCAUUGUGAGUUUUUUAAAGAUCUUAUGAAUUAUUUGGCUUUCUUGUAUUCUGGUAAGGGUAAUUUCAAUCAUAUAUAUAAUAUUUGCAAGGAAUUUUACCGUCCGAAAAAACAGCAGAGAUCCCUUACAGAAUAUUUUAUGAAUUUUAAACGUGUAUGAGGAGUUGAAUUCUCUCAUUCCUUUUAGUACUAAUGUAAAAACUCAACAAUCUCAACGGAAACAAAUGGUUGUAAUGAGUUUUCUUGCAGGAUUACCAAUUGAGUUCGAUGCUGCUCGAACAUAAAUUCUCUCUAACUCAAAGAUUGUUUCCCUCCAUGAAACUUUCACACGAAUGUUGAGAACCGAGAGAUCUUUAUCUACUUCCAAUGUUACUAGUGUUCUCGUGAGUCGGAGUGGAGCUGGUCGAGGAAAUAAUGGUAAAAACAGUGACAAAAAUGGGACUGAUGGGAUUACUGGUCACGGACAAUACAACUCAAAUCAGCGAGUUUGUUAUCACUGUAAGAAACCAAGCCAUACCAUACGUACGUGUUGGGACCUUCAUGGUAGACCUCAACAGCAGCCCCCGUUUGCAAAUUUCGCAACCCAGGAAAACAAUUAUGUGCCUUCUGACAAAUCCAUACUCAUCUCUGCAGAUGAGUUUGCCCGCUUUACUGAGUUCCAGGCCUCACAAAAAUCUACUAACCCAUCUUCUAGUACCAAUUCUUCUUCUAUUGAUCACUCAAGUAAACCUACUACAUGUCUUGUGUCAUCUUCUAACAAAUGGGUCAUCGAUUCCGGUACAACAGAUCAUAUGAUCGGUAAUAAAGGUAUCCUCUCCUCUUUUAAUCCUAACAAAGAUCAUUUGAAUGUUACUUUGAUUGAUGGGUCAUGUGCUUCAGUUGUGGGUUCUGGUAUAGCAAUUCCUAUGUCAUCUAUCCCCUUAUAUUCAGUCUUAUGUUUACCUAAUUUUUCGUUUAAUCUACUUUCAGUCAGUAUAAUUACAAAAGCUCUCAAAUGCUCUGUCUCAUUCUUUCCUGAAUAUUGUGUUUUUCAGGAUCUUAUGACUGGGAAGAUUAUUGGUAAAGGACGUGAAUCUGUCGGCCUGUAUACACUUGAAACCCCUUUAUCGAAAAUGCCGAAACCUGUUGCAUGUUCCUCCACCUUGACUCCGUUUGAAAUUCACUGUCAUUUGGGUCAUCAAUCUCUACCCACCUUGAAAAAGUUAUGUCCAAAUUUUCAGAAUUUAUCCCAUUUAGAUUGUGAGUCAUGUCAAUUUGUCAAGCAUCAUCGUUUGCCUUAUUUGCCUUGAGUCAAUAAACGGGCUUCAUCCCCCUUUGAAUUAGUGCACUCUGAUAUAUGGAGCCCUUGUCCAAUAGUAUCUAAGUCUGAUUUUAAGUAUUUUGUCACCUUUGUUGAUGACUACUCUCGUGUUACUUGAUUAUAUUUAAUGAGAAGUCGGUCAAAUUUAUUUAAUAUCUUUUGUUCCUUUUGUUCUAAAAUAAAAGCACAAUUCAAUGUGCAUGUACGCAUUUUGCGAAGUGAUAAUGCAAAAGAGUACUUUUCUAAACCCUUUAAUUCAUAUAUGUCAGAAAAUGGAAUCCUUCACCAAUAUUCAUGUCCUAACACACCACCACAAAAUGGUGUUAUUGAAAGAAAAAAUAGGCACUUAUUAGAAAUUGCUAGAGCCCUUCUAUUUCACAGGAAGGUUCCUGAGCAAUUUUGGGCAGAUGCGAUUUCAACAGCCUGUUUCUUAAUUAAUCGCAUGCCAUCUUCUGUGCUUGCUAGUGAGAUUCCUUAUUCAAUUUUGUUUCCAACCCAAUCUUUAUUCCCCAUUGAGCCACGCAUAUUUGGGUGUAGUUUUGUUCGUGAUACCCAUCCUCAAGUGUCUAAAUUAGAUCCCAAAUCUCUCAAGUGUGUUUUUGGGUUAUUCACGUCUUCAAAAAGGGUAUAAAUGUUAUUCUCCAAGUUUAGAUCGUUAUUUAGUCUCUGCUGAUGUUACAUUUUUUGAGGCGCAUCUAUUUUUUCUUGAGUCUAAUGUCUAUAGUAGUCAGAGGAAAGGAGAUGAUAUUCUAGUCUACACUGUUACAACAACUGUUCUUAUAAGACAACCGAUCACUCAAGUGUAUUCUCGUCGUCCUCAACACAUAGACUCACAUCCUCCAUUACAUUCUCUGUCUACAGAUCCGAGUCUUGAUCCACCGCUUCUUCAGUCUCUAGAUUCCAGUCUUGAUUUGCCUAUUGUUUUAAGAAAAGGUAAAAGACAGUGCACUUACCUAGUUUCAUCAUUUGCUUCAUAUGAUCAUUUGUCUCCCUCCUUGCGUUAUUUUACUACUUCCUUAGAUUCAAUAUCUCUUCCUCAACGCUUAUCUAAGGCUUCAGAACAUCCUGGUUGGCGGGCUGCUAUGGAGGAAGAAAUGAUGGCCCUAGAUAAUAAUGGUACCUGAGAUUUGGUUCAUCUACCAACAGGUAAGAAACCUAUUAGUUGUAAAUGGGUGUUUACCGUAAAAGUCAAUCCUGAUGGUUCUGUUGCUCGCCUCAAAGCUUGUCUUGUUGCAAAAGGGUAUGCUCAGAUAUAUGAGUGGAUUAUUCAGACACGUUUUCUCCUGUAGCAAAACUCACCUCUGUUCAAUUAUUUAUUUCCCUUAUUGCUACUAAUAAUUGGCCUUUGUACCAAUUAGAUGUUAAGAAUGCAUUCCUUCAUGGGAAUUUGCAAGAAGAAAUUUAUAUGGAGCAACCACCUGGAUUUGUUACUCAGGGGGAGUCUGGUAAGGUUUGUAGACUCCGAAAGUCAUCAUAUGGUUUAAAACAGAGUCCUCGUGCUUGAUUUGGGAGAUUCAAUGAGGUGGUUCAAGAGUUUGGCAUGAAGAAGUGUAAUUCUGAUCAUUCUGUCUUUUAUCAACAAUCUGAAGUUGGUAUUAUCCUAUUAGUGGUUUAUGUUGAUGAUAUUGUUAUUACUGGUAGUAACAAUGCAGGUAUUACAGCUCUUCAAAAUUUUCUUCAAUCACGCUUCCAGACAAAAGAUUUGGGUAUGUUGAAAUACUUUUUAGGCAUUGAAGUUACAAAAUGUAAACAAGGUAUCUUCUUAUGCCAAAAGAAGUAUGUCGUUGAUCUUUUGAAAGCAACAGGAAAGCUAGGUGCUAAGCCAUGCAGUGCACCAAUGAUCCCCAACAUGCAACUUACAGCAGAUGAUGGAGAAUUAUUCUCAGAUGCUGAAAUGUACCGGAGAUUAGUGGAGAAGUUGAAUUAUCUUACUGUGACUCGUCCGGAUAUUGCAUAUCCAGUUAAUAUUGUGAGUCAAUUUAUGUCCUCACCAAGAACCAUCCAUUGGGCAAUUUUAGAACAAAUCUUAUGUUAUUUUAAAGGAACUCCAGGACGUUGUAUACUAUAUGAUAAUCAUGGCCAUUCUCAUGUUGAAUGUUUCUCAGAUGCGGAUUGGGCAGGUUCUAAAAUUGAUCGAAGAUCUACAACUGGAUAUUGUGUCUUCGUUGGAGGUAAUUUGGUAUCAUGGAAAAAUAAGAAACAAAGUGUAGUAUCUCGCUCUAGUGCAGAGGUUUGAAUACCAGUCUAUGGCACAAUCCACUUGUGAGCUUAUAUGGAUACAUCAAUUAUUGUGUGAGGUGGGAAUCAAUAAUUCACUUUCAAUGAAGUUAUGGUGUGACAAUCAAGCUGCCCUUCGUAUAGCAUUAAAUCCAAUUUUUCAUCGGAGAACAAAGCAUAUCGAAAUUGAUUGCCACUUUGUUCGUGAAAAAAUUCAGCAAAACUUGAUCUCAACCAGUCAUGUGAGAACUGGAGAACAAUUAGCUGAUAUUUUCACUAAGCCUCUGAAUGGUCCAAGAAUUGAUUACAUUUGUGGCAAGAUGGGUAUGAUUAACAUCUAUGCUCCAUCUUGAGGGGGAGUGUUGAAGAUAUGUGAUCUGAUAUUAUGGAAAGAUUUGAUAUUGUAAAUAUUAGGAAAGAUUAUAUUUGAUUGAUUAUAGUAUCAUAUAUUAAUUAAAUAAUAGAUUGAUUUAGAUUAGCAUGAUUUUAGGAUCUAAAUUAGGUUACACUUGUGUAUAUAUAUUUGUAUAUUGUUUAGUCCAAAGAUAUGAAGAAAAAGUAUUUUCUCUCCCUUUUUUCUUAGUUUUCAUUCACCAUCAAUGCUUUUUGUCAAACCAUUGAAACAGAGAUACCACUCACUAAAUUGUUCAAUUAGUAACAACCUAUCCACUUGAUCUCAAUAAUUAACCAGGAUCUAACCUUGAACACCCAAACUUUUGAUCCAACCAUUCAGUUUGUUGGGAUCCAAGUGCUUGUGAGCAGUCCAAUCUCGCAAUCAAACUCUGAUACCACUUAUUAGGAUCCAAGCACGGAAUACACAACUAUUGAGAUAUCAAGUACACAAUAAUUUAAUGACAAGGAAGUCACAGGCAUGAAAGAUAAACGACACACAAUAUUUAACGUAGUCCAACUCCACCAUUGAGCCUAUGUCUAUGGAAAGAAACCUGUUUUUUAUUAUGAGAGAAAACUCUAUACAACAAUACAAUUUGAACCCAAACUCAACUCUUAUAUACCAUCUUUCAUCUCCUAAAAUCUCUCUUUCAUUCCAUGUACAAGGCUACAUGACGCCUCUUAUGUGCCAUUGUGUGCGCCUUGUGUAAUAUGCUUACCCACCUAUUUAUAAAGAACAUUAUUUGGCAAAAAUCCAAAUAACAACCGGAAAUCAAUGCUAAUUUCUAGACUUAUACAGAAUAGGAAAUAACUUAUAAUACUAAACAAACUAGAAAAUUUCUUAACUACUACUUCAAGAAACUAAAAUCAUUUAGCAAACUAAUUAUUUUCAUACAAAACAAGAAACCUGUCUAAAAGAAAUUAAGCCAAUUUCCUAACAAAGAACUCACUUCCCUACUUGUUGCGACGAUCUACGGAUUAGAUUGUUGCUUUCACGUCGGAUUUCUCACUAAAUCAAGCAAGAAUCAAGUAGAACUUGGAGUUGGUUUUCUCUCUUUUCCUUUCUCUCUCUCUCGGCCCUUUAGCAAGAAAAAUGAAAGGCUUUUUUUUGAUUAAAUUGGAAAGAUAAAGACUAAAGAAAGUCUUGGUCAAAUGAAUUCUUGGAUCGUUGACCAGUGGCAUGACCUAAUUCUAAGCUUAUCUCUCUGUCUCUCUUGAUGUCUUUAAUAACCAAUCUUAUGUUCCUCGAAUUAAAUCUUAACAUCUCUAAUCACAUAAUCCUUCUUGCACAACACCCCUUCUUGUCCACUAAAUUUAUUACACACUUCACUAGUUGGUCACACUACUAUAAUGCACUACGAAACUUAACAUACACCAAAUUAUAAAAAGAAAAAGAUAAAGAUCUUAGACUCAACCAUUCAAGGAACCAAGAAAUUAAGGCAAGUAAAGUAAAAUAAAAAUUAACUAAAAGAAGAUACAAUACAGUAUAAAAUAACUUUCGGAUCCUCACAUCCAAGCAAGCGGUCCGCUAAACGUUAGAGUACGCGCUAAAGAGAGGUAGGAUCGUCACAUAAUGCAUCGGCUAUGCUAUCGAUUAUGGUGUUGAAAGAUACCUAAAUUCUAAAGUUCGAUUACUUUUCAAUCAAAUUUUGUGCCAUCUAAUUGGGAGGGAAUUCUUAUUGCAAUAGCUGCUUUCAUACAUACAGAUAUUAGAUAACAUUGUAAGUUAUCUUACUUUAUUACCACAUUUUAAGCUUAUGGUUUAAACUUAAUUUUGAAUGUCAGAAGAAGAAAAUGUAUCCCUAAGCCAUUUCCUUCAUAUUUUAUGUAGUUUUUUUCUGCCUUACUUUAUAUUUCUUCACAAAGUCAUCUUCAUUUAAAUUGUGCUGUUAGAUUUCUAUACAAAAGAAAAUCUUUUACUGAAGUCACUGUGGAGUAUUCCCUUCGUGAUUUAAAGUAUACCAAUGCAACCAUAUGCGAGGGGACGUUUCUAGGUAAAUGCAUUCUUAUUCUGCAUUGUUCCUUUUUGAUCAAUCCUCCUAUAAUUUUUAUUUAAAAAAAGAGAUUGAAAGGAAAACCUUGAAGGAAAUUUGAAGCCAUUAAUAAUUGACAGCCAUUUCAAGGAAGAUGAAUAAAGGCAAUUGACAAACAAGAUACAAUCAAUUUAAUCGUCUAAAUCUACUGUUUGUGCACAAAAAUGCUAAUGGUUGUUGGUUGCUUCAUCCUAAUCUGAUAUGUCA